rnacentral:lncRNA from 1 species
NNNNNNNNNNNNNNNNNNNNNNNNNNNNNNNNNNNNNNNNNNNNNNNNNNNNNNNNNNNNNNNNNNNNNNNNNNNNNNNNNNNNNNNNNNNNNNNNNNNNNNNNNNNNNNNNNNNNNNNNNNNNNNNNNNNNNNNNNNNNNNNNNNNNNNNNNNNNNNNNNNNNNNNNNNNNNNNNNNNNNNNNNNNNNNNNNNNNNNNNNNNNNNNNNNNNNNNNNNNNNNNNNNNNNNNNNNNNNNNNNNNNNNNNNNNNNNNNNNNNNNNNNNNNNNNNNNNNNNNNNNNNNNNNNNNNNNNNNNNNNNNNNNNNNNNNNNNNNNNNNNNNNNNNNNNNNNNNNNNNNNNNNNNNNNNNNNNNNNNNNNNNNNNNNNNNNNNNNNNNNNNNNNNNNNNNNNNNNNNNNNNNNNNNNNNNNNNNNNNNNNNNNNNNNNNNNNNNNNNNNNNNNNNNNNNNNNNNNNNNNNNNNNNNNNNNNNNNNNNNNNNNNNNNNNNNNNNNNNNNNNNNNNNNNNNNNNNNNNNNNNNNNNNNNNNNNNNNNNNNNNNNNNNNNNNNNNNNNNNNNNNNNNNNNNNNNNNNNNNNNNNNNNNNNNNNNNNNNNNNNNNNNNNNNNNNNNNNNNNNNNNNNNNNNNNNNNNNNNNNNNNNNNNNNNNNNNNNNNNNNNNNNNNNNNNNNNNNNNNNNNNNNNNNNNNNNNNNNNNNNNNNNNNNNNNNNNNNNNNNNNNNNNNNNNNNNNNNNNNNNNNNNNNNNNNNNNNNNNNNNNNNNNNNNNNNNNNNNNNNNNNNNNNNNNNNNNNNNNNNNNNNNNNNNNNNNNNNNNNNNNNNNNNNNNNNNNNNNNNNNNNNNNNNNNNNNNNNNNNNNNNNNNNNNNNNNNNNNNNNNNNNNNNNNNNNNNNNNNNNNNNNNNNNNNNNNNNNNNNNNNNNNNNNNNNNNNNNNNNNNNNNNNNNNNNNNNNNNNNNNNNNNNNNNNNNNNNNNNNNNNNNNNNNNNNNNNNNNNNNNNNNNNNNNNNNNNNNNNNNNNNNNNNNNNNNNNNNNNNNNNNNNNNNNNNNNNNNNNNNNNNNNNNNNNNNNNNNNNNNNNNNNNNNNNNNNNNNNNNNNNNNNNNNNNNNNNNNNNNNNNNNNNNNNNNNNNNNNNNNNNNNNNNNNNNNNNNNNNNNNNNNNNNNNNNNNNNNNNNNNNNNNNNNNNNNNNNNNNNNNNNNNNNNNNNNNNNNNNNNNNNNNNNNNNNNNNNNNNNNNNNNNNNNNNNNNNNNNNNNNNNNNNNNNNNNNNNNNNNNNNNNNNNNNNNNNNNNNNNNNNNNNNNNNNNNNNNNNNNNNNNNNNNNNNNNNNNNNNNNNNNNNNNNNNNNNNNNNNNNNNNNNNNNNNNNNNNNNNNNNNNNNNNNNNNNNNNNNNNNNNNNNNNNNNNNNNNNNNNNNNNNNNNNNNNNNNNNNNNNNNNNNNNNNNNNNNNNNNNNNNNNNNNNNNNNNNNNNNNNNNNNNNNNNNNNNNNNNNNNNNNNNNNNNNNNNNNNNNNNNNNNNNNNNNNNNNNNNNNNNNNNNNNNNNNNNNNNNNNNNNNNNNNNNNNNNNNNNNNNNNNNNNNNNNNNNNNNNNNNNNNNNNNNNNNNNNNNNNNNNNNNNNNNNNNNNNNNNNNNNNNNNNNNNNNNNNNNNNNNNNNNNNNNNNNNNNNNNNNNNNNNNNNNNNNNNNNNNNNNNNNNNNNNNNNNNNNNNNNNNNNNNNNNNNNNNNNNNNNNNNNNNNNNNNNNNNNNNNNNNNNNNNNNNNNNNNNNNNNNNNNNNNNNNNNNNNNNNNNNNNNNNNNNNNNNNNNNNNNNNNNNNNNNNNNNNNNNNNNNNNNNNNNNNNNNNNNNNNNNNNNNNNNNNNNNNNNNNNNNNNNNNNNNNNNNNNNNNNNNNNNNNNNNNNNNNNNNNNNNNNNNNNNNNNNNNNNNNNNNNNNNNNNNNNNNNNNNNNNNNNNNNNNNNNNNNNNNNNNNNNNNNNNNNNNNNNNNNNNNNNNNNNNNNNNNNNNNNNNNNNNNNNNNNNNNNNNNNNNNNNNNNNNNNNNNNNNNNNNNNNNNNNNNNNNNNNNNNNNNNNNNNNNNNNNNNNNNNNNNNNNNNNNNNNNNNNNNNNNNNNNNNNNNNNNNNNNNNNNNNNNNNNNNNNNNNNNNNNNNNNNNNNNNNNNNNNNNNNNNNNNNNNNNNNNNNNNNNNNNNNNNNNNNNNNNNNNNNNNNNNNNNNNNNNNNNNNNNNNNNNNNNNNNNNNNNNNNNNNNNNNNNNNNNNNNNNNNNNNNNNNNNNNNNNNNNNNNNNNNNNNNNNNNNNNNAUUCCCUUUUCCUAAUACAGACAUGCUCGUGUUAUUCCCAAGUUUCACUGAAUCUCGAAAGGUUCCAUCAAAAUCUAAAAAAUAAUCCUUUUUUCCACACAUAUGAUUGCUGCAUCCAGAGUCAAGAAACCACGUAUCUUCUCGACUAGUUUUGUUUAGAUCCACAUAUGCCAUCAACAACAUCUCCUCUUGAUUCUCUGCGUAGUAAGCCCCUGUCUCUCGGUGUGGACAUUCCCAUGCAAAAUGUCCUAGCUUGUGACAAUUAUAGCACUCCACAGUAGCCUUAUCAAAAGAUCUUCUAUUCCGUCCUCUUCCUCUUCCUCUAUAAUUUCCAUGACCACGACCUCUACUUCCGGAGUGAUCUCCAUGAGUAACUUUCAAAGCCUGUUCUUCUUCUAACACAUGAGAGGUCAUGCGUUGUUCAUGGACAAGAAGACUACUCUGCAACUCAUCUAUGGUUAAAGUGUCUAAAUCUUUAGACUCUUCAAUGGAACAAACAACAUAAUCAAAUUUGGAAGUCAUAGAUCGUAAAAUCUUUUCAACAACAGCAGUAUUUCCUUUAUCCUCACCAUUGACCUUCAUUUUGUUGGCAAUGGCAAGAGUGCGAGAGAAAUAUUCAUUCACAGUUUCUCCCGACUUCAUGUGAAGAAUUUCGAAUUCCUUCAUCAAAGCUUGCAAAUUUCCACGCUUCACUCGUGUGGUGCCCUGAAAUUUCUGCUUCAUAGAAUCCCAAAUAUCCUUCGUAGUCUUUUUGUUUAGAAUUGUCUCUAGGAUAGAACGAUCUAAUGCCUGAAAUAGAUAGUUCUUUGCCUUCAAAUCCUUUAACUGCUGAUCUUCAAUGUGCUUUCUCUGUGCAUCUGUGAGAACAGCAUCUUCAGCCACUGCAGGAACUCCAUUCACCACAAGUCCCCAAUACUCCUUGGAACGCAAGAAGUUUUCCAUGAGCAUUGCCCAGUGAUCAUAGUAGCCAUCAAAUUUCGGAAUAGCUGGCUGGACAAAUGAACUCUCUGUCGUCAUUGUUCAAACAGAACACACGUAGAAGACUGCUGCUUCUAAAUAAUCAGGCCCCUAUGAUGGGGCUCUGAUACCAAAUGUUGGAAAUUGAAUAGGAGUAUAGAUGAAGCUGGAGAAAAACAACUUUACUAAAUUGAAUAACAAACUUGGCUAAUAUAUAGCCUUACAGAAAAUAGCCCAUAUCUAGAUAACUCCUAAAAGUGCUGAGAAGAUAACCCUCAGCAAAUAUCAGAACCCAAAAUAAUAGAUAACUCCUAAACGUGGUGGUAACUAACUACUAAAGAUAAACAUAAAAAACUAACAUUAACCAAUAAGAUAAACAUCACAAAACUAACAUAUGGAAUAGGCAAAUGUCAGGAACAGGGAAAGACCAGAAAAAUAGAGCACAAGGGAUAGGAACAAAAUAAUCCCAUACAAGCCGUGUUUCAUAUCCGGAUCAAUGGGCUUAGGUGAGGGUGAGCGCAAUCAAAUGGAAGACAAAACAUGAUUGCAUGUAUUUUCAUGAGGAAGCUUUAAACAGGGCCAAGUUAACAUUCAACAAAAACCAAAUAAAUGAGGAACAUGAACGUGCUAUAAUUCCACAAAACCGACCUGAAGGUCAGCCAAAAUAUACCUGUAGCACUUAAUGUCUAUUCCCCAAUCAACAAAUAGCACUCAACAAUCAGCAGAGAAAAGAAAAGAAAAGCAUGCCAGUUGGAAUGAGUUAGAAACCCAUAAUAAUCAUACCUGAAAAACAAUCCUCCCCAAGAAGCCGUGUCGGAUUUCUAGCUGUUCCACUGGUUCCCUCUUCUUCCCUUUAGCUGCCUUUUCCUCAAGUCACCUCAAAAUCACAACCCUCAAGCAACCCGCAACCCUUUCCUUUUUCAGAUUCUUCUUUUCUUUUCACUCUCAGCACCUACUAUAUCCUUCUUCCAUCGGCUUCCUCUGUUUCUCUCGAACAGCUCCAAGGAAAAAAAAAACUUCUCCCCUCUUCCCUAGCUUCCCCUCCAAGCUAUACUCUAAAUAUUUCUUCUCUGUUUCCAUCUUCUCCCGCAAGCCACCACCUGCUCCACUGUGCACCAUUCCGCCAAUGCGUCACCCUCCAAACCACCACCAUGGGCGAGCCAUGCAGCCGGUUCUCAGCAUAAGGAGGUCCCCCUCCAAAAAUGCAAGGAAAAGAAAAGAAAACAACUCUGCUCGGGCCCUCACCACACGUCCUAUGCUUCUCGUGUGUCUCCAGAAAGAGCUCCCUCCCCCCUACUUCAAAAAAAUGAAAGAAUUCCACUCUCCCGGGUGGUCCUAAAAUAAAAGAAAAGCUAUCCGUUUUUUUGAGGGGGUUUACAACUUUAUUAUUACAUUUUAUUUUUUGUUUGAUGCUUUAAAUAAUUUUUAUUAAAUAAAAUUAUAAUUAUAUUGGUGGAGGGCUAAUUAACUUUGUUUUUAAGUGAGAAAGACAGUGAUAAGGUUGAAGUGGGUUUAAAAAAAUGAAAUAAAAGAAUGAAAAAAAGAAAAAGAAAAAGAAGAUAGAGAUAAGAUUGAGGUGGGUCCGUAAUUAAAAAAAAAAUGAAGAGUAGGAGAAAAAGUGACAAAAGCUUUUGCUUUCUUCCAAAAAAGUAAAAACAAAGGCUAAUGACAUCAUGUGAUCAAACUCUAUACAAGACCCUACUUGAAUAUUUCUAUGAUUUGUUUAUUAAACUAGUCUUAUACAAGGACAAAGUUAAAAAUAACUUUAAAAAAAAUAUUAUUUAAGAAAUUAUUUUCUAAUCUACAUAAUUGCUACAUCUUUUCGACUCGAUUUUAUUCAAUUUCAUUAAAAUGAAAUCAUUUAUUUGAGCCCAAAAAUCCAAAUCCAACUCAUUUAUCUAUAUACUUUAUUGGCAUGGAAUGAGAAAAGUUAUAAAGUGAAAGAAAAUUUGAUCAUAUGAGAGAUUUUCCAAAGUUGGAGCCAAUUCAAUGCUUAGUGGGUAUAACAAAAAAAAAAGUGGAAAUUAGAGUGAAACAACCAAAUUUUUAAGGUUUGAGGGGAUGUCACUGCACCUUCCAUAUAACUGUCUAAGAAUGUGAGAUGUCAUUGCAUUGAAAAUUGAUAUUAAAUCUCAUAAAGUAACUAUAAGAAUUGCUUUACUUAAGUAAUAAAUAUAUCUUGCUUUUUCAUAAAGUUUAUGACCCUAAGUGAAUAAAAUUUUUAGAGUGGGAUGAAUGCAUUUCACGUGAGUCAUGUCCUAGAUAUAUUUUUAGAAUUUUUUAGCAAGAUAUUAAGAGAAACUUUAUGGUGAGUGUUUUUUUUCUAGUUAAGGUGGGUACAGUUUGAUGUCAUUUGUAAACAUAAUUCAAACCCAAUAUAUUUUUUAGGUGUUUGAAUUGAAUAGAUUUGUAUUUAAUUUAAAUUCAUGUGAAUAUAUAUAAUUCAUUUAAUAAAUAAAUUAUUUUUAAAUUAACUCAGAUAACCUACAUUUGACUCGAAUUAACUUAUUUAAAAAUGGUAUUGAUUAACCUAAUAAUAACUUUAAUUUAUUGAACUCAUAUUUAACUCAUUUAAGAUUUGUUUUUCAAGUAGUAUGCCAUAAUUGGGUCAUUAUAUAAUAUUAGAACAUUAAGCAUAUUAUUUCAUUCAACAUUUAACUUGAUUUGAUUAUUAAACAUUAUCUUAUUAUUAAAUUGGUUAAACAGGUUAUGAUGUAUCACCUGGUUAAUAAUUAUAUAGUGUUUGAGUUUAUAUUUUUAAUUUUGAUUAUUAUUCAUGUCAUGUUUGGGUUGAGUUGUUUCGUGGAGUAUCUAACAUUUGAUACAAGACAAACACAAUCCACCAACAUAUUAAUAAAAAAUUACGAGAUAUUAGGAGAGUAAUUUUGGUAAAAGUUAAUAUUUAAUGAUUUAAGAUGAUUUUAAAUAAAAUUAUAUUUAAAUGGUCAAGUCAUAUCAAAUCAUUAACUUAAUUUAUCAAAAUCAUUUUUGAUUUUAUAUUAUAGUAUUAAGUUAUUUUAACGAUCAUACUUAAUAUACUUAAGAACUUAAAUUUAGUCUUAUCAACAUUCUCUAAGGUCUUCUCAAUUUUUAAUAUUUAUUUGAUACAUAUUUUAAAGUAAACAAGUCAAAAUAUAUUAUCUCAAAAUUUCUAAUUCAUACUCCUACAAGAUUUUAAAAUUCAUUAAUUAAUUUGAAAGAAAUUUGUUUUGGAACAUGCAAGUGAUGGACAUAUCACAUAUCUUAAAUUUUUAACUAAAAAACCUCAUAACAAAAUAAUUUGAUGAAUGUUUUUAAGUUUAAAAAACUUAGAACCAUUUCACAAUGAUUUUGGGAAGUUAGAAAUGUUUCCAAAUGCUUGAAAAUGUUUUAAUAACGAAAAUUAAACAUUUGAUAAAAAUUAAAGUUCACAUUCUAAGUAAUUGAUAGUGCUUCUUAUAAUUUUUUCUUUCUUUUCAUUAUAUAUAUAUAUAUAUUAGACAUUGAAAAGGUUUCACCAAUUAAAUGGUGUCACAUUUACAUUUUUUUUUAUAACAUGAAUUGAAAAAGUUUCAUCAAUUAGGUGGUGUCACACAUAUAUUUUUAAGUCUCAUAGUUAAUACCAUUGUACCUUGGCCACAUUUGUUUAUACCUUUGUUUAACGAUUUAGAUCUCACUACAUAUAUUUAAUAGUUUAGAUCUAGACUUCGUCAGGUACCACUACAAAACCUUAGUAUUAUAUAUAUAUAUAUAUAUAUAUAUAUAUACAUCAUACUAACUAGUUUUUUUUUUUUUUUUUAAUCAAAACACUUACAAUAGAAAUGCUACAAAUUAGAAGUGUUUUUAUCAAAAUAGUUUCCAAACCAACCAUAAUAUUUGCAUUAGCUUUAACAUAUAAUAUCUUUUACUUUAGUUGUUGAUAUAGCUACAUAUAAGACCAACCAUUCAUAUGAUAAUUAUUAUGGAUCUUAUUUUAAUUUGAUAAAAAUAUCUACCCAAGCAUUACGCAAAUAGGGAUGACAAUGGGGUGAAAUAUAGACAAGUCAUUCCUAUCCCAAUCUCACCCCAUUUAUUCAAAAUAAUUCUCAUUCUCGUCUCAUUGAAGAAAUUAAAUGGAAUGGGGUAGGUAUGAGAAUUUCCUGUACAUUAUUUUUAAAUUUGUUUAAAUACAUUAAAAUAAAUAUAUUUUAUAAAUAAUUUAAAAUUUAAAAUUUUUUUUAUAACUUAUUUAUUAUUAUUAUUAUUAUUAUUAUCAUUAUUAAAAAUAGGAAAAUAACAAUUUAUAUCUAAUUGAGGCAGGACAAGGUAAUAUCUAAACAUACCCCAAACUUGUCUCGAGUUUUAAAAAAAUUCUAAAAAAUGCUUUUAACUCGUUUAUUUAAAUUUCAAAUUCAUCCCAUUAGGAAUGGGGUGAAAACCCGUCUCAUUGUCAUCUCUAUAUGCAAGUCAUAAAUAUAUAAUAAGAAAAAUAAUAAUAAAAUUAGUAUCUAUUUAGAUGAACUUCUUGUUUUUUGUUUUUAAAAUCAGAAAAUAAUAAUAACUUUUAUAUAAGUGUAGACCCCCUUUGGUAGUGAGGACCCGGGAGGUUUUUUUUUUUUGGGGAUUUUCAUUAUAUUGUUAGAAGGGGUAGGGGACCCCCAGCUGGAGAGGAGCAGAGACGCCAUGCUGAUGAUGAAGGUAGCCACCAAAUGGGACGUGUAGCAGCGGGCAGAGUGGCUUGCGGUGGAAGAUAGAAACAUGAGAGAAAAAGGAUAUACGAGGGGGGAGUCUGACGGGAGAGAGGCAGCCAUUAGGGGAGUCACAGAGAAGGGAGCUUGCUGGUUCCAUUGAUCUUAGAGGAGAACUUACUAGAGAAAGAGAUAACAGAGAAAGAAGACAGCUGCAGGUGAGUUUGGGGUGAGUCUCUUGCUCCCUUUUGAUUCAUAUUCUCCUCAUCCCUUUCUCAUUUUGGUUUGCUUUGCAUUGCUCAUCAGUCCGGGUUGGAUUUCAUGUUGAAUUUCAUUGAUUUUUCUGGAUCACUUGUUUGUUGUCGUUGAUCUUGCCGUUAUCCUUAUGGUUUAGUUUGGAGUUGAUGAGAUCUGUUUCUCACGUAUUUUGUGGCUCUGGCUUGAGAUCUUCCCACCUGUAUCUGCCCAUGGAUACCACCCGACAUGAGGCUUGAUACACUCAUGUUUUUCUACUUUAUUCCUUGAUUAUCUUUCCCUCGUUUUUUGUUGUUUUGGCUCCUAUAUUUGUGAUCCUUUCUAUGAAUGAAGGCCUAUACACAAAGGUUGUUUCUUGUAUUUGAUAAAACCGAUUGAGCCACCCAUGGUUUCAGAUGAAGCAGAGACGUUAACGAGAUGUAUGCUCUGUUUUUAGGAUCUUUUUUCUUCUUUUAAUAUCUGUAAACAGAGAAGCUUGCAUGCAAAGAGUUCAUCAUCCAAAACUGGCAGCGUGUUGGGCCUGAGGUUAAACAAGAGUGACAAAUGUAAGAACAGUGAGGGAAGAGAGCCAUUUUUUUCAAUCACUGGGCUGCCAUAUUUUUAUCACCGGGCUGUUGAUUUCUUUUCAUCACCGGACUGCUAUUCUUUUUCAUCACCGGGCUACUGACUUUUCUUUAUCACCGGGCUGCUCAUCCACCAUAGCAUCAACUCCAUGUCACAGCUGGUUCUUUUCCAUUCGCCGCCGCACCAACUGCACACCCCAUUUUUUUGGUACCUUCACGGCCAUUAGGUAUGUCAGUUGUUUUUUUACAUAUAUAUGCAUAGAGUUUCAGCAACAGUGAAGGCUCGGAGCAUUUUUCCAAGUAGAAUUAUUAUUAUAAUAGGGUAAGUGGUUUGACUUUAUUUACUAGCUCCAACACUUUUUUGGUCUAUAUGGUCAUAUGGAUAUGGUUGCAAAGUAUGGGAUCACCUUAUUAUCCAAUGGGCAAAAUUAUAAGUGGACUUUCUAGGAAGAGACUUAAAAAAAUAGGUUUGUGGGGCCUUUUCUUUCCAUUUAUUGAUUCCUCAUGUUGUGUACACGUUUUGAUGGUAAGCCUCUUUUUAUUUUAUUUCAUUCUAUUAUUUUAUUAGUUUUCUUCAACUUUUGAUGCCCAAAAAUUUCAUUUUCAAAAUUUUAAUCUUAAAAUAAUAUACCAAAAAAAAAAAAAACUCUAGUUUUAAUUUAAUUUCUCAAAGCUCCAAUUCUAAUUUAAUUUUUCAAAAGCUCCGAUUUUUUAAAAUUUAGUUUUCAAUACUUUAACUUCCCAAACUUUAAUUAUUUUCAAAUUUUAAUUUUUAAAAUUCCAUCAUUAGACAAUUCCAAUUUUUCGACUCCCGAAUUUAAUUUUCAACCUCAAAAUUUUCACUAUUCACAUUCAGCUGUUUAAUGACGAUUUUCGUUACUAUUAUUAUCCCGUUCAUUUAUUUAUUCACUUAUUCAUAUAUUUAAAAUCCCAUCUCCAAAUAAUUUCUCAAAAUUUCAAUCUCUAAAUUCAAUCUUCAAUCUUUAAAAUUCUAUUUUUCGCAAUUAUUUACUUAAUAUUUAUUAUUUCAUCAUUAUUAUUAUUCCAUUCCUUUAUUUAUCCACUUAUUUGUUUAUUAAAAUUCCGUCUUUAAAUAAUUUUUUCAAAAUUCCGAUUCCCAAAUUUAGCUCUCUAAAAUUCCAAUUCCUUUCAAGUUUAAUUUCUAAAAUUCUCAUUUUUAUAUUUAAUUUCUAAAAAUCUAGUUUUUCAAGUAAUUUCUAAAACUCCAAUUUUCAAAUAAUCCCUAAGACUCCAAUUUUCAAAUAAAUUUCAAAAAUCCAAUUUUCUCUCAAAUAGUUUUGAUUCCACUCUGGUUUUCAAACAAUCUUAUGCUCCUCUUGAUUUUAAUAAGCGUGAAUGCAAUCUUCAUAAUUCCUAAAUAAUGGAAUUUGUGAUAUUAAUUCGUGCAAGAUUAAUCGGGCUUUGGUGGGGGCCCCACAUACAUGAUUUUAUGAUUGAUUGAUCGAUUGAUCGAUUGGUUGAUUUAUUUGCCAUGCGUGAUUGAUUUGCUAUGUUCCAUGAUAUGUACAUAAUCAACCUGCGUUUGUCCACUAACCCUAUUUUGUGAUAGCGUGUUGUCGUUUGCUGAAUAGGUACGUAUCCACUUCCACUUUGGUUAUUCUCUAUGCAUAUUCUGAUUCUCAUAUGUGCAUGAUAGUUCCGGGUAUCCAUUGAUUUCUUAAUUAAUUGCUAUGAUUGCUCCAUUUUAUUAGUAGAGACCCAUUUUAGGGACUUAGAGGGGUGCUACGGUCUUUCCCGUACCUUCCUGAUAAGUAACCUGACCCUCGUACCCGAUCCGGUUUUUCGCAGACCGUCUUUUUCAAAUUAAGGAGUCAUAUUUAGGGUUUUUCUUUCUUAUUUUGUUUACCCUUUUAAAAAUAAAACAAAAAUAAGUGGCGACUCCAAGUCAUUUCCUUAAUCAAUAAAAAAUCAAUUUUUCAAAUAAAAUCGAGCUCGCCAUCGAGUGGAAAACGCAUGAGCACGAAAUGCGGGGUCCACAAAAAGAUAUAAGGAUACUUAUAUUAAAAAAAUAAUAAUAGUUUUAAAAAUCAUUUAAAAAUUUAAGGUAUUAAAAGAAUUUUACUAAACCAAAUUUUAAAAAAUUUUAAUGUGAUUUUUAAACAUAUGACAUAAAUUUAUAUUUUUUUGUAUAACAUGUUCUACUUUCAUAUAGAAAUUCUAAUUUAAAAAAAAAAAAUAACAGAUGUAUUAAAUGGACACUUUAGCUUCUUAUUUUUUUAGUGGUUCACCUUGCCCCUUAGAUAAGAAGAUUAUGAAAAUUUUCAAUAAUUAUGAAAAAGAUAAAAGUGAAAGACUUUUGACAAAAUUAUGUGUGAGAUGGUGUGCAUCAACUUUAAUUUGGACAAUUAUGUUAAUGGGAAGAUGUUAUCCUCAUCACCUUUAAAUUGUAGUACUUAUUGUAUUUUGGAUAAUUAUGUUAACGGUCAUGUCAUCCUUGUCUCAACUCAUGUUGAUUAUUUAAGUUAUAAGUUAUAGUCACCAUGUCUUAUUUAAACUUUUAUACUAUUUUUUAUUAUUUUUAAAUAUAAAUCUUAUUAAAAUUAAUAUAAUUUAAGAGUUAAUAAAUUAAUUUUUAUGAAUUUUAUAUUAGCAUUGAUAAAAAUUAUAUUUUCAAUUUUAUUUUAAACAUGUUCAAAAGGGGGAAAACAAAAAAAGAAACUAAAUUAUUUUUAUUGAAUUUUAUAAAUAAAAAUGAUUUAAUUUUAAUUUUUAUUUAAUUUUAUAAAAAAAUUCUCAAAUAUAUCCCUAAUUUGUUUAAACUGGUCCUAAAUCCUUCUAUAGUUGUCAUCUCUAAUUUUGACCAUAUAAAAAUUAAACCAAAAUAUAAGAAGGUUGAGGAAUAUCAAAUAUAAAGAGAGGUUGAAAAAAUUUAUAAUGCUUAGAGGUUUUUUUCUUACAAAUAGAACUUGUUUGGUCAUGUGAUUUAAAAAUAGUGCAUUUUUUUUUUUUGUUUUUAAAAAUAAAAAACUGUUUUUAAAAUUUUCUAACAAUGUUUGACCAUUGUUAUCUGGAAGCAAUUUUUAAAAAUAAGGUGAAAUAAAGAACAAUUUUUAGAGAACAAAUAUAAAUUGUUUUCAUUGAUUUUUAAAAACAAAGGGAAAAUAUGAGCCCAUUUGACCAUAUUUUCUUAAACUUGUUUUUACACACUUUUUUUUUUUAAAAAAAAAAAAAGACUUUUUAGAUUAAAAACAUUUUUUAGAAUCACUACCAAAAUGAUUUUAAGUAUUAUCUCACUUCACCUCAUUUAUAUAUAAAAUUAAGUAAAAAUAAUUUAAUUUCCUUUUCCAUUUCCCCUUUUUAAUCAUAUUUAAAAUAAAGUUACAAAUUUACUUUUUAUUAAGAUAGAAUAUAAAAUUUAUGAAAAAUAAUUUAUUUACUCAUAAAUUACAUUUAUUUUAAUAAAAAUUAUUAUUAUUUUUUAAAAAAAAAGCAAAAACAAAAGGUGAAUUGAAGUAGUAAAGCUCGUUCGAAAAAGAAAAUAAAGAGGAAAAUUAGAAAAUAAUAAUAAUAAUAAUAUAAAAUAAAUUUAAAAUUCAUAAUUUAUUUUUAUAUUUUAUUUAAAUCUUAUUUUAUUUAUAAAGAUUAAAUGAAUCUAAAAAUACAUAAACUUUUAAUUAAUUUUAAUUAUAUAUAACUUAAAGUAAAACUAAAUAUUUCAUUAACAUUUUUUCGUAAUACUUGAACAAUCAAACAUAACUUAAAGCACUAAAAAAGUAUUUAUAAAAAAUUUCAGUUUGAUUGUGAUAAAUGUUAAAUUAUUAAUUUUCUUAAAAGUUUAAACUUAUAAGAUUUGAGUUAGCCCCCUCCCUAACAUACGAUCUCAUUUCAUAUAAUUGCAAAUGACAAGACGGGAGAUAUACCAAAGAAUUGUUAAAAAAGAGAAUAGAUAUCAGAUGAAGAAACAAAUAUGAAAAUUAUGGAGUAGUUCAAACUACAACUCCUCUCCAAACCAAACUAUAUUGAUAUAUCAAUUUUUCUAAAUAUUUAAACUUAUAGGAUUUGAGUUCAAUAUACAUAUCAUGUUUUACGAUGAUAUAAAUAAUAAAAAUAAAGUAUAAAAAAUAAAUUUAAAUAAUAAGAUUAAGAUAUAAAAGAAUAAAACUAAGCUCGAACCUAACAUAAAUUAAUGAAACCUUAAUAUAAAUGUGGUAGGAUUUGAUCCAUGGUGUUUGUCUUUUAGGUACUGACCCAUCAACACUAAAACCAGAUUUAUAUUAAUUUAAUGAGAUCGUGGAUUCAGGGUAGAAUGGGACAGGGAAAGAGUCAUGUGAAGAUGAACCUUCGGCAUAUAAUCUUUUAUUAAUUUAAUAGAAAGUUUUGAGUGUACAAGUCCGAACUACCAACUGUUGUUUGAAAAUGGUGUCUUUGGACACAGGUGGAUCCGAUCAAAUUGCGGGACGGAUGGAGCAUCCGGUGAGGGUUUUUAGAUAUGAAAGUCCCAUCAAAUGUCUCUGAUGCAGCCAGUAAAUUAACUUUGGAAGUAACUUCCCUCUUAAAGAAAAGAAUAUGAUAAUAUUAAUGGUUGAAAAGAUCUGGCCAAUGGGUGUCUUCCACGUUGCUGCAAUGAAUUUCACGUAAAUUGAUUGCCAUCUUUUCUAUUCGCGAAAGGUAAACAUGGACACGUGGUCACCGCCCUCUUGUUUUAUCUAGGAUUUGACAUUCAUACAAAUCAUGCGUACAAUCAUAAAAUUAUGCAAGUCAUGCAUAACUGUUUAAUUUAUUCAUUUUUAAAAUGAUUGUUGUUGUGCUGUCAAAACAUCUUCAUCCAUGGAUCACAGAUUGAUGCUUCUUCAUCAUAAUGUUAAAAGAUUACGAUUUUGAAUAUGUUUUUGAAGAUUUUCUGUAUUCAGAUUUAUAUAUAUAUAUUUAGAGUGUUAUUAGAAAGAUUAUUUAUCAAGUAUUUUUUUUAUAUUAUUAGUUAUUUUUUUCUUUUAAAAAAAAUAUUUUUUAUAUUAGAAAUAGUUUAUUAAAACAUUUCAUGGACUUUUAUUUUAACGUGGUUUUUCAUUUACGUGAUUGGUUUCUUGGACGUUUUUCUUUUAAAAGAUAAAUUUUAAGUUGUGUUCGUAAGUACGUCAAAAUUCCACUUGUUUUUCUUCUCUCGAAUGUUCAUAGAUAUUUAUAUUUUGUCAAGCCUUUAUAUGUCAUCCUCUAAUUGGCCUGAUUAAUAAUUAUUUAUAAUUGAAAAUAAGUGUUUGAACUUAGACGAUCGUACUAGUGUUAAUACGACAAUUAUAAGUGUUUGUUCAAAUGGGUGCUUUAAGAAAACGUUAGCUCGGUCAUCAUGAGUGUAGAUAUAUCUAGAUGAGUGGUUGUUAGAUUAGGGAGCAAGUGUGAAUUUGCUACCAUACUCUAUCUACAAGAAAUUGGGACUUGGUGAAUUGAAGCCAACAUCAAUCACUCUAUCUCUAGCAGAUAGAUCAGUGAAAAUUCCAAGGGGGAUAAUUGAAGAUGUCUUAGUUCAAGUUGAUAAUUCCUAUUAUCGAGUAGACUUUGUUGUUCUUGACACAUACCUAAUUGUCAAGGAAACGAAUUAUGUUCCUAUCAUCCUUGGAAGGCCAUUCCUUGCUACGUCAAAUGCAAUCAUAAAUUGUAGGAAUGGACUUAUGCAACUCACGUUUGGCAACAUGAAACUGGAGCUCAAUAUCUUCUAUAUGUCCAAAAAGCUAAUCACUCUGAAAGAAGAAGAAGGUCCAGAAGAAGUGUGCAUUAUUGACACUCUAGUGGAGGAGCAUUGUAAUAAGAAAAUGCAAGACAAGUUGAAUGAAAGUCUUGGGGAUCUUGAAGAAGGGUUGCCUGAACCCUUUGAUAUGCUUGCUACUUUACAAGGUUGGAGAAGGAUAAAAGAGAUUCUACCUUUGUUCAAUAAAGAGGAGGCACAAGAAGCUGCUAAAGAGGAGACCCCAAAGCUCAAUCUGAAACCUCUACCCACGGAGUUGAAAUAUACAUACCUGGAAGAAAAUUAAAAGUGCCCUGUUGUUAUGUCUUCAUCUCUUACUACUCCUCAGGAGAUGUCUCUACUUGAAGUUCUCAAGAGGUGUAAGAAAGCAAUAGGAUGACAAAUAUCUGACUUGAAAGGCAUCAGUCCUUUGGUCUGUACACAUCAUUUAUACAUGGAAGAAGAAGCUAAACUAAUUCGUCAACCUCAAAGAAGAUUGAAUCCUCAUUUGCAAGAGGUGGUGCGAGCUGAGGUUCUGAAGCUAUUUCAAGCAAGUAUUAUUUACCCCAUAUUUGAUAGCCCUUGGGUAAGUCCUACUCAAGUAGUCCCAAAGAAGUCAGGGAUCACGGUGGUUCAAAAUGAAAAGGGAGAAGAAGUUGCUACACGCCUCACUUCAGGUUGGAGGGUGUGUAUUGAUUAUAGAAAAUUGAAUGCUGUGACAAGGAAUGAUCAUUUUCCGUUGCCAUUUAUUGAUCAAGUGUUGGAGAGAGUCUCUGGCCACCCUUUCUAUUGUUUCUUGGACGGCUACUCCGGGUAUUUUCAAAUUGAAAUUGAUGUUGAAGAUCAGGAGAAUACCACUUUCACAUGUCCAUUUGGAACAUAUGCCUACAGAAGAAUGCCUUUUAGUUUAUGUAAUGCACCUGCAACAUUCCAACGAUGUAUGCUAAGUAUCUUCAGUGAUAUGGUGGAGCGAAUUAUGGAGUUUUUCAUGGAUGACAUCACCAUAUAUGGAGGUACAUUUGAAGAAUGCUUAGUCAACUUGGAAGCGGUUAUGAACAGAUGCAUUGAAAAGGACUUGGUGCUCAAUUGGGAGAAAUGUCAUUUUAUGGUACAACAAGAAAUUGUCUUUGACCAUAUCAUCUCCGAGAAAGGCAUUGAAGUUGAUAAAGCAAAGGUGGAACUUAUUGUCAAAUUGCCAUCCCCAACAACUGUAAAAGGAGUAAGGCAAUUCCUUGGCCAUGCAGGGUUCUAUAGGAGGUUUGUAAAAUAUUUCUCUAAGUUUUCAAAGCCUCUUUGUGAACUUUUGGCUAAGGAUGCUAAGUUUGUAUGGGAUGAGAGAUGUCAAAAGAGUUUUGAUCAACUGAAGUAAUUCUUGACAACGGAUCCAAUAGUGAGGGCUCCCAACUGGCAACUACCCUUUAAAGUGAUGUGUGAUGCUAGUGACUUUGCUAUAGGAGCUGUGCUUGGCCAAAGAGAAGAUGGAAAGCCCUAUGUGAUCUACUAUGCAAGCAAGACAUUAAACGAAGCAAAAAGGAACUACACAACCACAAAGAAAGAAUUGUUAGCUGUAGUGUUUGCCUUAGACAAGUUUCGUGCUUAUCUAGUAGGGUCUUUCAUCAUUGUUUUCACUGACCAUUCAGCCUUGAAGUAUUUAUUGACAAAGCAAGAUGCAAAAGCAAGGUUGGUUAGAUGGAUUCUCUUACUACAAGAGUUCAAUCUCCAAAUCAGAGAUAAGAAAGGAGUGGAGAAUGUGGUAGCUGACCACCUUUCAAGGUUGGCUAUAGCACACAAUUCCCAUGUCUUACCUAUUAAUGAUGACUUUCCAGAGGAAUCACUUAUGUUGCUAGAAAAAACUCCUUGGUAUGCUCAUAUUGCUAACUAUAUAGUUACUGGUGAAGUUCCAAGAGAGUGGAAAGCACAAGACAGGAAGCAUUUUUUUGCAAAGAUUCAUGCCUAUUAUUGGGAAGAGCCUUUUCUUUUCAAGUAUUGUGCAGAUCAAAUAAUAAGAAAGUGUGUCCCUGAAGAAGAGCAAUAAGGAAUCCUCAGCCAUUGCCAUGAGAGUGCAUGUAGAGGCCACUUUUCCUCCUAGAAAACAACCAUGAAGGUGUUGUAAUCAGAGUUUAGUUGGACAUCACUCUUCAAAGAUGCCCACACCAUGUGUAGGAGCUGUGAUAGAUGCCAAAGGCUUAGGAAGCUAACAAGAAGAAAUCAAAUGCCUAUGAACCCCAUUCUAAUAGUUGAUCUCUUUGAUGUUUGGGGCAUAGACUUCAUGAGACCUUUCCCAAUGUCUUUUAGUAACUCUUAUAUCUUGGUGAGGGUGGACUAUGUUUCUAAAUGGGUUGAGACAAUCCCUUGUAAACACAAUGAUCACAGGGUGGUUCUCAAGUUUCUUAAAGAGAACAUUUUCUCAAGAUUUGGGGUGCCCAAGGCUAUAACCAGUGAUGGAGGUACUCAUUUUUGCAACAAACCUUUUGAAACCCUAUUAGCCAAGUAUGGGGUGAAGCAUAAGGUAGCUACACCUUAUCACCCUCAGACUUCCGGGCAAAUUGAGCUAGCAAACAGGGAAAUCAAGAACAUAUUGAUGAAGGUGAUGAACAUGAGCAGAAGAGAUUGAUCUAUUAAGCUCCAUGAUUCACUAUGGGCAUAUAGAACAACUUACAAGACUAUUCUUGACAUGUCUCCUUAUCGCCUAGUUUAUGGCAAAGCAUGCCAUCUUCCUGUGGAAGUUGAAUAUAAGGCUUGAUGGGCAAUCAAGAAGGUAAACAUGGACUUGAUCAAAACUGGGGCAAAGAGGUGUUUAGACCUUAAUGAGAUGGAGGAAUUAAGAAAUGAUGCCUACAUCAAUUCCAAAGUUUCAAAAUAGAGGAUGAAGAGGUGGCAUGAUCAGUUAAUCUCCAACAAGGAAUUCCAGGAAGGACAAAGAGUCUUACUCUAUGACUCAAGGCUCCAUAUCUUUCCUGGGAAGUUGAAGUCAAGGUGGAUAGGCCCUUUCAUUAUUCACCAAGUGCAUCUCAAUGGAGUGGUGGAAUUACUGAAUUCCAACAGCACUGACACCUUUAAAGUCAAUGGCCAUCGUCUCAAACCAUUCAUCGAGCCAUUCAAGAGAGAUAAGGAGGAAAUCAACCUCCUUGAGCCACAGAAAUCCUAAUCAAAUAGGGGUUAGAUGGACUUGGUCUCACCAAAGUCCAUAUUUUUUGUUUAAUUUUGUUAAUUUAAUAGCUUUAUUAAUUGUUUUGAUUUUGAUCUUAGUCUUAAUUUAUGUUAUUUGUAUAUAACUUAGACUUUUUGAAUGAUCUAAUUGAGGAGGACUUGCAAAAGAGGUGAAGGAAGGUCUCAAAGAGCUAAAAGGAGCUUAGAAGUAAGAAAUUUCAGUUGUUUGCGAAAUUUCGCAGCCCAAAAUAGAUUCCUGCGAAAACGGCCAUCCUUUGCAAAAUAAUUUCGCAGCCACAAGGUGCCCGCUUCGAAAUUAAGGGUUUGCUGCGAAAUAGGCCCUCCUCUGUGAAACCAUUUCGCAGCCCCAUAGCCACACCUUGCGAAAAUUUUCGCAACUGCGAAACCCACCUUUGGCACACAAGUUCCAUUUCGCAGCUACGAAAACCUCUUCGAAACCACCAAGGCCCUCAAAAGCUCAUUUUCGCAGCCCAAGCCUCAUUUCGCAGUUGCGAAAACCCCUGCGAAACCCCUUUGGCACAUGAGUGCCAUUUCGCAGCCCCUCUCUUUUCGCAGCUACGAAAUGGGCUGCGAAAAUGGCCAUUGGCUGCGAAAAGGGGACUUCGCUGCGAAAUAACCCCUCAUCUGCGAAAAAUUCCAACCAUCACUUGGCUUCUAAUUUAACUUUUUAAAUUCCAAAUUUUCACUUUACACCGGUCAUUUGCCUUGUGAAAACCUCCAUUUGGUGCAAAAUAGAGGCCAAGCCAGAGUACCAUUUCUAGAGGACCUCCGUCUGAGCCCAAGCCGCGCGCAUCUCUGGCCACCCUCUCUCAAACCUCUCUAAAUCAGCCAUGGAAAAAACCCGAUGAGCCAAGACCUCAUCUCCUUCAGGCCGCCCCAGAGCACUGAGAGUGGCCCCUGUGUAAGGCUCCAUGACUAAGCCUUCACAGCCACUUGUCGUCCCACCUUCAGUAGAGGACGCACCAUUGAGUUCUCCUUCGAGGCGAUAUGAGACGAGAAAACCACCCACCACACCAGGGGCAAGCUCCUCUCUUGCCAAAAAGUCAAGUAGCCGUCCUCCUAAGAAGAAAGCAAGGAUAUCAGCUCUACUUGAGCCAUCAGAGCCUUCAUCCGAGCCUCAGCCACCUUAGCCACCUGCCAUAAAGUCUCAGAUUCCCUCUAGGAUGACUCCUGAGGUGGUUAUCAGGUGGCCCAUGGUCACUCAGUCACCCAUUGAGGGUAAUUUGGAUUGUCGGGCUAGGCCAUUCCACUCCGAGCUUUGCUUUGACAAAACUACCUUCAGGCUUCAGCCAGAGCUCAGAGAUUCCUUCCAUCUACUACAGAGAUACCAUAUGGAGUACCUGAUGACUCCUAGGGAUUUCUUCUAUCCCCGUGUAGCAUUAGACUUUUAUCAGUCUAUGACUACAUAUCGCGUUCGGGAUCCUACUGUCAUCCACUUCACCAUUUACGGACGCCAUGGUAUCCUGGGAACCAGACAUAUAGCAGAGGCCCUACGCAUUCCCUACGAGCCAGCACGUCCAGAGUGACAUGGUCCAUAUACUGUCCAGAGGAGCAUCCACACGUCCAUAUCUGUUGAGAAAGGAGCUCCCUCCCAGCAUGUUCUUUAUAGAUGCACUUCUGCGCUAUAACAUCUAUCCACUUCAGCAUAUGGUGCAGAGGAGAGGAACUUUGCUAAAGGUCUUAUUCAGGAUAUCAAAGGGAUUUUUCUUUGGCCCUCAUCAUCUCAUUAUGACCGCUUUUAUGUACUUUGAAAAGAAGGUCCAUAGGAAGAAGCUACUGAGAGAGGAUGUCAUUCCACUUCUAUUCCUGAGAUUGCUCUAUCAGAUUUUGGAGCACUUGGGAUAUCCAUCUGAGCCUCAGCUUGAGCGCAGACACAUUUGUUGAGAGAUAUUCACUCUCGACAAAUGGACUAGUAUGACAACUUAUGAUGUAGAGCCAGGAGCCCCAGCUGGACCAGAGCAUCCAGAGAUUCCACAUCCAUAGCAUUUAGAGGAGCCACAACUAGUUGAAAUACUUGCUGACAUGAGAGCACCUGCCUUUGAAGUGCCCUCUACAAGACUUAUGCUUGAGGUUGCACCCUCUGCUCCUCCUGCCACACCAGGGACUCUACCAGUUGUACCAACUACAUCAGAGCCUCCUUCUCCAUCUGAGUCUAGGAUAGCCAUAUCCAUUUCCGAGUUCAGAGGCCUAUGUCACACUUUGCAGACAUUGAUCACUUCUCAAAGCAUCCUGACUCAACAAAUGACAGCCAUACGUGCCCAUCAGGAUCAGCUUAUCGCCACCUAUACCCAGCAUACUGCCAUCCUUAGGCAGAUACAGCAGCAUCUGGGAGGUACCACUUUCUCUCUGUAAUUUCAAUCGCUCUUGCCACAUUGAGGACAAUGUUUAGCUUGGUUGGGGGGAAGAGAGUUGAGGAAGGAAGUUUUUAUUUUAAAUGCUAAGUUAUUUUGGUAAUUUAGUUGUUAAUGCUUAAUUUAAAAAAAAAAAUUAUAGUUUUUAUUCUACUCUCCAUGGUUAUUAAGGAAAAAUUCUCAAAAUAAAAUGAGAGAAAUUGAAUUUUUGUUUUUCACUUGACUUAGAGUUUGUAUUAUGCUUACUAAAGUUGAUAAAUUGUUGAAACUUCUAUUGAAUUCAACCUUAGUUCUUCCACUUUAAGCUAUUCACACAUUGUGCACAAUAGGUUCCGAGUAUAAGAUGAAAAACUAUUUCCCUCUUGACUUAGGAAAAUUUUAGACUUGGUACCUUUGACCUCAAUUAAUAGUGUUGGGACACCUUAUAAAAGGCCAAUGAGCCUUUGGAAAAAAAAGAAAAAAGAAAAAUGUUUGCUUACCUUGAAACUUGAGCAAGGUCUGAAGGAUAUAUGGUGAAAAUCUUUAAAACCUGGUGCCCUAAGCCUUAAUUGGUUGGAAGUCACCGACCUCAAUGCUCGUUACAAGGGUGAAUAGGUGGAGUUUAACAUACUGUAGGUGCUUGGGUAUUAAAAAUUCAUUCUCAAAAGUCUGGGAUAAAAUCCGAGGAGUUAGUGGUUGAAAGAUCCUUAAAGCUUGAUGCCCUAAGCCUUAAUUGGUUGGGAGUCAUCGAUGGACCCCCAUUACAUGGAAAAUUUAGAAAAGGAUACCUUUAAGCCUUGUACUCCUACAAUGAAAAAAAUUGUGAAACAAAAGGGUGCGUUCUUAGCCUAUUGAAUUUUGUCAGUUUGCUAAGUGUUGAAAAAAAACUAGGUUGGGGGGAGAGAUUAGUUUAGCAUACUAUAUUCAGAAACUAUCAAGUAACACUUAGAUUUUUGUGGAAGAGUAAGGAUUGGACCUUUGAAAGUGGAAACAAUUUUAAAGCUUCAAUUUGCAUAAUGUCUUCUCUUUAUGAAUUGUGAUUAGGCAAGGUAUUUGAUAACUCUUGUUGAAAUUUGAGUUUUAUAUCUUUAAUGUUCCAUGUGAGAGUUAGAUCAUCAUGCCACUUAAAAUUUUUUUGAAGUGAUCAGUAUGAUUUUGUAAAUUAUAUUACUGUUUAUUUUACUUUUUCUCCCCUUCAUUGCUAAGGGACUAGCAAUAUGUCGGUUGUGGGGAGUGAUUACUACUCAAAAAGUGUUAUUUUGUAGCUUGUAAUUAACUCUUUUAAACAUUUUUGAGUAGUAGUUAUUACCUUUUAACUCAAUUGGCAUGUUAAGGACCCUUGUAAUCGUUUUUAAUCAAAUUGUGUUAAGUUUUGGUGUUUUUGAUAGUAUUUUGAUCACCAAAGCAAUCCAAGAUUGAGGAGAUUUAUAUAGAAUCCAUGUCAAAUCAAUUGGAAGCUCAUUUACAUGAAGAAUCCAAGCUUUGAAGCUUCAUAGUCAUUUGCCAAAAGCAAAUCAUGAAUACAAGGAGGGAAAGAAAAGAGAAAAAUCUAACAUGAAGAAUUCAAGAGGAUAGCAAUUGUUGGACAUAUUUAGAGCACUUUCUGGAGUCCAUUUCAUGCAUACUAUAUGUCGUUUGGAAGCUCAGGAAGUCAGGAAUCCAGGCUUUAAACAAUACACAAAUCGGAGUUGAAAUGAAAAAGUUAUAGCCAUUGGAAGCCAAUCAUACCAAGUUGAAGGCCAAUUUCGCAGCUGCGAAAUCACAAGGUGCUCGCUGCGAAAUCAACAUUUGGCUGCAAAAUGAAGACCUUCAGCUUGCGAAAUUUCACAGCCCAUCUUGCAUGCCUACGAAAUCCACCUGAGUGCUUCCAGAUAUUUGCGACCGACUCUUUUAGAUUUUUUCUUCAGAUAUUUGUUGUUUAAAUCCCCAUUUUCUCCUUGUAAUCUACCAAUCAUAGGAUUCCUUAGUUAAUAAGUAAGAACAAAGGGUGAAUAACCUCAUAUAUAUAGUUUGUAAUUUUCUUUACAAAAUCAUCUUGGGAGCUUGUUCUCAGAGACAACCGUUUGUAUAGUUUUGAAGGAAGUAAUAAACAGAGCUUUGCUCUGCCUUACAUACUCACUUUGAUUGUAUUUUUCUUAUUAGUCAAACAAGCUAUAAGGAUGUUUUCUCAGAGAAUGAGUGGCUAGACUUUUUGUCUCUUGGAGUUAAGGGAGCUGGGUAAGGUGCCGAAUGCAAGAAUUGGAAGUUUUGUUGUUUCAGCUUUUAAUGAAGAGAAAGUGUGACCCGUUAAUGGUUUUUAUCUUUUUAGUUAACUUAAAACGCCGUUAAAUCACCUGGGCCAACACUUGGUAAGGCAAGUGAUCUCCGUCCAUUGAGAUGCACUAGUUUAUCUCUUGCGAGCCUUUGAGAGGUGGUUUAAAGGUAGGAUUUUCUAGAAUAGCCAACACUUGGUAAACUUUUGGACUCUAAGGAGACAUUCAUUAGUUAUUUCUUGCGAGCUUAAGAAGGGAAAUCCAAGGUUAAGGAUCACCUUGAAUGGCUAAUACUAGGUGAGAGGUAUGAACCAUUGCAAGAUGAAUCAGUGAGAGGGAUUUAGUGUUGGAAUCCAUAAAAGGAAAGCAUCUGUACCACACCGGUUAGAGAAAUAACUAUAUGUUAAUUCUCCAAUGCGAGAAAAAGAUUCAAGUGACCGAAACUCUGUUUUUGUAUUAGGAACCUGACCCUAGUGAUCCUAAAACUCCAAGAAACGCUUUUCUUUAUUAGUAAUUUCAGUUACUAUUAUUUUUGGUUAGCUUAAAACCAAUCCUUUUUCAACCAAAGAUUAUGUUUUCUUUUAAAGCUAACCUUGAAAUGAAAAAACAUCAAUUCAACUUUGAAUUUAUGUCAAUAGUAAGUUGAAAACCCUUCCCAGUGAACGAUCUUAGAGCCACUAUGCUAUACUAGCUGAGGCUAUCCUAGUACAUGGUGAUAUAGGUUAUAAAUUUUGUUGAUUACUCCUGUCUGAGGACCAAAAUCAAGGUACACCAGCUAGGCACGAAAAUCAUAUGGUAUAUUGAUGCACACAGUUUGUGGCACGACAGUUUGAUGAAAUUAUAGAAGUGUAGCACUCAUGGGCAUAUCAUGUGAACCUUAUUCAAUGUGGCAUUGACAGUUGGUUUAUAUUUACAUGGGUGUAAUGUCGCACCAGUAUCCUCUAAUGAACCUUGGAUUCUUUUUUCUUUGUUUCUUCCUCUCUUGGUCAAGCCAAACAAUUUAUCUUCAUGACUUUCUCCUAUUACCAAAAAGCAGCAUCUUGUGUUCUCCAUCUCUUCAUCCCUUUGUCAAGACACAACAAUUUGAUGCAUCUUUGCAUUAGGUUGCUUUCUCUCCUUCCCCUCUUCUUUCUCCUCGUCUCAUUGCUUAGUUUUGGCUACUUUGUUUCUUUUGAUCAUUAUGGUAGAGCAUCCUUGCAAGAUGUACAAGAAAUAUGUUGUGGUGCAUUAUCCCCUUCUCUACCACUUGAAAUCUGUUUUCCAUGAUCAUUAAUACCAAGAUGUUUAAGCAUCAAGUAAGGCAUCUCUUGACAAUUAUGCGAGAAAUAAGAGACAAGCAACAUACCGGUAUUCAAGAGAAGUGAUGUUCUACAUUUGCAUUUGACAACAUGCAUUUAGUUUGAACUCCAAAUUUGGGCAACUCAGAAUCUCCACCUUCAUUAGGAUUGUAGAAAGUUAGCUUCUUGGAAAAAUGUGGAAAUGAGGCAUUUAGAAAUCUGAAAGAAUCACAAUGGCUUGUUGCUACUUUUGAAUAAUUCCAAUCAGUAACAACUCCAAAGAUAUAUAUAUAUAAAUCUGUCCCUGGGAAAGAGAUCGAUGUUUCUUAGGCAUGCAACCAUCUCUCUUAACAAACUCAGGGUUCUACUAUUGUGUCACGUUUGAAAGCAAUUUAAUCUAUGUUAGAAGUUUUUUUUUAAUUUAUUCCAUUUUUCUUUUAGUUUUGAAACUUACAAUUAUACAUUGUAAGGUUUCAAGUUUAUCUAGAGAUAUAAAAAGUUGGAGUCGAUGUCUUAGUGGUAGGUUUCAUAAGAAAUGUAGUUAUUCUAUGAAUAUAACUUUGGAUUCUAAUUUUUUAACUUUCUAAUAUUGUAGCUCUUUAGUAGGUCUCAUAGAAAAUGAAAGUUGUGGAAAAGUAUAAUAUGGACUCAAUUUUUUAUUUAUGAGGUGUUGUUACAACACCAUUAAGUAAUUACCUUGAAAAUGAUAUGUUGUUGCAUUGAAAGUAAUAUUAAAUUUAAUGGAGAGAUAUCUAAAUAAAAAUAUCACCUAAUUUUUAAAACAAUAUUAUGAUCUUACUAUUAUGUCAUGCUAGAAAACAAUUUAGUUAUUUUGUGUUAGCAUUUUUUUUAUACAUUAUAUUUUUCUUUUUGUUUUGAAGCUUGCAAUUGCAAAUUGUAAGGUUUCAAGUUCAUUCGAAAAUAUGAAUAGUCGAAGUCAAUGUCUCAGUGAUAGCCAGUAGGUUUCAUAAGAAAAGGAAUUAUUCUAUGAAUAUACCUUUGUGUGGACCCCGCAUUUCGGCUCAAUGCGUUUCCCACUUGAAUGACGAACUCGAUUUUUAUUUGAAAAAUGAUUUUUAUUGAUUAUUUAAAAAUGACUUGGAGUCACCACUUAUUUUUGUUUUAUUUUUAACAGGGUAAACAAAAUAAGAAAGAAAACCCUAAGUGCGACUCCUUAUUUUGGAAAAGGUGAUCUACGAAAAACUGGAUCAGGUUCGGGGGUCAGGUUACUUAUCGGGAAGGUACGGUAAAGACCGUAGUACCCCUCUAAGUCCCUAAGUCAGGUCUCUACUAAUGAGAUGAAGUUGACAUGACAAUCAAUGGGAAAAUCAAUAAAUACUCGAAUCAAUCAGGCACAUAUGAGAGUCAGAGAAUGCAUAUAAACUAACCAGAGUGGGAAUGAGUGUGUACCUGAGCAGCGAGCCACUAUGCGCUAUCAAGAGAGAGGGUUAGUGCAAAACAAAGAGCAUAAACAUAGCUCACAUGUCACUAAAUCGAGUACAAAAUCAUCAAAGGCAUGCAUGGCACUUCACUCAAAAUUCAUUUUUAUUUUAAAGAAAAUUUAUUUGAUGUUGGGCCCCCACCAAAGCCCAUUUAUUUUGCAUGAACCAAAUAUGUAAAUUCCAUAACUAGGAAUUACAAAAUUUGAUUUUUGCGUAUUUUAAAAUAUUUUUAAAAACAAAGAAAAUUCAAAAGUGGCUUGCAGGAAAGAAAAUGACAACCAAUUUUAUAUAAAUAAAAAAAAACGGAAUUUUUCGGAACCUAAAAAAAAUGCUAAGGGUAAAAAUGAGAGAAUUGAAAUCCGGAAAUUUAUUUGAAGAAUAUUAUUUGGGAAGAGAAACACUUUAAAAAUUAAAGAUGGUGAACCUGAGGGUGACACACGGCCUAGAGUGACCAUUCAGACCAUGCAAGGGUGGAUAUAGGCUGUCAUUAAGGAGAAAGAUCCUCAGCUGGGUGCAAUUGUGUUGAGAUUCCUCUAUUGACGCUGGGAAUGCCCUCAUUUAAUGAGGAGAAAUCUCAAUGUGAAGUCAGCUCAUCUUCAGUGGAAACACAUCAUGAAGACCUCUGGUAGCUUAGGGUCCUUUUAACUGUGCGCUUUCUGAAGUUCCAAUCAUCAUCGAAUGACCAAUAAAGCUCUCCUCCAUGGAUGCAUAAAGUGGUCAUUCAACAUCCACCUUCACCUUAGCCCCACAGCAACCCUUCAUCUCCUAUGCCUCCAUCUUUACUUUUCUUGAACAGCAUGUACCUCCCUACUGCAACCCAGCACUACCAAGCUUUGAUCCUCUCUCCAAAAACUCAGAGUUCUCCUUCCAAACCUCUCCAUUUGCAUACACCUCCUUCUCCCAUAUCGGAACUGGUGCCUUAAUUUCAUCAAUCACAAACUUACAAGCGUCCAAUGCAUCUGCGCGGUGGACAGAAGAGAUUGCAAUGAAGACGCUGGUUUCCCCCACUGGAACUGGGCCCAAGCGGUGCGCAACUGCAAUGGAGAGGAGGCUCCAGGAUGCGCGGGCGGAUGAACAAAUGUCGUUGAUGCAGAGGAUGGCCAUCGGAACAUAAGCUUCACAUCUCAACUCCAGAACUGUUUUACCAUCAAACGUGUCCCGAGUCGUGCCUGGAAAGUUGCUACAGCGCCUGCCUUGCUCCUCAAAGAAGCAGAUCCAGCAAGUAUUGCUCCUUUCCUUGGAUACAUGUUGAAGACUCUAGCACAUUCAGUGCUUGUUAUCCGGACAUAAUCAAUGACUGAGACUUGGCCAAACCCCACCAUUGUGUCUCAAACUAGAUGCAUCCUCUCCUCAAUACCAUUAACACCAUUAGGAAUUGUUCGGAAAUCAUUAAUUCCAAAAGCUUUCUGUGUGGAAUUGAAGGCACAAUGAUCAGUCCCUACAAGCUGUAGAUUUCCAGUUGAAAGAGCAGCUUGAAGGGCCUUGUCAUGUCCCGAUGCUCUAAUAGGGGGACUCAUUACAUACUUUGCUGCGUUGAUGAAGUCAAGAUCCUAGAGCCCAGAAUCAUCAGGGACUAACCCAGGAACUACUGGCUCUCCCAUAACCCUCUGUCCUGAUUUUCGAGCUUCAGCUAUUUCUUUCAUCGCAUCAAUGCCCAUCACAUGAACUACAUAGAGAGGCGUGUUAGCAAAACUGGCCCACCGAAUAGCUCUAGCAGUUGCCUAGCAGUGGUUGCUUUGGAUGCAUCCCGGAGGGAUUAUCACGACAAAAAAGAGAACACGUGGCAGUUAUAUUGGGUGAGUCAGAAGUUCCAUGGCUUGAAGCUGCAACUGGGUGGAAGAUUUGAUCUGACACAAGUGCAUUUCAUACAGAAGCAGGAGGUGGCGUGGCUUGUAUGCUAGAAGACACCAUGUGCCCCUACAUAUUCUGACGCAACCUGGAGAUCCUCACUGGACAAAACUGCUUCAAUCCCAGUGAGAGGCAAGUCCGUCGCCCCUUCUUGAAAUUUAGUCAUGUCCUUGUAUCGACUAGCAAGGUGCUGCCUAACUGUAUCUGUUGAAAGCUAAACUGCCUCAGCCAUCAAAUAACUAGAAGGAAGCUCUAGAUAUAGAGCAAUGCAGAUUCAAGUGCUGUGGAUGAGUUCCUCGAGAGUCUACCACAACGCCACAUACAUGAAGCAACCUCAAGUUUAUCAACAGUCAUCAGCAUAUUUCAGCAAACCAAGAGCUGUACUUGUAGAUAGGGUAUUGACACACACGAAAUUCAAGAAUUCCACGAGAGCAGCUUCCUUAGAGGCGUCAAUUCAUAAAGUCACAUGCUUCUGCUCUGACUCCCAUAAAUUCUCGCUUUUUUUAUUCAUCAGAUAUAUGUGAAUAACGUACCUAGGGCCACCCGAUGAGCUGCUAUAGUUGCUGUUAUAGAUGAUAUGACAUUUGACGUUUAUGGGCCUCGGAGACUUGAGUACUUAGCUUUCACCAUACUUCGCGAAUCCUCAUCACUUGAGAACCUCUCAUCAUCAACCUUGCCUUUGGGAAGAUGACCUCCAGUGCAUGCAAGGCGGGGGGAUAAAUAAGAGAGGUGGUACGAUAGGAUGAGUUUAGUGGGAUGAAGAGAGAGAGAAGGUGGCGGGAUGAAAUGGGCAGUGAGUAUGGAUGUCGCAGCUGAGUUUGGUACCCAGAUGGACUAAGUUGGCAGUGAGGUGGUGACGGCGGAGGCGUUUCGCCGCCGGCGGCUUCGUUCGAGGACAACUUCUCAAUUCCUCAAUCAACCCACUUUAAAGCAUCAAGAGUAAUGGAGCACUUGUCUUCUUGAUCCCAACACACAAUAUCCCAGUGACAAUGAAAACCAGAAUUGUUGUGCAUGGAUUAACCACAAUACCAAGCCAAGAACAGGUAGCUUAUCCUCGCCUCCAAAAAUAAAGCCAGAUUCAGAAAUAUGUCACGAGCAACAACUGAGCUAUCAAUUAUGUAUUCCAAUAUUAAUGCCCAACCAAUCAACCAAGCGAUGCCUUCUCCCACACCUAUGUACAAAUAAUGAUAGGCUCUACCAACAGAUGAACAAUGUCAUGCAAGCCCUGCACAACAAAAAUGUGGAGAGCACAGCAGCCGAGAAUACUUCCUUUGUACCCUUCAGCUCAUUUUCUGCUUGAACAAUUCCUCCUCCUCUCAUCCUCAGAUGAUCUCUCUUCUUUCAAAGGUAUCUCUUCUCUCAAAAUCCAUAUAAUUAACAAGAUCCAGGAACAGGGGUGGCCUCAACCAUUAAAAAAAUGCAUGAAAACAGGGCACAAAGGGAAACAAAUAAAAAGGUCCUCAAAGAAGGCUUCACAUCAUGAGUUUUCCGGGAACCUUCUCGGGUUAGGGUGAGGAAUACAGUAUCGAAUGCAAAUAAAUGACAGGACUCUUGGAUAUUUCACAAUCAGAGACAAAGCAUACCAAGGCUAACAAUAUGAAUCCAAGACUAUAUCUCAACAAGGAAUAGGUGGCCUUCAUUAUCCACCUCAAGCAAGACAACUAACACUCAAAUAUCAAUAAAAAAACGGGUAGGAAUAAUAAGAAUGUGAAUCAAACCAUAUAUCAGUUGCAUCCAUACCUGAAAAUGCCCUUCUGCAGUAGGGUCUUGUUAGCCUCCCCAGCUCCAGGAAAGGCUCCUCCUCCCUCCCAAGCUCUCUGUUCUCUCUGGAAAACUCUCACUCUCUGGUUCUUUCUCUCUCAAGUUCCCCUUUUCUCAAGUUCACCGUCCCCCCAGAAACUCUCCUCUCUCUAAAAAAAAAACUCCCUCUCUCAUAAUCUCCUCCUGCUGAAAAGGCACCCCCCCUGUUCCUCUAGCUGGCCUGCUGCUCCUCAACAGAAACGUACCUCCUCUCUAACGGCCAGAAUAUCUCCAUGCCACGUGUCAAACUCUCACUCGCUCCUCAAUUCCACCAUCUGUUUCUAUGACCACCAACCACGAGGCGACACGUGGCUCCUUGAGAGCCCUCCACCUGCAAAGAAUUAUAACCUGUAGAGAUGCAAAGGAAUGAGCCCCAAAUGGGGUCUACACUUUGAAUUCCAAUUUUUGAACUUUCUAAUAUCUUAGUUCAUUAGUGGGUCCCAUAGAAAAUAAAAGUUGUGGAAAAGUAUAAUGUGGACUCAAUUUUGACUUAUGAAGUGAUGCUACAACACCUUCAAGUAAUUACAUUGAAAAUAAUAUUAAAUUUAAUGGAGAUAUAUCAAACAAAAUUAUCACCCAUUUUUAAAACAAUAUUAUGAUCUUGCUAUUGUUUUACGUUCAAAAGCAAUUUAAUUAUGUUGUGUCAGAAUUUUUUUUAUUUAUUAUUUUUUAUUCCAUUUUUCUUUUAGUUUUGAAGCCUGCAAUUGUAUAAUUUUUUAACUUUCUAAUACUAUAGCUCAUUGGUAGGUCUCAUAGAAAAUGAAAGUUAUGAAUAAGUAUAAUGUUGACUCAAGUUUUGAUUUAUGAGGUGAUGUUACAACAUUGUCAAGUAAUUACCUUGAAAAUAAUAGGUCAUUGCAUUGAAAGUAAUAUUAAAUUUAAUGGAGAGAUAUCUAAUAAAAAUAUCACCUAAUUUUUAAAAUAAUGUUAUGAUCUUAUUAUUGUGUCACGUCGGAAAGCAAUUUAAUUUAGCAUUUUUUAAUAUAUCCCAUUUUUCUUUUAGUGUUGAAGCUGGCAAUAUCUCAGUGGUAGCUAGUAGGUUUCAUAAGAAAAGAAAUUAUACUAUUAAUAUACCUUUGGAUUUCAAUUUUUGAACAUUUCUAAUGUCUUACUUCAUUAGUGCAUCUCAUAGAAAAUGAAAGUUACAAAGUAUAAUGUGGACUGAAUUUUUUACUUCCUUCAAGUAGUUACUUGAAAGUGAUAUAUUAUUGUAUUUUAAAAUAACAUUAAAUUUGAUGGAGAGAUAAUUAACAAAAUAUCACUCAUCUUUUAAAACAAUAUCAUUAUCAAGUUGGAAAGAAAUUUAUGUUGGUGUUAGAAUGUUUUUAUAAUUUAUUUAUUUAUUGUUUGCAGACGGUAAGGUUUCAAGUUCCUUUAAAAAUGUGAACAAUAAUUAAGAAUUAGAAAUUUUGAAACAUUAAAUGUAUGGUUAAAGCUAUGCUUAGAUGGUUGAAAUUGCUUUAAAAAAAAAAGUUCAAAUUUUAUUUGAUUAUCUUAAAAAAAUAUGAAAAAUAAAUAAAUAUAAUGAAAAUUGUUUAGAGUUUUAUAUUCUUUUUAAUAUUCGUCCUUUACAGAAAAGAUUAAAAUUAAACAAAUAAAUUUUUAUGAGUUUGUGAAAUAUAUUAAAACUAGAGUUUAUUUUUUGUUUUUUCUUUCCUUUCGUAAUUUUUCUUCCCAAUCUUUCCCACUUCGUCCAAACUUUCCAAGAUCUAAACUUUGUACAUGUUCUCUUCUUUUCAAUUAAAAAUUUUUAAAUUUUCAAAUUCAAAUUCCAAGACAAGCUAAUAAAACCCUAAAAUUAAUAUUAAAUACUAAGUGAAUUAAGUCAAGUUGGUAGCUAAAUUGAAUCUAAUCCGAAUUACUUAACCUAAACUCAAGUCAAACUCAUUUUUAUAAGCUGAAGUUAGGUUUAAAUUAACUAGGUUAUACUUUUGGUUCAAUUGAAUUGAUUAGACUCUAUGGAUCAGAAUUAGGGUUUGCAAGGUUGAGUUAGAUUGAACCUAUUCAUAAUUUUUUUUGUUUAACUUCUUUUAUAUCAUAAUUUAAAUAAUAAAUAUGAUAAAAUUAAUUAAAAAUAAUAACAAAAGAAAAGAAUCACCUUAGAAUCACUCUAAUUUCAAAUUGAGGUUUCCUAGCUACCUCAAAAUUUUAAAUUUAAAAAAAAAAAUAUUUUUAAGUGCAUAAACUAAAUCUAUAGUUUUUUUUGUAGGAGUUUUUAUAUUCCAUAUAAAAGUUUUUACAUAGAGACAAGUAAUAAAUAUAUCUUGUUUUUUCAAUAAGUUUAUGACCCUGAUCGGAUACAAACAUUAUAGUGGGAUGAAUGCAUCUUCACUAGAGUUAUGUCUUGACUCCUAACAUAAUUUUAGAAUUUUUAAGGAAAACGACAAGGAAACCUUAUGAUAAGUGCCUUUUAUUUAGGUAUGGUGGAUAAAGUGAUACCAUUUGUUAGUUGUUUUAUUUAUGUAUUUAUUUAUGGAUUUAAUUGAAUAUAAUUUGUGUUUGAUUCAAAUUUGUGAUGAUCUAUAUAAUUCAUUUAAUAAAUGAAUUGUUUUUUUGGUUAAUUUGCAUAAUACGACUCAAAUUGACUUAUUUAAUAAUUAUAUUAAUUGAUCAAAUUAUAUUUUUAACUUAUUUAACUCAUCUAAAAUUUGAUGUUUGAUAAGUCAUAAUUGAGUUAUAAACAUGUUAGGUUAAGACGUUAAUCAUAUAAUAUCAUACAAUAUUUAAUUUGAUUUUAUUAUUAAAUAUAAUGAAAAUUAUGAAAAUUUUCAUGGAUGAACUUCUCGUAGGAGAAAACUAUGAAAAAGAUAAAAAGUACUAGAGGUGGAAAAUAAGACUUUAGAAAAAAUUAUUAGUGUGAGAUAACAUACACCAACUUUAAAGUGUAGCAAUUAUUGUAUUUUGGACAACCAUGCUAAUGGGGUCAUGUUAUCUUCAUGCCGACUACAACUUUAAAAUUUAGCAAUUAUUGUACUUUCGAUAGCUAUGUUAAUGGGACCAUGUCAACCCCAUCCAACCCAUCUUGAUUACUUAAGUUAUACCCAUCCUAUACUAUUUAAAAUUUUCUAUAUCCUUUUUAUUAUUCUAAACCUUAAUUUUAUUAAAAUAAAUAUAAUUUAUGACUAAAUAAAUUGGUUUUCAUAAAUUUUACAUUUUUAUGUGAUAAAAAGUAAAUUUGUAAUUUUAUUUUAAACAUGUUCAAAAAGUGGAAAUGAAAAAAAAGAAAGAAAAAGAAAACUAAAGACUCGUUUUACUAUGAUUUUUGAAAAUUAUUUUUAAAAAUUGUUUUUUAUUCUUUAAUUGAAAAAUAAAUUUUAAAAACAAGUUUCAGAAAAUAUGAUCAAAGAGCUCAUAUUUUCCUUUUGUUUUUAAAAAUUGAUGAAAACAACACCUACUUGUUUUUCUAAAAAUUGUUAUUUAUUUAAUUUAAUUUUUAAAAAUUGUUUCAAGAGAACAACCAAAUGAGGUGUUAGAAAAUUUUUUAAACAGAUAUUUGUUUUUAAGAAACAGCUUUAUAUAAUUAUGUAUCAUCAUUAUACAUAAAUGAGGUGGAGCAGGACAAUACUCAACCUCCUACCAAAACCAAGCCGAGUUUAAAAAAGAAUACUCCAAUCCUUCCCUCAUAUUUUUUAAACCUCUCAUAAGCCCAUCCCUAGUUGUCAACUCUAACUUUUACUAUAAAAAUAAUAAAUAAAUAAAAAAUCUAUCGUAUACCAUAAAAAAAAAAAGGAAACUGUAGUAUUAAAUAAACAUUUUUCUUUCAAGAAUCAUCUUCUUUUUUUAAUUAUAUAUCUUAUAACUACAAAUAUUUUCAAAUUACAUUUUUGGUUUGUAUCUAAACAUUAACCACUAUCAAUGGAAGCAUUACACGCUAAAAAUACAUUUAUGAGAAUUAAUUCCAUAAGUUCUAUUUAUCAAGUUUUUAUUUGCUUUUUUAUACUAUAAUCUUCAUAAUUGUGUGAUUCAUAUUUCUAAAGCAAACUAACAAACCUAUUACGUGUAAUCUAAUAAGUUACAUUUCUACAUUUUUUCAUCAUUACACACUUAUGUUCUCGUGAUAUAAUCUCUCAUUGCUAGGUUUCAUAAGAAAAUGAAUUAUUCUAUGAAAAUGACUUUGGAUUCCAAAAUUUGAACUUUGUAAUGCCUUAUCUCAGUGGUGGGUCUCAUAGAAAAUGAAAGUUGUGGAAAAAUAAAAUGUGCACAUAAUUUCUAAUAAACUUGGACUUUUGGCUUCAAGCACCCUUUAUAAUCUUCAAGAGAUACCCCACUCUUGAACAACCUCUCAAGUGAUACCCCACACUUGAGAAUCUUCCUCUCAAAGAUAUACAAAUAAUUGAUCUCGCAAAAUCCUAGUACAAAAACUUUAAGCUCAAAUGAUACAAGAAAACUAAGAUUGAAAGGUGCACUAAUGAUAUGCAAGUUUUAGAACAAUGGUGCACUCAAAACACUCUUCCAAGACUCAAAUAUAUUCAAGAAAGGUUUGGGAAGGUUUAGUUCCUGAACAAUGAAGAUUUGAAGCCUUUUUAUAGAGGAGAAAAGCCAAACUAGUCGUUGGGGGUUCGACCGGUUGAACUGGGGGUCGACCGGUUGACUAGCCGUUAGCAUUUAAUGUUUGGCACGUGACCGUUAGACCUCGACCAAACCUCGACUGGUUGAGGUGUGGGUCGAAUGGUUCCUCAUUCGGUUGAAUAACCAUUCUAGAAGAGAGAGAAGGUUUUUUACACCCGUCAAUUGGUUGAGCUAGCGAUCGACCAAUUAUUGUUCACACCCUUGACCAGUUGAACUGGGGGUCAACCUGCUCCUAGACCAGUUGAGCUGGCGGUCGACCGGUUCCUCAUUUGGUUCAACCGAUUGAGCCGUUUUUGGCUCAACAACUAACUUUUUCAACUUAAAACAUUUUAAACAAGUUUGAAAAACAUUUGACACAAGGUUUUAGUUGAAAACAUGAAAUCAUCCAAUUUUAAAAUAUUUAAAGCAAAAUAACUCUUAGAUGAUUUUGGUGCAUAAGUAAAUAAUGUAAUACAUGAAAAUCCUAGUGCACCAAUAACCUUUCAAAGAGAUAUUAUGAAGCUUGGGUCUUGAAAAACACUUCUCUUUGAGGUGGUCUUCUUCUUCAUGAUUUCUUUUUGGCUUGAUUUGUCUUUGUGAUUGUCACUUUGGAAAUCGUUUUACCUAAUCACACUUGAAAUAUAAUCAUUAGUUCUAAACUUUCUUUUGUUAUCAUCAAAAUCGAGAUUAACCAGAUAUUGGUUUCACAAAUAUGACAAACUAUAUAUAUAUAUAUAUAUAUAUCAAUUUUAAAAAAUAAAAAUAAAAAAAAAAUCUAUUUUUUACUUCUUAUAUAAUUUUUUAGAAUUUGUCUUAAUAUUUUAUUAUUUUUUACUUAAUCGAUAUUUUGUGUCAAAAUAUCCAUCAAUAUAUCUCCUAUAUAUUUGAUAUAUCCGUAAAAUCAAAGUACCAAUAUAUUUGUAAUUAUCGAUAUUUUCAUCAUUGAGUUCAUUGCAUGGUCUCUGUGUUCUAUUAUCUAUUGGAAAUGCUUCUCAUUAUAUGUUUUCAAAUGUAUUGGUUUCUACUAACUAUGAUAUAUGCAAAGACGUUAGCUGAGGAGGCUUCUUGGAAGUUUGCAAAAGUGAAUGGGAUUGACAUGGUUACAAUACAUCCAGAGUGGGUGAUUGGUCCUCUCAUAGAGCCUACUCUUAAUCUAAGUGUGGAGGAAGUCUGAAGCUACUAAAAGGUACCCUUCAGCAAUGGAUGAGAAUCUCUAUUUUAUGCUGAUCUUUCUACUUCAAUAUCAAUUUAUACUCAUAAUAAGUAGAUAAAAUGUAAUUAAAAAAUCAACAUUAUUUUCUAUUUUUAAAUUAUAAAUAAAAAAAUUAUAUUAAUAAUUCAAAAACUAUUUUGGAAAAUACUUUCUAAAAAAAUGUUCAUAAAUAAAAAUUAUCUUUUACAUUUUAGAAGUAAAUAAUUUAAUGAUUAAAACACUAUUUAAAAUAAAUAUAUUCACUAUUUUCUUUUCUUUUAUACAAAAAAGUAUUUUAAUAUUUUUUUACUAUUAUAAAAUAAAAGGUUUAAUUUUUUUUUGUUAAAUUUUUUUCCGUCCUUAUUUUAAUAACUUUUUGAACAUGACUUUUAGUAAUAAGUUAUAUAAAAUGUUGCUAAGGAUUUUCUUUUAAUGAUUUGAAUUAAUUGAAAAUUUAUCAAAAUAAGAAAAAUAAAAAGAAAGAAAGAUGAUGGAUGGAGAGUUUUAUUUUAAAUAUCCAAUUAAAUUUUUUUCCUAUGACCAAAUUUUAGAAAUGAAUUAUAUCAAUAUAGAGUAGAAAUUGAAAUUUUCUUAUAUAAAAUGGUUGAAAGAUAUAUUUACUCAUUUUAUAUGAAAAUAAGUAGUUAAAAAUUAUAUAGUUAUGUUUGACUUUGGUUUAAAAAUAUUUUUCUAGUUUUUAUUUUUUAAACUAAUUUUUGUUUUCUAUAUUGUCUCUUUUUGAAAAUACGUUUGAUUACAAAAUGAAAGCUAUUUUUAAAAAUAAAAAUUAAAAGCCUUAUUUAGUACUAUUGUUUUAUAUGAAAAUAAUAAAAAGAAUUAAAUUUCAUUUAUUGAUUCUUUUUUUUCUUUCUAUUAGUUGUUUUAAUAAUAAAAUAAAAUAUAUAUAAUAUGUUCAAAAUUAAACAAAGGAAUUGGUCAAUUGUGUAAUUUUUUCUCAAAAAUAUAAUAUAUUCACAAAAAAAAAAAUUAGAUUUAAGUUUUUCACAAUUUUCUCAACCAAACUACUGGAAUCAUGUUUAAUACACCUAUAGGCACACAUUCACUACAUGAUAUGGAAUUUGUGUAAUUAUACAAGGGUAUUCACUAACUGUACAAGGGGUAUACAAGACUACCUUUUGUGAAAGAUUUCAAUCAAUUUUGAACCACCUUUUUAUUUUCCUUGUCACCCAGAGAUUGCAUACUCAUGUCAUGCACUUUAUUUAAUUUCUACAUGAAAAUUUCAAUACUUUCCCCAAUAAUGAUGUUUGGGGAAAAAAAAUUUGAUCCUGAAUCAUAUGCCAUUUUCUCAAGUAAAUUAUUAGAAAAAUGGUUGAUACACUUAUGUGGACACAUGACUUAGGAAGGAUAUGGAAUUUGUACCACUGUAUAAUGGUAUUACACUAACUGUACAAAGAAAAUGUACUAAGUGUACAAGGGUGCACAAGGCUACUUUUUGUGAAAGAUUUCAAUUGAUUAUGAACUAUUCCUUUAUUUUCCUUAUCAUCAAUGAAUUGUACACCUAUGUCAUGCAUUUUAUUUAAUUCCCACAUGGAAAUUCCACUUACUUUCCCUAGUAACGAUGUUUGGGGAAAAAAAUUUGACUUAUGUCAUCUACUAUUUUCUUAACCAAACCAUUGGAAACAUGGUUAACAUACCUAUGUAGACACAUAAUUUAGGAGGGAUAUGAAAUUUGUGCCACUAUACAAGGGUAUUACAUUAAUUGCACAAGUGAAAUGCACUAAGUGUACAAGAGUGUACAAAGCUACCAUUUGUGAAAGAUUUCAAUCGAUUCUAAACCACUCCUUUAUUUUCCUUGUCACCCACGGAUUGUACACCUUAUGUCAUGCACUUUAUUUAAUUCCCACAUGAAAAUUCCAAUACUUUCCCCAGUAAUGAUGUUUGGGGAAUUUUUUUUGACCCUAAGUCAUCCAUUAUUUUCUCAACUAAACCAUUGGAAACAUGGUUAAACACAUCUACGUGGACAUAUAACUUAGUAGAGAUAUGAAAUUUGUGUCAUUGUAUAAGGGUAUUAUACUAACUGUACAAAAGAAAUAUACUAAGUGAACAAGGGUGUACAAGAUUACCCUUUGUGAAAUAUUUCAAUUAAUUCUGAACAACUUUUUUAUUUUCCUUGUUACAUAAGGAUUGAACACAUAUGUCAAACACUUUAUUUAACUCCCAUAUGAAAAUUCAAAUACUUUCGCAAUAAUGAUGUUUAGGAAAAAAAAUUUGACCCUAAGUUAUCCACCAUUUUCUCAAUCAAACCAUUGAAAACAUGAUUAACAUACCUACAUAGACACAUAACUUAAGAGAGAUAUGUACUUUAUUUGCGUCAUUGUACAAGGAUAUUAUACUAAUUGUACAAGGGAAAUGUGUCAAAUGUACAAGACUCUUAAUAGGUUUGUACGAUUUUUAAACAAUUUGGGCUAGACAUUAAGACGAUUAUCAAUAGUUUUUUUUUUUAUUUUACCAAACUAUGUCAUUAAUACUUUCCCUACAAAAAUUAACACAUAGGAAAUAAAAUUAAAAUCAAUCAUGUUUGAAUUGUUCAUUAUAAGUAAACUAAAUGAAAUAUAUAUUUUUACUAUUUUGCCCUAAUAAACAUAAUUUUAUUGUUAUUAGUACAGAUUAAAAAAUCCUAUUUAAAUGGAAUUAAAAAUAAACAAAAAUGAUUUUUGUAACAUUUUUAUUUUUUUAAACCAUUAAUUUAAAUUAUGAAAUUAGUUUUAAAAUUAAAUAAAGUUUAAGUGGUUAAGUCAUAUCAAAUCAUUAACUUGAUUUAUCAAAAUAAUUUUAUAUUUUAUAUUAUAACAUUAAGUUAUUUUAUCAAAUAUACUUAAUAUACUUAACAACUUAAAUUUAUGUGGCGUUUGGUUUUUGGUUGAAUAAAAAAAACCAAAAUAUGUGAUUUCUUUUAUUUAAUUAAAAAUAAUCUAUUGAUGUCAACUGAUAUAACUAAAUUGAACAUAUUAAUUACAAGUUUACUUUAGUUAUGUUGAUUGACAUCAAUGUUACUUUUAGCUUAAUAAAACAAAGUCAAUUUGAUUUUUUCUAUUCAACUAAAAAACAAAUACUGCCUUAAUCUUAUCAACAUCCUCUAAGUUCUUCUCAAUUUUUAAUAUUUAUUUGAUACAUAUUUAAUAAGAAACAAGUCAAAAUGUGUUAUCUCAAAAUUUCUAAUUCAAACUCCUACUAGAUUUAAAAUUCAUUAAUUAAUUUGAAACAAAUUUGUUUUGGAUAAUACAAUUGAUGGAGAUAGUACAUAUCUUAAAUUUCUAACUAAAAAAAGCCUCAUAACAAAAUAAUUUGAUGAAUAUUUUAAGUUUAAAAUAUUAGAACCAUUUCACAAUGAUUUUGGAAAGUUAGAAAUGUUUCCAAAUGCUUGAAAAUGUUUUUAUAACACAAACUAGACAUUUUAUAAAAACUAAAGUUCACAUUCUAUGUAAUUGAUAGUGCCUCACAUAAUUUUUUUUUUCUUUUGGUUAUACAUAUAUAUAGGGUGAACGAUACUUUUUAAGUAGGUAUAAAAAAGGUUCUACCAAUUAGGUGGUGUCAUGUAUAUAUUUUUAAGUUUCAUAAUUUGUGCCUUUGUACCUUCACUCUAUUUGUUUAUACCUUUGUUCAACAAUGUAAAUCUCACCAUAUAUAUUCAAUGGUCAAAAUCUUAACUUCGGUUAGUAUCACUACACUAUCUUAGUAUUUUUUUUUCUCUCUCUAUAUAUAUAUAACACUAACUACUUUUCUAUGAAAAUAUUUACAAUAGAAAUGCUACAUAUUAGAAGUGUUUUUAUCAAAAUAAUUUCUAAACCAACCUUAAUAUUUGUAUUAGCUUUAGUUGAUAUAGCUACUUGAUAAAACCAACCAUUCAUAUGAUAAUUAUUCUAGAUCUUACUUUAAUUUGAUAAAAAUAUCCACCCAAGCAUCACACAAAUCAUAAAUAUACUCCAUGUCUAUUUGGAUAAACUUGUUGUUUUUUGUUGUUAUGUUUUUAAAAUAAGGAGGGAUAUAAGAAUUCUUAAAGAAUUAUAUUAAAAAUAAAAUAAUAGUUUUAAAAAUCAUUUAAAAAUUUAAGGUAUUAUACUAUUUUUUUUAUUAUUUUUAAACUUAAAUUUUAUUCAAAUAAAUAUCAUUUAUGAGUCAAUAAAUUAGAUUUCGUAAAUUUAAUAUUUAGCAUUUAUAAAUAUAAAAUUUUCAAUUUUAUUUUAAACAUGUUCCAAAAGGGGGAAAACCAAAAAGGAAACUAAAUUAUUUUUAUUUAAUUUUAUAAAAAAAAUUCUCAAAUAUAUCCUUAAUUUGUUUAAACUUGUCCUAAAUCCAUCCAUAAUUGUCAUUUUUAAUUUUGACCAUAUAAAAAUUAAACCCAAAUAUAAAAAGGUUGAGGAACAUCAAAUAUAAGGAGAGGUUGAAAACUUUUAUAAUGCUUGGAGGUAUUUUUCUUACAAACAGAGUCUGUUUGGUCGUAUGAUUUAAAAACAGUUUUCUGCUUUUAAAAAUAGAAAACUAUUUUUAAAAAUUUACAACACUGUUUGGCCAUUGUUAUCUGGAAGCAAUUUAUAAAAACAAAGUGAAAUAGAGAACAAUUUUUAGAGAACAAGUAUAAGUUGUUUUCAUAUGUUUUUUUUUUAAAAAAAAAAGGAAAAUAUGGAUCAAUUUGACCAUAUUUUCUUGAACUUGCUGUUUUUUUAAAAUAUUUUUUAGAUUAAAAAUGUUUUUUAAAAUCACUACCAAAAGAAUUUUAAGUAUUAUCUCACUCCACCUCAUUUAUAUAUAAAAUUAAGUAAAAAUAAUUUACUUUCCUUUUCCAUUUCCCCUCUUUAAUCAUAUUUAAAAUAAAGUUACAAAUUUACUUUUUAUCAAGAUAGAAUAUAAAAUCUAUAAAAAUAAUUUAUUUAAUCAUAAAUUAUAUUUAUUUAAUAAAAAUUAAAUUUAAAAAUGAUAAAAAUAACAUAAAAUAUAUUUAAAUAAGAUAGGAUGACUAUAACUUCUAAAAAAAUUCCUUGACCCCAUCCUAUUCUGGUACAUGUUUGGGUUGGAAUAAAAAUUUGUUGAAGUAAUCAAGAUGGGUUGGGAACUUGGGAUGAGGAUAUGACCCCUUUCACAUAAUUCGUCAAAAUUCAAUAAUUGCUAAACUUUAAAGUUGUUGCAUGCCAUCUCACAGCAAUAAUUUUGUAGGAGGUCUUUCCACCUCCACUUCUAUCUGCUUCAUUAAUUUGUUUACACACUGCUUUGCUUUCUACCUCUCUCUCUCUCUCUCUCUCUCUCUCUCUCUCUCUCUCAUUCACUCUCAACAAACCCCUCCUUACUUGUUUAAUCUCUUCCAAAAACAAAUAAAAACAAUUAAUUCUAACUAUUCAAAAGUUAAAAGUUAAUAUUAUAAAUGUAAACUUAAAUGCAAGCAUAUAAAAUAUAUAUCAUAUCAAACUCUAAAUAUAAAUCAUUAAUAUAUUUAAUCAAGUCCAAAUUAUUAAAUAAAAAUAAAAAUAUAUAAAAUGGGGUAUAAAAAAAUAAAACUAAAGCAUACAACAAAAAAAUGAUAUUUAGGUACAAAUAAAUAAAAAUUGGAUAUAAAUAAAUAAAAUCUAAAUCAAAGUGUUAGAAAAUCAUGUACAUAGGAUUUCAUAAUUCUAGUUUAAUGAACCAAAAAUAGAUGUACAAAACUCAUCUUGUGAUAUUAUGAUAGAAAUCACCUUACAUAUAUUGUUUGCAACGCUGCAUCACUUUAGUAGCACCUUGUCACCUUGUAUCGGUAUUAACACCUUGUAUCUUCCCUCUCUUUACUCUCUCAUUCUUAAUCUUUGUAUAAAUGAUAGGAAAGGAGAGCGGGACCAAGAGCUAAGGCCAUUUUCUUUAUUUGUACCUCUAUUUCCUCAGUUUCUUCCUCUUUUGGUCAAGCCAAACUGUUCGGUUUCUCCAUUUCUUCUUCACCCCACUGCAUUUUGGGUUCUCCCUAUAACGGAAGCAUUCUCAAAUCAAGAAAAUCCCUCAAAUCAAGCAACAAAAAUGACUGCAGAUUUUUAGCCUUCAUUCAAGGAUGUAACAGUCCUUAUUUUUCUUGUAAUCGAUAGCCUUAAUUCUAGGAAACUUACUUAGAAUAGCUCUUGUUAACGUGUAUUUAUUUUUUCUCAUACAAUCUCUUGUUACGGUGUAAUAUUUUUCAAACAGAGCAGUAAUACAUUAUUGAGAAAUUCUCAAACUCCAUCAUGGUAUCAGAGCAGCCUUCCUCUCACGAGAACUCAAUCCAUAAUUCUGAAAACACCCACCACCCGAUUUCCACUCCACCAUCCUGAUUCAUCCCCGGCAACGGCGCCAUUUGAUGCGACUCAUGGUAGCUUAGCUUUAAAGGCGUAUCAACAAAAUUUAUACCUUAAAUACUAUUACUAAAGUAGCCAAGCUACUAUAGCAUAGUGGUUCUAGGAUCGUUCACUAGGAAGGGUUUUCGCAAACACAAGUGAUAUUCAAAUUAGGAAAAUAGGUGAUUUUCUUAUGGAUGUUAGCUUUAAAAGAAGAUGUAAAUGUUUUAGAAAGAUUUAAACUAAUCUAAGCUAACAUUAAAGACUAAAAUGAAAGGGUGUAAAAACAAGUUUCUCAAAGAUAGGAUAGCUAUGCUCUGGCUCUUAUGCAAAUUGGAAAUCUCAGGAUAGGCUCCUCGCGUUGGGGUUGCAACUAUGGUGAUGCUUGCUUCCCGAACCGGUAUGGAUUUAGCAAAUCAAGUUUUAAUCCUUUAAAAUGACAAAACAGAUGGUAGUGAAUUUCAUCAAUGGUUAUUCACCUUAGACUUCCUUUGAAUGACUCGUAAGAGAUAACUAAUGGUCUAAAGCCAAAAGCUUACCAAAUAUUGGCAACUCAAAGUCAUUCCAGGUGAUAAACUCACCUUUCAAUGGCCAUUGAAAUUGGUUCUAACGGAUUAAUGCAAAACUUGGAAUUGAAAACCUCACCUUCCAAUAGCUCGUAGGAGAUAACUAAUGGAUAGAAAUCCAAAAGCUUAUCAAGUAUUGGCCGUUGGAAGUUGUCCAAAGGAAAUAAAAACCAAACUUUGCAUUAAUGAACCUUUAAUGAAAAACGACUACCUUACCUUCCGGGUACGAGAAAUUUCCAUGGGAGCAAUCCAAGCCAUCACAUAACAUCCAUACUUUGAGAAACUAAAAGUUUUAGCCAAUCAUCCUCUGAGGAAAAGCCCUCAGAGGCUGUUUGGCUUCCAAGAAAAUAAAAUAGUAAAGAGAAAAGAGAAACGAGAGAGCUCUGUAUAUUUUCUCUAAGUGUAAAAAGUAAUAUCUAUAUUAUAUUCUAUAUUCCAAGAGGUGAUUUCCACCCCUUAUAUAGUCUUUACAAAAGCAAAAGCUUGUGAUUGGUUAGUUACAAGGAUAAGAAAGGAAAUUACAUCACAAAAUACAAAGGAAAAUAUCUAAAGUGGAGUCGGCAAAAACAGAGGAAAAUUCGCACCACGCAUGGGUUAUGCGAAUUUUGAAGGUGUUAUGCGAAUUUCGCAUAACACCUUGUGUCGUGCGAAAUUUUCGCACAACCUGGAGCAGUUGGCUUCCGAAGGCCAUAUCUUCCUCAUUUCAGCUCUAAAUCGUACACGGUUUGAAGCGUUGGAUUCUUGACUUCCAGAGCUUUGAAAUGGUAUAUAGCAUGUAAAAAAUGGACUUCGGAAAGUGCUCCAAAAGUGUGAAAGAAGACUGCAGCUGCUGUCCUAUGAUUUUUUCACUUUGCUUUCCUCUUCUCCAUUGUUCUUUCCUUGCAUACUUUGAACGACUUUGGCAAAGGGCUAUGGAGCUCCAAAGCUUGGUUCUUCAUGAAUUUGAGCUUCCAAAAGCUUUGCCAUAACUUGUCCAAGUAGCUCCUCCAUCAUUUGGCAUGCUUGAAUUGAUUCAUAAGCUGAUAAAAACAUGUAAACUUGCCACAAAAUGGUUAAAACCAAUUACUAAGGACCUUAAUGAAUUAAUUGGGUUAAAUGAAUAUGAUUACUACUCAAAGGUGCUUAAAACCAUUAUAAUUAGGUCUACAAAAUAACACUUUUUGGUAGUAAUCACAUCCCCAACCAAUAUUCCUCUCAUUGCUUUCAACAUCUCUGCUCAAAUAAAUGAAAAACUCACACCAUCAACCUUCCCUCCAAGGAGGAAAAUAUCGGUAAUCACGGAUAUAUCGGUAUUUCGAUUUUACGGAUAUAUCGGAUAUAUCGGAGAUAUAUCGGCGGAUAUUUUGGAAAAAAAUAUCGGUAGACUCAAAAUUGUUAAAAACUCAUUGAAAUGUAAGGAAAACCUCAUAAUAAUAUAAUUAGAAGUAUAAUAGACAUUUUAAAGUUGUUUUAUUGAAAAAAUUGAUAUACAUAUGAUAUAAUUUACGAUAUUAGAUGUAAUUAUAUUAUGUCGAUCUAUAAGAAAUGUUAAUUUUGUAAUUGUUCUUAUUAUAAAGUUACAUAAAAUACUUCAUUUUAUUAAAUAUCAAUAAUUUGUACACAUUACAUUGCAAUGUCCCUUUAGUACCAAAAUGAGGAUCGAUGUGGUUCAAUGGGAUUGAUAGAUGAAGGAACCCCGUUUUGCUGUUAGAGACAAUAUUGGUCCCAACUCAAUAAGCCUCGAUUAUAUUGGUUAAAAAUUCUAACAUGUCAUGCAUAUAUAUAUAUAUAUACAUUGAUUAUUAAAUUACAUCAAAUAUUAUUCAAUAAUAAUAUUGUGAUAUUUGAUUAUAAUAUGUCUAAUUUUAAAAUAUAUUUAAUAUUAAAAUUAUGAUAUAUUUAAUUUAAUUGUAUUAAAUGAUAAUAAAUGUAUAAUUUUUUAAUAUUUAAUUAAUAAUAUAUUAAUGAUAUUAAAAACUUAUUUCUACUUAAUUAAAUGAAAAUUUUUUAUUUACUUAUAAAAUAAUUAUAAUUAAUUCGUAAUUUAAAGGAUUGUUUUAAUAUUUUGUGUAUAUGAACACUUUUAAUAUAUAUAUGUAUGGUGUUGUAUUAUAAACAAGCAGUAAUGUUGCCUGGAUGGUUGCUAGGUGUCCUUUCCAACUUUUGGUCGGGGGUUCAAGUCCUGUGAGAAGCGAAAUGGAGGGCUUUUGGGCAUCAACAGAACAUUUUUAGCUGGUUUGACUCGGUCAACGCUCCGCGUUGACCCGCGUUGACCUUCGAUAUUUCUGUGGCAAAUGUCGUGUCGACAUGUACCGAUACACCGAAAUAUCGGCGAUAUUUCGGCGAAAUAUCCCGAUAUUUUAUUCCCUGCUUCCCUCAAUGGCGUGCCCAGUUUGAAGCUCUCUUAAUUGGCUACAAUCUACUUGAUUAUGUCAUAAGUGACAAUCCUCCUCCUCCUCCGAGUGAUUCCUCUGCUACCAAUCCACAGAAAACCCACUGGAUAAGAUAAGAUAAACUUAUCCCCAGUGCCAUUUUGGCAUCCACCACCUCCACAAUCACCCCAUUCAUUUCCGCUACACAAACAUCACAACAGGCAUGGCAAAAAUUGCAUACCAUGUAUGUGAGCAAAUCUCGUACUCGGGCCAUGCAAUUGAAGGAGGAACUCACAAUGAUUAAGAAAGGGAAUUAGACAGACAGUUCAAGAAUACCUGCACAUUGUCAAGGCUCUUGUUGACAAAAUCUCCCUCAUCGAUCAUCUCAUUGCAGAUGAUGAUCUCACAUUGUACAUUCUCAAUGGAUUGGGCAGUGAUUUUCGAGAAAUCGCGACACCUAUACGAGAAAGGGAAAAACCACUCGCGUUUGAAGAAUUGCAUGAUCUACUCGUAGGCCAUGAUGCCUACCUCCGACGCCUUGAAACCACCACACGGAAACUAGUUGCAUCGACCAACUACUCCAAUCGGCAUCUUGCUUCUUCAUCCGGCGGCCAACAUUCUAAAGGUAACUUCAAUGGGCAACACAAAUACACUCCAAAGUGCCAAAUCUAUGAUGAACUGGGCCACAUUGCAAAACAUUGUCCACGUCUGCGCUUUGUUGAGCCCACUGCCAAUUAUGUUGCCACUUCACCUGCAACAAACCCAAAAUGGCUUAUUGAUUCUGGAGCUUCACACAACAUUACUGGUGAUUUAGCCAAUUUAUCUAUUCACUCUGAGUAUGACGGCACUGAUGAAGUUGUCAUAGGUGACGGUUCAGGUUGCAUGUCUCACACGUUGGCUCAUUGGUUCUCAAAUCACCCACACACACUUUUCAUUUAAAUAAUACUCUUUGUGUUCCUAAUAUUCGCAAAAAUCUCAUUUCUAUCCAUCACUUCACCUCACAAAACAAUGUUUUUGUUGAAUUUCAUCCCUUGUUUUUCCUUGUUAAGGACAAGAUCAUGGGGGCGGUUCUAAUCAAAGGUGCAUGUGAAAAUGGUGUUUACACUCUCUUGGAUUUACUAGUGCAAGAUUCUCUAAAAAUGGUUACCAAUGUGCAUGAACGGACCUCAAUCAAUGGGUGGCACAAGCGUCUUGGACAUCCCUCUCAAAAAAUAGUUCAUCACCUUGUUAAGAAUUUUUAUCUUCCAAUAAUACAAAAAGAACAUAGUUCUCAUUUUUUUACCUCUUGUUCUAUUACUAAAGCGCACAAACAACCAUUUCGGACCAAUAGCCUUCAAAGCCAUGCACCUCUUGAUUUAAUUUAUACUGAUGUUUGGGGUCCCUCAAAUACAAUUAGUCUUGAUGGAUCACGAUAUUAUUUGAUUUUGGUUGAUCAUUUUACAAAGUAUAUUUGGUUUUAUCCAAUAGAAACCAAAUCUCAACUAAGCAUGAUAUUUCCUCAAUUUAAAUAUCUCAUUGAAAAUCAAUUUCAAUCAAAAAUCAAAAGUAUCUACUCAGAUAAUGGUGGUGAAUUUAUUGCCUUAAAAAAAUAUUUUUCUAUACAUGGCAUAAGUCAUUACACCACAGCUCCUCACACACCACAACAAAAUGGUGUAUCUGAGCGUCAUCAUCGUCAUUUGGUAGAAACGGGUCUUACCCUUUUACAUGAUGCUUAUUUAUCUCUCUCAUAUUGGCCUUAUGCCUUUUCAACGUUUACUUACCUCAUCAACAAACAGCCAACCCCUUUCCUACAUAACAAACCCCCUUUUGAAGCAUUAUUUCAUCAGCCCCCCAACUAUCUUAAACUAAAAAAAUUUGGGCAUCUAUGUUUUCCUCUCACCAAGCCCUAUAACACACAUAAGUUGCAGCCCAAGGCAACACCAUGUUUGUUUGUGGGCUAUUCCCCAACCUAGAAUGCGUAUAAAUGUCUUGAUCCACAAGCCCAUAAACUAUAUUUAUCUUGGCACAUUUUGUUUGACUAAAGUGAAACCCAUCAUCUCCUCCGUUCAGUUGAAACACAGUCCUCCAUUCAGUUGAAACACAGGUACCAGCCAUGUCCAUUUCGCCUGCCUCACCUGUGCUGCUCACACUUUUGCCGCAACCACCGCCAGUGCCAACGAGAGGUAACGCCAUUUUCGCCUCAUCUCCAAGUAACUGCCUCGACUCAUCUUCUUCUCCUUUUCAAGAUAUGCAAUCCCUAAACUCAUGCCCUAAUUCCUCUCAAUCACAUGAACACUUGGAUUCUAACUCAAAUUCACACACCAAUCCACUCUCAGAACCCAUGGUUGUCCAUAAUGACCAUCACAGUGACCCUCCACUGCCUCAUUCUCACCGCAUCCACACCAUGACCACUCGGUCAAUGAAUAACAUUCAUAAGCUCAAACAGUUCAACUCCAUGACCAAACACCCACUCCCACCAACCAUUGAACCAACAUGUGUGGGCCAAGCACUUCGUGAACCUCACUAGAGACAUGCUAUGUCAGAUGAACUUACUGCUCUCAUGCGUCAUGGCACUUGGGAUCUUGUUUCCUAGCCCAAAAAUUGUAAUCCUAUUGGGUGCAAAUGGGUAUUCCGUGUGAAAUGAAACUCAGAUGGUUCAGUUGACCGCUUCAAAGCAAGGCUUGUCGCUAAAGGAUUUAAUCAACGAGAAGGGUUAGAUUACAAAGAAACCUUUAGCCUAGUUGUAAAACAUGCAACAUUAGGACUGUCUUGACAGCGACUGUAAUGCAGGGGUGGUCAUUAAGACAAUUAGAUGUUAACAACGUUUUUUUGCAUGGUGACUUGAUUGAGACUGUGUAUAUGACACAACCACCAGGAUUCAAAGAUGUCAAUAAGCCAAAUCAUGUGUGCAGGUAAUGUAAGGCUAUCUAUGGCCUUAAACAUGCCCCAAGAGCUUGGUAUUCAACUCUUAAACUGGCAAUUAUGGGUCUUGGUUUUCAAAAUUCCAAAGCUGACUCAUAUCUUUUUAUCUAUAGUUAGAACUCUGUCAUAUGCUAUAUUAUUAGUAUAUGUGGAUGAUUUGGUUAUCACUGGCAAUAAUUUGUGCUUUGUGUCUGAGAUUGUUGCACAACUUGGUAAUUGGUUUUCCUUAAAGGACAUGGGACAACUUAACUUUUUCUUGGGAAAGGAGGCUAUUUCUACAAAAUCUGGGCUUUUUUUUUCUCAACAUAAAUAUAUUCGAAACCUAUUGUCCAAAACCAAUAUGAUUGGUGCUAAAGAUGUCUCAACCCCAUUGUCCACCACCACGUCCCUCAAAUUGGUUGAUGGUACUUCAUCUACCAACAGUACAGAGUUUCGAAGUGUCAUUGGUGCUCUUCAAUACCUGUCCCUCACUAGACCGGAUAUCUCAUUCUCUAUAAAUAAACUUUCUUAGUUUAUGCAUAAGCCUAUAGUGACACAUUGGACAACUGCAAAGCAACUUCUUCGCUAUUUAAAGCACAUUAUAUUUCAUGGACUUCAAAUAAAAAAUAAAAAUAAAAAUCCAGCUUUGAACUCAUUACAUAUUCUGAUGCGGAUUGGGCGGGCAACUAUGAUGAUUUGAUUCAUGCCCAGUUGGUGUCUCAGCUGAUUUGUGUUCAGCUGGUGCUCCUUGAUUGAGGGAGUAAUCAACAAAAUUUAUAACCUAUUACACCAUAUACUAGGGUAGCAAAGACAAAGCUACUAUAGCAUAGCGACUCUAGAAUCGUUCACUGGGAAGGUUUAACAAAUUAUCAAUGAUACCAAUUCAAAGUGAAUUGGUAUUGUUUCAUUUCAAGGUUAGCUUAAGAAAUAAAACACAAACUUUGAUUGGUAAAGAUUUAGAUUUAAACUAACUACAAAGCAAGUGAUGGAAAUUACUUAGGAAGAAAAACAUUCCUUGGAGGGUCAGGUUCACUGGGGAGGUUCCUCAUGCAAAAGACAUAGCUCCGGUCAGUUGGUUCAUUUCCUCGCAUUAGAGAAGCAACAUAUAGUCAAUUCUCUAACCGAUGUUGUACAGAUACAUCCUUUAAUUAGAUUUCAGCUUUAAUUCUCUCACUGAUGCAACUUGCAACGGUUCGAGCCUCUCACUAAGCCUUAACCAUUCAAGGUGAUCUUUAACCUUGGACUUCCCUUCACAAGCUCGCAAGAGAUAACUAAUGGAUGUCUCCUUAGAGUCCAAAAGCUUACUAAGUGUUGGCAAUUCCAAAAAAUCCUACCUUCAAGUCACCUCCCAGAGGCUCGCAAGGGGUAAACUAGUGCAUCUCCAUGGUUGGAGAUCACUUGCCUUACCAAGUGUUGGCCCAGGUGACUCUAAGGUGUUUUAAGUUAACUAAAAACAUAGAAAUCACUAAAGGAUUUCACUUCCUCUUCAUUCAUGGCUGAAACCACAAAGCUUUGCAUUCUUGCACUUGGAACCUUUGCCGACAACCUUAGCUCCAAGGAACUAAAGGUUUAGUUACUCAUUCUCUGGGGAAACUUCCUCAGAGAGUGCAUAACUUAGAAAAAAUGAAAAAUACAAAGUGAGAAGUAAGACAAAACAAAGUCCUGAAUUUUACUUACUUUCAAACUUUUCAAAAGGUCCUCCCUGAGACAGCUCUUGAAAGCUAUUUAUACACAAACAAUACUAUAUNNNNNNNNNNNNNNNNNNNNNNNNNNNNNNNNNNNNNNNNNNNNNNNNNNNNNNNNNNNNNNNNNNNNNNNNNNNNNNNNNNNNNNNNNNNNNNNNNNNNUUUACUUACUUUCAACUUUUUCAAAAGGGUUCCUCCCUGAGAACAGGCUCUUGAGAGCUAUUUAUAACAACAAAAACAAAUACUAAUUAUUACACGGAUAUUUUCUCUUUUUACUAACUUAAAAGCUAAGGAAUCUUAUAAUUGGUGGCUUUCAAGGAGAAUUUUGGGAUUUAGACAACAAAAAUUUGAUGAAAAAUAUCUCCCAAUGUCGGUAGCAAAUAUCGGGACACACUAAGGAUCAUUUCGCAAGUGUAAACGAGGUCUGCGAGAUUUCGCAGAUGCACAAAAAGGACUGCGAAAUCACUUCGCAGCAAACGGCUGAUUUCGCAAUGCUGCGAAAUGGUCUUUCAACUUGUGGUAUUUGGCUUCCAUCAUGACGGGAAACUUCAGGGGGGAAACACAGCACUGUACAUAAAGGCUGCGAAAUCAUCUCGCAACAAAAGGGUGAUUUCGCAGCGCUGUGCAAAAUUCUUCCUUCAGCUUGGAGUGAUCGGCUUGAAAUGGCUGUAACUCCUUCAUUUCAACUCCAAAUUGCGUACCAUUUGAAGCAUUUGAUUGUUGGCUUCCUGAGCUUUGAAACGACAUAUAGCAUGCAUAAAUUGGACUUCAGAAAGUGCUCCAAAAGUGGCUGACAUGACUGUCAUCAAGAAUAUGCUUCAUGACAGAUUUCUCUUUGCUUCUUCUCCUUACAUUCCGGAUUUACUCAUGGCAGCAAAGGACUUCAAAGCUUUAGUUCUUCACGUUUCUGAGCUUCAAAUUGCUUUGCCAAAGAUUCCACAUAACUCUCCUCAAUCUCGGAUUGCUUUGGUGAUCAAAAAGCUAUCAAAACACCAAAACUUAACACAUUGAUUAGAAGUGCUUGCAAAGGUCUUUAAUAUGUUAAUUGGGUUAAAAGACAAUAACUACUACUCAAAAGUGUUUAAAAGAGUUAAUUACAAGCUAUGAAAUAGCACAUUUUGAGUAGUAAUCACUCCCCCCAACCGACAUAUUGCUAGUCCCUUAGCAAUGAAGGAGAGAAAAAAAAAAAAACUAUAAUUUACAACAUCAUGCUGAUUACUUCAAAAAAUUUUAAGUGGCAUGAUGAUCUAAUUCUCACAUGAGGCAUUAAAGAAAUAUAAACCCAAAUUUCAACAAGAGUUAUCACAUACUAUGCUAAACACUAUUAAUCAAGGGAAUGCAUUAUGCAAAUUGAAGUUUUAAAAUCAUUUUCACUUCCAAAGAACCAAACUUUAUUCUUCCACAAAAAUCUAAGUGUAUGAUUCCUUAGCUUCCGAAUAUAGUAUGCUAAACUAAUCUCUCCCCCCAACCUAUCUCUUUUCAACACUUAGCAAACUGACCAAAAUCAAUAAGAAAAGAACACUCUUUUUUUUUUUUUUUUUUUUUUUUAAAGAGGCUUAAAGGGGUAUUCUUUCUGAAUUGUCCAUGUAACGGGGGUCCAUCGAUGACUCCCAACCAAUUAAGGUUUAGGGCAUCAAGCUUUAAGGAUCUUUCAACCACUAACUCCUUGGAUUUUACCCCGGACUUUUGAGAAUGAUUGAUUUUUUAAUACCCAAGCACCUACCAUAUGCUAACUCCACCUAUCCACCCUUGUAACGAGCAUUGAGGUCGGUGACUCCCAACCAAUUAAGGCUUAGGGCACCAGGUUUUAAAGAUUUUCACCAUAUACCCCUCAGACCUUGCUUGGGUUUCAAGGCAAGCAAACAUUUUUCUUUCUUUAUUUCAAAGGCUCAUUGGCCUUUCAUAAGGUGUCUCAACUUUAUCAAAUGAGGUCAAAGGUACCAAGUCCCAAAAUUUUCCUAAGUCAAGAGGGAAAUAGUUUUUCAUCUUAUACUCGGAACCUAUUGUGCACAGUGUGUGAAUAGCUUAAAGUGGAAGAACUAAACUCGAUUUCAAUAGAAGCUUCAACAAUUGAACCACUUUAGUAAGCAUAAUCCAUACUCUAAGUCAAGUGAAAAACAACAGUUCAGUUUCUCCUGUUUUAAUUUGAAAAUUUUUCCUCAAAAUCCAUGGAGAUUAGAGUGGACAAUAAAAGAUUACAACUAAUUUAUCAACAUAAUUGCAUUGUCAAAAUAACUUAGCAUACUUCCUUUAACUUAGCAUACUUCCUUCCUCAUUUCUCCCCCCCCCCCAACCGAACUGAGCAUUGUCCUCAAUGUGAUAUGGGUGAUUGCAAUUAAAGGGAGGAAGUGGUACCUCCUGAGUGAUAUCAAUUUCGAAUACUGAUUGGAGAAACCACAUGUUUCAAAAAGAAUAAAAGAUGUGAGAAAAGGAAAUAAGAAUAAAUUAAUGCUAAAGGUUAACAAAAAAAUAUGCUAAACUUGUAUUACUUUGAAUUCAUUUGAGUACAAUGAAAAAGAAGGCAAUACAAGCAAUCCCAUAUAUGAUACCAAAAUAAUGGGAUUUCAUAAAAAACUAAGAAAAAAAAUGAAAUACAUAAAGAAAAUAUGUAGUGGAUAUAUAUAAUGAUCAGAUGGGUGGAUGGUGCUGGAAUUAAUGGCUUAGGCAGAUGGCUCUGCCUCUUCAGUAGCUGCUUCAGAAGGGGCCUGAGACUCUGUGGCCUGCGAGUGUGGCACUACAGUGGUGGGGGUGGAGUGCUUAGUAGCUGAUGGAAGAUCAAAAUGAUGCUGGAGCUGCCUCAAGAUGGCAGUGUGCUGAGCCUGGGUGGUCAACAUCUGCUCCUGGCAUGCUCUAAUAGCUGCCAUCUCCUGAGCAAGGCUGCUCUGAGAUGCGGUGAGGGUCUACAGUGAGCCACAUAACUCCCUAUACUCAUAAAUGGGAAUGGCCAUCCUUGGCUCAGCUGAAUUCGAUGGCUGAGAUGAGGCUGGAGUGACUGGAGGGGCUCUGGAUAUGGUAGGAGAGGCAAUGGGUAUACCCUCAGGUAUAUGACGUGGAGAUGCUCUCCUGGCUGCUGGUAUCGCAGCUGGCUGUGGCUGUCCUGGCUGCUCAACUCUAUAUGCUGUCAUAUUGUUCCAUUUGUCGAGAGUAAAGACCUCUCGUCAAAUACGUUUGCGCUCCAACUGAGGAUCUGAUGGAUACCCCAGAUGCUCUAGAAUCUGACACAGCAGCCGUGGAAAAAGAAGUGGAAUGGCAUCAGCUCGCUGCAGCUUCUUCUUAUGCACCUUCUCUUCAAAAUAGAGAAGGGCAGCCAUAAUUAGGUGGUGAGGGCCAAAGAAAUAUCCCUCAGAAAUCUUGAACAGGGCCUCUAAAAGCACUCCUCUCCUCUGAGUCCAGUGUUGGAGUGGGUAGAUGUUAUGACGCAGAAAUGCAUCAAUAAGAAACAUGCUUGGAGGAAGUUCCCCCCUCAACAGAUGUGGACACGUGAAAGCUCCUCUGGACAAGAUAUGUACCAUCUCCAGCUCAGUGGGACUAGUCCACACUCUGAAAUCCUCAAAAUGAGUUGGCUCGUAUGGUAUAUGCAGGGCUUCUGCUAUAUGGCGAGCUCCCAAAAUGUCAUGCCGACCAUCUAUAGUAAAAUAGAUUAAAGUAGGAUCUCUGACCUGCUUGGUAGUCAUGGACUGAUAAAAAUCCAUGGCUACUCUGGGGUAGAAGAAGUCUCUUGGGCCAGCAACUGCUUCAUAUGAUAUCUACGCAAUAGGCAGAAUGAAUCUGCAAGCUCCGACCUCAAUUGGAAGGUGGUUGUGUCAAAGCACAGCUCAGAGUGGAAUGGCCGAGCUCUGCAGUCCAAAUUCCCUUCUAUUGGCGGCUGAGUAAGCAUCGGACGCCUAAUUAGCACUUCAGGAGUUACCCCAUAUGGAAUUUGGGAUUCAGAAAGUGGCGGCUGGAGCUCCUGAGGCUGUGCUGGCGGCGCCGGAGACGGCACCGGAGAUGGCAGUGGAGAGGGCUCUGGUGAGGGAACCAGGGACUGCUCUGUUAAGUCUAUGGGCUCUGAGCUUUCAACCCUGGCCCUCUUUUGCAGGGGACGACCCCCUGACCUAGUGAGAUAACGCCUCGCCGGAGGAUUUUUAGACACGGGCUUCGCCGGAGGGGGAACAGCUUUUGGCCGCGGAGGUUCAGAGAUGGGGCUUUGAACAGGUACCUCUCGCGGAACUCGUUUGCGGCUAGAAGGAGAUGAAGAUUUGGCUCCUCUAGUUCGCGCCAUAUCGGACUGUCGAGAUUUGGCCAGAAGUGAUGACCGGAGAAGAUGACCGGAGGUUCGCGCGUCGUCGGGCUCGGGCAAGGAGAUGAACAGACGGCUGUUAUGGCAUUCCCUCAUUUUGAAAUCCUUUUGAAACUCAAAUGACAGGUAUAUAUAAAAAUAACGGAAUAUUAAAGGUCAUUUUGAGGUUCGUAGAAGAACGUUGAUUUCACAGCAAAAAGCUGUUCUCGCAGCCCACUUCGCAGCCCACUUCGCAGCUUCGAAAUGGAUGUCACUGUGCUGCGAAAUGGCACUCGUGUGCCAAAGUUGGUUUCGCAGCUGCGAAAUACCCUGCGAAAGGAAGCUUUGACUGCGAAAACGGGUAUUUUCACGCUUUGUAGCUUCGCAGCCGAUUCGCAGCUUCGAAAUGGGGGCUCCUGUUCUGCAAAGUGGCACUCGUGUGCCAAAAGUUGGUUCGCAGUUGCGAAAAUUUUCGCAGAGGAGUCAAAUGAGUUGCGAAAUGAUUUCGCAAAGGAUGGCCGCUUCCGUAGAGACAUGUUGAUUUCGUAGCAACUUCGUUUAAGUUGCGAAACGGUUUCGCAGCGAAGUGCUAAUUUCGCAGAAACUGCGAAAUCUCGCAGACUCCUGUUUUUGCUUUGUUUUCACUCUGUUUUGCUCUAUUUUUGGUCCGAUUUCGCUCCGAUUUCUUCCUUUCAAUUUCUUUGCAUUUUAUCUCACCUGAGAUCAUCCAAAAAGAUUAAAUUACAUAUAAAAACAUACUUUAAGAUCAAAAAUUAAAAUGAAAAGUAUGGAAAAAACUUUGAAAUUUAAAAAAUUUACAAAAAUUUUGGACUGUGGUAAAACCAAGUCCAUCAAACCCUUAUUUGCUUAGGCUUUUUGUGGCUCAAGGAGGUUGAUUUCCUCCUUUUCUGGUUUGAAUGGCUCCAUGAACGGCUUGAGACGAUAUCCAUUGACUCUAAAGGUAUCUUUGCCAUUGGAAUUCAAUAAUUCCACCACUCCAUUGACGUAUACCCGAUGAAUAAUGAACGGGCCUAUCCACCUUGACUUGAGCUUUCCAGGAAAGAUAUGGAGUCUUGUGUCAUAGAGUAGAACUCUUUGUCCUUUCUGAAAUUCUUUGUUGGAAAUUAGUUAAUCAUGCCACUUCUUCAUCCUCUGUUUUGCAACUUUGGAAUUGAUAUAAGCAUCAUUUCUUAAUUCCUCCAUCUCAUUAAGGUCUAGGCACCUCUUUGCUCCGGCUCUGAUCAAGUUCAUGUUCAGCUUCUUUAUUGCCCACCAAGCUUUGUAUUCAACUUCCAUAGGGAGAUGACAUGUUUUGUCAUAGACAAGACGAUAGGGAGACAUGCCGAGAAUAGUCUUAUAAGCUGUUCUAUACGCCCAUAAUGAAUCAUGAAGCCUAAUAGACCAAUCUUUUCUUCUUGAAUUCACCACUUUCAUCAAUAUGUUCUUUAUUUCCCUGUUAGCUAGCUCAACUUGCCCGGAAGUCUGAGGAUGAUAAGGCGUAGCUACCUUAUGCUUCACUCCAUACUUGGAUAAUAGAGCUUCAAAAGGUUUGUUGCAAAAAUGAACACCUCUAUCACUGAUUAUGGCUUUGGGCACCCCAAAUCUCGAGAAAAUAUUCUCUUUAAGAAACUUGAGAACCAUUCUGUGAUCAUUUUGUCUACAAGGGAUUGCCUCAACCCAAUUAGAAACAUAAUCCACACCCACCAAGAUGUAAGAAUUACCAAAAGACAUUGGGAAAGGCCCCAUGAAGUCAAUGCCCCAUACAUCAAAUAGCUCAACUAUUAGAAUGGGGUUCAUAGGCAUUUGAUUUCUUUUUGUUAGCUUUCCAAGCCUUUGGCAUCUAUCACAACUCCUACACAUGAUGUGGGCAUCUUUGAAAAGAGAUGGCCAAGUAAACCCUGAUUGCAACACCUUCAUGGCUGUUUUCUGAGAGGCAAAGUGACCUCCACAUGCAUUCUCAUGACAAUGGUUUAGAAUCCCUUGCUGCUCUUCUUCAGGGACACACUUCCUUAUGAUCUGAUCUGCACAAUACUUAAAAAAGAAGGGUUCUUCCCAAUAAUAAGCAUGAAUUUUUUAAAAUAAGUGCUUCCUGUCCUGUGCAUUCCACUCACUUGGAAUUUCACCAGUAACUAGAUAAUUAGCAAUAUGAGCAUACCAAGGAGUUUUUACUAGGAACAUAAGUGAUUCCUCAGGAAAGUAAUCAUUAAUAGGCAAGGGAUGGGAAUUAUGUGCUAUAACUAACCUUGAAAGGUGGUCAGCUACCACAUUCUCCACUCAUUUCUUAUCUUUGAUUUGGAGAUCGAAUUCUUGUAGCAAAAGAAUCCAUCUAAUCAACCUUGCUUUUGCAUCUUGCUUUGUCAAUAAAUACUUCAAGGUUGAAUGGUCAGUGAAAACAAUGAUGAAAGACCCUACUAAAUAAGCACGAAAUUUGUCCAAGGCAAAUACCACAGCUAACAAUUCUUUCUCUAUAGUUGUGUAGUUCCUUUGAGCUUCAUUCAGUGUUUUGCUUGCAUAGUAGAUCACAUAGGGCUUCCCAUCUUCUCUUUGGCCAAGCACAACUCCUAUAGCAAAGUCACUAGCAUCACACAUCAGUUCAAAGGGUAGUUGCCAGUUAGGGGCUCUCACUAUUGGAGUUGUUGUUAAAAAUUUCUUCAGUUGAUCAAAGCUAUUUUGACAUCUUUCAUCCCAUAUAAACUUAGCAUCCUUAGCUAACAGCUCACAAAGAGGUUUUGAAAGACUUGAAAAACCUUUUAUAAACCUCCUAUAGGGUUUGCAUGGCCAAGGAACUGCCUUACUCCUUUUAUAGUUGUUGGGGAUGGUAAUUUGACAAUAAGCUCCACCUUUGUUUUAUCUACUUCAAUGCCUUUUUUGGAGAUAAUAUGGCCAAGGACAAUUCCUUGACGUACCAUAAAAUGGCAUUUCUCCCAGUUAAGCACCAGGUCUUUUUCAAUGCAUCUGUGAAGAACCGCUUCCAAAUUGAUUAAGCAUUCCUCAAAUGUACCUCCAUAUACGGUGAUUUCAUCCAUGAAAACCUCCAUAAUUCGCUCCACCAUAUCACUGAAAAUACUCAACAUACAUCUUUGAAAUGUUGCAGGUGCAUUGCAUAAACCAAAAGGCAUUCUUCUGUAGGCAUAUGUUCCAAAUGGACAUGUAAAAGUGGUUUUUUCCUGAUCUUCCACAUCAAUUUCAAUCUGAAAAUACCCUGAAUACUCGUCCAAGAAACAAUAGAACGGAUGGCCAGAGACUCUCUCCAGUACUUGGUCAAUAAAUGGCAAUGGAAAAUGAUCUUUCCUGGUUAUAGCAUUCAACUUUCUAUAAUCAAUACACACCCUCCAACCUGAAGUGAGGCGUGUAGUAAUUUCUUCCCCUUUUUCAUUCUGAACCACUGUAAUCCCUGACUUCUUUGGUACCACUUGAGUAGGACUCACCCAAGGGCUGUCAGAUAUAGGGUAAAUAAUGCCUGCUUGAAGUAGCUUCAGCACCUCAGCUCGCACCACCUCUUGUAAAUGAGGAUUCAAUCUUCUUUGAAGUUGACGAAUUGGCUUUGCUUCCUCCUCCAUAUAUAUAUGAUGUGUGCAAACUAAAGGACUAAUGCCUUUCAAGUCGGAUAUUUGCCAUCCUAUUGCCUUCUUACACCUCUUGAGAACUUCCAUUAGCAACUUCUCUUGAUGACUGGUCAAAGAUGAAGAUAUUACGACAAGACAUUGAUUAUUUUCUUCAAGGUAUGUAUAUUUCAGUUCCAUGGGUAGAGGCUUCAGAUUGAGUUUUGGAGUCUCUUUUUCAGCAACUGCCUCUUCUUCUUUAUUGAACAAAGGUAGAAUCUCUUCUAUCCUUCUCCAACUUUGUAGAGUAGCAAGCACAUUAGGGGGUUCAGACAAACCUUCCUCAAAAUCCACAAGACUUUCAUUCAACUUGUCUUGCAUAUUCUGAUUACAGUGCUCCUCCACUAGAGUGUCAAUAAUGCACAACUCUUCUGGACCCUCUUCUUCUUCCAGAGUGGUUUGCUUUUUAGACAUAUAGAAGAUAUUGAGAUCAAGUGUCAUGUUGCCAAAAGUAAGUUGCAUAAGCCCAUUCCUACAGUUGAUGAUUGCAUUUGAGGUAGCAAGGAAUGACCUUCCAAGGAUGAUAAGAACUAAAUUAGCUUCCUUUACAGUAGGGUCUGUAUCAAGAACAAUAAAAUCUACCGGAUAGUAGAAAUUAUCAACUUGAACCAAGACAUCCUCAAUUACCCCCUUUGGAAUUUUUACUGAUCUAUCUGCUAGAGAUAGAGUGAUUUUCGUUGGCUUCAACUCACCAAGUCCCAAUUGCUUGUAGACGGAAUAUGGAAGCAAAUUCACACUUGCUCCCAAGUCUAACAAAGCUUUCUCCACUACCUUUCCUCCAAUCAUGACUGAAAUGGUAGGACUUCCCGGAUCUUUGUACUUCAACGGAGACUUACAUUGUAAGAUUGCACUUACUUGCUCAGUCAAGAAGGCUUUCUUAUUUGCAGUCAACCCUCUUUUAAUAGUACAUAAGUCCUUUAGGAACUUUGCAUAUGUUGGAACUUGUUUAAUCAUAUCCAGCAGUGGGAUAUUGACUUUCACUUGUCUCAAUACUUCAAGAAUUUCAGAUGCAUUUCUAAUCCCCUUUUUCCCAUGUAAUGCUUGAGGAAAAGGAGGAGAAUUUGAUUUCUUCAGCAUUUCUUCUUUUUGAAGCUCCUUCUCUGGAAUUGCAUUCAUUGUUGAAUCAUAGUCCUUCUUCUUUUCACUGAUCUCACUCUCUUUGUCUUCCAUUUCCUCCCAUUUCUUUAUCUCUUCUUCUUCUUUCUCAACAUGUGGCUUGGGUGUUGGCUUCUCAAUUUUUUUACCACUCUUUAGAGUGAUCAAGGCUUUGACAUCUUUCAUCUAUGAUGAUUUCCCCCUCAAGGCUUUCCACUUCAUGGACACCCUUGGGGUUUUGGUGGGGUUGAGAAGGAAAUCUUCCCUUUUCUUGCACUGUGUUCAAAUUUGUGAGCCUUGAAAUUGAGUAUUGGAAAUUAUCAAACUUUUGGGAUAUAUCAUUUUGCAUUCCAUCCAUCCUUUUAUUCAAAGUACUCUCCACUCUGUCAAUUCUUUGAUUGAGUUGAGCAUUGAUGGCUUCUUGGUUUCCAACAAAAUCUCCCACUACCUUGCUGAGAUUUGCUAUUGCUUGUUCAAGACUUGAAGAUUGUUGAGAUGGUUGAUCCGGCUGUUGGUACUGAGUUGCUCUGGCCUUCCAUGAGAAAUUUGGAUGAUUCCUCCAACUUGAGUUGUAAGUAUUUCCAUAAGGCCCAUUGUUAUUGGACUUGAAUUGUCCAACAACAUUUGCUUGAUCUCUAAACAUUUCCCUUUCAGCUGAAAUUACAGGGCAUUCCUCCACCAAAUGUUCAUAUGAUUGACAAUUAGGACACAGCUUCACUUGCACUGGCGCUUCAGCAACAGCUUGCACUUCAUGUAUCCUUUUCAGCUCCAGCUCCUCCAAUCUUCUUGUCAUAGCUGCCAACUUUGCUUUCAUAUCAUCAUCUUCUUUCAAGGUAUACAUCCCAGCCUUAGCAUUAAAAGCACUCAGUUGAGACUUCAUCUUCCCCACUUCUCCUUUGGUUGGUUCAUCCCAUCCCCUUGAAACUUCGGCUACAUAGCUCAAGAAAUCCAUAGCUUCCUCCGGAUUUUUGCUCAUGAAAUCUCCUUCACACAUUGUCUCGAGGAGUUGCUUCAUUGAGGAAGACAUCCCAUCAUAAAAAUAGCUCACCAAUAGCCAAGUAUCAAAGCCAUGGUGAGGGCAAGCAUUUAUAGCUUCCAUGUAUCUUUCCCAACACUCAUAGAAUUUCUCAUUCUCUUUAGCUGAGAAGUUUGAAAUUUGCCUUUUCAAGCCAUUUGUUCUAUGAGUGGGAAAAAAUUUCUUGAGGAAUUCAGCUUGUAAGUCAAUCCAAGUGCGGAUACUCCUUGGCCUUAAAGAAUUAAGCCAAAUUUUGGCCUUAUCCUUUAAAGUAAAAGGAAAUAACUUAAGCCUCAUCAAAUCAAUUGAAGCUCCUCCCUCUUGGAAUGUAUUACAAACAUCUUCAAAUUCCUUGAUGUAUGCAUAGGGAUUCUCACUUUCCAUCCCGUGGAAAGUUGGUAGAAGUGGAACAAGAUACGGUCUGAUCACUAGCUGCUCUGUAGGGGGCACUAUACAUGAUGGUGCACUCAUACGAGGUGGAUGCAUGCGGUCCCUCAUUGAUCUAAAUUCAUUGAGAUUGUCUUGACGACCUUGGUGGCUAUGCUGAUCUUCAGGUGUAGCUUCCAUGAUAUUCAAGCUCAAUUCCAAUUCCUUGUUAUGAGGUGUAUCACGUUUAACAAGCCUUCCUCCACUGUCUCGUAUCCAAUUUGGCAUACACAACUAGUAUCUAUUUGUAACUAAAAUGAAAAUAAAGGACAACAAAAGGAAACAGGGCUACAACAACAAAAUUAAACUAAGCUGAAUUUAAAAGAUAAAUUUGGAUUAUGAAUUAGUAAAGAAAGAAUGAGAAUUAGUAAAAUGAAAGAAACGUUACCAAUCUUGUGAUGAAAAUCACCAGUGCUCUUUGACACCUUCCCCGGCAACGGUGCCAUUUGAUUCAUGCCCAGUUGGUGUCUCAGCUGAUUUGUGUUCAGCUGGUGCUCCUUGAUUGAGGGAGUAAUCAACAAAAUUUAUAACCUAUUACACCAUAUACUAGGGUAGCAAAGACAAAGCUACUAUAGCAUAGCGGCUCUAGGAUCGUUCACUGGGAAGGUUUAACAAAUUAUCAAUGAUACCAAUUCAAAGUGAAUUGGUAUUGUUUCAUUUCAAGGUUAGCUUAAGAAAUAAAACACAAACUUUGAUUGGUAAAGAUUUAGAUUUAAACUAACUACAAAGCAAGUGAUGGAAAUUACUUAGGAAGAAAAACAUUCCUUGGAGGGUCAGGUUCACUGGGGAGGUUCCUCAUGCAAAACACAUAGCUCCGGUCAGUUGGUUUAUUUCCUCGCAUUAGAGAAGCAACAUAUAGUCAAUUCUCUAAUUGGUGUUGUACAGAUACAUCCUUUAAUUAGAUUUUAGCUUUAAUUCUCUCACUGAUGCAACUUGCAACGGUUCGAGCCUCUCACUAAGCCUUAACCAUUCAAGGUGAUCUUUAACCUUGGACUUUCCUUCACAAGCUCGCAAGAGAUAACUAAUGGAUGUCUCCUUGGAGUCCAAAAGCUUACCAAGUGUUGGCAAUUCCAGAAAAUCCUACCUUCAAGUCACCUCCCAGAGGCUCGCAAGGGGUAAACUAGUGCAUCUCCAUGGUUGGAGAUCACUUGCCUUACCAAGUGUUGGCCCAGGUGACUCUAAGGUGUUUUAAGUUAACUAAAAACAUAGAAAUCACUAAAGGAUUUCACUUCCUCUUCAUUCAUGGCUGAAACCACAAAGCUUUGCAUUCUUGCACUUGGAACCUUUCCCGGCAACCUUAGCUCCAAGGAACUAAAGGUUUAGUUACUCAUUCUCUGGGGAAACUUCCUCAGAGAGUGCAUAACUUAGAAAAAAUGAAAAAUACAAAGUGAGAAGGUAAGGCAAAACAAAGGUCUUGAAUUUUACUUGCUUUCAAACUUUUUCAAAAGGGUUCCUCCCUGAGAACAGGCUCUCGAGAGCUAUUUAUAUAAACAAAAACAAAUACUAAUUAUUACACGAAUAUUUUCUCUUUUUACUAACUUAAAAGCUAAGGAAUCUUAUAAUUGGUGGCUUUCAAGGAGAAUUUUGGGAUUUAGACAACAAAAAUCUGAUGAAAAACAUCUCCCAAUGUCGGUAGCAAAUAUCGGGACGCACUAAGGAUCAUUUCGCAAGUGUAAAUGAGGUCUGCGAGAUUUCGCAGAUGCACAAAAAGGACUGCGAAAUCACUUCGCAGCAAACGGCCGAUUUCGCAACGCUGCGAAAUGGUCUUUCAACUUGUGGUAUUCGGCUUCCAUCAUGACAGGAAACUUCAGGGGGGAAACACGGCACUGUACAUAAAGGCUGCGAAAUCGUCUCGCAACAAAAAGGUGAUUUCGUAGCGCUGUGCAAAAUUCUUCCUUCAGCUUGGAGUGAUUGGCUUGCAAUGGCUGUAACUCCUUCAUUUCAACUCCAAAUUGCACACCGUUUAAAGCAUUUGAUUGUUGACUUCCUGAGCUUCGAAACGACAUAUAGCAUGCAUAAAUUGGACUUCAAGAAGUGCUCCAAAGGUGGCUGACAUGAAUGUCAUCAAGAAUAUGCUUCAUGACAGAUUUCUCUUUGCUUCUUCUCCUUACAUUCCGGAUUUACUCAUGGCAGCAAAGGACUUCAAAGCUUUAGUUCUUCACAUUUCUGAGCUUCAAAUUGCUUUUCCAAAGAUUCCACAUAACUCUCCUCAAUCUCGGAUUGCUUUGGUGAUCAAAAAGCUAUCAAAACACCAAAACUUAACACAUAUUGAUUAGAAGUGCUUGCAAAGGUCUUUAAUAUGUUAAUUGGGUUAAAAUGCAAUAACUACUACUCAAAAGUGUUUAAAAGAGUUAAUUACAAGCUAUGAAAUAGCACAUUUUGAGUAGUAAUCAAUCGAACCUCCACAUUUGCAUAUAUCUCAUUUCUUGGUGUCAAUCCUAUCUCCUGGAGUUUAAAGAAGCAAAAGGCAGUGGCACGUUUAUCCACUAAAUCAGAAUAUAGAGCCCUUGCCAAUGCAGCCUCCGAGACAUCAUGGCUUCUCUCAUUAUUCAAGGAACUAGGUCUACCUUUAUCUGGACAACCCAAAUUGCUCUAUGAUAAUUUGGGUGCAACUCACCUCAAUUUUAAUCCAGUCCAACACUCUCAAAUGAAACACAUUCAGAUUGACCUUCAUUUUGUCCGAGAUAUGGUUCAAAGUGGCGUUCUAAAUGUUCAUCAUGUUAACACCUAGGACCAGCUGGUUGAUCUUCUCACAAAAGGACUCUCACGCUAAAGGACAGAAAUUUCAAGGAACAAGAUUGGCUUAGCCGAUGACAGCUCCAUCUUGCGGAGGCAUAUAAAGGAAGCAUCCUCAAAUCAAGAAAAUCCCUCAAAUCAAGCAACAAAAAUGACUGCAAAUUUUUAGCCUUCAUUCAAGGAUGUAACAAUCCUUAUUUUCCUUGUAACCGAUAACCUUAAUUCUAAGAAACUUACUUAGAAUAGCCCUUGUUAACGUGUAUUUAUUUUUUCUCAUACAAUCUCUUGUUAUGGUGUAAUAUUUUUCAAACAGAGCAGUAAUACAUUAUUGAGAAAUUCUCAAACUCCAUCACUCCCAUCUCUUUAUCCUCAAACAAUCAAGACACAAACUUUGAUGCAUCUCUGUCUUGGAUUCUUCCUGUCAAAAGGAAUAGUUGAAGUAUCUCCAUUGCUUCUCUGUUUCUUUGAGUCAAAGGACAGAGUCUGCCUUUCUCUGUUUCUUCUAAUCAUUUUCAAAAUGCAACAUUGUGAGAUCUACUAAUCCUAAACCUAUUUCUCAAAGAAUCAAAAUCAUAAAUACCAAGAUGUAUACACAUGCAGGUAACACAUCCUCUUGACAAUGAUGUGACAGGUGUAGUAGACAAGGAACAUACAUACCUGUAUUCCAAGGAAGUACUAGUGCAUUUGAUGACAUUGUUCUAGCCUAAAUUCCAAAUUUUAGCAAUCCAAAAUCGGUAACUUCUGCAAAAUUUACCUAGUUGUUGAGGGAACAACACAUCUUCUCUUACCAUUUUUAUCUUAUGCACUACAUAUCCCAUGUCAACUGCCACUUCCACUACACCUGAAUGAAGUAGGAACACAAAUGAACAUUUCAAGGCAUCAGAUUGUUUGAAAAUUAAAUUAGGAGAGGUAGAACUACCGAUGCUUACAUGGAACUAAGGAAAAGACAAACAAGAUCAACAAAAAUGGAAGAGAAAAUGCAAAUCCAUAAGCCUGUAGUUGUUGUCCAAAGCAGCUUCCUUGUCAAUUGUCAACAAAAAGUCUACUAUGAAAUUCACUGGUAGAGCCACAUAUAGAAAAUUGCAAUAAAUGGAAAAGUAAGAAAUCUGCGCUAGGAAUGGGUGAAGCUUAUUGAAUGUAAGAUUCUAAACAGUCUCUGACUAAACAGAGUUGAAGAAUAGGGUUUCACAGGAAUAAUUUUCUUUCAUUGAGAUUAUUCUUUUAUAGAGUUUACAACAUAUACAAAUCCUUCAAAUUAUGAAACUAAAUCACUAAUUAAAAAGAAAGAAUAACUCCUAACAAUUACUUUCCUAAAAAUAAAAAGAUUAACAACUAAUAAAUAAUUUACAUCUUUACAAAGUUAUUUCUUUCCAUAUCAAUUUCGGUUUUCCAACAAACACAAUUGGAGUAUAGAUAGUAUCUCUUAAAGGGAAGUGAGGUCUUGGUGACCCUAGAAGGUUAAGGCUUCUAGAUACUGGAAUAUUUGUGUGUAGACAUACAUAAGAGAGAUGUAGGAAGGAACAGGCAAGCCUGUGUCAUCUGAGUAGAGGCAUCUGGAAUCUUUGUGUGCCAUUAUUCAAUCCAAAAAGAUGUUGGGAGAGAUUUGUUUAGGAUUUAUGUGAUGUACAGUCUUUUCACAAUCAUAAAUAUGAAGGUAUUUAAGUAUGGCAUUUUGGAAUAAGGUGAUAUACCAGUAACAUGGAAAAUAAUGUGAUCACAAAGGACUACAUAGUUAGCAUGUUUGGAAUAGUUGUGGUUGGUUAAUUUCAAGCCCAAGUUUUAGCACCUAAAAACAUGCCCAUUUUUUCCAGACCCUUUAGCAAGCCUGCACAGAAGCAUUCUCUGGUUGUUACAUACAUGGUGUCUGAUUACUACUCAAAAAGUGCUAUUUUGCAGCUUGUAAUUAACUCUUUUAAACACUCUUGAGUAGUAAUUAUUACUUUUUAACUCAAUUGACAUGUUAAGGACCCUUGCAAUCGUUUCUAAUCAAAUUGUGUUAAGUUUUGGUGUUUUUGAUAGCUUUUAGCUACACCAAAGCAAUCCAAGAAUGAGGGAGAGUUGUAUAUAGUUCAUGGCAAAGCUUUUGGAAGAUCAAAUUCAUGAAGAAACCAAGCUUUGGAGCCUCAUAGUCCUUUGCCUUAGUCAUUCAAAGUAUGCAAGGAAAGAGCAAAGGAGAGAGGAAACAGAGUGAAGAAAACAGAGGACAGCAGCUGCAGUCUUCCUUCACACUUUUGGAGCACUUCCCGAAGUCCAUUUUUUACAUGCUAUAUACCAUUUCAAAUCUUAGGAAGUCAAGAAUCCAACGCUUCAAACCGUGUAAGAUUUGGAGCUGAAAUGAGGAAGAUAUGGUCUUCGGAAGACAACUGCAUCAAGUUGAGGGACAAUUUUGCACCUUGCGAAAUUGGAACUUCAAUGUGCGAAAUUUAAAGUGUAUGGCAACUGUGCAGUCGCAGUGAAGCCCAACAUGCGAAAGUGGAUUCUAAGUUGCGAAAUCAACUUGUGAAAUUUUUGCAAGUCACCAUGCAACGUGCGAAACUGGGAUUUUUGUGCAUCGACUUUUUUUCUUCUGAUAUUUUGUGUCUAAAUCUCCAUUUUCUCCUUGUAUUCAGCCACUCAUGUAAUUCCUUAGCUAGGAAGUAUUCAAGGAAGGGUAAAUUACCUUCCUAUAUAAACUCUCUUGUAAACACUAAAAAAAACUCUCUCUCUCUCUCUGAGGAGCUUGUUCCAGGAGACGAACUAUUGUAUAUUUUACACUUAGUGAAAUAUAGAGAUCUUUUUGCUUUCCUUUUCUCUUUUCUAUUUUCUUUUUCUUGGAAGCCAAACAACCUCUGAGGAUGUUUUCCCAGAGGAUGAGAGGCUAAACCUUUGGUUUCUUAGAGUGAAGGAAGCUAGGUGAAAAGUCCAGAUGCAAAAAUGGAAAACUCUCGUGCAUUAAAUACAGGUAGUUGGAGUUCAUAAAUGGCUUUUAAAUCUAAAGUUUUGCUUUAAAUCCCUUAGAAUCACUUUGAAUGGCCAAUACAUGAUAAGCUUUUAGGUCUCUGUGGAUACUUAUUGCUAGAUCCACAUAAGACCAUUAGUUAUCAUGUACGAGCCAUUGGAAAGUGGCUCAAGGUGAAGACCCAUAGUGUCUAAAGCCAUUAAUGGAACUUGACUACCAUUUCUAUUGACUUUUUAUGGAUUAAAUCUUCAUUGUUAAACCUAUACCGGUUCGGGAAACAACCAUCCUUUAUGUUGUUGUCCCCAAUGCGAGGAGAAAGAUCCGAAAUUUCCCACUUUGCAUUCUGAACUUGAUCCUAGCAACCUUUAGCUCUGGGAGACUUUCUUUCUUCCAUUUUUACCUAGUUCUAUGUUAGUUUAGUUCCAAACACCACUUUCAAAACAAAUUUUCUUUUCUUUUAAACUUUAAGUUUUAGACAAAGGAAAUCAUCAGACUCAAUUUCUAAUCUUGAGUCUAUCACUGGUAGAGUGAAAACCCAUCCCAGAGUUCCACCCUAGAGCUGCUAUACUAUAGUAGCUUUGCUACGCCAGUAUAAGGUCAUAGGAUUUAUAAAUAUUUUUUUGAUUAAAUUACCCAACUGGGCACGAAUCAGUGUCUGCAUAUCAAUCAACACAUUUUGAUGUUUUUUUUUUCUCAAAUUCCAUAUUAAAGUUAUACUGGACACUUGAAUGUGAACAUGUCUGAUUAUAUCUUUUCUUUCCAGACAUGUUUCAUCUCUCCAGUGCACUAGGUUUGGAUGAACCUUAAAGCUCAGCUACAGAAUGAAACUGGAAUAUUAGUCAUGUUUUCUGUUCAUAGAUUGAUAAAAAUGUUGAGUAAGAUCAAGAAAGUUGUUAAAUGGGAAGAUGAUGAUUUUCUUACUGUCAGUUUGCAUUGAAAAAAUGGUAAUCAGAAAAGAUAUUUUAGAUAGGAUUCAGAAAGAAAAUAUGUUGAUUCAAAAGUUAAAGAUAUAGUACCCAAGGGGCUAUGAUCCUGUAUAUGGAUGUUUCAUGUUUUAAGAUUGUGCACGAAGUGCUGAUGUUAUAAGGGAUCAAGGGUGGUUUGUGGAGUAGUCCCCUCUUCAGAGUAUUGCAAGUAUCUAGAUAAUCCUGCAAUUCUGGAGUAGGCUUCUUCUAAUUUGCUCUGCUCCCAAUCGUCCAGAAUAGUGGAAAGCUUCAUUCAGUUGUAAUAAUUUUAUUAUUUAGAUUGAAUCAUAUUCAUUAGGUUUAUAGAUAAGGAGAAAGUGUCAUGGCUUUGAAUGUUUGUCUCUUUGAUAAUAUCACAGUGCAUUGGUUCACAGAGAUGGAAGCAUGACAGUUGAAUGAAAUGACUGAAAUGUAGCAGUCAAGGGUAUAUUAUAUGAAAAAUUUUAAAUAAAGCAACCUGUUUGACUUUACAUAGUGUGCUUGCAUCAGUUGUGGACGUCUAAUGGUUGGAAUAUCCUUGCACAUAUGUCAUCAUUUUCUUUUUUUUCAACUCUGUUUUCUUUGUUUCUCCCUUCCUCGAUCAAGCCAAACCACUUGGUGAUUCUUCAUUUCUUCUUCAUCCCAUCAAGAGAACAGCAUCUCAUGCAUCUUUGUAUUAGGUUCCUCCCUCUUCUUCAACCCUAAGGAAAAACCGUAUCUUGCUUAGUUUGGACUUCUCUAUUUCUUUUGAUCAUUGUGAAAAGAAUCAUGAGAAGAGGUACAAUAAAUGUGUUGUGCUGAAUUAUUCAAAACAUUAUUUUCAUAAUCAUAAAUACCAAGGUGUUUAAGUAGCAGGUAAGACAUCUCUUGACAAUGAGGUGAGAGGUAGAAAUAAGCAACAUACUUGUAUUCAAGAGAAGUUCUGUUCUUCUUUUGAAAUUUGACAACAUCCAUUUAGUCUGAACUCAAUAUCUGGGCAACUCAAUAUCUCCACCUUCAUUAGGAUUGCAGGAAGCUGGCUUAUUGGAAAGACAUGAAACGGGGGCAUUUCAAAAUCCAAAAAAAUUUCAGAGACCUGUUGCAACUUUUGAAUUGCUCAAAUCAGUAACAACUCCAAAGAUAUAUACAUAUCUGCCCCUGGGAAAUAGAGGUGUCCUAGGCAUGCAACCAUGGAAUGUUAGCUCCCUAAUAGGCUCAAGGUUGUGAUCAUAAAAAAUGCACUGAGUGAGUGACUUGCAAUCAGUUCUGUGAGUCCCUCUUGGUAGCUUCUCAUUUAUUUCACCAUAUGAAUUGCAGAUUCCAACUGCCAAUUUCACCACCCCUAAAUGAACUAGGAGACAUGUUGAAAGCAAAGUUAGACAACUCAUCAUAGAGUUAAUCCUGUAGGAAUACACCAAAAAGGAAAUCUUAUUAAUAUAAAUGAAUUCAUCCAAUUAAAGGAUAAGGUUGCCUGAAAAAUUAAAUUGAGAGAGAUGGAUAUAGUGAUGCUUACAUGGGACUGUGGGAAGGAUCAACAAGAGAAACAAAUAUUGAAUAGAAAAUGCAAAGCCAUAGAGUUUGCAACUGCUGUCAAAAGCUGCUCCCUAGUGAAGUCUUUUAACAAUAAAUUUUAGUGCAAAAUUCGCCUAAUUGCUCCACUUGUAGGACAUUUCAAUAGUAUGAAAACAGGAUAUGGUGAACUCUCCCUGCUUCUUCCAUUAGUGAACUAAUAUGGAUCAAAGAUGAAUCUCGUCAUCUACAUCUAUUUUUACAUAGGAGAUGUGGGCAAUCUUGGGCCAAUCUUUCAUCAUUGGAUUUAGGAGUUGUCUUUGAUUUAUGGUUCUAAAAGCAUGGCAGGAAACCCUUCACUUGUCAAAUACUACUGGAGCUUAGGUGAUGUCUCAAUGUGGGGAUGCCAAGGAUACCAGAUUCUGGAAUCUUUACAUGAAAAUAUACAUGAGAUCCAUAGGGAGAAAAUACAGGCCUUGGUCAUCUGAGAAAGAAGCCACAUAUUGAAAUAUACCACCAACGAUGAAUUGUUUGAGAGUGGUGAGUCUGUGAGGGCCCCACUAGGACCUGGGGUGUUUCUCACAUUCUUUCAAUCUUCAAUCUGAAAUAUCCACUUAAGCAAUUGUACCUCUAGGAAUGAGUCAUUUUGGGGCAGAUUGUUUUCAUUUUCCUUCACACCAUUGUUUCACCAUAGGGCACUAAAUGAUAUGUAGUUGCAAGACAAAUAAAGGUAGCCUUUAAUGAAAGCUUAUAGAAAUUCAAGACAAACAGAUCUUCAUGGAGAUAUGAGGUUUUGAAAUCCAAUAAAGAUUUGAAAAUCCAGACACGAGUUAUCCAAUGUACCCAUUGGUAAUAGAGUUGGGUAGUAUUGUUCCUUCUACCCUUGGAAAAUGACAUCACAUGAGAAAUUCCACUAGUAAUGGGGAGCUUAAGUGAUGUGUUGGGGCUUGGGCAAUGUUGUAUCUUAAGAUAUUCAAGAGAUGUGUGAUCAUGCAUCAACCCUAAUUCUGCUAGCAUAAUCUGGUUUUCAGUCUUAAAUAUGUAGUUAAAAUGUAUGGCAGGUCAUGCAUGCAUCUCUGAUAUUGUCAUGAGAAGUGGAGAUUGAGCAACAUACAUGAUUCAAGGGAUGUGCAAUUGUUCUUAUCCAUCGAACAAUCUUCAUUUGAUACAGAGCCCAGAUUUUUAGCAACUUGUGAUCUCCACAUUUUAACACAUUGGAGGAAGUUGGCCUAUUCAACAAACAAGACAGGACAUUUAGAAAAAUGCAAGAAUUCCAGACAUGUGUUGCUGUCAUGAAUUAUUCUAAUCAGUAAGGAAUCAAAGUGCUAUAAUUUUGAUUUGUGUAGCUAUUUAACAUGGAUAACAGACCUAUCUUGGGGAAGUAACUUAAGUCCCACACACCAUCUCAAUCCUGAGCUCUCUGGGAUACUUAAGACACCAACUUAAUCAAAGUUGCUACUUGUUUCUAUGGUAGCUCGUCUUUUUCCACUGAUACUGGGGAAAAAGCAAAACAAAGGGAAAUGAAGUCAUGUUAUGAUCCUGUCUCCAAUCUCCUUGACACAGAUAGAUGAUUUCCUUGCAACCGAUAAUGUCUAAUGCUUUCACUUCAGUUCUAGCAUGUGUUUUGGGAAGAGAAUUAAGCUUUCAAAUAUUGCCAAUAUGCAAGGAAUUGAGAAAGGCCAGGUGGGCAGCUGCCACAGUUAGUUCACAAACCAAUGGCAACAUUGGAGUGGAACAUGACACAAAAACUUCAAAAGACAAAACCUGUUUUUCACAAUCAUAAAUACCGAGGUGUUUAAGCAUAAAGUAAUGCAUCUAUUGACAAUGAUAUGUGACGUGGAGACAAGCAACAUACCUGUAUUCAAGAUAAAUGGUAUUCUUCUUUUGCAUUGACAACAUUCAUCUAGUCUAGGCCCCAAAUUUUUAGCAACUCUAGAUCUCCACCUUUAUUAGGAUUACAGGAAGCUAACCACUUGGAAAGACAUGAGAGUAACAUUUAGAAAUCUGAAAGGAUUCUAGAGAGCUGCUACAAAUGGUGAAUCAUUCCAAUCAGUAACAACAAGGAGCCCUAUAUACAAUUUUGAACUAUCAGCCUUCAUAGCAUGAAUGAUAAACUUGUCCCUAGGAAUGAGAUGUGCCUUGGGCAUGCAACCUUCAAUUAUUAGUCAGAGUUACCCCUACCUAAUCCAUUUCGAUGUGUCUGGGAAAACGAGGUCCACCAGAUGUUAUGGCCAUUAUCUCAUGGUAGUGGAUGUUUUGAAGCAGAGUAUCACUGGAGGUUAUGGCCAUUAUCCCAUUGCAGCAGAUGUUUUGCACCAGAGUUUAAAACCAAGUCAUUGACAAAGGCCAUAGUGAUGUCAUUGAUUUUAUUCUAAACCUAUCAAAAACAAUAUGAGAUUCACUUUGAUUUCAAGUUAUGCAAGAUCUAUAUGAGCUCAAUUGUUUUGAAACUUGAUUGAUGUUUCGUUGGUCAGGUUUUUUUUAGACAUGAACUUAUUUUUUGUGCUUAACUUGAAGAAGCUGCUAAUAAGACUGAAUAGUCACAUAUCACUUAGAGAGUUGAGAAUCACACAACUUUUUCGUUUUUUUUAGGACUGGUUUGUCAUCAAGUCUUUUGCUCAGUUGUUGUGAUGGUUUGAAAUUUCUAUCUGAUGACUAUAACCUAUAUAAACAACAACUUGUAUUCUCUUAUCUUGAGCAUUUUAGUAUUCAAUAAAAAAGACCUUUACUAAACCUGCAGAUUUUUUCAAGUGAUAUUUUUUUUUUCAACAAGGAAGGGAGGCAUUUUUAUUGGUAGCAUAUCCUGAUUCAUAGAGUCUAAACCCUUGCAAAUUGAAAGAAAGACAAUUUACAUAUCAUUAAAGGGUGAUCUGUAAGCACUCUUAUAAGCCAACAUCUUCCUCAUUUGGAUUUGGAAUUUAACCUUUGAUAAGCGUUUACUUGUUUUUAAUCUAUUUUUUAGGAAGACAAUUAAUGAGAUUUUGCCAACCAAAAACAGAGGUUUGUUAGCCCUCCUACCCUCAAGCUGGUUCUCUUGCAUAUGCUUGAAGAACUAAAACAAAGUAAUGCACUAUAUCCUAGUUCUAACGAUUUCCAAUCCCCGGCAACGGCUCCAAUUUCUUGACCAAACUUCUCUACUUAAUCAAAAUACUUAGCCUUUUUGCGUAGCAACUCCGGUCAAGAAAAAACUAGAGAAAUAGUCACUACGUCUUUUGUAGUAUUCCGGGUAUCGUCCUCAAGGACUGGCUUAUGGAAAUUGUCAAUACAAGAAUAAAUGAAUUGCUUUUAUUUAAAUUCUAAAGUGAAAACCAAUAUGUGAAUAAUGUGAAACUAAGUAAAAGAAAUGAAAUUAAUAAAAAAAUGAAUAUUCAUUUUAAAUUCAAUUGAUUCAAGUUUGGGGUUUUCCACAAUCCAACAUAGGGUAUAGAAAUUAGAGAAAACAAGGGUCUUUUAAGUAAUAUGAUCUUAGGAUUUUGGGAUCCUUAGCCGCUCGCUAUCAAGUUGAGUUCUAUAACUCAAAAUUGCAUCUGAAACUUAAUUUUUGCUUUUUAAAAUAGAUUCCUAAAACCAUCAAAUGAAUGAGAUUGAUUACCAAUUUAAGAUUUGGCUUUUUAACCCUUCCAACUCCUUAUAGCUUUGUUUAGGGGCAAAUAGCGAUAGGGAAGACGAGGAUAACUAAUGGUCAAGAAUUACCAAGAAUCACUAGUAUCAGGUAAUAACCUACGGUAUCAUUCCCUAAACGAACUCACAAAGAUAGGAUAAAAAAAUGAUAAAUUGUCACCCAACCAAUAAUUAAUCUCAUUGUUAUAAUAAUUUACCCAUUGUCCCUAUAGGUUUCCUAGACCUUAGGUUUUCAUGCUUCAAGCCCCAAGUUGGCUCUUAACCUCUCAUGGGGGUGAUGUCACAUUCACAAUCCAUAAUAGGGUAAAAAUCCAUAAUUUGAAUCAAAAGAAACCAAUUAAUUAGUCAUUGCAUUUUCAUAGUCUUACAAGAAAUCUUGUUAUGGUGGCAGGAGAACAAACUACAACAUAGUCUCAUUUCCCUUCAUGAUUUAGACAUUAUAAAGAUCAAAAACCUGUUCCUGGUAAUAUAAGAAAAAGAGUAGCCAAAGAACAGGAACAAAAUGUAUUGGAACCUUGUGGAAUUGAAUAGUUGGUAUCCAGGUGGAAAAAAUACACAAAAAUGCACUUAACAAACUGCUAAUCAACAGGCCAAGAUUCUACUUCCAAGAGACAGGUUUGUCAUCCAUGUCAAGAAGGCUUGCACUUCAUUUUUCUGGGACUUUGGCAUCAACAAAUUUCUGGAAUUCUUUCAGGUUUCUAAAUGGAAUGGUUCAAGUCAUCAACACAUUCCUAGAAUUCUUUUGUAAAUGUCAUCAUCCUGGCCAACUUUCUUCAGUGUUGAAAGAGGGGGUGAUACCAUGUUGCUAAAAAUUAUAGUCCAUAUGUACUAGAUGGACAAGAACUACAACACUUGUAUUAGAAACAUCUCUGUUGCCUGGAUUUGCAUUACCUGCCAUAAUUAAGCACCUUUUUAUUAUUGUAGCAGAGUGUUUCAGAGUCACCCAUACCUAAUCCAUCUUCAUGUCUCUCAAACAACUAGGUCUAUUGGUAGUAGAAGAAGAGCAGCUUGAAUAGCUGGUCAUUUCCUUUUAUAAUUUAGGGAUAGAGGUUAAAAACUACCGCACUUAAAUAACUGGUAUUCAGGUGGACAAGAACUACAACACUUCUCUAAGAAACAUGUAUAUUAUUUCUUCAACUCUUACUCUAUUCCCUGGAGUUGCAUUACCUGCCAUGAUUAAUCGCCUCCUAUUUAUUCUUGUGGAGAAACAGGUUUUGGUGUAUGUAGAGAGACUAUACAAUUAUUGCACCUCUUGAUUUUCAAGACCGCCCAACCUCUCCUUGAGAAUCUAGAAUUGUCAAACUGAUUUAUGGCUAACCUUCCAAGGACCUUAGGGGCUUCAUACAAGGUAGAUCUUGUGUAAGAGAUUCAAAAUUAUCUCUACAUAAUCCAUCUCCAUUUCUUUAUAAUAACUAGAUGUUGAUUCAUGCCCAAUUGGUGUCUUAGCUGAUUCGUGUCCAGCUGGUGCUCCUUGAUAGAGGGAGUAAUCAACAAAAUUUCUAACCUAUAACACCAUAUACUAGGGUAGCAAAGAAAAAGCUACUAUAGUAUAGCGGCUCUAGGAUCGUUCAUUGGGAAGGAUUAGCAAGCUAUCAAUGAUACCAAUUCCAAGUGAAUUGGUCUUGUUUCAUUUCAAGGUUAGCUUAAGAAAUAAAACACAAACUUUGAUUGGUAAAGAUUUAAACUAACUAACAUAACAAGUACUCAGAAUAACUUAGGAAGAAAAGCAUUCCUUGGAGAGUUAGGUUCACUGGGGUGGUUCCUCAUGCAAAAGACAUAGCUCUGGUCAGAUGGUUCAUUUCCACGCGUUAAAGAUUCAACAUAUAGUCAAUUCUCUAACCGGUGUUGCACAGAUACCCCCUUCAAUUAGAUUUUACUUUAAUUCUCUCACUGAUGCAACUUGCAAUGGUUUCAGCCUCUCACUAAGCCGUAACCAUUCAAGGUGAUCUUUAACCUUGGAUUACCCGUCAAAAGCUCACAAGAGAUAACUAAUGAAUGUCUCCUUGGAGUCCAAAAGCUUACCAAGUGUUGGCUAUUCUAGAAAAUCCUACCCUAAAGUCACCUCCCAGAGGCUCGCAAGGGGUAAACUAGUGCAUUUCCAUGGUUCGAAAUCACUUGCCUUACCAAGUAUUGGCCCAGGUGACUAUAAGGUGUUUUAAGUUAACUAAAAACAUAGAAAUCACUAAAGGAUUUCACUUCCUCUUCAUUAAUAGCUAAAACCACAAAGAUUUGCAUUCUUGCACUUGGAACCUUCCCCGGCAACCUUAGCUCCAAGGAAUUAGAGGUUUAGUUACUCAUUCUCUGGGGAAAACUCCUCAGAGAGUUCAUAACUUAGUAAGAAAAUAAAAAUACAAAGUGAGAAGGUAAAGCAAUACAAAGAACUGAACUUUACUUGCUUACCCAAGACUUUUACAAAAGGAUCUCCUCUCUGAGAACAGGCUCCCGAGAGGUACUUAUAUGAACAUAAUAUAAAACUAAUUAUUACAUAGAUAUUUUCUCUUUUUACUAACUUAAAAGCUAAGGAAUCUUGUAAUUGGUGGCUUACAAGGAGUAUUUUGGGAUUUAGACAACAAAAAUCUGAUGUAAAAUAUCUCCCAAUGUCGGUAGCAAAUAUCGGGAUGCUCCAGGAACCAUUUCGCAAGAGAAAAUGGUGUCUGCGAGAUUUCGCAGGCACUCAAGAAGGGCUGCGAAAUCAUUUCGCAACAACAUGCUAUCUUCGCAAGGCUGCGAAGUUGGCUUCCACCUUGAGGUUCUCAGAUCCCAGCUUGCAGCAUAUAUCAGGCAACUUCAGAAGGAAAUACACCCUACUGUACAAAAAGGCUGCGGAAUCACUUCGCAACAAAAGGGUGAUUUCGUAACACUUUGGAAAUUGCUUCCUUCAGCUUGGAGUGAUUGGCUUGCAAUGGCUGCAACUUCUUCGUUUCAACUCCGAAUUGCGCACCAUUUAAAGCAUUGGAUUGUUGACUUCCUGAGCUUUGAAAUGGUAUAUAUCAUGCAUCAAUUGGACUUCAGAAAGUACUCCAAAAGUGGCUGCUACAACUGUCAUCAAGAAUAUGCUUCAUGGCAGAUUCUCUUUACUUUUUCUCCUUGCAAUCCGGAUUUACUCUUGGAAAAUGACUUCUAAACUUUACCCAAGAUUCCUCAAAACUCUCCUCAAACUUGAAUUGAUUUGGUGAUCAAAUUACUAACAAAAACACCAAAACUUACACAAAGUGAUUAAAAUUGCUUUCAAGGGUCCUUAACAUGCCAAUUGAGUUAAAAGGCCAAAACUACUAAUCAAAAGUGUUUAAAAGGAUUAAUUAUAAGCUAUCAAAUAGCACUUUUUGAGUAGUAAUCAGAUGUUAUGGCCAAAAUCUCACAUAAGGUGUCAGGUUCAUGUUGGGGCUCAUUCACAAGAUUAAGAUGAAUAUAAUAGGGGAUGUUCCAGAUUUACCACCAGCCAUGUUGUCAAGUUGUUCAAUUUUCUUGUGUUGACUAUGGCCACAAUCACAGUUGUGUGUCCUUUCCCAAAAGAAAUGUCAUUUUGAAACUUUUAAUGUCAACAACAAAACUUUCAUGUUUCUAUAUUCAGGUACCCACAAAAAAUUGAGUCCCUGUUUGCAUCCAAUGAUAGAAAGUAAUAAUCUGAACAAGGGAACAAGUGAGGAGAAAACUAAUUCUAAACACGGAAGCCAAGUACUUGAUUUCUGUUUGACUGGUGGAAUAAUUGAAAUGUAUUUACAGAUUUAGCAUUAGAUAAGUUUAACAAAAUCACUAGUUAACCCCCAAACCUCUUCCCUCCACCCACCACAAAGGAAAGAAACAACGUUUUGGGAUCCUAGUAGCUUUAUGUUACAAGAUUCUGAUCAACAUAUGCUGCAAAGUAUUAUGUUGGUUCAAUUCCUCUACUUUGCAUUGCAACAAAGUAUAAGUGGGUUUUCUCUUUUCUUCAUCUUCAAAUGAAACAACCCUUCUCAAUAAAAGAAUACAAGAAAUUGAGAGCUAAGACCAUUUCCUUUCAUUGUGCUUUGUUUACUCUACUCCUUCUUUUGGUCAAGCCAAACAAUCUUUGGCUUGUCCAUUUCUUUUUCACCCCACAUAAAAAGGCAGCUUGUUAAGUUAUCCCAUCUCUUUAUCCCCUUGUCAAGACACAGAAUUUAAUGCAUUGUUGUCUUGGAUUCCUCCUAGUUAAAAGGAAGCUUGAAAUAUCUCUAGUGCUUCUCUGUUUCUUUGAGUCAAAUGAUAGAAUAUUGAUUUUCUCUGUUUCUUUGAGAUGCAAGAGGUUUGUACAGAACUUAGGUGAUGUAACUAUUGGUCAGUGAGGUAUUUAAUUAGAGAACUUUGGAGGCUUGGGCAUUACUAUUUAUUUAGAUAUUCAAAAUGCAUUAUUGCACAUCUUCUUGACUUCCUGUAAAUGAACUUGUUUUUCACAAUCAUAAAUAUGGAGGUAUUUAAUUAUGGUAGGUAAUAUACCACCUAGAAAUUGAUGUGGAAGGUGGAGACUAACAACAACAUAGAUGUAUAUAAGGGAUUUACACUUAGUCUUGUGCAUCAAACAACCCUCAUUUAGUAUAAACCAUAAAUUUUGGCAACUCGUGAUCCACAAUUUAGAGCAUGAGAGGAAGCAGACCUGUUGGAAAGACAAGAGGAGACAGUUAAAAACAUGCAAGAAUUCCAUAGAUGAGUUGCUGUUAUGAAUUAUUCAAAAUCCAUGAGAAAAUUUAAAGCCCAUUAAUUUUGAAUGAAACACCUACUUAGCAUGGAUCAGAAACCUAUUUUACGAAAAGAAACCAAGUCUUGAGGACCAAUUCAAUUACCAAAUCUCUAGGAAAUACUAAGGCCUUUUUAGUAGCUUCCUAAUUAGUGCAUAAGGUGGCAAUGCUAAUUGCUUUUUUGGAAGUUCUUCUUCUUCUGGUAUCGAGGAAAAUGCUAUAAUCCUAAAUCUGCAUUCUCUAUGUACAAAUGUUUUUUUCGAUGCAUACUGUUAGAGAAGAUGAGGAAGCUUCAGAAUGUUAGUUGACAAAUCAAUUGGAGCAAUGGAAUUGGAACAGGACACUAACUUCACAACAUUAAAAAUAAGUAAUGCAGAUAAGGGCAUUUAUAUGUACACAUAUUGAUCAGAAAUAAACUUCAUUCUUUAGCAACCUAAAAACUCAAAAGAAAGAAGUAUAAUUUCAGAUAUGCAAGAUUUUGAUCAAUUAAAGUCCAAAGCAUUUUAUGUUCAUACAAAUGAGAAGACAGAAUGGCAGCUGACUUUGAGGAUUGAUAGAAAAAUGAAUUGAUGCUACUUCCCAAUGCUAAUGCCAUUAAUUUGUUGUUGCUUUUUGUGGCCAUGUCAAGCUUGUCCAUCAGAUAAGGUUUGAAUUGCUUCUAUUAUUCUUGUUUAAGACAAUCCCCCCCUCCCCCCCUCCUUUUUUUUCUUUGUUAUAGUCAAUCAUCUUGUUUCAUGUUUGCCCUAUAGUUGGUCUGCUGAUGGUAGGCUUCUUUUGAGUGGAAGCAAAGACUCUAUGUUGAAGGUAAAUCAUGGGAACUAUGUCUUUUUGUGGUAUCAAUGGGGCUAUCAUAUAGUUGAAUGAUUCUAUUGCUUCCUUAUAGCUUUUCAAGGCACUAAAAAAGAAAAGAACAAAUGUGACAUGGCAACAUUUUUUUCUUCCAAGUUUAAACGGUAAUUUGGGAGAGUGUAUUAUGAAAAUAUACUAAAAUAAAAAAUCCUAUGAAUGCAUUCUACUUUGGAUAUUUCUUAUGAAUCUUUCCUUCCACUCCUAACCACCACAGACACUCCCAUCACACCAAGCCUUGUAGUUGUUCUAAAUUGUUGCAAAUCUGUCAGAAACCAAUUACUAAUAUUAAGGACGGUCAUGUCUACUAAUUUGGGGCUAGAAUUUUUAGAGCAGGUGGGAAAUUCUGGUUGCAGUAGGGAAUGUGAGUGCUACUAUUUUGCCAAGGUGGCUUUCCUUAUUCAUGCUAACAUCAACAACAUAGCAAUGAACUCAAUUUAAUAUUGUUUAUCAUAUAGGCUUGAGAUAUCCGGACAUAAAAGUUAAAACAAGACCUUCUAGGCUAUGAAGAUGAGGUAUUUUCCUCCUCUUAAGUACUAGUUAAUAUUCUUCUUUUGACAUUGUACUUGGUUUAAUUAAUGUUUUCCUUCUUUUCGUAUUUUGGAAAGGUUUUUGCUAUUGAUUGGAGUCCAGGUGGUGAGAAGGUAUUCUCCGGUGGUAAGGAUAGAGUACUCAAUUUAUGGAUGGGUUGAUGGCUGAAGGAGGAAGAGAUGUAUGAAAUGAAGAUUGAUAUUAUUCUUCCACAACAUGAUGGACUUGACAGCACUCAGCUUUUGCCUACAGUUAAUAGUCUACCAUAUGUGUAACUUAAAGGUUGUGCACUAAGUUCUGAUGUUAUGAAGGAUCGAGGGUGGUUUGUGCACUAUGCUUUUCUAAAAUGUUUUUCUUUAUUGAGUUGUAAUGAUUGUAUUAUUUGGAUUUAAUUGUAUUAAUUAGGUUUGCAGAUCAUGAUAUGAUUAUUUUCCUCUUUGAUCAUGUAAAGUUGGGAAACAGUUAUGGGUUACUGUAAUAGUAUGGUAUAUUGAUGCACAUAGUUUGUGGCAUGACAAUUUGAUGAAAUAACAGAAGUGUAGCACUCAUGGGCAUAUCAUGUGAACCUUAUUCAAUGUGGCAUUGAUAAUUAGUUUAAAUUUACAUGGGUGUAAUGUCGCACCAGUAUCAUCUGAUGAACCUUGGAUUCUUUUUUCUCAGUUUCUUCCUCUCUUAGUCAAGCUAAACAAUUUAUCUUCAUGACUUCCUUAUGUUACCAAAAAAUAGCAUCUUGUGUUCUCCAUAUCUUCAUCCCCUUGUCAAGACACAACAAUUUGAUGCAUCUUUGCAUUGGGUUACUUCCUCUCAUUUCCCUCUCCUUCUUCCUCGUAUCAUUGCUUAGUUUUGGCUACUCUAUUUCUUUUGAUCAUUAUGGUAGAGCAUCAUUGCAAGAUGUAUAAGAAAUGUUGUGGUGCAUUAUCCCCUUCUCUACCACCUGAAAUCUGUUUUCCAUGAUCAUUAAUACCAAGAUGUGUAAGCAUCAAGUAAGGCAUCUCUUGACAAUUAUGUAAGAGAUAAGAGACAAGCAACAUACCGGUAUUCAAGAGAAGUGAUGUUCUACAUUUACAGUUGGCAACAUGCAUUUAGUCUGAACUCCAGAUUUGAGCAACUUAGAAUCUCCACCUUCAUUAGGAUUGCAAAAAGUUAACUUCUUGGAAAAAUGUGGAAAUGGGGCAUUUAGAAAUCAGAAAGAAUCCCAGUGACCUAUUGCUACUUUUGAAUCAUUCCAAUCACUAACAACUCUAAAGAUAUAUAUAUACAAAUCUAUCCUUGGGAAAGAACUCGAUGUUUCUUGGGCAUGCAACCAUCUCUCUUAAUAGACUUAGGGUUCUACACCCUCUUGGUGGUUUCUUAUAUAUUGCACCAUAUGAUUUGUAGAUAUCCAAUUGUCAAUUUCACUACACUUGAUGAACUAGAAGCUAUGUUGAAAGUGAAGUUAAACAACCCAUCAUAUCCGGUUAAAGGAUAAAGUUGCAUGAAAAAUUGAAUUGGGAGAGAUACAAAUACUGAUGCUUACGUGGGACUGUGGAAGGAAUCAACAUGAGGAACAAACAAUUAAUAGUAAAUGUAAAGUCAUAAAGCUUGUAACAACUGUCAAAAGCUACUCUAUAGUGAAGUUUUUUAACAAUAAAGGUAACUGAAAAAUUCACCAAGUAACUCCACUUGAAGGAAAUUUCAAUGGUAUGAAACUAGAAUAUGGUGAACUCUCCUUGCUUCUGCUAUUGUUAUGAGCCAUUAUAGAUCAAAGAUGAAUCUCGCCAUUUGUUUUCACAUAGGAGAUGUGGGCUAUCUUUGGGUCAUCUCUCAUCAUUGGAUUUAGGAGUUCUAUCUCUCAUAUAUAGUUUCACUUGCCAACUACAAAUGGAGCUUAGAAAAUGUCUCCAUGAUAUGGAGACUGAGAAACAUACAUGAUUCAAGGGAUGUGUAGUUGUUCUUGUGAAUCACCCAAUCUUCAUCUAAUAUAUAUAGAUCGACACACAAAUUUUAGCAACUUGUAAUCUCCACAUUUUAGAGCACUGGAUAAAGCUAGCCUAUUCAACAAACAUAACACAAUUAGAAAAAUGCUAGAAUUCCAGAGACAUGUUGUGAUAUCAUGCAUUCCAAUCAGUAAGGAAUCAAAGUGCUAUAAUUUUAAAUUGUGUAAUAAUAGACCUAUCUUGGGGAAGUAAACUAUCUUGAGCACCAACUCAAUUGUGAGUUAUUUAGGAGACCUGGAUACCAACUCAAUCAAAGCUGUUAGUUGUUUCUGUGGCAGCUUGUCUUCCUCCACUAAUACUGGAGAAAAUGCUUUUGAAACCCUUAAUCUUCAAAUCACAAAGGGAAAUUAGAUUAUGUUGUUAUUCGAUCUCCAAUCUCCUCGACACAAACGAAUGAUUUCCUUGCAACAAACAAUGUCUAAUUCUAUCACUUGUACUCUAGCAUGUGAUUUGGGAAGAGAAUUAAGCUUUGGAAUAUUGCCAAUAAACAAGGAAUUGAGAAAGACCAAGUAGGCAGCCACCACAACUAGUUCACAAACAAAUGGAAGCAUUGGGAGUGGAACAUGACACAAAAACAAAACAUGUUUUCCAUAUUCAUAAAUACCAAGGUGUUUAAGCAUCAGGUAAGGCAUCUCUUUACAAUAAUAUGAGAGAUAGAGACAAGCAGCAUACCAUUAUUCAAAAGAAGUGGUAUUCUUCUUUUGCAUUUGAUAACAUUCAUCCACUUUACACCCCAAUUUUGGAAACUUAGGAUAUCUCCACUUUGAUUAGGAAUAUUGUGGGAAGUUGGCCUCUUGGAAAUACAUGAGAGGCCACUUAGAAAUUUGAAAAAAUUCUAGAGACUUGUUAUUGCUUGAAUUGUGAAUCAUUCCAAUCAGUAACAACCGUAAAGCCUUUAUACACAAUUUUGAAUUAUUAGCCUUCUUACUUUGGAUGAAAAAUUUGUCCCUAGAAAAGAGACGUGUCUUGGGGCAUGCAACCAUCAAUUAUUAGCUCUUUAAAAGGCUUGAAGUUGUGCACGCUCUUGGUAGCUUCUCAUUCAUUACAACAUAUAAAUUCCAGAUAUCCAAUUGCAUGUCACUUUAAUUGAACAUAGUAGGAAACAUGGUGAAUAGGAAGUUAGACAACCUAUCACAAAAAGAAUCCAACAAUAAUACACCAAAUAGAACAUCUUGCUAAUUUAGUUAAACUAUUGUGUGAAAAUCUAAAUUGGGAGAGAGAAAACAUUGAUGCUUACAUGGGACUGUGGAAGGAACCAACAAGGAAAACAAACUUUGAAUAGAAAAUAUGAAGCCUUAAAUCUUGUAAUUGUUGUCAGAAGUUGCCCCCUAGUCAAGUUUUCAAUAAAAAAGUUCAGUGCAGGGAUUCUCUAGUAGCUCAACUUGUAGAAAAUUUUAACAGUAUGACAAUUUAUACUUAUAAAAAGAAAAUAAAAUGUAAGAAUUAUGUGUUGGGAAUAGAUGAAACUUACUGAAUAUAUGGAUAGAAUAGGGUGAACUCCACCUGCUUCCAUUUUUGGAAUCCAAACUAUUAUGGAUCAAAGAUGAAUCUCUCCAUCUAUUUACAAAUAUGACUUAUGGGCAAUCUUGAACUGAUGUCUCAUCAUUGGAUUUAGAAAUGAUGUAUAGCUUUGAAACCAUGGCAGGGUUCUCCUUUAGUUGCCAAAUACCACUAGAGCUUAGGUGAAGUCUUGGUGAUGUAGGAAAGUCAUGGAUUCUGGAAUCUUUACAUUAAAAUAUACGUGAGAUACAUUGGAAGAAAGGGCACCAUCUGAGAAGAAACACAUCUUAAAGUAUACCAUCAAUCAUGAGUUAUUUGAGAGUGAGAAGUCUUUGAAGGCCUCACUCAGAUAAGGGAUGUCUUUGACAUUUCUCACUCUUCAAUCUCAGGAAGAUACAUUAUCAACUAAAACCUUAGGAGUGUGAGUCAUUAUGGGACAACUUGUUUAUGUUCUUUAUUCUUUUCUCACCAGAGGGGAUUGAAAGAUAUGUAGUUGCAAAGGCAAAAGAUGUAGCUAGUAGCGAGAGCAUCGAACAAUCCUUCUCUAAUGCAGACCACAAAUUUUAGUAACUCGUGAUCUCAACAGUUUAGAGCACAAGGAAGUUGUCCUGUUGGAAAUAUGUGACAUGACAUUUAGCAAAUGGGCAAGAAUUCCAAAGAUCAUUCCAAUAAUUAAGGAAUCCAAAGCCUUAUAAUUUGAAUAGGGCAUCUACUUGGCAUGGAUAACGCACCUAUCUUGGGACAAAGACCACAUGUUAAGCACCAAUUCAAUUAUCAACUCUCUAUGAAACUGGAGAUACAAGGUACUAAUGUUAGUACAAAUUACCUGGCAGCUCUUUUUCUUUAAUGGUAUUAGAGGCAAAGCCUUGUGAAAACCCCCAAUCUACAAAUUACUAAGGACAUGAGAUCAUGUUGUAAUCUUAUCUUCAAUAUCCAACUACAAAUAAAUUAUUUCGUUCAAUUAACAAUCUUUAAUGCUUUCACUUCUAUCAUACAAUAUGCAAUAUGGGAAAACAAGUAAGCUUUAUAUUAUUAGGAAUAUGCAAGGAAUUGAUGAAGGCUAUGAAUCUACUUAAAAUUAAAAAUUAAAAAAUAAAAACAAAGAUUUUUUCACUCAUGAAUAUCGUAACUAGAAACAACUGCUUGCAGUUGUUUUACAUAGAUGAAUUGUUUGUCUUUUUGCAUUAUUUUGUAGAAAAUAUUUUUAUGAGCACUACUAAUUUUUUCAUAUCCGUUUAUAUUGAUGCAUUUCAUAUUACUCAUUUUAGGUGGAUGCACAAUGCUGAUCCAACUCUCCUCCUUUUGGAUGUCUUUCUAACCAUUGUUAGGAUUCAUUAAAAAUGACCUUUAUCAAACCUACGGAUUUUUUCAAGUCAGUUAUAACUUGUAUAAACCUUAUGUAACUCGAAAUGUUUUAUUUUUAAAACAGUCCAUAUCUAUUGGCAACUUACAUGUUUUUCACUACAUUUUUUUUCAAAGAGGAAAUGAGGCAUUUUUCUUUAGUAGUAUAUUGUGAUUCACAAAGUAUAAACUCUUGCAGAUUGAAAGAAAGACAAUUUACAUAUCAUUCAACAGUAAUUAGUAAGCACUUUUAUAUGUUUAUAGCUUCUUCUUAUACGGUUUGUCUUUUAUGGCAUUUACUCUUUUGUUAUUCACAUAAAAAAAACACCCGAUUUACCUUUCAAAUAUAAAAUUCAGUUAUGCAGGAAGGCCAUAAAUUGAACAUGAUAAGAUGGGAAAUGUGUUUCAGGACAACUUUGUGUUCUUGCAUUAUAAGGUUUAGUAUAAUUGUGUGUAGUUCUACAAUCAACAACAUUCUAUUGACUUUGGAUUUGGAAAAAUAACUCUAAUGAGCAUUUACUUAUUUUUCAUACAUUUUUCAGGAAUCCAGUUAAUGAGAUUUUGCUUACAAAAAACUAGAGGUUUGUUAACUCUCCUAUAAUCAGAGACUAGUUCUCUUGCAUAAAUUUCAAGCAAAUUUAUAACCCUCUUCUUUGAUAGUCUUUUAUAUUGGAAUUGAACUUCUUGGUGUCUUUGAAUUAUUUAAAUAUUGGAAGCCAAUUAAGGAGUCAUGCAAUGGCAUAUUGUGAAACUUGAUACACAUAAAAAUAAAAUCUAUUAUAUUAUUUUUCUCACUAAAGAAUCAAAACAUAUGCUUUUCAUUUUGAAUGUUUCAGACUUCAUGUCUUCUCUUUCAUUUACGAUAUUGUCGUUGGUGAACUGGGAAUGUUGUCAAGAAUUUUAGAGCUUGACUAUCUGGCCUUUUCCAAUUCCUUAGAGAUUGGUAAUAAUCCAAUGAUCAAUUGUUUUCCCAAAGUGGCUUACGCUAGCAUUAGCAGAUGUGAAAUUAUCAAUGACCAUUCAUUGUAAAGAAAUCUUGUUAUUAUGGUAGGAUAAUAGACUGUAAUACAGUUUCAAAAUUUUGGGACUUCAGCAUCAACACCUUUCUAGGACUCAGAUUUCUAAAUGGAAUGAUGCAAGGCAUCAACACAUUCAUAGAAUUCUUUAAGAAUUCUAAAUGUGAUCUUGGUAUCUUAAUGACAGGCCAACUUUCUUCAAUGUUGCUAAAAAUUGCAGUCCAUAUAUACUAGAUGGGAAUCCACCCAUGGAUAAGAAAUGUAUGUUGCUUUAUCUUCACCUCUCACUGUCUCACACCCUAUUGCCUCAAGUUGCAUUACUUGCCAUAAUUAAACACCUCUUUUAUCAUUGUGACAAAACAAGUUUUGCCAAAACGAUAUGAGAUUCCCUUUGAUUUCAAGUUAUGCAAGAUCUAUAAGAGCUCAAUUGUUUUGAAAACAUGAUUCAUAAAUACUACGCUAACAUUCAGUUCAUGAAUACCAUGUACCAGAAGAAGGCACUAAGAAAUUUGUGUCAUUUACUUUUAGGAUUCUAUCUUCAACUCUAGUUCAUGCUCAAUUGUUUUAUUAACUACAGUUGCUUUGAAUGAACAUGUCAAAGUACAAGUACUAAACUAGUUCAUUUCCAAUCAAAUUACUAUUCCCGAUUCAUAGAGUAUAAACCCUUGCAAAUUGAAAUAAAGAAAAUUUACAUAUCAUUCAAUGGUGAUCUGUAAACACUCUUAUGUGUCUACAUCUUCCUCAUUUGGAUUUGGAAUUUAACUUCUGAUAAGCGUUUACUUGUUUUUAAUUUGUUUCUUAGGAAUCCAGUUAAUGAGAUUUUGCCAACCAAAAACAGGGGUUUGUUAGCCCUCCUACCCUCAGGCUGGUUCUCUUGCAUAUGCUUGAAGAAUAUUGGAAGCUAAUUAAUGAGUCAUUGCAGUUUCAUAGUCUUAUAAGAAAUCUUGUUAUCGUGGCAGGAAAACAGACUGCAACAUAGUCUCAUUUCCCUUCAUGAUUUAGACAUUGUGAAGAUCAAAAACUUGUUCCCUGAUAAUAGAAGAAGAAAAGCAGCCAAAGAACAGCAACAAAAUGUAUUGGCACCUUGUGGACUUGAAUUGAUGGUAUUCAGGUGGCAUAAAUAUACAAAAAUACACCUAACAAACUACUAAUUAGCAGACCAAGAUUCUACUUCCAAGAGACAGGGUUGCCAUCCAUGUCAAGAAGGCCCGAACUUUAUUGUUGUGGGACUUUGGCAUCAACAAAUCUCUGGAAUUCUUUCAGGUUUCUAAAUGGAAUGGUUCAAGUCAUCAACACAUUCCCAUAAUUCUUUUGUAAAUGUCAUCAUUCUGGCCAGCUUUCUUUAGUCCAUAUGUACUAGAUGGACAAGAACCACAACACUUGUAUUAGAACAUGUCUGUUGCCUGGAUUUGCAUUACCUGCCAUAAUUAAGAACCUUUUUAUUAUUGUAGUAGAGUGUUUUAGAGUCACCCAUACCUAGUCUAUCUCCAUGUCUCUCAAAUAGCUAGGCCCAUUGGUAGCAGAAGAAGAACAACUUGAAUAGUUGGUCAUUUCCUUUUCAGGAAUUAAUUCUACUGCAUUCCUAUACAUAGUAUGCAUAUUGUGAAGAAGAUUAUUUGACUUUACCCUUUUUCUUCUUUGUUUUUUCAAUCUAAAUUGGAGUGGUAUGACUGUGUCACUAUUGCCAGAUUUAAAUGUUAAUGUCAUAGAAUGCAUUAAUAGUUUUCUAUUAGAAUAAUAGAAUCCAAUUCGACUAGAUACUAGACAUAAGUAAGCGUAGAAUAUAGAGCAAACAAUAAAUGAAAUGAGGGAAACAAAUGAUUCGAAGAAGGGUUAUUCGUCUUCCUAGUCUUCCACACAAGAAAGGAAUUUUCUACAUCCCUUUCUUGUGUCAAAAUAAUAAUGAUCCUCAACACCUUCGUCAAAAAUUCCUAUUCUUAGCUUAGAUUUUUUUUCUAGGUUUAUCAUAAUUUUAUAUUUAUUACAUAUAAGAAGUAGUGGACAAACAAAAAAAAAGAGGAAAAUUUAUUGAAAAAAUAGAACUUCUUCAAUGAAGCUAUAAAAAAAAUUUCAACUUUGAUUAGAUACUAAAAUAAAUAGAGUAAGAAUCUAUUAGUAUAGAAAGGAUUUGAAUGAUAUCUAAUAUAGGGAAAUAUAUAUACAUACAUAUAUAUAUAUAUAUAUAUAUAUAUAUAUAUAUAUAUAUAUAUAUAUAUAUAUAUAUAUAUAUAUAUAUAUAUAUUUAUACUCUGUCAUCCAGAAAAUCAAGUGAUUCCUUAUUUCUUCUAACUUUGAAAGGAUCGAUAGAUACUAUCGAGAAGCAAAUGUUCUGAAUUAAUCAAUCAAGUUCGUUUUUCAAAAACAUCAGAAAAAAAAAUGAAAUGGAGUUUUUUUAAACAUCGUAAAAGAAAAUUUGUUUUGUCUGGCAUUUAUACGAAUAAAAUCUUAUGAUUAUUAAGAACUCAACGGGACCUUCCCUCUCGAAUUAGAGCCAAAGAAGGGGUGGGUACCAUUGAGUUCUUAUGCUUUCAUGUCGACAACUUUAUUCAUCCAAUUACUACAAGGAACCAUAAAAGAAAAAACCUAUUAAACCAAUCACAAGAAUACCAGUUACAGUACCUAUUAGCCAAAGAGGAAUCCUUCCAGUAGUAUCGGCCAUUUAUCCCACUUUCCUCCACAUUUCAUCAAGUGGUCAUGCUAAAGUCAUAAAUAGUCAUGGAUAAUUAUGAGAUGAGAUCCUUUCGAAUAAGAUAAGAGAAUUCUUACUAUUAUUAUUUAUUUUAUUAGUCUCUUUCGUUCUCUUAAUUCUUAAUUGAAAAAAUAAUUGGAAAAUAAAACAAGUACAAAAAUGAGUAAUAACCCCCAAUAAAGAUCGAUACGAUUCAAUUCAAUAUUUUGUUCAUUCAGGUUUGAUUGUGUCGUAGCUCUAUAAUUUGGAUUAGGUUUAUUGUUCGAUGAACUGCAUUGUUGAUAUUGACCCUAAAAAAGAAACAAUAGGUACAGCUAGUCCGUGAACAGCCAAUCAUCGCACUGUAAAAAUUGGAUAGGUUCGAUCUAUGGUCAUUGGGGCCUCCUAAAAAGAUCUACUAAAUUCAUCGAAUUGUUCCAAAUGACCAAAACAACAGGUUAUUAAUGGAAUUCCUUGUUGGCUAUCUAUAAAAUACUUGUUUGGCUGAGGACUUCCAAACACAUCGUAAGCUAAACCCGUGUUGACGGAUAACCAACCCGCAAUGAAAAGGGAAGGUGUAGUAAUGUUAUGAAUGACUGAUUACUACUCAAAAAGUGUUAUUUGAUAGCUUGUAAUUAACUAUUUUAAAUACUUUUGAGUAGUAGUUAUCACCUUUUAACCCAAUUAACAUAUUAAGGACCCUUGCAAUCAAUUCUAAUCAAAUUGUGUUAAGUUUUGGUGUUUUGAUAGCUUUUUUAUCACCAAAGCAAUCCGAGAUUGAGGAGAGUUCUUUGGAAUCCAUGGCAAAGAUGUCCAGACAGGGUGUCCGGACACACCAUCGGAGAGCGGAGGAACAUGGGUUGUGGCAGGCUGGCGGAAUAACGUAGAAAGGCUUGCUCACUUUAGUCAACGAUCCGGACAACAUAUCCGGAUAGGAUAUGCAAUCGUCCGGGGUGUGAUGUUCACAAGUGUCGUGUGCUUCUCCCUAAGGGAGUCCGGAUAGGGGAGCGCGUCGCGUGUCCUCUUGGGGAAUCCGGAUGGAGUUGCUCCGGAUAGCGAUGCGCGCUCCAUGUCAUCAGGGGGAGGGGUCCCUACACCUUGCACACGCAGACGAUCCCCCUUGCGACGCACGACAUAGCUCAUUCCACCCGGGGAAGAAUUUUGUAUGGCCGAUGUUUCACCUUCUCCGGAUAUCUCACAUCCGGAAUUAUGCCUUGGUCAGACAUGUCCGGAUCCUCUGAUCGGAUAUCUCACAUCCGGCGCUUGACGCCGGAUGGGAGAGGAGGGCGUUUCAACUUCCUCAGUCAGACAUGUCCGGAUCCUCUGAUAGCGCUCACCCGGAAAGUUUUUCUCUCAAUAUACAGUGCCGCGAUGUUCUCCUGAAGCUUCCCGAUAUUUGCGACCGACAUUUUGAGCUAUUUUGCUUUAUAUAUUUGAUGUCUAAAUCCCCAAAUUCUCCUUGUAACCCACCUAUCAUAGGAUUCCUUAGUCUUUAAGCAAGAGAAAAAGGUGAAUAACCUCUUAUAUAUAGUUUGUAAUUUUCUUUAAAAGGAGGAGAUCAAUCUCUCGGGAGCUUGUUCUUGAAGAUGCAUCAUUUGUACAAUUUUGCAAGAAAUAUAUUUUACAAAGCACUUGCUCUGUUUUUUCCUAUAUAUUUUUGUUUUCUCAGUCUUUUUCUUACUAGCCAAACAAGCUCUGAGGAAGUUUCCUCAGAGAAUGAGUGGCUAGACUUUUAGUUCCUUGGAGCUAAGGUUGCCGGGAAAGGUUCCAAGUGCAAGAAUUUAUAGCUUUGUGGUUUCAACCAUUAAUGAAGAGAAAGUGUGUUCCUUUAAUGAUUUCUAUGUUUUUAGUUAACUUAAAACACCUUCAAUUCACUUGAGCCAACACGUGGUAAGGCAAGUGAUCUCCGUCCAUGGAGAUGCACUAGUUUACCUCUUGCGAGCUUUUGGGAAGUGACUUGAAGGUAGGAUUUUCUAGAAUUGCCAACACUUGGUAAGCUUUUGGACUCUAAGGAGACAUCCAUUAGUUAUCUCUUGCGAGCUUGAGAAGGGAAGUCCAAAGUUAAAGAUCACCUUGAAUGGCAAAUGCUAGGUGAGAGGCACGAGCCAUUGCAAGUUGCAUCAGUGAGAGGGAAUUAGAGCUGAAAUCCAUUUAAAGGAUACAUCUAUACAACACCGGUUAGAGAAUUGACUAUAUGUUAAUUCUCUAAUGCGAGGAAAUGAACCAAAUGACCGAAGCUCUAUUUUUGCAUAAGGAACCUCCCCUGUGAACCCAAACCUCCAAGGAAUGUUUUUCUUCAUAAGUAAUUUCCAUUACUUUCUUUUUAGUUAGCUUGAAACAAAAACUUCGUUUAACCAAAGUUUGUGUUUUAUUUCUUAAGCUAACCUUGAAAUGAAAAAGCACCAAUUUAACUUUGAAUUGGUAUCAGUUGUGAGUUGAAAACCCUUCCCAGAGAACGAUCCUAGAGCCACUAUGUUAUAUUAGCUACAGCUAUCCUAAUGCAUGGUGAUAUAGGUUAUAAAUUUUGUUGAUUACUCCCUCAAUCAAAGAGCACCAGCUGGACAUGAAUCAGCUGAGACACCAAUUGGGAACGAAUCAAAUGGCGCCGUUGCCGAGGAAGGUGCCAACUUCAUAGUGAUAUUAUUUCAGUAUACUUGUGGUUUUCAUCACAAGUUUGGUGAGUUUUCUGUCAUUUUACUAACUCUUUUAGUUGUUUCUUUUACUCAUUUAUAUUCUAGCAUAGCUUUUAAUUUAGAUUUAGUUAAGCGAACUCUUUUUGGUAGUUUUGUUUUUUUUUUUUUUCCUCUGUUUUUGUUCUUUUUUGUUACAGUUGAUACUAGUUGUGUAUGCCAAAGUGGAUACGAGAUAGUGGAGGAAGGCUUGCUAAACUUGAAACACCUCAUAACAAGGAGUUGGAAUUGAGCUUGAACAUCAUGGAAACUACACCUGAGGAUCAGCAUAGUCACCAUGAUCAUCAAGACAAUCCCAAUGAAUUCAGAUCAAUGAGGGACCGCAUGCAUCCACCUCGUAUGAGUGCACCAUCAUGUAUAGUGCCCUCUAUAGAGCAGCUAGUGAUCAGACCCCAUAUUGUGCCACUUCUGCCAACUUUCCAUGGAAUGGAAAGUGAGAAUCCCUAUGCCCAUAUCAAGGAAUUUGAAGAUGUUUGUAAUACAUUUCGAGAGGAACGAGCUUCUAUCGACCUGAUGAGGCUUAAAUUAUUUCCUUUUACUUUAAAGGAUAAGGCCAAGAUUUGGCUUAAUUCUUUAAGACCAAGGAGUAUCCGUACUUGGACUGAUUUACAAGUUGAAUUCCUCAAGAAAUUCUUUCCUACUCACAGAACAAAUAGCUUGAAAAGACAAAUUUCAAACUUCUCAGCUAAAGAGAAUGAGAAAUUCUAUGAGUGUUGGGAAAGAUACAUGGAAGCCAUAAAUUCUUGUCCUCACCAUGGCUUUGAUACAUGGCUGUUGGUGAGUUAUUUCUAUGAUGGGAUGUCUUCCUCAAUGAAGCAACUCCUCGAAACAAUGUGUGGAGGGGAUUUCAUGAGUAAGAAUCCUAAGGAAGCUAUGGAUUUCUUGAGUUAUGUAGCUGAAGUCUCAAAGGGAUGGGAUGAACUGCACAAAGGAGAAGUGGGAAAGAUGAAGUCUCAACCUAAUGCUCUUCAUGCUAAGGCUAGGAUGUACACCUUGAAUGAAGAUGUUGAUAUGAAAGAAAAAUUUGCAGCUAUGACAAGAAGAGUGGAGGAGCUAGAACUGAAAAAGAUGCAUGAAGUGCAAGCUGUUGCUGAAACACCAGUGCAAGUAAAGACAUGUUCUAUUUGUCAAUCUUAUGAACACUUGGUGGAGGAGUGCCCUACAAUUCUAGUUGCUAGAGAAAUGUUUGGAGAACAAGCAAAUGUCAUUGGACAAUUCAAGCCCAAUAGCAAUGCUUCGUAUGGCAAUACUUACAACUCAAGUUGGAGGAAUCAUUCAAAUUUUUCAUGGAAACCAAGAGCACCUCAGUACCAACAGCCAGCUCAACCAUCUCAACCAUCCCAACAAGCUUCAAGUCUUGAACAAGCAAUAGUGAAUCUCAACAAGGUUGUGGGAGAUUUUGUUGGAGACCAAAAAUCCAUCAGCUCUCAACUUAGUCAAAGAAUUGACAGUGUAGAGAAUACUUUGAAUAAAAGGAUGGAUGGGAUGCAAAAUGACUUAUCUCAGAAGAUAGAUAAUCUCCAAUACUCAAUCUCAAGGCUCACUAAUCUGAACACAGUGCAAAAGAAGGGUAGAUUUCCUUCUCAACCUCACCAAAACCCCAAGGGUAUCCACGAAGUGGAAACUCGUGAGGGAGAAUCUUCACAGGUGAGAGAUGUUAAAGCCUUGAUCACUCUAAGGAGUGGUAAAAAGGUUGAGUCACCAACACCCAAGCUAUAUGUUGAAGAGAAGGAAGAAGAAGAGACAAAGAAGAGGGAGGAAAUGAAAGGAAAGAAGAAAGAUAUCAAUGAAGGGAAGGAGGACCGUGAUUCAACAGUGAAUGCAAAUCCGGAGAAAGAACUUAUUAAGCCAGAAUUGAUGAAGAAACGCACAUCUCCACCUUUUCCUCAAGCUUUGCAUGGGAAAAAUGGGAUAAAAAAUGCACCAGAAAUCCUUGAAGUAUUGAGACAAGUGAAGGUCAACAUUCCAUUGCUGGACAUGAUUAAGCAAGUUCCAUCAUAUGCAAAGUUCCUAAAGGACUUGUGUACUAUCAAAAGAGGGUUGAAUGUGAAUAAGAAAGCCUUCUUGACUGAGCAAGUGAGUGCCAUCAUACAAUGCAAAUCUCCUUUGAAGUACAAAGAUCCGAGAUGUCCUACCAUUUCAGUCAUGAUUGGAAGAAAGGUAGUGGAAAAAGCUUUGUUAGAUUUGGGAGCAAGUGUGAAUUUGUUACCAUAAUUUGUUUAUAAGCAAUUGGGACUUGGUGAAUUAAAGCCAACAUCAAUCACUCUAUCUUUAGCUGAUAGGUUAGUGAAAAUUCCAAGGGGGAUAAUUGAGGAUGUUUUAGUUCAAGUUGAUAAUUUCUACUAUCCAGUAGAUUUUUUUGUUCUUGAUACUGAUCCUUUAGUUAAGGAAGCUAAUUAUGUUCCUAUCAUCCUUGGAAGGCCAUUUCUUGCUACUUCAAAUGCAAUCAUAAAUUGUAGGAAUGGACUUAUGCAAUUCACUUUUGGCAACAUGACACUUAAGCUUAAUAUCUUUCAUAUGUCAAAGAAGCUAAUUACUCCGGAAGAAGAAGAAGGUCCAGAAGAGGUAUGCAUUAUUGACACUCUAGUGGAGGAACAUUGUGAUCAGAAUAUGCAAGACGAUUUGAAUGAAAGUCUUGAGGAUCUUAAAGAAGGGUUGUCUGAACCCGCUGAUGUCCUUGCUACUCUACAAGGUUGGAGGAGGAAAGAAGAGAUCCUACCUUUAUUCAAUAAAGAGGAGGGACAAGAUGAUGUAACAGAAGAAUUCUCGAAGCUCAAUUUGAAACCUCUGCCCAUGGAGUUAAAAUAUACAUACUUGGAAGAAAAUAACCAAUGUCCUGUUGUUAUAUCUUCAUCUCUUACCGGUCAUCAGGAGAUUUCUCUACUUGAAGUUCUUAAGAGGUGCAAGAAAGCAAUAGGAUGGCAAAUAUCUGACUUGAAAGGAAUCAGUCCUUUGGUUUGUACACAUCACAUAUAUAUGGAGGAAGAAGCUAAACCAAUUCGUCAACCUCAAAGAAGAUUGAAUCCUCAUUUACAAGAAGUGGUGUGAACUAAGGUACUGAAGCUACUCCAAGCGGGUAUUAUUUAUCCCAUAUCUGACAGCCCUUGAGUGAGUCCUACUCAAGUGGUACCAAAGAAGUCAGGAAUUACUGUGGUUCAGAAUGAAAAAAGAGAAGAAAUUGCUACACGCCUCACUUCAGGUUGGAGGGUGUGUAUUGACUAUAGGAAAUUGAAUGUUGUUACAAGGAAAGAUCAUUUUCAACUCUUGUUUAUUGAUCAAGUGCUGGAGAGAGUCUCUGGCCAUCCUUUCUAUUGUUUCUUAGACGGGUACUCAAGGUAUUUCCAAUUUGAAAUUGAUGUUGAAGAUCAAGAGAAGACCACUUUCACAUGUCCGUUUGGAACAUACGCCUACAGAAGAAUGCCUUUUGGUUUAUGCAAUGCACCUGCAACAUUCCAAAGAUGUAUGCUUAGUAUCUUCAGUGAUAUGGUGGAGCGAAUUAUGGAGGUUUUCAUGGAUGAUAUCACCAUAUAUGGAGGUACAUUUGAAGAAUGCUUAGUAAAUUUGGAAGCGGUUCUUAAAAGAUGCAUUGAAAAAGACUUGGUGCUCAACUGGGAGAAAUGUCAUUUUAUGGUACAUCAAGGAAUUGUCUUUGGCCAUAUCAUCUCCGAGAAAGGCAUUGAAGUUGAUAAAGCAAAGGUGGAACUUAUUGCCAAAUUGUCAUCCCCAACCACUGUAAAAGGAGUAAGGCAAUUUCUUGGCCAUGCAGGGUUCUACAGGAGAUUUAUACAAGACUUCUCUAAGCUUUCAAGGCCUCUUUGUGAACUUUUAGCUAAGGAUGCUAAGUUUGUCUGGGAUGAGAGAUGUCAAAAGAGUUUUGAUCAAUUGAAGCAUUUUUUGACAACCGUUCCAAUAGUAAGGGCUCCUAACUGACAAUUACCCUUUGAAGUAAUGUGUGAUGCCAGUGACUUUGCUAUAGGAGUUGUACUUGGCCAAAGAGAAGAUGGGAAGCCCUAUGUGAUCUACUAUGCAAGCAAAACAUUGAACGAGGCUCAAAAAAACUACACAACUACAGAGAAAGAAUUGUUAGCUGUGGUGUUUGCUUUAGACAAGUUUCGUGCUUAUUUGGUAGGGUAUUUCAUCAUUUUUUUCACUGACCAUUCGGCCUUGAAGUAUUUAUUGACAAAGCAAGAUGCAAAAGCAAGGUUGAUUAGAUGGAUUCUUUUGUUACAAGAGUUUGAUAUCCAAAUCAGAGACAAGAAAGGGGUGGAGAAUGUGGUAGCUGACCACCUUUCAAGGUUGGCUAUAGCACAUAAUUCCCAUGUAUUACCUAUUAAUGAUGACUUUCCUGAGGAAUCACUUAUGUUGCUAGAGAAAGCUCCUUGGUAUGCUCAUAUUGCUAACUAUUUGGUUACUGGUGAAGUUCCAAGAGAGUGGAAAGUGCAAGACAGGAAGCACUUCUUUGCAAAGAUUCAUGCUUAUUAUUGGGAAGAGCUCUUCCUUUUCAAGUAUUGUGUAGAUUAGAUCAUAAGGAAGUGUGUCCCUGAAGAAGAGCAACAAGGGAUCCUCAGCCAUUGCCAUGAGAAUGCCUGUGGAGGCCACUUUGCCUCUCUGAAAACAACCAUGAAGGUCUUGCAAUCAGGGUUUACUUGGCCAUCGCUUUUCAAGGAUUCCCACAUCAUGUGUAGGAGUUGUGAUAGAUGCCAAAGACUCGGGAAUCUUACAAAAAGAAACCAAAUGCCCAUGAACCCCAUCCUUAUAGUUGAUCUUUUUUAUGUUUGGGGUAUUGACUUCAUGGGACCUUUCCCAAUGUCUUUUGGUAACUCUUAUAUAUUGGUGGGGGUGGACUAUGUUUCCAAAUGGGUGGAGGCAAUCCCCUGUAAACAUAAUGAUUAUAAGGUGGUUCUCAAAUUUCUUAAGGAGAACAUCUUCUCAAGAUUUGGGGUGCCCAAGGCCAUAAUCAGUGAUGGAGGUACUCAUUUUUGCAACAAACCUUUUGAAACCCUAUUAGCCAAGUAUGGAGUGAAGCAUAAGGUAGCUACACCUUAUCAUCCUCAAACUUCCGGGCAAGUGGAGCUAGCAAACAGGGAAAUAAAAAACAUACUGAUGAAAGUGGUGAUUACAAGCAGUAAAGAUUGGUCUAUUAAGCUGUAUGAUUCAUUAUGGAUAUAGAACAGCUUAUAAGACUAUUCUUGGCAUGUCCCCCUAUCGUCUCGUCUAUGGCAAAGCAUGCCACCUCCCUGUGAAAGUUGAAUAUAAGGCUUGGUGGGCAAUCAAGAGGUUGAACAUGGACUUGAUUAGAGUUGGGGCAAAGAGGUGCUUAGACCUUAAUGAGAUGGAGAAAUUAAGAAAUGAUACUUACAUCAAUUCCAAAGUUGCAAAACAGAGGAUGAAGAAGUGGCAUGAUCAACUAAUCUCCAACAAAGAAUUGCGUAAAUGACAAAGAGUCCUACUCUAUGACUCAAGGCUCCAUAUCUUUCCAGGGAAGCUCAAGUCAAGGUGGAUAGGUCCUUUCAUUAUUCACCAAGUAUAUCUCAAUGGAGUGGUGGAAUUACUAAAUUCCAAUGGCAUAGACACCUUUAGAGUCAAUGGUCAUCGCCUCAAGCCAUUCAUUGAGCCGUUCAAGCCAGAAAAGGAGGAAAUCAACCUCCUUGAGCCACAAAAAGCCUGAUCAGAGAAGGGUUAGAUGGACUUGGUUUCACCAAAGUCCAUAAUUUUGUUACAUAUGUUAAUUUUUAAGUUUUGUAAACUAUUUGAUUGUAAUUCUGGUCUUGAAAUUAUGUAAAUUAUAACUAACUUAAUCUUUUUGAAUGAUUAAAAUCAGGAGGAAUUGCAAGAAAAUCGAAAGAAGCUGUUCCGAGCUUAUGCCAUUCCCAGCUCAUCAGAGCCAUCGCAGGCCCCUCCUUUUGUUGAUCAGCCUGUGCCUCAUCAGGAGCCUCCUACAGGAGAGGCAGCUGAGCCAUCAUUUCUACAGCAUCACUCCACGUCACUCAGGAGGUACCACUUCCUCCCUAUUUUUCAAUCGCUUUUAUCACAUUGAGGAUAAUGUUCAGCUUGGUUGGGGGGAGAGUUGAGGAAGGAAGUUUUUGUUAUUAAUGCUAAGUUAUUUUGGUAAUUUAGUUGUUUUUUGCUUAAUUUUAGAAUUUUUUUCUACUCUCCAUGGUUAUUAAGGAAAAAAUUUCAAAAUAAAAAGUGAGAAAUUGAAGUUUUGUCUUUUCACUUGACUUAGAGUUUGCAUUAUGCUUACUAAAGUUGAUGAAUUAUUGAAGCUUCUAUUGAAUUCAACCUUAGUUCUUCCACUUUAAGCUAUUCACACACUGGGCAUAAUAGGUUCCGAUUAUAAGAUGAAAAACUAUUUCCCUCUUGACUUAGGAAAAUUUUAGACUUAGUACCUUUGACCUCAUUUAAUAGUGUUGGGACACCUUAUAAAAGGCCAAUGAGCCUUUGAAAAAAAAAGAAUAAAGAAAAAAAAAUGUUUGCUUACCUUGAAACCCAAGCAAGGUCCGAGGGGUAUAUGGUGAAAAUCUUUAAAACCUGGUGCCCUAAGCCUUCAUUGGUUGGGAGUCACCGACCUCAAUGCUCGUUACAAGGGUGGAUAGGUGGAAUUUAACAUACUGUAGGUGCUUGGGUAUUAAAAUUCCUUCUCAAAAGUCCGAGGUAAAAUCCGAGGAGUUAGUGGUUGAAAGAUCCUUAAAGCUUAAUGCCCUAAACCUUAAUUGGUUGGGAAUCAUCGAUGGACCCCCGUUACAUGGACAAUUUAGAAAAGAAUACCUUUAAGCCUUGUACUCCUACAAUGAAAAAAUUUGUGAGAAAAGAGGUGCGUUCUUAGCCUAUUGGAGGUUAAUUAGUUUGCUAAGCUUUGAAAAAGAACUAGGUUUGGGGAAGAGAUUAGUUCAACAUACUAUAUUCGGAAACUAAUAAAUAACACUUAGAUUUUUGUGGAAGAGUAAGGUUUGACCCUUUGGGAAUGGAAACUCUUUUAAAGCUUAAAUUUGCAUAAUGCCUUCUCUUUAAGAAUUGUGAUUAGACAAGUUAUUUGAUAACUCUUGUUGAAGUUUGAGUUUUAUUUCUUUAAUGUUCCACGUGAGAGUUAGAUCAUCAUGCCACUUGAAAAUUGUUUUUUCAUCAGCAUGAUGUUGUAAAUUAUAGUACUGUUUAUUUUUAUUUUUCUCUCCUUCAUUGCUAAGGGACUAGCUAUAUGUCGGUUGGGGGUAGUGAUUACUACUCAAAAAGUGUUAUUUGAUAGCUUGUAAUUAACUCUUUUAAAUACUUUUGAGUAGUAGUUAUCACCUUUUAACCCAAUUAACAUAUUAAGGACCCUUGCAAUCAAUUCUAAUCAAAUUGUGUUAAGUUUUGGUGUUUUGAUAGCUUUUUGAUCACCAAAGCAAUCCGAGAUUGAGGAGAGUUCUUUGGAAUCCAUGGCAAAGAUGUUCGGACAGGGCGUCCGGACACACCAUCGGAGGGCGGCGGAACAUGGGUUGUGGCAGGUUGGUGGAAUGACGUAGCAAGGCUUGCUCACUUUAGUCAAUGAUCUGGACAACAUAUCCGAAUAGGAUAUGCUAUCGUCUGGGGUGUGAUGUUCACAAGUGUCGUGUGCUUCUCCCUGAGGGAGUCCGAAUAGGGGAGCGCACCCCGUGUCCUCUUGGGGAAUCCGGAUGGAGUUGCUCCAGAUAGCGAUGCGCGCUUCGUGUCAUCAGGGGGAGGGGUCCCUACACCUUGCACACGCAAACGGUCCCCUUUGCGACGCGCGGCAUAGCUCAUUCCACCAGGGGAAGAAUUCUGUAUGGUUGACGUUUCACCUUCUCCGGAUAUCUCACAUCCGGAAUUAUGCCCCGGUCAGACAUGUCCGGAUCCUUUGAUAGCGCUCACCCGGAGAGUUUUUCUCUCAGUAUACAGUGGCGGGGUGUUCUCCUGAAGCUUCCCGAUAUUUGCAACCGACAUUUUGAGAUAUUUUGCUUUAGAUAUUUGAUGUCUAAAUCCCCAAAUUCUCCUUGUAACCCACCUAUCAUAGGAUUCCUUAGUCUUUAAGCAAGAGAAAAUGGUGAAUAACCUCUUAUAUAUAGUUUGUAAUUUUCUUUAGAAGGAGGAGAUCAAUCUCUCGGGAGCUUGUUCUUGGAGACGCAUCAUUUGUACAAUUUUGCAAGAAAUAUAUUUUACAGAGCACUUGCUCUGUUUUUUCCUAUAUAUUUUUGUUUUCUCAUUCUUUUUCUUACUAGCCAAACAAGCUUUGAGGAAGUUUCCUCAGAGAAUGAGUGGCUAGACUUUUAGUUCCUUGGAGUUAAGGUUGUCGGGAAAUGUUCCAAGUGCAAGAAUUUAUAGCUUUGUGAUUUCAACCAUUAAUGAAAAGAAAGUGUGUUCCUUUAAUGAUUUCUAUGUUUUUAGUUAACUUAAAACACCUUCAAUUCACUUGAGCCAACACGUGGUAAGGCAAGUGUUCUCCGUCCAUGGAGAUGCACUAGUUUACCUCUUGCGAGCUUUUAGGAAGUGACUUGAAGGUAGGAUUUUCUAGAAUUGCCAACACUUGGUAAGCUUUUGGACUCCAAGGAUACAUCCAUUAGUUAUCUCUUGCGAGCUUGAGAAGGAAAGUCCAAAGUUAAAGAUCACCUUGAAUGGCAAAUGCUAGGUGAGAGGCAUGAGUCAUUGCAAGUUGCAUCAGUGAGAGGGAAUUAGAGCUGAAAUCCAUUUAAAGGAUACAUUUGUACAACACCGGUUAGAGAAUUGACUAUAUGUUAAUUCUCUAAUGCGAGGAAAUGAACCAAAUGACCGAAGCUCUGUUUUUGCAUAAGGAACCUCCCCUAUGAACCCAAACCUCCAAGGAAUGUUUUUCUUCAUAAGUAAUUUCCAUUACUUUCUUUUUAGUUAGCUUGAAACAAAAACUUCGUUUAACCAAAGUUUGUGUUUUAUUUCUUAAGCUAACUUUGAAAUGAAAAGACACCAAUUUAACUUUGAAUUGGUAUCAGUUGUGAGUUGAAAACCUUUCCCAGAGAACGAUCCUAGAGCCACUAUGCUAUAUUAGCUACAGCUAUCCUAAUGCAUGGUGAUAUAGGUUAUAAAUUUUGUUGAUUAAUCCCUCAAUCAAAGAGCACCAGCUGGACAUGAAUCAGCUGAGACACCAAUUGGGAAUGAAUCACUUCGCAGAGGCACAAAAAAGGCUGCGAAAUCACUUCGCAGCAAACGACUGAUUUCGCAACGCUGCGAAGUGGUCUUUCAAGUUGUGGUAUUCGGCUUCCAUCGUGACGGGAAAAUUCAGGGGGUAAACACAGCACUGUACAAAAAGGCUACGAAAUCAUCUCGCAACAAAAGAGUGAUUUCGCAGCGCUGUGCAAAAUUCUUCCUUCAGCUUGGAGUGAUCGGAUUGCAAUGGCUGUAACUCCUUCAUUUCAACUCCAAAUUGUGCACCGUUUGAAGUAUUGGAUUUUUGACUUCUUGAGCUUCGAAACGACAUAUAGAAUGCAUAAAUUGGACUUCAGGAAGUGCUCUAAAAGUGGCUGACAUGACUGUCAUCAAGAAUAUGCUUCAUGGCAGAUUUCUCUUUGCUUCCCCUCCUUACAUUCCGGAUUUGCUUAUGGCAGCAAAGGACUUCAAAGCUUUAGUUCUUCACAUUUCUGAGCUUCAAAUUGCUUUGCCAAAGAUUCCACAUAACUCUCCUCAAUCUCAGAUUGCUUUGGUGAUCAAAAAGCUAUCAAAACACCAAAACUUAACACAUAUUGAUUAGAAGUGCUUGCAAAGGUCUUUAAUAUGUUAAUUGGGUUAAAAGGCAAUAACUACUACUCAAAAGUGUUUAAAAAAGUUAAUUACAAGCUAUGAAAUAGCACAUUUUGAGUAGUAAUCACCAAGCUCCACAUAUUCUUGUACAAUCAAAGGACGAUCAAUUUCGUAAAAGAUGAGAUCAACAAAUAUAAAUUCACUGAAAAAUGGAUAUUUGUGAGAUCGUCAAUAUUAUACGAAGGGUGUCUUUAGAGUAUACUGAAUCAGUAUAGCUAUCCUUUUUCUACCAUAGCAACGCAAUUUCAAAAACUACAGCAUUUGAAUAGCUUGUAUUUAGGUGGACAAGAACUACAGCACUUAUCUCAGAAACAUGUAUGUUCUUUCUUCAACUCUUACUCUAUUGCCUGGAAUUGCAAUACCUGCCAUGAUUAGUCAUCUCUUAUUUAUUCUCAUGGAGAAAUAGGUUUGGUUGUAUGAAGAGACAAUAUACAAUUGUUGCACCUCUUGAUUUUUAAUCGUGUCAGACAUUUGGAAUUGUCAAGCUGAUUUAUGGCUAACCUUACAAGGACAUCUAGUGCAAGAGAUUCAGAAUUAUACCUAUCUAAUCCAUCUCCAUUUCUUUAGAACAACUAGAUACUAUGGCCGAAAUCUCACGUAAGGUGUCAGGUUCAUGUUGGGGCUCAUUCACGAGAUUAUAAUGAAUAUAGCAAGGGAUGUUCUCGAUCUACCACCACCCAUGUUGUCAAGUUGUUCAAUGCUCUCGUGUUGACCAUGGCUACAGUCACAAUUGUGUGUCCUUUCCCGAAAGAAAUAGUCAUUUUGAAACUUUUGUCAACAAUAGAACUUUCAUGUAUCUACUUUCAGGUACCCACAAAAAAUUGAGUCCAGCUUAGCAUCCAAUAAAGAAAAAUAAUAAUCUGAGGAAUAAGUGUUUUCCUUACUCUUUUUCAGUAGGAACCUAGUUUAUUUCCAAUAAAUUGAAGAAUAAACUAAUUCUAAACAUGGAAGCCAUGUACUUGAUUUUUGUUUAACUAGUGGAAUAAUUCGAACAUAUUUACAACUUUAGCAUUAGAAAAGUUUAACAAAAUCACUAAUUAACCCCCAAACCCCCACCCACCACAGAGAUAUGUUACAAAGAUUCCUCUACUCUACAUUGCAACAAAGUGUAAGGGGUUGUGUCCUUUCUUCAUCGUCAAAUGAAAUAACCCUUUUCAAUAAAAGAAUAAGAGAAAUUGAGAGUUAAGACCAUUUUCUUUCAUUAUACUCUCUAUUCCUUUGCUUCUUCCUCUCUUAGUCAAGCCAAACAGUCUGUGGUUUCUCCAUUUCUUCUUCACUUCACAUCAAUAAGUAGCAUCUUGGGUUCUCCCAUCUCUCUAUCCCCUUGUCAAAACACAUAAUUUAAUGUAUUGCACAUCUUCUUGACUUCUGGCAACUGAACUUGUUUUUCACAAUCAUAAAUAUGGAGGUAUUUAAUUAUGGCAGGUGAUAUACCUUUCAGAAAUUGAUGUGAAAAGGUGGAGACUAAGGGAUGUGCACUUGGUUUUGCGAAUCAAACAACCCUCAUUUAGUAUAAACCACAAAUUUUGGCAACUCAUGAUCCAUAAUUUAGAGCAUGGGAGGAAGUAGGCCUGUUGGAAAGAUAGGAGGAGACAGUUAAAAACAUGCGAGAAUUCCAUGGAUGAGUUGCUCUUAUGAAUUAUUUAGAAUUCAUGAGAAAAUUCAAAGCUUUUUCUUUUUUCUUUUUUCUUUUUGUUUUUUCUUUACAUAGUUAAUCAUCUUGUUUAAUGUUGGUCCUAUAGUUGGUCUACUGAUGGUAGGCUUCCUUUGAGUGGAAGCAAGGACUCUACACUAAAGGUAAAUUAUGGGAACUAUGUCUUUUUGUGGUAUUGAUGGGGUUAUCAUAUAGUUGAUUGAUACUAUUGCUUCCUUAUAGCUUUUUCAAGGCUCCAAAAAAGAAAAUAACAAAGGUAGACCUAGGAAAAAUAUUCUUCCUGAUUUCAGUUACUCUUUCUAUAUGAACUCUUUAUUUUGGUAAAUUACAGUUAGAGAUGAUCAUAUAAUUGAACUAGGUUUGCUUCCUCUCCUUUCCCUCUCCUUUCCCCUUGAGGAAAUUUUUUAUCAUUGCUUAGUUUUGACUACUCUGUUUCUUUUGAUCAUUGUGGAAGAGCAUCACUAUAAGAUGUACAAGAAAUGUGUUGUGGUGCAUUAUUCCUUUCUCUACCACCUAAAAUCUACUUUCCACAAUCAUAAAUAUCGAAGUGUUUAAGCAUUAGGUAAGACAUCUCUUGAUAAUGAUGUGAGAGAUAUAGAUAAGUAAUGUUACUAAAUAACAAGAAUAUGUAUAAAAAAAAAAACAGAAUAAGAAUACACAUUUAUGUGGAAAACCUUAGAUGGGAAAAACCACGGGUAGAGGAGAAGAAAAUUAAUUCACUAUAUUAAAAAAUCGAUACAAAAGGGGAGAGAUGCGAGCGACUACUUUAUAAGCAUAAACAUCAUAGCCCUAAUCUUAUACAUAAUUGAAAAUAUAUAUACAUAUGUGUGUGUGUGUGUGUGGGAGAGUAAUAAACAUCAUAACCCUAAAUUCUAUUGGCCCUAUCCCUUCGCUACCACCACAAACUCUCCAAAAAUCUCACAAAUUUUUCUUCACCACAUAUGUCGCAUCACGAGCUUUUUGGGUAAGACUAAAUAGAAUUCGAGUUACCAAACUCUAAUAAACAACAUACCAUUAUUCUCAAGAAAUGAUGUUCUGCUUUUUCACUUUACAAUAUUCAUUUAGUUUGAACUCCAAAUUCAGGCAACUCAAAAUCUUCGCCUUCAUUAGAUUGUAGGAAGCUAGCUUCUUGGAAAGACAUGAAAAUGGGGCAUUUAGAAAUAUGGAAGAAUCCCAAAGGCCAGUUGCUACUUUUGAAUCAUUCCAAUCAAUAACAACUCCAAAGAUAUAUACAAAUUUGUCCUUGGGAAAGAGAUGUUUCCUGGGCAUGUAACCAUCUCUUUAAUAGACUCAAGGUUGUGCACCCUCUUGGUGAUUUCUUAUAUAUUGUAGUGAACCCUAUCACACCCCAAACUCACUCCAAGGGCAUUACGAUCAUUUCACACCUCAAGCCCAAAGGUUCAAAGUGGAAACGAUACAAACAUUCGUAUUGUAACUGGAAAUUUACCAAUUACCAAAUUCCUAUUCAAAGUAGUAGGACAAAAUUCUAAAAUCUCUAAGUAUCAACUUUAAAAAAAAAAAAAACUAAUAUGUCAACCAAAGUGUUAUUGUCCAAAUAACUCCAAACUCAAAAUAAUUCAAACGAGAAUUAAAUUUUAACAUUUAAACAAUGUCCAAAAUAAAAAGAGUUUAAACAAAUAUCCUAUUAAAGCCAAAUUUCCCUCCUAACGAUCACUCAUCGCUCUAACUAAGGUUACAUGAAAGAUUAUCAACAAAGGGGGGUGAGCUUAAAGCCCAAUAAGAAACAUUAAUACAGUUUCAUGGAUCAAACAUUUUCAAUCAUCCUUGCAAAUAGGAAAUAUAACAUAUACUUAUUUUCAUAAAAAACUUUUGAGUUCAAAAUGCUAAUACAUUCAAACUUUUCAACAAAACUUUCUCAUAUUCAUUUCAAAACCAAAUCAAAUACAUUCAAAAUAUCUUUACUCAGGUUAUCAAAUGACAAAUGGUGCCCAAUUAGGUGGAACUUCACAAUUGAGCAACUAGUUUCAAAUUUGUUUCAUUUAAGGUGAACAAAACCAAAUGUCAACAAUUAUAACUUGUUGACUAGGGUCAUAUAAUCUAAAGUCAAACACUUUAUUUCAUUAAUUCAAACUUACAAAACAAAACAUCGUAUCUCCUCAAUUUUUCAUUUUUCAUAAACAAAGAAAAUGCUCAAAUAUACUUUUCAUACAAAACAUAUAUUUGAUCGACGCGUAAAGUUAAAAAUAAUAUUUUUACACAUUUCAAAAUACAAUAUAAAAAGAAAAUUAUUUUCUUUUACAAAAAUCUGCAUUAAUUUCCCUUACCUCAAAUAAGUACUCAAAAACCUUGAAGUAUUUAACCCCGAAGAAUUUCGUCUCAAAGAAUCUAUUUCAAACCUAACAAAAAAAAAAAGACAACUAUGAUUAUUAACUAUUUAUCUAAAUUUAUAGGUUUGAGAACCCUAAUAAUUUUCUAUAUUAUGUCACCUAAUAUUUUUAGUAGGAAUUUUCUUAACUAAGUCCACAUACUUUUACAAGCUCUUCUUAAGCUUUGAGUGGUCAUAGUUUUUCCUAUAUUUAGUUUUACAUAAUUUUGGUGAAAAGUGCAUGAGGAAGAACCAUAUAAAACCACAACUCACUUUUGGAUGCUGAAUCUACAAAAUAUAAAUUGAAAAAAUUAACGUAUUAGGAUAAAUAAUAAUUUAGAAAACAACUCCACAAAUGAAAUAUCAAGUAAAUGCAAAUUUAAUAUUUUAAAAGCUUAAUAAACUCAAUUAAAGAUAUAACCACAUGAUAUACAAACUUGGGGAAACUUAUAACUACCACUAAUUUCAGAUGUCUAAAAUUUAUAUAUAUCCUAGACAACAUUUUGAUAUGUAAACUAAUACGUAAAUUUUUUUAAUUUUAAAAAGAAAAUUUGGCAGCCAAGCUAGAAAUUUAGCAUAUUCCUAUAAUAUAAAGAAAAAUAAAUUAACUAGAUGCCUUAAUGCAUUGCUCUAGCACACUAUUUAGUAGGAUUUAGAUACUACAUAUUCAAUGUUGUCUAAAAAGUCAACAUAAAUAAUAUAAGAGGGAAAUAACAUUUUGCCUUACACAAUUAAUCCUACUAAAAGUUUGUUUUGUUAAGUCAUUCAUCUAAUACUACAUAUUUCAAGAUGAAUUAUUUGAGCUAAUUUUCUCAAGGAAAUAAUUACUUUGGUGAUAGCUACAUAUUAGCUUAUUUUUAUGAUAUGAUGUAUCAAUUAAUAAUUGUCUUCAUUCACCUAGAUAUUGACAACGAUUUCAAUAUAUUGGUCGAUAUUAUCCAUGUUUAUUUUAUUGAAUGUCAAUUCAAUACCUUAUAAACUAAACAACAAAACAAUUAAUAAGUAUAAAAAGAAUUGAUAUUGGGAAAUCCAAGCCUAGGAAGUUUAAGGGGAAGCGAAGUAAAAUAGCCUUGACAAAGAAAAAAAUUCAAAGAAAUUGGUAUAAUAUAGCCAUGUCCCUCUACUUGGAUUUUCAAGGCCUAGAAACAUGGUUAGCUCCUGUAAAAAUUUUCAUUUCCAUGCUCUUUUAUAACACUUUCCCUUCGAUGUGACUAUUUCAAUAUCCUUUAUUUUAAAAAAAUAUUUUUACUUAAUAAGUGAAAAGAAUGGGAUAUUGUCUGUUUUACUUUGCUUAGUUCAAUGUUCAUUCCCAAGAAGUGCUUAUUCUUUAUACUCAAUAUCCUCACUAUGAAUUAGUUCUACUCCAGGGUCGUACUAUUUCAGGUGCGCUUCUACCUAUCACUUUUAGCAAAUGUGAUUUUCUAGAGUAAUGUACUUAAAAGCCUACUGCAUCACUCAAGAAGAAUACCCAAACAAACCAACAUAGUCAUAAGGCACCAUAACAAGACAUACAGUAAUUAGUAACUUUGAUGGAAGAGAGGUUUUGUUUUUAUUUUAGUAACUUUGGCAUAGUUGAUGUUUGAAAAUGCUGAGGGAAUGCAUCCCUUCUGGCAGUGAUUUCAAUUGGGGGCAUUCAGAAAUCUAGCCUUUCCCUAAUAUCCUUCAUUCUAUGAUUCAUCCAGACCAAAAAAGCACCCAGCAUGUCUGUCUUUCUCCACAAGUCCUCCGUUGCUAAGUCAUCAACAUACUAUAAAACAUCUUUAAGCUUCUGUACCCAAGUUGUUACUGUUGCUCCUCUUCAGCAUCAGCAAGUACAAAUUUGAAGGAGGACAGUGUGUCCUUAUGCUUCAUAAACUCCUCUUGAACCAUACAUCUCUACAAAAGCAAAAUACCCUAACUUCAUCAAAAGAUUGUCAACAAUAUUACUGAAUGAAAUUUGUUCAGCCAUCUUUCAAAGGUCUAAGGGAAAAUGAAAGGAGUUUUAGCAACAGAAAAAAUGAGAAAAGCCAAGUGAGGACUGAAGGGUCUGAAUAAACUUGGGUGUGUUUGCUCUGUUCAAUUCAAGUGGGAUUAAUUACUUGACCCUCAUGAUUGACCUACCCACCAUAUUUUUCAUUUUUUUUUCUUAUUAAAAUUUUCAAACAAAUAAAAUUACUUGAAAAUUACUGGAUAUUACUUAUUAUUUAAAAAUGAAAAUAAAAAUUGCUAACCUUCUUGUAAUAUAAUUAGUAAACAUAUUUUUGUUUUAUAAGCUAUAAUCAAACCGGUUUAUAUAUCCUAUUUUUAAAAAUAACAAAGACAAAAAAUUGUCCAUUGAGCACCUAAAUAUUUUAAACUCAUUAUAAUAAAAAAAAAAUGUCCAAAAUAUUUAUUAAAAAAAACUAAUUUAAUUUUAUAAUCAUUUUUCAACCCAUAAAUUAUCCAAAAAUAAACUAAAAUCUUUAUCAAGGUUUUUCUAAGUAGAAUUUAAAAAAUGAGAAAUUAAUAUUUGAAACUCCUAAAAAUCAUUAAAUUAAAAUUUUAAAAAAUAAAAUCUGUUUGAUUGUCUUAGAAUCGACAAUAGAAAUGCAAACAUGAGUUUAUAGCUCUUAACAGAUUAGAUUAUGAAACUAAAUGUAUUUUAGAUAGUGGAGUUAGUUCAUACAACAGAAAGGAUGAGGUAUCCAAGAUGUCAAAUUAGGUUGGGGUUGAAGGAAGUGAAGGAAAAUUACCAUAGAUGUGAAAUCGAAAAGGUUGUGAUCCCAUAAGACAUCAAUUGACAAUAUCCAAGAAAAUGAAUGACAAAACAUCAGAAUAUCAACAAGCAGAUUGCAUACUUUAUAUCAAGGUACUUAAUUGUUCUGAUGCAAGCAUUUGAAAUUUUUUUGUUGUAAGAGCUCAAACAUUUCCUAAUAGAUCAUACCGGUGGGUUGAUGCUAGAGAUGUCGUCAAUGCACACAUUCAAGCAUAUGAGAUCCCAAAGCCAGUGGAAGAUACUGCUUAGUAGAGAGGGAUUUACACUAUUCCGAGACACUGAAGAUUUUGCACAAGCUCUACCCUAAUUUACCCCUGCCCAAAAAGUAAGUUUCUAUUAGUUAUUGGUAGUACUCGUUUGUGCCAUCAUUAGAGUACUUGUCAUUUAAUCUUCUUUUUUUAAUCGUUUGUAAUAGUAGAAUGAUUGUUUCUAUCCAUUAGAUGUAAAUAUGGUGAGACAAACCAUAUUUAAAACCCUACAUGCCUCGUAUUAAUAAUUUAUUUUUAAUCUUUGUAUUAAUGCAUCAAUAAAUGGUAUUGAAGAAAUUACUUUUACAACAAAGGUUACAAGAUUAUAAGUAGGAUCACUUUGAUACAAUGACGGGAUAAAAGAAAUAGAUGGGUUUAUUGAAUGCAAACCUCCAUACAUAAAUGAUAGAGACUUAACUUGUUCAAUAUAAGUUCUUUGAUGUAAAAUAUCAAUUUUGUUUUCCAAAGUCUUUAUGGCUAUUGGCUUUUCCAUGGAAUACCAAAUAAAGAAAAAAAAAACCCUCCUUACCCGAGAGUUCAUUUGAACCUUGUUUCGAAGAAAAAAGUUUUAUUAAUCCAAACCCUAUUGAUUUAUAUAUGACCUAUCAUGGGACUAUGAAGAGUUUUAAAACAACUCAAAGAUAACAAAAAAAAAAAAAAAAUUGAGGUUAAAUAGUGAAAACUACAUUAGAUUCCAAUAAUAGUUUUUAUGAUAUAAUGUUGCAUUGGCAGGUUUCAUAAAGAAAUGAAUUAUUCUAUGAAUACGAUUUUCGAUUCCAAAUUUUGAAUUUUCUAAUUCCUUAGUUUAGUGGUGGGUUUCGUAGAAAUUGAAAGUUGUGGAAAAGUAGAAUAUGGACACAAUUUUUUACUUAAUGAGUAGAUUUUACAACACCUUCAAGUAAUUACCCUAAAAAUGAUAGGUCAUUGCAUUGAAAAUGUAUUAAAUUUAAUUGAGAGAUUAUUUAUAAAAAUAUCAUCAUUUUUUAAAAGAAUAAUAUGAUCUUACCAUCGUCUCGGGUAGGAAAGCAAUUUAUGGUGGUGUUAGAUUUUUCUUAAUAUAUUCUUGUUCCUUUUUCUUUUUUUCUUUUUGGUGCAUAUUGUAAGGUUUCAAGUUCCUUUAGAAAUAUGAACAACGAUGAAGAGUUAGAAAUUUUGGAACAUUAAGUACAUAGUUAAAGCCAUGUUUAGAUAGUUGAAAUUCCUAAAUAAAAAAAAAUACAAAAAAGAAAAAAUGAAAGAAGUUCAAAUUUUAUUUGAUUAUCUUAAAAAAUAAAAGAAAUUACAAAUAAUGAAAAUUGUUUAGAUUUUAUAUACUUUCUAAUGUUUACUCUUUAUAAACAAAAAAAAACAAAUAAAUUUUUUUGAGGUUCUAAAAAUAAUUAAACUUAAGCUUAAUUUUUGUUUUUCUUGAUUUUUAAUGCCUUUCAUAAUUUUUCUUUACAAUUUUUCCCACUUAAUCCAAAACUUUCCAAGGUCUAAAUUUCAUAGGUGUUUCAUCUUCUUUUUAAUUAAGAAGUUUUGAAUGUUUCAAUUCAAAUUCCACAAUAAGGUAAUAAAACCUUAAAAUUAAUAUUACAUCUAGGUUGACUUGGUAAUCAACUUGAACCAAAUCUAAAUUAAGAAACAUUCGGUCCUAGCCUAACCAAAUAUAGCCUCAAAUAUGAGGUGUUUAGUUAAAACUCAACUUAUUUCUAUAUAUUAAAGUGAGGCUUAAAUUGACUCUGGUAUACUUGUAGUCGAGUUGAGUUGUUUAAGUUGUAUGAUCAGAGCUAAGUUUUGUAAGAUUGAAUUGGGGUGAACUCGUUCAUAAUGUUUAUUUUUUUUAACUUCUUUUAUAUCAUAAUUUAAAUAGCAAAUAGGACAACAUUUAAACAUAAUUAAAAAAAAAAUGAGAAUGAAUUUAUGUAUCUUUCUUACAAAAAUGAAAUAAUAUAAUUAAAAUUUAAUAUUUUUUUAAAUACUAAAAAACAUAAAAUAGAUAUUAUUAUAUAAAAUAAAAUAAAUUAAAAAUAUUAUAAAAAUAUAAAAUUAGGUUAUAUAUGUAUGUAUGUAUGAAUGUAUGUAUAAAAUAGUAGUGUGACGGGUGUUUGCUACUUGUAAAAAGUAUUUUUACUCAUUUUUAAAUUGAAAUUAAUAAAAAGAAAAAGAAAUAAAGUGUUUUCAAAAAUAUUAAAUGCAUAACUAAUAUUAUGCUAAUGAAGUUUUUUGUUCUUUGUAAUUUAGAGUUGUCUCAUUCAUAUUUUAAGGUAAACUAAUAGAACAUUAAACUCCCCAAUAUUGUAUCCAUCUAGAAUUUAUCACCAUUUUAUUUUAUAUCAUAUCAUAAUUAUAUUAAUUAGUGGCUUCAAGAAAAAAAAAUUAUUUAUAUGUUAGACAACAUGGAAAAGAUAUCUUUUUUAAUGCUUAUUAAUAAUUUUUAUUUCAAAUUUUAAAACAUGAAUAUAUAAAUUUUAACAAUUAUGAAAUAUUAGUCUAAAUAUCUUUUAAUAUUUGGUUAUGUUUGCAAAGCAUUUUUAAUAACAAUUAUGAAAAACAAUUUUUGAGAGUAAUUUCCGAAAACAUUUUUUUUUGUUUUUAAAUAUGUUUUAAAAAUAACUUUAUCUCAUAUAUAGUACUUUAUUUUAAUCGUUCUCUAUUUAAAAUAACUCUAUGAAAAGAAACGGAAAUAAUUAAAAGAUUUAUCUUAAAAUAUUUUAUUUUUUUAUUUUUAUGAAUAGAAAACUUUUUUUUUUUUUUUGUCAAAUGUGUCUUCUUGUUUUUGUUUUUGUUUUUUUAAAAAACAAAAAACUGUUUUAAAAAAUAAUUACCAACCAUGCUUGAACACAAAGCCCGAAGCUCCCGUGGGGCUGGUUUUGGGCCUUUUAGGUUUGGGAAAAACAGUCGGGCCUGGCUGAGCACAAAUUCUUCUCUUUUAAGUCCAAAAAGCCCGUCUCAAGCCCAAACUUCGGGUUGGGCCGGGAAGCUCCUGACUUAACACAAAUUCUUCUCUUUUAAGUCCAAAAAUACAGUCUGAAGCCCAAAAUUUCGGGUUGGUCCGGCCGGGCGGGCGGGCGGGCGGAUAGGAAAUAUAAGAAAAUAAAUAUCUCCAUAAUAUAAUUAUUAUUACGACAGUGGAAUCUGAGAAAAGGUCGUGAGUGUUCUACAAUUUUGAUCUUUUGCAGCAGACUGAAUGUAGACUACAAAGAGAGUGAGAAAUGGACGGGCAAGGCAAGGUGGUGUGCGUGACCGGAGCUUCUGGGUACAUAGCCUCAUGGCUUGUGAAGCUCCUGCUCCAACGCGGCUACACCGUCAAAGCCACAGUUCGAGACCCAAGUCAGAUCUCUUCCCAAUUACAACACUUCUCAUUCCCAAACCCCACUUGCUAUUGUCCCCAAUUUUCUUCUUUCUUUAUUGUUUCAGUACUUUUCAAGCAUAAUGUUAGCCGUUAUUUAGCAGUUUGAAACUUAGGUUGAGUGGUAUUUUGAUGGGUCUUUGUCCUUUUUCCUUUUUCAGAAGUUUAAUCUAUGAUUGAAAGUCAAUAUUCAGUACUCGGGUCUUUGUGUUGUCCUAAUUUUCUUGGAAUUAUACUCUCUACAUGGUUCUACAGGGCAAAUUGAUCGAGUUUAUGCUAUUAAAAAUGAUUUCAGAUACUUUCAGAAUCAAUCCAUCUCAGAUUCUGCAUGUGUUCCUUCUUAAUUACUACUAUCUUGUAAAAAUUUUUGCAUUUAAUUUACAAGACACUGAGGAGGUCUCAAAAAGAAAAGCAAAGGGAAAGAAAAAGAUUUUCCUUCAGCCAUACCAAAUUGUUUUGGAACCAAAAACUCUAAAUAUGGGCCUGUGUUCUUUUUGGAGACCUAUUCUUGAAAAUAAUUUCAGAGAAACGAAGAAAAUCUACAAAAUUUUGUACAAUUAUUUGGCUUUAUUACAAGCUUUUUUUGUUCUACAAACAAGACAAGAGGACAGUUUAGGGCUUCAUUUUGUUUCUUUACUGUUCUUCGGUUUCCUCUUGAAUGCCUCUAGCUCUAUUCUAUUUUUAGUAUUUCAACAAAUUGUACAUCACAACUGAAGUUUCUUGCACUUUGAAAAUCCAAUCAUCUUGCAUAAAUGAUCCAAAAGCUUGCAAUUGCAGUUGAAAAAAUGACUACUCUACAUGCCCCAUCCAUUUUACUUCAAUCCCCAUUCUUUUAAGAAGAGCAUAGUUGAACUUCUUAAUAUUCUAGUCAUGCUUCCACUGUAUACUCCUUCUGUACUAGGGUUUCCCCAUUUGGGGUUGUUUUUUUCUAUCACAUAAUAUAUGUUCUUACCAAAAUAAAGUUUUUGUAAGCUUUCAUUCUUCUUAUUUCCAUUUAACAUGCAAGUUGUGCUUAUAUAUGCCACAGAUGAUCCAAAGAAGACAGAACACUUGCUUGCACUUGAAGGUGCUAAAGAAAGGCUUCAUUUGUUUAAAGCAAACUUACUUGAAGAAGGAUCCUUUGAUUCUGUGGUUGAUGGAUGUGAUGGAGUAUUUCAUACAGCAUCCCCAGUUGUGCUGAUAGUUGACGAUCCCCAGGUUUAUCCUAUAUUGGUUCCAUUCGCAUACUGUAAAAUUUAGCAUUGUCUAUAUUCUUUUCCAAUCAGUUACUGAUCUUGAAAUUACUAACUAAUCAUGAAUUGUUAAUUUGCAUGAUUCUUCUUUCUGUAUGUGGUUUCUUCAACUGAUCCAAUGGUAGUGAAUGCUGAUUUCACUAAACCAAUUCAAUGGUGGAAAAGAGAGAAACUGAUAUUGGAUUUUUUAUAUUCUGCUUAUGUGCAAAAAUAUUGAAUAGCUUUUUUUUUUUUUUUUUUUUUCUUUCUUUCUUUCAUUCUCCCCCCUAAUCCUUCUUUUCUCCACUUGUUAUGCUUGUUCAAAAGAAGAUAAAGGCCCUUUGUCUUGCAUCAAUAAGAACCAAAAACCCUGUGAAUACUUAUUUAGGAAUGUAUAACUUCCUUGACAGCAGCAUGGGAAUGCUCACACCGUAACAAGGCUAUUCCAAUGGAAAUUUAUGGUGGCUGAUCCAAACACUCCUUGUGCUUUUUUUUUUUUUGAUAGGCAAAAGAGCAAAAGACAUGUUAAAGAGCCAAAAAAAAGGCUACACCAAGUACAUAGGAAGUACGCAUGUGCACACCAAAGAAAAAACACAAAAACCCUCUUCUUAAUGGCAACCUAACCAAUCGAUAAAAUCAAUCAUAUACAAGGACUCUUGCCCUAGUCCCCCUUUGGUCCAUUCUAAAAAGUUACAAAGAAAAGAGAAUUUUAGCUCGUGAUAUGAAAGCUCAACAUUAUCAAAAGCCCUUCUAUUCCACUCUUUUCAAAUAGUCCAAAACAAACAAAGAAGUGCAACAUUCCACACCUUUUUUUUCCUCCUCCCAACAGAUCGGCUAUGCCAACUAAGAAGUGUUGCUUGGACUGAGGUAUGCAACACCCAAACCACAGCAAACAAGGAGAAAACUAAUUGCCAUAACAAACUAGCCUUAGAACAAUGAAGAAUGAUGUGAUUGCAAGAUUCCUUCUCAUCUUUACAUAAAAAGCGUUUGUUUACCAAAGUCCAACCUCUCUUCAAAUUGUCCAUAGUUAGAAUCCCCUUCCAAGUUGCUUCCCAAAACAAAAAAAAAAACUCACUUUUAUUGGAGCCUAAGAAUUCCAAAUAAGCCUUGUCGGGAAAGAAUUUGAACCCCUCUAAACCAUCCCAUCAUAGAAAGAUUUAACUAAAAAUUGGCCUCCCUUUGUAGCCAUCCAUACCACCUUGUCAUCCAUCUCCCUUCUCAUUGAUUUGCCAUGCAAACGCAAAAGGAGUGCUUCAACAUAACCUAACUCUUAAUCUUGAAAUUCCUUACAAAACAAGGGUUCCAACACCCCUCAAAAUCAAUAUGCUUCCAAACAUCACAUACCCAAGCCUCCUUUGAAGUGGCUACAACAAACAAAGAGGGGAAAGAGGUACUCAAAGGGGUGCCCCCACACCAAAUGUCCUUCCAAAACCUUACCCUUCUUCCAUUACCCAAAUCAUAGGAAAUCUUGUUUUUGAAAGAAUCCCAUCAUUUCCUUAUAGCCUUCCACAAUCCUAUGCCAUGACCCUUCCUUGUCUCCAAAGAGCACCAACCUGCUUCUUCUACCCCAUUCUUACCAAUGAUUUCUUUCUUCCACAAGGUCUCCCCUUCUGACAUGAACCUUCAACUCCAUUUUCCUAAGAGAGCCUUGUUCAAAAUAGAAAGAUUUUGAAUGCCUNNNNNNNNNNNNNNNNNNNNNNNNNNNNNNNNNNNNNNNNNNNNNNNNNNNNNNNNNNNNNNNNNNNNNNNNNNNNNNNNNNNNNNNNNNNNNNNNNNNNUUUAAGGGGGGGCCCCCAAAGGAACCCCCAAAUUUUUUCAAAGGGUAAGCCCCCCUUUUCCCCCCCAAAAAUCCCCCAAAUUCCCUCAUUUUGGGGACCCUCCCAAAUAAGAAUAGGCCACUUUUUUUAAGGUUUUUUUUAACCCCAAAAAUUUUUUCAAACCCCCCCAAGGCCCAAGAAAGGACCAAUAUUGGGCCCUUAAAACCCCCCAAAAAAAAAAAAAAAAUUGUUUUUCCCCAAAAAAAAAGGGGAACCCCCCCCCCCCCUUCCCCCCUUUUUUUUUUAAAUUUUAAAAAAAAAAAAACAACCCCCCCCCCCCCCCCCCCCCCCCCCAAACAAACAAAAACUCCUUGUGAUUAUCUUCAAGAGUGGAGAGUUAUAGCAUUUUAACUGACAACCACUAUCUCAAGGUGACUGAAGAUGCAUUCCACAAAAUGUUAGACAAGUUGCUUAUGAUUUUCUCCAGACCCUGAAUGCUAUAGGUAUAAGAAAUAGGUAAAUGUGCUUACUAAUAGUGGAUGCAUUCCACAAAAUGCUAGAGAAGUGGUUGUUUCCUUCUCUCUAUCUCUUUCCUUACCUCCUUCCUCACCUCCCUCACCUUCCCAAAUUCCCUUUUCCUUUAUUUUCUCAAACAGCUCAGUUGCUCCACAUGAUUAUUUUUUUAAAAAUAGGAAUGCUUCACAAGAUUCAUAUAUUACCUUGCUAAUUUUAGUUAGUUAGGCACUGCCCCUUAAAAACUCAAUUAAGUCUACAUAUUAAAUCCAUUUUUUUGUACACUUUUGUGAAUUGGAUUAGGGUAUACAUAGAGGAACACACUUUGUCGUUGAUAGAUUUUGUUGACUGGUUAGCCACCAAGUAAGGGUCAGGCUUGUUUGUUCUUUUGUUUUUUGCUUCCUUGUAUAUGGUAUACUCCGUGUAUACCCUUUCUCUUGCCUUUUGGCUCUUAAUGAAUUUUCUUUACCUAUCAAAAAAAAAAUUAUACCUUUGAUGUAGUUAUGAAUACAAGGAUCAUCCAUAACUCCUCCAAUUACAUGACAUAUUUGCUAUAUUAUUGAUUCUAAACUGGCACUGUCAUAACAUGAUUGGCAAAAAAAUAAAAAUAAAAAUAAUAGUUACUUCUAGAAUUUGAUGGAUGAACCUUAUGGCUAUGCUUGGUUCCUAGAAAAUUUGAGGCAAAAUGUAAGGGAAAGAAAAUAGAAAGGAAAAGUAGAAAGAAAGAAAAAUUGAAGGAAAAUUAAAAAUAGAUUUAAAGUCAAAAAUUAUUUUUAUAUGUUACUUCAAACUUAUUUCACUUAUUUUAACUAUUGAAUACAAAGAUUAAAUAAUUUGAAAAUUCAUAAGUUUCUAAUUAGUUUUAAUUAUAUUUGUCUUUCUUUGGUAUUUUCUAUAGAACAAUCAAACAUGAAAAAAUUAUUUUCCUUAGUGUUUUUUUUUUUAGUACUUUCCGAGAACCAAACAUAAUCUAUUGAGUUUGUCUAUGAUGAUUGGCAUUGGUUAUUUUGUUUAGGCUCAUUCACCAACCAACUGGUUUGUGGUGUACCACUAUACUUCUUUUCCAAUUUUAUUUUAUUUUAUUUUAUUUUUUUGGUUCAUUUUAGGUUUAAAGAGAUUUUAUUUUAUUUUAUUUAUUUAUUUUUUAUCAUAAUUCAUGUGUAACUGCAUUUCCUUUGUCACCAUCACCAUGUGACUCCAUAUAGUGGUUGGGAGAGUUAGAUGCUGGAACAGUUAUGGAAUAACUCCAUCAAUGUUGUGCAUCUUUCUUUGAAAUGUAGGAAUUUGGAUUUUUUAUUUUUUUAUUUUUUGAAUAUCUCCUUCUCAUAAAUAGGUAUGGUAUGCCCAACCAUUUUAUUUUAUCAAAAUUCUUUGAUAACAUAGCUUAUCAAUAUGAUGAAAUGAUCAUAAUGUAUCUCAUCAACCUGAUUUCAUAUUACACAAUGGAGCCUAGAUUUUGAAGUUCUCUCAGUUACAAAGGGAAAUCUUGUGUUGAUGUAAUGGCAGAUAUUGUUUUUUGUAGUUGGGAUUCCUCAAAGAGUUUGGGAGGUGGGAGGAGUCCUAGAGGGAGAGCACUGUGCAGAGAGACCAACUUAGCUGGCUAAUAGAUUAUUCGGCUUCAGAGAAAUGCUUGGAUACUUAAGAACAUGAGAAAAUCUUUCAUUGACUUGUGUGCUGAUGUCUAUUAUCUCACAACUCUUUGAAUGCUUGUCACUGUAGAGUUCUUUAGGUUCCCUUUAAUGUAUAUACAUUCUUUUUUGGAUCGGAGAUCAAUAUGCCUUUCCCGUCAGAGAGUGGUUUUGUGCUGGAGGAGGCACUGCCUGUGCUAUUUCUAGACUCCUGACUGUGGCCAGUCCACUCUGCACUUUUUUCAGUUUCCGGACACAACAUGUUAUACAAUUAACAUACCAGCUUCUAUGUGAUCGAAUUCAGCUCCACCUCAAUCAUUGGAAUUAGCAGCAUGCCAACAAUCACAGUGUGGGCACCAGUUUUUAGUUAUUCACUUGCCUUGCUUUUCUGGUGAAGUCAGGCAGCAUCUUUUCAUUUCAGAAUGUGGCAUGCUGUUGUUUGUGACUUUUUGGCCAUAAGAGCAAUUGUGGAUGGCCCUUCAAUAGACAAAACUUUAUAGGUGUGUGUUUGUGCCAAAUCAAGGGUCAAGUUAUGAAUGAAAAUAUGAAAAUGAAAAGAGAAACAGAGCAAAAAUUCAUUUUACCAUGUCUCUGUUCUUUCCAUGAGGGAUUAGGCUUGUACCUCUUUGGAAGACUCAGAAUCUCCUUUCGGUUUUUCAGUGGCUCCUUUCUCCUAUGACCCGUUCAAGAAUGCUACUUUAUUGUAGACCUUCUAUGCCUUUAUUGAAAAAGAAAAAGUGAUAAGAUAUUUCAACUAGUUGAAAAUAGAGGACCCUAAGGCCUGAGAUAGACCGAUGCUAGAUAGAAAAUACAUAUGUACGGAUUUUCAAACUUAUCUAGAAGAAAUAGAAGCAAAUGAUACAUGACAAGUCAGUGUCAAAAGGUGAACUAAGUCUUCCACUAGAUAGUCUACUUAGAUGUCAAAAAUGUAGUGGGCUCUUUAGCCUCAUGGUAGCCUAAAGCUCAAGUUUGGUUGAUGUUACCUAGCAAACUCGAGACAGAUGGAAAUUUCCAGCCUUUUACGGGUCCAUAGAUGUGUGAUUAUUAGGGCUUUUUAAUGUCAUUUGUGAUGGGGUUUGCUAUUGAUGUGAUGCAGAGGUCCUGAAACUAUUAGAAGGGAUGUAAAUCUGGUGAAAGAGUUGGAUGUUUAUGAUCUUAUGGGGAAGGAGAAUUGAGCAAUGGUUCUCUCUUGCAUGUCACUGGGUCAAAAAGGGUCAGGGAGAUAAAACCACCACUUGUGGAGGAUAGUGGAUCUUUUUAGAGACAUUGGCUGAUCAUUUCUUGAAAGUUUAGAUCAAGAAAUCAAGAAGAUGAGAGGCUGAUUAAGAGAGAAGUCAUGUCCUAUGCCAACUUUGUUUGAGUGGGCCAUAUCAUAUACUUCUACCUGGGGUUAAUCUUUAAGUCUGGAGGGUUCAUUGUCUCUUCAUUUUUUUACCUUUAUUUUUUUUCCCCUUAUUGAAUCAUGUUCUUGUACAUCUACUUGUUUGAAGGAUUUCUCAUCCUUCCUUGUAAAUAACUGUUUGCAUAAUAUUAUCACACAAAAACAUAGAUCAUAGACAAGCUGAGAAUUUCCUUAGGAUCCAUAAUGUGAUCUUAUGUUUGCUUCUAUACAUAAUUAUUAGCUUUUAAUUAGCUUAUCUUCAUUGGACUACUUAUGUGGAGAUUUGUUUUAUCUGUUUCUCCGUGUUUCAGGCACAACUAAUUGACCCAGCACUAAAAGGAACAAUGAGCGUUCUAGGAUCUUGUGCAAAAGUUCCAUCUGUCAAAAGAGUAGUUGUAACAUCAUCUAUGGCUUCAGUUGCAUUCAAUGGGAAACCUCUAGCUCCUGAUGUGCUAGUUGAUGAGAGUUGGUUUUCAGAUCCAGUUUUCUGUGAGAAAUCAAAGGUUGCUUAAAUGAGAUGAUAUCACAUGCUAUCUCUUUUGCAUGUUCUUGUUUGUGGCUUUACAAAAUGUUUUCUUUUCAUGGCUCUUCACUUCUUUUACCCUGCAGAAGUAGCUGCCAAUUUGUCAUGCCCUCUUGUUUUUACACUUCUGCUAGCCAGCUUAGGGUUAAAUAACAUGAUGGGAAUGAGAGGAUUAUCCCUUUAUUUUGCUAAGCCUGCCAUUAGAUUAAAUAAUCCUUCCAUGUAUGUCUAAUAUUUCACUAAUACAGUGUUGGUAGCUGUCUGAUCCAUAAAGUCGCAUUCCUCAAACAAGAAAUUAAAUGAGAACUCUAAUUUGGAUAUUAUAUGAAUGAAAUGGAUGUUAAUCUCUGAUUGUCUUACUGUCCAUUAAACAUGAUGGGCUCAGAAACAUGGGUUGACAAAACAGUUGUGACAUAUCUAAUUAGUUUUAAUGUGAGUGUGUAUGCCUGCACAGCCUCCUAUUGAUUUUGCUUGGGUUCAUAAGUUCAUUGCUUGUUCUCUAUGUUCCAUUAUCUACUAGCAAUACAUAGAAAUGCUUCUCACUAUAUAUUUUCAAACAUGUUGGUUUCUACUAGCUAUGGUAUAUGCUUUCAAAGACAUUAGCUGAGGAGGCUGCUUGGAAGUUUGCAAAAGAGAAUGGGAUUGACAUGGUUACAAUAAAUCCAGGGUGGGUGAUUGGCCCUCUCUUACAGCCUACUCUUAAUCUAAGUGUGGAGGAAGUUCUGAAGCUACUAAAAGGUACUCUUCUACAAUUGAUGAGAAUCUCUUUUUUAUGUUUAUCUUUCUACUCCAGUAGCAAUACAUGCUUCACUUCAAUAUUGAGUCAACUCUAUCCAACAGCCCUGCAAAUGGAAACUCAGAAGUUUAAAUCAAAACUUAUCAAUAAACCGUCACAAGACUUCCACAGUUCCACAUAAAAGGACUACAUAUGCAUUUUGAUAUAUGCUGACUAAUCUUCUAACACUAAAAAAUUGAUCUCUCCUCUGGUCAUUAUAGUUAUAUCACCAAGAUACUCAUUUAGGGGAUUUGCAUAUGAGAUUAGAUGAAGAUAUAUUUAGUUUUGGCCUCCCAAGCCAGACUGGUUUGGAAGGACCCCUGGACUGUGAAAGGACUGAAAGCAUGCGUAUGCAAUUACUAUCCUGAACUUGAGGUAUAUUUACAUGCAAGUUCAAGCCAAGGGCAAGAACUUCUUAAAUAACCCAUUAAUCCUUUUGAUCUACCCCAUCUAAAUAUUACUGCAGCUCAACAUAAUUAGCAUAAAGUGGGGGUUCCCCGCAUCCAACUCCAUUGCAAAUGAGUUGUUCAUGUGCAACUCACUUGAUCAGUAUUUUUAAAAACUUCUACUAACUUUUUUGGACUAUUUUACAGAUCUUAACAUUCUCUAAACAUUUAGAAUCAUUUCUAGUGGCUUUAUAGGGCAAUAUCAUGUUACUUUAUUGACAACUCUUACAAUAAUCAAUACUACCUUAACUGUAUAGCCAAUAUGGUUUGUUUCCUUACUAGCCAACCUCUUCUGCCUCCAACUAACCUCCCCUGUAUCUUGCUUCAAUUAUGAGGGCGUUGCCAUAGGUUGAGCAUUGGACAUAUGAUAAACCUGUGCCUUGAUGGUUGUACUCUGAUUCAUGGAUCCAGACCGUAGUAAUUGGGAUUAGACUUGUUGGUAGUUGCUUUAGUUCAAUGCUUGCAAUAACCAAAGUAAUUUGUCGUGCUGCUUUAGAACCGUUCGAUCUUUCGUAUGAAAUAAGAAAGGUAUUUUGUACAAAAUAAUGUUUUCACUUGUAAUUUCCAACAUUACAUAAAGUGAUAAAUAUAAGUGUAUUUGCUAAGUGUGAUUGCAUCAUUUUCUAAGCAUUUCCGUUUGAGACAAACAGUCUAAGACGAAAAUGUGUGCUUCAAAAAUUUCUAGCUGUAAUACUUUUGAGAUUGUGCCAAAAGAUCAGUUGACAAUGACUAUAAAUAAAUAAAUGGAAAAACAUCAUAUUAUCAUUGAGCAGAUUGCAUGCUAAACUUAAAUAGGCAAAAGAAACUGAUACUUUCAGUACACUUACGUAAUACUUGUGAUGUAAGCUUCUGAGAUUUGUUUGCGGCAGGAGAUACAUUUCCCAAUAAAACACAUCGAUGGGUUGAUGUUAGAGAUGUUGCCAUGGCACAUAUUCAAGCAUAUGAGCUUCCAACGGCUAGAGGCAGAUACUGUUUAGUAGGGAGCAUUUUACACUGUUCUGAGACAAUGAAGAUUUUGCGCAAGCUCUACCCUGCUUUAAACCUACCUGAGAAGUAAGGUUUUAUUAUUUGCAGGGCGUUAUUUCUAGUUUGCAUUAGUGCCCUUUGAAAUCAAUAUUAGGCAAUGCUACUUCUUUUUGUUUAUUUUGGGUUUUUUCUUUUAUUUCUUGAUAGGCUAAUAUAUACAUAUUCUGUAAAGAAGUACCUAGAAAAAGGGGCACAACUCUGGUGCAAGUAGUAGUAUGAAAGUAGCACUAAAAUGUAGAAAUUAAAAACAAAAGGAAACAACUACAUCAGGAAGGCAACAGACACAAUAAAACAAGUAACCUGCAUUGGAUGAAUAUGUGAUACAUUGAUUCCAUCAUUUGGUUGCACAGACAACACCAAUUGACAAUAGACUAAACUAAGAAACAGUUGUUCUAAUAAGACUGAAACAACACCAUCAACAAAUUAUUGAGAUUUUCACAAAAGGCAUUGCCUUGAGAAUCAAACUUUGGAGAGGUGAAUCCUCUCCAUCUGAAUGAGCUGGGAAGCUGAAAAUUAGCCUACCUUGUUGGUCUGUGUUAUCCUCUAUGAUGUGCCUGUGAAUCCAGUAGGUUGUAGCUUGCAUUUACUUGGGCCAUGGCUGGACCACUGUGUCUUACUUUCAAGACUAUUGUAUGUUUGAAAUAUUUCACAUGUAUGCGUAGCCUUUCUCCAUUCACGGUGGUCAUAGUGGUAUGUCUACACUAUUUCAACAUAUCGCCUUCUUAUGAAUUGCAUCCAAUUCUUAAUAUGUUAUCGAAGUGCUAAGGGUCUAAAAGUGCUUCAGUGAUCGGGGCUCAGGAAUUUUCUGAUUUAUAUUAUUUAUUCUGUUUUGGCUGAUCAUAUCCACAAAUGUGUUUUCCUGUUGAAUGAAGUUGUUAGUGAGCUAUAAGAACCUUUCCUUGUUUCAAACUUUUCCUUGUUUCAAACUUCUAUCAUCAAUAUUGACCUUGGUGGAGUUUCUUCAGAUUCACUGAAUACUUUUUGCCAUUUAGGUCUAGUUAAACCCAUAUUUCAUUCUUCUAGUACAAAAGAACUAAUCCCCAUUGCUUGGGGAUCUUCUCAAUUACCCAAAGAGAUGUGUUUUAUGCUCUUUAACUUUUCAUUGCAUAUAGGAUUAAGCUUCAGGUCCAUGUCCUGAGAGUUUUCUUUUCUUCAGUACCAGUCGUUUCACUGAUUGAUUAAGAAAAUGUGUUUCUGUUUCAUUUGCGGCAGAUGUGCAGACGACAAGCCUUAUGAACCAGCCUAUAUGGUGUCCCAGGAGAAAACUAAAAGUUUGGGCAUUGACUUCACUCCUCUGGAGGUGAGCCUGAAGGACACUGUGGAAAGCUUGAGGGAGAAGAACUUUGUCAGUUUCUGACACGUGGUAUAGCCAUGCAAAUGAAUCAUAAACAAAAAAUGGUGUCUUCUUGGUAACUUCAUUGUCAAGUGUGUUGGAGUCAUAUAUCUUCUAACAUGUUCAUGGUAAGCAAUCCCCAAGACAUGCUACAAGUUCUCCAAAAGAAAACCAACAGCAUAUAAAAAGCGGCAACUUCUAUUUCCGCUUCUGCUCAACAACAAAAGCUAUCAACUAUCCUAAAUAGGCACCAAGGAGAUUCGUAGACCUUAGGCCCCUGCCAAACUAGAUUUUUUGUUUGGGAAGUAACUGAGGAAGAUUUUCACUUGUCAUUAACUUAUGCAGAGGUUGGUAGCUAACAAACUAUGUAAGGGCAAUGUUCUUGAUUAUACCAUAUGAAAGGACACAGUGAGCUCUGCCUUUGGAAAUGUAGGCAGUGAGGUGGCAUGGUCCAUUAACUUCAUUCUGUGAUUGGCUGCUCAACCAUUCCAAAGCAAGGGAAAAUUAAGCUUACUGAAGUUUUACUAUCUCUGCUCAUUUUGUUUCUUAAUAGUACUGAAAUGAUUGGAGACAAUAAGAUUGAAACCCCAAAUUUUUGUUAAUUACUGUUGAAUAUAAAUAUGUUUUAUAAAAAAUAAUUCUCACUAAUAAACCCCAUUAUUCCACUGGACAUGUUGCCACAGAAGUGGGUAUAAGGAAGCAUAUUCCGAUCAUCCAAGGACACUGGGUGUGACUUCACCAACAAAGCUUACAGCUGAUACAAGCAAACUACCUCUCAUAAAGAAAACUAGGACUGUUUCACAAAAUCGAAGGAAUAUCUUUGUGGGAAGAGAACAAAGAGGAUGCACAUAUUCAAAAUUUGUGGCUGAGCUAUUUAAACCUUUCAUUGAUACUGGUUGAGCUUCUCUCUGUAUUCGUAGGGUGCACCCCUCCUCUUUUGGCACUUUCUAAUGUAUGUUCUUGUUGUCUAUAAAAAAAAAAGAAAAAAAAAAUACUGGUUGAGCUUCUUAAGAUUGACACAACAGUUUUUCUCCAUUCUUAAUUUAUAAUCAAAAGACUGGCUGAGCUAUUUCUUUGUUCUUAUUGAGUUUUGAGAUGAACCCACAUGUGUUUGUCACUCAUGGCAGGUGUGCAGAUGACAAACCUUAUGUGCCAGCCUUCCAGGUGUCCCAGGAGAAAUCCAAAAAGCUUGGGUAUUCACUUCACCCCGCUGGAGGUGCCUAAAGUAUACUGUAGAAAGCUUGAAGGAGAACCAGCUCAUCUGCUUAUGAGUCAAUUAUUUGGCUGUCAUUGAAACAAAUCACUAAUUAUUAGUGUACCCAAAUACUGUCAUUGUUAUGAAAUAAAUUUGUGGCUAGGAUAGGGCUGAUAGGUGCUAGAAGGAGACUGCUUGGGAAGAAUACCAAUCAGCAUUAUAGUAAGGCAUCUAUUGGAAAAAGACAUGACUUCAAACUCUUUUUUGAAUAAUUUCCAAUAAACAAAGAUGAGUUUUAUGUUUGUAGAAAUAUUCAAACCUCCAAGCUUGUGAUAUAAAAUCCAACACAAAUUCAAAAACUAAUUUGCAUGGGAAUUCAAGUAAUUAGAACAGAGCACCAGCACCAGUUUGACAACAAUUUUGUAUAGACAGUUUUUAAAAAUAGUGGUUAGGUUUUGUUAGGUAACUAUUUUCAAAGACAGUUUUGAAAAACAGUUUUUAAAAAUAUUUUUCAAUAUUUUGAAAAAUAAAAGUCUGUUUGAAAAUUUAAAAUAUUUUUAACAUGUUUUUAAUAUUUUUAAAUAUGUUUAAAAAACAAUUUAUGUAUCUAAUAUUUUAUUUUUAAUCAUUAUAUAUGUUUGUAUAAUUAUUUUUUUUAAAUUCUUAAAAAAUAAUUAAAAGAUAUUUUAUGAAAAUAUCAUAUUUUUUAUUUUUAAGAGUAGAAAAUAAAAAUAAUUUUUUUUAUUGAAACGUGUUUAUUCUAAAGAAUAGAAAAUUGUUAUAGAAAACAAUAGUCAAACAAACCUUUAUAUUUUACUUUUAUAUUUUUGGCACAAAUAUAUAUAUAUAUAUAUAUAUAUAUAUAUAUAUAUAUAAAAUAAAAAUAAAAAUAUUAGGUGAUAUAUAUUUUUUUUUCCAAGGAAGGGAGGCAUUUUUCUUGGCAGCAUAUCCUAAUUCACAAAGUAUAAACCCUUGCAAAUUGAAAGAAAGACAAUUUACAUAUCAUUAAAGGGUGAUCUGUAAGCACUCUUAUAGGCCUACAUCUUCCUCAUGUGGAUUUGGAAUUUAACCUCUGAUAAGCAUUUACUUGUUUUUAAUCUGUUUUUUAGGAAGCCAGUUAAUGAGAUUUUGCCAACCAAAAACAAAGGUUUGUUAGCCCUCCUACCCUCAGGUUGGUUCUCUUGCAUAUGCUUGAAGAUAUUGGAAACCAAUUAAUUAGUCAUUGCAGUUUCAUAGUCUUACAAGAAAUCUUGUUAUGGUGGCAGGAGAACAGACUGCAACAUAGUCUCAUUCCCCUUCAUGAUUUAGACAUUGUAAAGAUCAAAAACCUAUUCCUGGAAAUAUAAGAAGAAGAGCGGCCAAAGGACAGGAACAAAAUGUAUGGGAACCUUAUGGACUUGAAUAGUUGGUAUUCAGGUGGCAAAAAUACACAAAAAUGCACUUAACAAACUACUAAUCAGCAGGCCAAGAUUCUACUUCCAAGAGACAGAUUUUUCAUCCAUGUCAAGAAGGCUCGCACUUCAUUUUUGUGGGACUUUGAUAUCAACAAAUUUAUGGAAUUCUUUCAGAUUUCUAAAUGGAAUGGUUCAAGUCAUCAACACAUUCCCAGAAUUCUUUCCUAAAUGUCAUCAUCCUGGCUAGCUUUCUUCAGUGUUGAAAGAGGGGGUGAUACCAUGUUGCUAAAAAUUGCAGUCUAUAUGUACUAGAUGGACAAGAACUACAACACUUGUAUUAGAAACAUCUCUGUUGCCUGGAUUGGUAUUACUUGCCAUAAUUAAGCACCUUUUUACUAUUGUAGCAGAGUGUUUCAAAGUCACCCAUACUUAAUCCAUCUUCAUGUCUCUCAAACAACUAGGUCCAUUAGUAGCAAAAGAAGAGCAAUUUGAAUAGCUGGUCAUUUCCUUUUAUAAUUUAGGGAUAGAGGUCAAAAACUACAACACUUGAAUAGCUGGUAUUAAGAUGGACAAGAACUACAACACUUCUCUCAUAAACAUGUAUGUUCUUUCUUCAACUCUUACUCUAUUGCCUGGAGUUGCAUUACCUGCCAUGAUUAAUCGCCUCCUAUUUAUUCUUGUGGAGAAACAGGUUUUGGAGUAUGUAGAGACUACAGUUGCUGCACCUCUUGAUUUUCAAGACCACCCAGUCUCUCCUCAAGCAUCUGGAAUUGUCAAGCUGAUUUAUGGCUAACCUUCCAAGGACCUUAGGGGUUUCAUACAGGGUAGAUCUAGUGCAAGAGAUUCAGAAUUAUCUCUACAUAAUCCACCUCCAUUUCUUUAGAACAACUAAAUGCUAUGGCCAAAAUCUCACUUAAGGCGUCAGGUUCAUGUUGGGGCUCAUUCACAAGAUUAAGAUGAAUAUAGUAGGGGAUGUUCCUGAUCUACCACCAGCCAUGUUGUCCAGUUGUUCAAUGCCCCUGUGUUGACUAUGGUCACAGUCACAGUUGUGUGUCCUUUCCCAAAAGAAAUGUCAUUUUGAAAUUUUUAAUGUCAACAACAGAACUUUCAUGUUUCUACAUUCAGGUACCCACAAAAAAUUGAGUCCAUGUUAGCAUCCAAUGAUGGAAAGUAAUAAUCUAAACAAGGGAACAAGUGCUCUCCUUGCUCUUUUUUAGUAGAACACUAGUUUAUUUCCAAUCAAUUGAGGAGGAAACUAAUUCUAAACACGGAAGCCAGGUACUUGAUUUCUGUUUGAUUGGUGGAACAACUGAAACGUAUUUACAGAUUUAACAUUAGAUAAGUUUAACAAAAUCACUAAUUAACUCCCAAACCUCUCCCCCCACCCACCACAACGGAAAGAAAAAACGUUUUGGGAUCCUAGUAGCUUUAUGUUACAAGAUUCUGAUCAACAUAUGGUGCAGAGUAUUAUGUUGGUCCAGUUCCUCUACUCUGCAUUGCAACAAAGUAUAAGUGGGUUUUCUCUUUUCUUCAUCUUCAAAUGAAACAACCCUUCUCAAUAAAGAAUACAAGAAAUUGAAAGCUAAGACCGUUUCCUUUCAUUGUACUUUGUUUCCUUUGCUCCUUCCUCUCUUGGUCAAGCCAAACAGUCCGUGGUUUGUCCAUUUCUUCUUCAUCCCACAUCAAAAAGCAGUGUGUUGGGUUAUCCCAUCUCUUUAUCCCCUUGUCAAGACACAGAAUUUAAUGCAUUGCUGUCUUUGAUUCCUCCUAGUUAAAAGGAAGCUUGAAAUAUCUCCAUUGCUUCUCUGUUUCUUUGAGCCAAAGGAUAGAAUACUGCUUUUCUCUGUUUCUUUGAGAUGCAAGAGGUUUGUAUAGAACUUAGGUGAGGUAACUAUUGGUCAGGGAGGUAGGCAGAUCUGAAACAUUUUCUUGACUUCCAACGGAAUAUCCUUGCACAUAUGUUACCAUUUUCUUUUCUUCAACUCUGUUUUCUUUGUUUCUUCCUUUCUUGGUCAAGCUAAACAAUCUGGUGAUUCUUCUUUUGUUAUUCAUCCCAUCAGGAGGCAGCAUCUCAUGCAUCUUUGCCUUGGGUUCCUCCCUCUCCUUCCAGCCUACGAAAAAAUAAUACCAUUGCUUAGUUUGGACUUCUCUGUUUUUUUUUAUCAUUUUGAAAAGCAUCAUGGGAAGAUGUACAAAAAAUGUGUUGUGCUGAAUUAUCCCCUUCUCUACUAACCAAAACAUGUUCUUUGACAAUCAAAUAUCAACGUGUUUAAGCAGUCGGUGAGGCAUAUCUUGACAAUGAGAUGAGAGGUAGAAACAAGAAACAUACUCGUAUUCAAGAGAAGCGUUGUUUCUUCAUUUGCAUUAGACAACAUUCAUUUAGUCUCAACUUGAAAGUGGAUUGCUAGAAUCUGAGCUCUUGCAAAGACACAAAAGUACAUUUAGAAAUCUAAAAGAAACCCAGAGACCAGUUGCUACUUGUGAAUCACUGUAAUCAGAAACAAUUCCAGAUAAUCCUGCAAAUCUAAACCUUUGAUUUGCUCCGUUCCCUUUUGCCAAGAAUAGUUCUAAAACGUUUUUCUUUAUUGAGUUGUAAUGAUUUUAUUAUUUGGAUUUAAUUGUAUUCAUUAGGUUUGCAAAUCACAAAAACGGUGUCGUGCUUAUGAAUAUCUUCCUCUUUGAUCAUGUAAAAUUGGGAAGCAAUUAUGGAUUACUAUUAUGAUAGCAUAGUGUAUUGAUCCACACAGUUUGUGGCAUGACAGUUUAAGGAAAUUGCAGAAGUGUAGCACUGAUGGGUAUGUCAUGUGAACAUUUUUCAAUAGAGCUACUUGUCCAAAUUUACAUGGGUGAAUUGUCACACCAAUGUCCUCUGAUGAACCUUGGGUUCUUUUUUCUAUUUCUUCCUCUCUUGGUCAAGCCAAACAAUUUGUCUUCAUGAGGACUUCAUGUUACCAAUAAGCAGCAUCUUGUGUUCUCCUUCUCUUCAUCCCCUUGUCAAGACAACAAUUUGAUGCAUCUUUCCAUUGGAUUGCUUCCUCUCUGCUCCCUCUCCUUCCUCCUUGAGGCAAAACCAUAUCAUUGCUUAGUUUUGACUAUGUUCUUUUGAUCAUUGUGAGAGAGCAUCAUUGUAAGAUGUACAAGAAAUGUGUUGUGGUGCAUUAUCCCCUUCUCCACCACCUAAAAUAUGUUUUACAUGAUCAUAAGGACCAAGGUGUUUUAAGCAUCAGGUAAGGAAUUUGUUGACAAUGAUGUGAGAGAUAGAAACAAGCAACAUACCGAUAUUCAAAAGACGUGAUGUUCUUCUUUUGCAUUUGACAACAUUCAUUUAGUCUGAACUCCACAUUUGAGCAACUCAAAAUCUCCACCUUCAUUAGGAUUGCAGGAAGUUGGCUUCUUGGAAAGACAUGGAAAGGGAGCAUCUAGAAAUCUGAAAGAAUUCCAGAGGCUUGUUGCUACUUUUGAAUCAUUCCAAUCAAUAGCAACUCCAAAAGAUGUAUACAAAUCUAUCCCUGGAAAACAGAUGUGUCUUGUGCAUAUGCAACCAUCUCUCUAAUAGACUCGAGAUUGUGCACCCUCAUGGUAGUUUCGUAUAGAUUGCACCAUAUGAAUUGUAGAUAUCCAACUACCAAUAUCACUACACCUGAAUGAACUAGGAGUUAUGCUGAAAGUGAAUUUGGACAACCCAUCAUCGAAAGAAUCCUGUUGGAAUACACCAAAAAGAAAAUCUUAUUAACAUAAAUGAAUUCAUCCCGUUAAAGGAUAAAGGUGCCGAAAAAAUUGAAUUGGGAGAGAUAGAAAUAUUGAUGCUUGCAUGGGACUGUGAGAGGGACCAACAAGUGGAACAAACAUUGAAUAGUAAAUGUAAAACCAUAAAGCUUGUAACUGUUGUCAAAAGUUGCUCUCUACUGAAGUUUUUUAACAAUAAAGGUAAGUGCAAAAUUCACCUAAUAGCUCCACUUGUAGAAAAUUUCAAUGGUGUGAAACUAGGAUAUGGUGAACUCACUUCCGCUAUUGCAGUGAACCAUUAUGGAUCAAAAAUGAAUCUCACCAUUGAUUUUCACAUAGGUGGGCUAUCUUUGGCCCAUAUCUCAAUAUUGAAUUUAGGAGUUCUGUCUCUCAUAUAUGGUUCCACUUGCAAAAUACAAAUGGAGCUUAGCUGAUGACAACACAUUUAGAAAAAUGCAAGAAUUCCAAAGACAUGUUUUGUGCUAUCAUGAAUCAUUCCAAUCAAUAAGGAAUCAAAGUGCUAUAAUUUUGAAUUGUCUUAGGGAACAUACCCCAAUUCAAUCUUGCGGAAGUAAACUGUCUUGAGCACCAACUCAAUUCUGAGUUCUUUGGAAGACUUGAGACACCAAUUCAAUCAAAACUGCUAGUUGUUUUUGUGGUAGAUUGUCUUCCUCCACUGAUAUUGGGGAACCCCAAAGCCCUAUAUACAAUUUUGAACUGUCAGCCUUCUUACCUUGAAUGAGAAACCUAUCCAUAGGAAAGAGGUGUCUUGGGCAUGCAACCAUCAAUUAUUAGCUAUCGAAAAGGCUUGAAGUUGUGCACCCACUUGGUAGCUUCUAAUUCAUUAAACCAUAUAACUUCUAGAUAUCCAAUUGGCACAUUACUAUACCUGAAUGAAAGUGAAUAGGAAGUUAGACAACCUUUCACAAAAAGAAUCCUGUAAGAAUACACCAAACAGAACUUCUUGUUAACAUAAAUGAAUUCACUCAGUUAAAUUAUUGUGUGAAAAUUUAAAUUGGGAUAAAUAAAAAUAUCGAUGCUUACAUGGGACUGUGGGAGGACCAACAAGAGGAACAAACUUUGAAUAGCAAAUGUGAAACCAUAAAGCUUGUAACUGCUGUCAAGACGUUGCUCCCUAGUCAAGUUUUCAACAAAAAGGUUCAAUGUAGGGAUUCUCUAGUAGUUGAACUUGUAGAAAAUUUCAACAGUAUGACUUUAUACUUGUAAUAAGAAGAUAAAAUGUAAGAAUUAUGUGUUGGGAAUAAAUGAAACUUACUAAAUAUAUGGAUAGGAUAGGGUGAACUCUCUGUGCUUCCAUUUUUGGAAUCUAAUGGAUCAAAGAUGGAUCUCUCCAUCUAUUUCCAAAUAGGAGAUGUGGGCAAUCUUGAAUUGAUGUCUCAUCAUUGGAUUUGGAACUGAUGUAUAGCUCUGAAACCAUGACAAGGUUCUCCUUCAGUUGACAAAUACAACUAGAGCUUAGGUGAGGUCUUGGUGAUAUAGAAAAGUCAGGGAUUCUGGAAUCUUUACAUGAAAAUAUACAUGAGAUACAUUGGAAGAAAGGGCAGGCCUUGGUCAUUUGAGAAGAAACACAUCUUAAAUAUAUUAUCAAUCAUGAUGAGUUGUUUGAGAAUCAUGAGUCUAUGAAGGCCUCACUCAUAUAAGGGAUGUCUUUGACAUUUCUCACUCUUCAAUCUUAGGAAGGUACAUCAUCAACUAGAACAUUAUGAAUAUGAGUCAUCAUGAGGCAACUUGUUUAUGUUUUUUAUUCUUUUCUCACCAGAGGGGAUUAAAAGAUAUGUAGUUGCAAGGACAAGAGAUGUAGCUAGUACUGAAAGCAUCAAACAAUCCUUCUCUAAUCCAGACCACAAAUUUUAGCAACUCGUGAUCUCCACAAUUUAGAGCACUGAAGGAAGUUAGCCUGUUGGAAAGAUGUUCCAUGACAUUUAGAAAUAUGCAAGAAUUCCAGAGAUCAUUCCAAUCAUUAAGGAAUCCAAAGCCCUAUAAUUUGAAUAGGGCAUCCACUUGGCAAGGAUAACGCACCUAUCUUGGGAAAAAGAUUGGGCACCAAUUCAAUUAUCAACUCUCUAUGAAACUUGAGAUACAAGGUACCAAUGUUAGUUGCUUCCGUGGCAGUUCUUCUUUUACUGGUAUUGGGGCAAAGCCUUUUGAAAACCCUCAAUCUACAAAUUGCCAAGGACAUGAGAUCAUGUUGUAAUCUCAUCUCCAAUCUCCAACUGCAAACAAAUUAUUUCUUUCAAUUAACAAUCUUUAAUGCGUGCACUUCUAUCAUAUGAUAAGAAAUUUAGGAAAACAAGUAAGCUUUAUAAUAUUAGGAAUAUGCAAGGAAUUGAUAAAGGCUAUGAAUCUACUUUCAAAAAAUAAAAUAUAAAAACAAAUAUUUUUUUCACCCAUGAAUAUUGUAACCAGCUUCUAAAAAACAUUAGGUAUUGAAAUAACCCAAUGUUCCUUAGGUAUUAAAGUUGAAGUUCAAAGUUACCAAGAGUGCUUUUUUGACCCAUGCAUAAAAUAAAAAGAAAAUAAGAAAGCAUAACAUAUAACUCAUAAUUGUGUCAAGUAUGAGUUCAAUUCAUGGUCAUGCACAAUUGCAUUAAGUAUUUAAAAGCUAAAUAAGGCUAUGUGCAAUUCAAAGAAUACCAUACAACUCAUAAUAGAAUCCUCACAGCUCACCAUAGAAUGAGAACUCAAACGUCUUUCUUCCGGUCAUAAGAGUUUGUGCUCUUCGAGCCUCUGACUUGCACAACUCAAGACAGCAGGACAUGCCAAAAAGUUUCUUUCACCUCAAACAUUAUUCAAAUCUGCAGUCUAAAUCUAGAUAAGAUAAUUUUCUACAAAUAUAACAUGUUGCAAACAAAUAACAGUAUGUUGGUUUAAAAUUGAAGAGCAUUUCAAACCAAACAAAAUAGAAAAAUUUUCAGUGUACAUCACUCACCUAAAAGCUUGUAUGUUGGAUGAAAUUCUUGCUAAUGAAUCCUGACAAUUAUUUGCAAUCAAAAUUUAGUAAUGGUUUAUAACCAAAAAAAAAAAUAUUACAAAUUUUUUUAGCAAUGUUCCAUGAAAAGCACAUUGCAUAUUGAUUGAGAAAUUAAUAUGAAAUCCACUAAUUUGAAAGGCACUAAAUACCAUAUGUUCUCUUGAGUUCUCCAUGUAUCAAAACAGAUGCAAGUUGCUAUUCGAGCCACCACAAUCACGGAGCAAAAGACUUCUUAGCAUGGAAGGCAUACCAUAUUUUAAACAAGGUUCUUAACUUUCCAAGAGACAUAAGAACGUGGUGUGUUGUAGAAACUGUAGAAUAAAUAAAUGGAAGUUAGACAUAUGCACUUGCUACUUAGUUUUUUAAUCAUGUGUGAAAUAAAUAAAGAGGUGUUACUUGCAUUUAGGCCAAACUUGUAGUCUCCAAUGUGAAAUCCAAAUCUCAUUUUGUCAACAGAAUAAGAGUAUUAAACAUAUAGAAAAUUGAAUCCUUCCUUUUGACAAUUUGAAAACCUUAAAGGAAUGACUUGAGAUCAUAAAUAACUAUACAGUAAAGAAAAUUUUCAUCAUUCUUUCUAAAAGGAAAAUUUGUCAUUUCCUUGAUUACGAAAGAUUGAUAUUUUAACAUAAAGUGCACUUAUUAAGGUAAACUUUGUGCAUUAUAUAUUGAUUUAGAAAAUUGUAUUUAAACCCGGUUAGAAGGGUAUCACAAAAGAUGCUUAAUUGAAAUGAAGGCAUCCAUGCCAAUUUGUAAAUGUUGUCAAAUAACACCCUCCCUUAUCAUUUUACAUCCCAUGCUUGCAUGUCAAAUCUUUAACUAAGACUGCUCAAAGAGCACCUAAAAGAAAAUUACGAAGAUUUCAUUACAGGUAGAACUUAAGAUGCUUACAUUGACCAUGAGAGAGAUCGAUAAGAAACAAAAUACUCCCCCAUAAGUUUGUAACUAUUGUACUGAUAACUUACUUCCUAGUCAAACUAUCAACAUAACUCCAUGGAGACUUCCACAAAUUGUUGAGCCACUGGUAAAACACAACAUCAAUAUGAGAAAUUUACAAGGUACUAUGCAGAUAAAAGAGUAAGAAAUGUGUAUUGAGAAUAAGAGUUACCUUAAUGAAUGUAAGGCUAGGAUAGGGUUGAAUUGGCUCUGCAUCCAUUUUUGCAAUUUGAAUUUAUUAUGGUUCAAAAAUGAGUUUAUGAUGUAUCCUCAUUUUAGGGGAAGCGGGAAAUCUGGGGCCAAUCUCUAUCAUUCUCCUUGAAACAUCUUUGAUUUCGAAGUUUGAUAAAACUUAGAAGACAACCUUUCACUUGGCAAGAAGGACUAGAACAAGGCAUCCCUCAAUCUCUACAAGUUAAAGAAAUGAAGUUUUGAAGACCAAGGGAGGGGGCUAGGAUUCUAGAUUUGACAAUAUUUUCAUUGAAAAAUCAAUGAGAGUUGUAGCAAGAAAUCCUGUAAAAAGGAAAUUGCAUUUAACAAUGUACAAUAUAAAAUGAAUGAACUGAGUUUUUAGAAAGGUGAAUCUUUGGAGGCUCCACAAAGAUAAGGGGUUUUAAUACCCUUGCAAGUGUAUUCGUGAAAUUGUUUCCUCAACGGAAACCUGAACCUAGACAUUGUGCAACACAAAGCUGUUAAAGAGAUGUGAGACUCUAAAUCUGAUGAGGUAGGACUUGAGAUCCACAUUUUCUUAAGUGAGGAAUUCUGAGGUUGUAGACACACUAGUAGUUUCCAGAUUUAGAUACUUCUCUUCAAAUAUUUGUAUAAUGUACAUCUUCUUUGACAUUGCUGCUCCAACAAGAUGUCAAAUAGGAGGUGCAACCUAUUUGGGCAUACUACACGUACAACAAAAAAUUUCAUUAAAACAAAAACUUUUACUAAAACAAAAAUAUGAAGUUAAUGUCUAAGAAGAUGAGAUUUAUAUAUAGUGAAUGAGCAUGAUUGAUUUUAGCACAAAGGGAAUGAUGCCAAAAUUUUUAAGAAUAUCAUCACCACAAGUACUUGCAUCAUUAAAAAUUCCACAAGGAUUUGAUGGUUAGGCAAUAAAAUAAUUCUAGUAAAUGAGUUAAAAGCAGCUGAGCUAAGAAAGAUUAAAUCCAAAUAAGCAUCAAUCAUUAAAGAAUUAACCAACUACGAAAGACUUCAAAUGACGUUUUCUCUGUAAUUUCUGUUCCUAAUUGGUCCCAUUUGCUUAAACCAAAAUAUUAUUAAUUUGCUUUAAAGGAAGUGGGUGACUCAUAUCUCUGAAAGGAUGUGAGAGGUGGAAAUCCCUCGAUCUCUAGUGAUUCAAGAGGAUAAUUCCUAUGGCUAUUGUUGUCAUCAUACAUCAUUCAGCUAGCUAUAGACCACAAAAUUGAACAAUCAUGAAUACGUAGAUGCUUAAAUAUGGUGUGUACUUUAUCUAGUGGAAAAGCUUAUGAGACUUGGUCAUCUCGAGAUUUCUAGGAAUUAAGAUAGAUACAAGUUGUUGCUUCCUGUUAUAAUUUAUCUGGAUCGCAAUCAUCAAGCACUAACUCCAUUCACUGCAUGUUUUGAGCCUUCAGCAUAAAACCAAAAUUCCUUUCUAUCGGACAAAAAAUAAAAUAUAAAAAAAUCACUAAUAACUCAACCAUUUUAUGUUGCUCAUAUUAUAAAAUGUAGGAUUUAACUGACUUCCAUCAUUGAAAAUGAAUUAAUAUAACUUUACAAUACUAGUAUAUUCAGCUUUUGACAUGGCUGAAACUGAUCUUGGAAUCAAAAAUCACAUACACAAGUAGAUAUUUAAUAGAAGAGGAUCCAAAAUCUCUUCCAUUGAUUAAUGUAUAAAUGAAUUAAUCAAAAAAAUUUGAGAUAAUUAUGGGGAGAUGAACCUUGUACCUCUGAGUUUCUUAUUCUUCUUGAACAGAGCAAUGAGCAUAAAGUGUUGAGCACCCAGGAAUCUCCCUUCCUCCACAGGCAAAGUCUAAACAAUCUAUCCUUUCUUCAUAGUCCACUUCCUUGCAAAAGUCAAAACAUGAAGAAAAUAUCAUCAAAAUUGAGACAGAAAUAAGUGCAUCAACUAUCUCAAGAAGAGAUUUAUGCCUACUGCUUACCUUUUGAAGAAGUUCACUUGGUUAGAGCACAUUUUACAUGGACGCCCAAUCACUGCAAGCUGCUGAACCAAAGGAGAGUUCAAACAUCUAAAAAAUUUGACAAACUCAAGUAUCAUAAAAUACUUCAUAUGAAUUCUAAAUGAUCUCAUAUCUAAAAAACAUUGGCAUAAAAUUAUUGUUGUUUACCUUACAUGUUUCUUCCAUGGUCAUAAUCGAAACUUUGUUUGUCAUAAGAAAUCUUCUAUAUAUAUAUAUAUAUAUAUAUAUAUAUAUAUCAAUUUAAUAAUUUUUAAAAAUUAGCAAUUAUAAAACUAUUUUGGUUCUCCAAAAAUUUAUGGGAAAGUAGGGAAAAAAACUAUAAACUUUUUCUCUUGUUUGAUUAUUUAUCAGAAAAUUGAGGGAAAAACAAAAAUCUAUGAGAAAUUUAUUUAACACUUUUGAGGAACCAAAAAUGUUUUAGAUGUUGUCAAAUCAAUAAUUUAAACGUGUUUAAUUCCAAUUAAAUGAGUUUAAUCAAACACAUGAAAUUGUGAAUAAAAUUAUUUAAAAGCAUUGAAAUUCAAGUCAUUAAAGUUGUCCAUAAAAUGUCGUAUAUUGAAGCAAGAAAAAAACAAAGCAAUUUGAAUGACUUGCUAAUAAAGCAGCUAACUAGAAUAUGCCCUAGAGUUGUUCAGUGCCCUCUAUAUAAGAAAUAAACAGAGAACACAAAAAAAAAAAAAAAAAAAAACCUAGAAACUACAAUAAGUGAAGUGAUAAUGUCAUCUAAUUAGUAAACCAAACCAAGUCAAUAAACUACAACUUCCUCUAGUAUAAAGGUCUUGAUACAUUAGAUAUUGAAUUUGUUGGAUUAAAAUCUCAUUUAUUGCACCUGGCAAGGUAGAAGUAGUAAUGCUCAUUUUUUAUUGUGACAGAUUAUAGAGAAAAUUAGACACUGGGAAAAUACCAAGCCAGGAGCCAUGUCAAGAGCUGCUUUCUUGUUAAAAAUUAAGUCCAAUUAGAAAAUUGCAGUAGCACGUAAGAGAAAUUGAAAGUGGUGUUGAGAAGAGAAAGAGGAAGAAUGAUGUGUUGGGAAUGAGAUGUAAUACCUUGUUUAUUACUCAGAUGGAUUGGUCAUCUAUAUCCACAUAGGGAAUGUGGGCAAUCUUGGGCCAAUCAUCUCCUUCCUCCUUCGAGUACCUUUGUGUUAGAUGUGGGCAAUCCCGCACAUACAGUCGUGAAAGGGUGUCAGGCAAUAGUCCUUCCGUUGGCAAAAUCGAUCGGAGCUUAGGGCAACUGUAGAUUUCUAGCUUUUCAAGAGAGGUGAGGGUUUGGAGAGACAGGGAGGCUAGGGAUUCCAGAUUCUGGAAUUCUAAAAGGGUAAGGGAGGAGAGAGUUGUAGGAAAAAUAAUCGAGUGGGGGUCAUCCGAAAAGGAAGUUGCAUCUGGAAACAUGCCACUAAUCAAGAGGUCUUUAAGAGAGGUGAGUCUGGAAAGGCCCCAUUGGGAUAGGGGGGUCUUGAUAUUCUCAGAGUGAGAGAUCUCGAGUGAUGUAAGACGAGUGAGCUUUUUUAUCUGAGGAAGCAACAAUUCCAGAUUUUCAAAAUCUUCAAUACGUAGAUCUGUGAGGGUGUUGAGGCAAUCUGGUAGGGUUUUGAGAUUAGGAUACCUCCUGAGGGUUAACGAUUGAAGUGAAUUAUUAGUAGAGUGAAACAUCUCCUCUGAAAUUGACUCGAGGCGUUCACAAUCCCCAAUGUGAAGUCGCUCAAGGGUGGAUUGAAACUUGCCUCUUGGGAAGGAUGUGAGAAAUGGACAUUCACCGAUUUCCAAGACUUGGAGAGCAGCUGCAUUGGUGGAAUGUUGGUGCAUUAUUCCCUCAGGUAGAGACUCUAGCCUUCCACAACUCCAUAUUCUGAGUUUCUUGAGAGUGGCGGGUAACCCACCUUUCGGUAAUCCAAUAAGAGACGGACACCCCUCUAUAGAAAAGUCUUCAAGGGCACACGUGCCCAUCAUUUCUUCUGGAAGAGACUUGAGAUUUUCACAAUGCAAUAUGUGUAGACUCUUAAGGGUGGUGGGUAAUUGCCCUUUUGGAAAGCAAAUGAGAGAUGGACAGUUCCAUAUACUUAAGCAUUCAAGGAGACACAAGUUGUUGCUGUCAGUACUGUCGUUCCUCAUCUUCAACAUCAUGCCAUCAGGUAGACUCUUUAGACCUUCACAAUUCUCAAGAAUAAGAUUUCUCAGCAUUGGUGGGAAACCUACAUCUGGAAAUGACGCUAGCUUUGGACAAUCCCUGAUUGUCAAUUCUUCAAGGCAUGUUAGACUCUGCCAUCCAUUUGGAAGCCUCUCUAGUUUAUCACAUCCACUUAUUUCCAAAGACUGAAGAUUGCAUCCCAAGGAUACAAGUUGGUCACAAUCUCUAAUCUCAAGAGAAUGAGAGUUUUCCGAUCCAAAACCAUCCUCCCACAAAUAUACGAGUUCUUCACAUUCCGAUACUUUCAAAACCCGAAGCCCUUGCAAAAAUUGCACAAAUCCUUCAUGCAAUUUGAUAAGCCCUGAAAUCCCAGAAAUUGUUAACUUGGUGAGUGAGGUGAGGUCAUUUCCACUGCUCAAGACCGCCUCAUUACAUUCUUUUACUUGUAAUCCCUUCAGCAGUGGAAGUCUUGAAAGUGGAGACUCCAAUUUUGGACAAAAGUGAACAGAGAGCUUUGUAAGAGAAGGUAAGUAAGUGGGCAGUUUCAUAAUCAAUUUGGGGCAAUCCUCAAUUGUAAGCUCAUGGAGACAAGGGAAUAAUGACUCUGUUGAGGAAGACCAGUCCUCCCAUUGCUCCCAUUCUGACAUGCGAUUAAAAUGUAGAGACUCUAGUGAUGGGAAAAACUUACCUGCAGAAACACGAGUCUCUCCAUAAAACUCUGCACCCACUUUUUUUACUCCAUCCAUUCCUUGGAUCCUCAACUGUUUGAGCGAUGGCAACUGCCCCAAGCAUGGUAAAGACGUGCACUCUCUGCAAUCUAUGAGACUGAGAUCCACCAUCUUAGAGAACAAGGCAUCCCCUAUCCAACGUGGGAAUUCUGGACCACCAUACCACUUAAUGCAGAGUUUGUUCAGAUUCAAACAAGGUUGUAGAGAGUCAAGGACAUCCAUUUGAUUCCUUUCAUUCCCUGAACCAUCCAGCUCAGAACUCCACUGCAUUAUCAAGCUUUCAAGGUUACGCUUCAAUUUUAAAUCGGCAUCCCUUGCAUCUUGAAUAUUCACCACAUUUUCCAAUUUCGAAAUGCAAAGUUCUCGCAGAUGUGACAUGUCUUUCAACCCUUUGAUUGUCAAACCGUUGUUUUUGUCCACAAUGAAAUUAGACAAUAUCCGCAAAUCUUUUAGUUUGCCAAUUUGUACAGGCAUUUCUUGUAAUUGUUUUGCACCAGCAACAUCAAGAUGUCGAAGAUUGAUUAGGUUACCGAUGCUAAUAGGCAACCUGAUAAGCUUUUCACAGCAUGAUAAUUUCAAUGUUUGAAGAUAAAAAAGAUUACCAAUUGAAUCGGGUAACCAUUUUAUAUUGGUGUAGGACAAAUUAAGGUAUCUCAAAUGUUUCAACUCACCAAAUGAAUCCGGUAUCUCACUUAUCAUGUAACGAGCCAAUGAGAGCACCCUUAAGUGCCCUAACCUUGGUAUCAAUUCUUCAAGCACCUUAUUACUUAUGAAGGAAUGACGUCUACUAGUUGAUUCAUCAAUCGGCAAAGCUAUGAAUGUGCGCAAGUGCUCUUUCUUAUGAAACCUUUCAAAUUUUUUAAAGAUAUCACAAAAAUGACGGGUGAAUGAUGAAUGACGAGUAUUUUCAGAAAUGGAGCAUUGCAAAUCAUUCCACAACUCAUCAUCCAAAUGCAAGCAUGUGUCUCCAGCAAUAGAUUUAGCUAGAGCAUGGACAAGGUCAUGCAUCACGAAUCGUGAUCUAUUGCUGCUUGACGAUUGAAAAAAUGACCUUGACAAUAGCUCAUCAAAAUACUUAUCACCAUGAUCUUCCAUUUUCCUAUUAUCUUUUGAUUGUUGAAUUAACCCCUCCGCUAUCCACAGGAGGAUUAACUCUUGCUUUGUAAACUCAUAAUCCUGGGGAAAAUUUGCGCAAUAAGUAAAACACCUCUUUAAAUGUGAAGACAGAUGAUAGUAGCUCAAUCUCAAGGCAGGGAUGAUGUCACAUUCCUUGUCUGUUAAAUUCCAUACUUUGCUGUACAAUACUCUUUCCCAUUCACAUUCACGUAGUUCAGAGCGCAAAAGGCCACCAAGGGCUCUUGCCGCUAAGGGAGAACCUCCACACUUCUCUACAAUUCUCCUACCAAUUGAUUCCAAAUUUGGGUGCUCAUCGAUAUUCAUAUGUUCAAAAGCAUGUGUUUGAAAUAUCUUCAAACAAUCAUCAUAUGGUAACUGUUUGAGCUCAUGUAAGAUCUUGCGUCCUCUCAUCUUGUUUGCAACAUUAUUAUUGCGAGUUGUGACUAGAAUUUUGCUUCCCUGUGCUCCCACCCAGAAAGGGGAGCAUAGCCUGUCCAACUCAAAGUAAUCAUCAUUCCACAAAUCAUCCAAAACUAUCAGAAAUUUUUUUCCCUUCAAUUCCUUCCUCAAAUUUUCUUGGAUUUGAUGCAAGUCUUGUGAAUCACUGCUUUGAGAAUUAGUCACCGAGUUGAGAAUUGUCUUUGUUAUUCUCACUGCAUCGAACUGAUCUGAGACACAAACCCAGGCUUUUUUAUCAAAAUGCUUGGUUACGGUCUUAUCGUCAUCGUACACCAGUCUUGCCAGUGUGGUCUUGCCCAUCCCACCCGUGGCCACGAUGGAAACUACAGAAAAAUUGGUUUUAGUGGGUUCAUUCCUAAGCAGCAUACCAAUUAUAAUCUCUUUUUCUGUCCCCCUGCCAUAGACCUGAGGUUCAUAUCCUAGAGAUGCGGUGACUGGCCUUCCCCUAGCAGAGUUGGUUAUCGCAGCCACCUUUUCUAGACGAAGCUCAGAUUUUUGAGCCGAAAUAUCUCGUAAGCGGCGAGUGAUUUCCAACACCUUGGACCUCAUGUUAAUAUAACGCAUAACCUCAUUAGGAUUGAAAAUGCCAAGACAAGUGGAGAUGAGCUUGCGUACCUUGCUCGGCCUGCCUUGAUGAUCAGCUUCUUUGGCCGUGAGUUCCCGUUGCAAAGCUUCGUAGGCGAACCCAUCCAAGAUGUCCUCCAUAUCAUAAGCCAAAUCCUUCAGAUUGCCCAGCCACUCUUUCACAGAGUGAUCCGUGAUCUGCUUGUCCUCCGCGUCAUUAAGCUCUUCACGAAUAUUCGACAAUUCUAUCUCCCAUUUCUUGAGAUCAGAGUACACCCAUUGUUGGCGUGCAAAGUCGAGCAAAUCAGUGGAGGCCAACUUAUCAAACAAGAGGCCGAUGGCAGCAGAAAGAAGAGCGUCUCCCACAGCUUCCAUGGUUGGUUUGUACUUUGUUUGCAGAGAGAGAGAGCAAAUCAAGCAGUGGGUAAAAAGGUGAAGCAGAAAGAAGGGGUCUGCUCUGUGAAGGCUUUAAAUAUUAGAAACCCAUUUUCAUUUUAAUUUAUUUGAAGGUCCUUGUAGAGACAGCUGGAUCAUAUUGGAGUUUGAGAUGGCCCGACUGCCCACCUGCAUGCCACUGUUGGUUUGUUUGUGUACUUUAAAUAUGUCUCAAUUUUAUUAUAAAUUUUUUUUUUUUAAUGUAACUAUAUAUAUAUAUCCCUCUUUUAUUAUUUUUUUAUUUGCAUGAUAUUUCUUUCAUACCAAUCAAAACUAUGAAGAGAUUUUUCUUAAAAUUCAUAAAAUAUCUUGUUUUUGUUGCAUCAAUAUGUUUCAUUUCAUUGUAAGAAAGGCCAGUAAAAUGUGAUAUUUUCUAAUUUCUGAUUUGUAACAUUUUUUUUUCUUAUUUAUUCCAAUCUUAUAUGCAUAUUACACUAUUAGGCAAAGUUGUCAAUGACAAUGAUUGUUAUUUAUAAUGGCUUGAACUUAGAAGCAUCCUAGCUUAUGAUACUCAAUUAUAUUCACCUCUACAACUUAAUUUCAAAAUGUUGGAAUGCAUACCAAAUUCCUAAUUAAUCAAGGUUUAUUUUUUUGUAAAAAAAUGUUAUAUAGAAUAUUUCCUAAGUUGAUACAUUAUUAUAAUAUUAAAUUUCCGUCUAGAAUAAGGAAUAUUAUUAGAAAUAUCUCUAUAAAUAUUAUAGGUAAAAGUGAACAUGAGCUUUUAGUGACUAUACGAAGUUAAUAAAGAUACUCAGUAAAGUGAGAGGGCUCGUGGUUCAAGGUAUGGAUACAAGGAGUGACACAAAAUAAUUUAUUAACUCAAAAUCUAUUUUUUAUUUUUCUUUAUUUUUUCUUUCUUUCUAAUUUUCUUUUUGUUUUCUUUUUCUCUAACUCCCUCAAAUCUUCUAGAAACCAAAUAUUGUCCUAAUGUGUGUUGGACGAUGAACUUGUUAUUUUAUAAACUUCAAAUAUUCAAUUUUCAUGGAGAAGGAAUCUCAUAUCUAUCUCAAGUUAAUUAUAUGCAUCCCAUUUUUACCACUAGCAAACCUUAAUCACCUUAUUAUAUGGAAAUUGGGUAUAACUAGAUGUAAUAAAAAACAAAGUUUUGUGAAUAAUGAAAGAACUUGUACAAGUAAAAAUAGAAUUUUAAUAAGAUGCAAAAAAAUUUUGGCUUCCAUAUCUACUCAAAUAAGCAUAGAACCUUUUUCUUCAACUUUUCAGUUUUUGACUUCUCAAAAAUCAAUCUAAAUUGGAUUGAUAAAUUAUAAAAGGUUACAAUAUAAUAUUACAAUGUAUAAAUAUUAUUUUCACUUCUAUAUUUCCCAUGAAAUUAUUUAUUUAUUUAUUUAAAUUGAAAUGUCCUUUGUUAUUUGUUUCUACCUUUAAAAAGUAACAAAAAAAUUAUUUUAAAUCUUAGGUAUGGCAAUACUUAAGUAUUUAAUAAUUUUAAUUAGAUAAUUACAUUUUCUUUUACAUUUUACACAUAAAAUAAUUAAUUACAUUUUAUAUUAUAUUAUUUAAUUAGUGAUAUUUAAAUUUUAAUUAGUUUUUAAGAAUUUAAUUAAUAGUUAAAUAAUUAGAUUUAUUUAUGUUUAAAUCUAAUUAACAAUAAGUUCAAUGCAACAAGAAAAAAAAAAAGCUUAUGGUUACUAUUUUGAAGUGGAUUUCAAUUUUAAAUUUUACAAGUAGACUUGCUUGACUAACCUUAUAAAUUAGUAGAAUUUAACAAGUUGCAAAUGGUUCCCUUACCUAAUCUUUUAAAUUAAUCUUGAUGUUGACAAGCACUUUACCAACCAUAAUUAUAAAAAGACAUAAGUCAAGUUGAUUUUACUAAAUUGCAAGUGGGUGCCCUUACCUAAUCUUUUAAAUUAAUCUUGAUGUUCACAAGCACUUUGCCAACCAUAAUUAUAAAAAGACAUAUAAGUCAAAUUGAUUUUACUCAAUUGAGAUUAAUAAAUUGCAAGUGGGUGCCCUUUACCUAAUCUUUUAAUUUAAUCUUCAUAUUGAUAAGAACCAAAUCAGCUAUAAUUAUAAAAACAAGAAGACGACAAGCUAUGAUUACUUUUAUUAACUAAAAUUUAAUAAAUCACAAUUUCUCUUACCUAACCUUUAGAUUAAUCUUGAUAACUUUGCCAACAGUAAUUAUAAAAAGAGAAAGACGACAAGCUAAUUUAAUUGGCUAAUUUUAUUAACUUAGGUUUAAUAAAUUUAAAGUAGGUUGAUCUCUUACCUAUCCUUUUUAAAUUAAUCUUGAGAUCAAUAAGAAUCAUACAGCCAUAAUAAUAAGAAGAGCUAAAACAUAAGUCGAUUUGAUAUUUAAUUAGUUAAUUUUAUUAACUAUAAGAUAUAAAAAUUUGGUAGGAGGUGUCUUAAAUCCCAAAUUAGAAUAUACUUUUUUUUUUCGUGAAAAGAAUAUUAUAUAGAAUAUUUCCAAAGUUUAUAUGUGAUUGUAAUUAAAUUCAAGUUAGUACAUAUAUAUUUAUAAAUAUUUUAAGACAUGAAGAGAAAAAGUUAUGGAAGAUAUGAAAAAGAGAUGCGAUCAAGAGCGAGAGACGUUGAUAGAACAAGAGGGUUCACUAGGGAAGAGUAUAGAUGUGAAGAAGAAUGAGAAACACAUAGUGGAGCAAAAUGAUUCAUGGUUUAUGAUAGAGAUAUAAAGAGCAGGAAAAAUGGGAUGUUUGGGUUUUGGUAGUCGUCUAACCUUUGUAUGUGGUUUGCUUUAUUCAUGUGUUCUUCCUUUAAUAUGUUUAAAUUGAGGUUUUUGUUUACCUUUUGGUCCUAAGAUGGGUUUUGUCAUGUAAUCAAUUAUGCCCGUUUCCAAUUUCAUUAGAAACUUGUGUUCUACGAUUUGACAAAUGAAAAUAAUUAUUUUUCUAUAAUUUUUUUUAUUAUAAUUUUGUUAGUUAAUAAAAAGUAAAAUAUAGAUAAUAUUAGCCGUCAAAUAGAAAGAUAAAUAUGACAAUUGAUGUGUUUUCACAGCAUAUUUGUACUUAGAUGGUUUUGCUUAUAUGAAGUAAUUUAAUGCAACUAUGAAGAUUUAUAUGAAGUAAACUUUAUAUAAUUUGAGAUUUAAUAAUCGGUUAAUUUUUAUUUGAAGAUACAAAAACAUAAAAUAAAAGUCUUGUUCGAAAACUAUUAUUGAAAACAACAUGAAAAUGGGGUUUUUUCACUUAGAAAUAUACAUUUGACAAACUUCUCAUAUAAAACUUCUUAAAAUAAGUUAUUUUUUAGAACAAUUUUGAAAUGUUUUUAAUUUUUUCACAACAAUUUAAAUAAAAAUUGAAGAUAUAGAUAAUAUAUAUUUUGGGAAAUUUUGUAUCGUAUUUAAGUAUACAAUUCCUUUGUAAAGAAUAAAUCGAAACGAGUAAUGGCUAUUUUCAAGAAUUGUUUUGAAGAAUUAUUUUCACAAAUGUUGUCAAAUAUGCUCAAAACUUUCUACAUCAUUUAUAUUAAUCUUGGAUUCAAUCAAAAUCUUGCCACAAUUGAAAAGAGAAAAAAAUGUUAAUUAAUUGGUUAAUAUUUACAAUCCUAAAAAAAAAAAUAAUAAUAAUAAUAAUUCAAAAUUUUUUAAAUAAAAAUCUCGCUAACUAAAAUAAAAAUUCACCAUCAAAAUAAAAGAUUAUCUAAUAGUUUUCUAUUUUUGACUCUAUAAUCAAGAAUGUUCAUAUAAUUUCUUUUACAAUAACAUACUAAAAUAGAAAGAGAUUAAAAUGGAAAAAGAAAAUGAUUAACAAUAAAAUUCAUAAAAAGAAAUGAAAAUUAAGAAGAUUUCAAUCCACUUCAAUAUUAUUUCAAUGAAAUAGUAUUGCAUUUAAAUUAUUGAAGGCCAUACCAAUUUAUUUUUCGUCCUUUUUUAAUACUUAAUUUUGUUAUCAAACAAUGAAAAUUUUACUAAUCAAGGAAAAUGAGAAAAGAAAAUAUUUUUCUUGAAAGUUAAUGAAUUUGUUAAGAAAGGAAAACAAAAGGUCUUUUAUGGGAUACUUUAUUAAAUUAAAUUAAUAACUUAAUUUAAAUCAUUAAAUAAAUUAAGUAUGUUUAGCAAAAUAACAUAAUGGUAUGAUUUAAAAUAAAAAAACUUUAAAUAAUAAAUAAAAAUAAUUAACUUAUUCUUAAAUUCACAUUUUUAUUUUACCUUUUUACCCCAAUUUGCCAUAAUUACCUCCACAAUUUCCUUUACUAUUCCACGACUUUUACUUUCACACGACCUCCUUUACUCUAGGUAUAAUUUAUGAGGAUAAAUAUGUCAAUUUGGAAAUUUAGAAUUAAUCAUAAGUUAGUUUUAUCACACAAUCGUAGUACUUAAAAUAAAAAUUAAGUAAUAAGUUUUAAUUUAACAAUUUAAGUAUAAUUUAACUAAAAGUCAACUUAAAUCAUUAAGUAAUUAGUAUUAAGUUUUAUCAAACACCUCCAUAUAAUUAGUUAAUUUUGAUUAAUCUAAAAAUAUAGAAAGUGAAAUAUACACAUUUUUUUAUUGGUUAGGUUGGUCUUGAACUUUUUUCACCAAAUCAUUUUUAUUAAUCUUAACAUGCGCCAUUUGAUGCGACUGAUGGUAGCUUAGCUUUAAAGGCGUAUCAACAAAAUUUAUACCUUAAAUAUUAUUACUAAAGUAGCCAAGCUACUAUAGCAUAGUGGUUCUAGGAUCGUUCACUGGGAAGGGUUUUCGCGAACACUAGUGAUAUUCAAAUUAGGAAAAUAGGUGAUUUUCUUAUGGAUGUUAGCUUUAAAAGAAGAUGUAAAUGUUUUAGAAAGAUUUAAACUAAUCUAAGCUAACAUUAAAGACUAAAAUGAAAGGGUGUAAAAACAAGUUUCUCAAAGAUAGGAUAGCUAUGCUCUGGCUCUUAUGCAAAUUGGAAAUCUCAGGAUAGGCUCCUCGCGUUGGGGUUACAACUAUGGUAAUGCUUGCUUCCCGAACCGGUAUGGAUUUAGCAAAUCAAGUUUUAAUCCUUUAAAAUGGCAAAACAGAUGGUAGUGAAUUUCAUCAAUGGUUAUUCACCUUAGACUUCCUUUGAAUGGCUCGUAAGAGAUAACUAAUGGUCUAAAGCCAAAAGCUUACCAAAUAUUGGCAACUCAAAGUCAUUCCAGGUGAUAAACUCACCUUUCAAUGGCCAUUGAAAUUGGUUCUAACGGAUUAAUGCAAAACUUGGAAUUGAAAACCUCACCUUCCAAUAGCUCGUAGGAGAUAACUAAUGGAUAGAAAUCCAAAAGCUUAUCAAGUAUUGGCCGUUGGAAGUUGUCCAAAGGAAAUAAAAACCAAACUUUGCAUUAAUGAACCAUUAAUGAAAAACGACUACCUUGCCUUCCAGGUGCGAGAAAUUUCCAUGGGAUUGCAUCCAAGCUAUCACAUAACAUCCAUACUUUGAGAAACUAAAAGUUUUAGCCAAUCAUCCUCUGAGGAAAAGUCCUCAGAGGCUGUUUGGCUACUAAGAAAAUAAAAAUGGGGAAGAAUAGGAGAAGAGAGAAAAACAGAGCUUUAUAUAUUUCUAAGUUAAUGUACAGAGGAUCGAUCCCCCAAUAUCUUUUGGAGGCGUUGUGCACCUCUAUAUAUAGCAAAAUUACAAGAUAAAGCCUUAUGUCGGCUGAAUACAAGGUUACAAAAGGAAUUUACACGAGAAAAUAUCAAGCUAAAAAUAUCUGGGAAGUCGGUGGUGCGUGCGUGGAGAAACAGAGGAAAUUUGGCAAGGUAAAAGGUUACUUGCGAAAUUUUGGCAAGGUAAAAGGUUACCUUGCGAAAUUUUCGCAAGGUGAAUUAAUCAUGAUGCGAAGUGCCAUAUUUUCGCAUCAUGAGUAAAUUCACCUUGCCAAAUUUGGCAAGGUGCAUUUUCACCUUGCAAAAAUUGCAUUUUGGCAAGGUACUUUGCCUUGCCUUGCGAAAUGGCUAUCCCUUUGUUUGUGCUUGUGUUUCCACUUGAAAUUCAAGCCUGUAAACUUCCAAAAUCCUUGCUUUAACUUGUCCAAGUAGCUCCUCCAUCAUUUGGCAUGCUUGAAUUGAUUCAUAAGCUGAUAAAAACAUGUAAACUUGCCACAAAAUGGUUAAAACCAAUUACUAAGGACCUUAAUGAAUUAAUUGGGUUAAAUGAAUAUGAUUACUACUCAAAGGUGCUUAAAACCAUUAUAAUUAGGUCUACAAAAUAGCACUUUUUGGUAGUAAUCACAUCAACAUUAGUUAAUUAUAAUUAAAGAAAAGAAAACCAAAAAAAUAAAAAUAAAAAAGUCAAUUUGGGUGACCAAUCUUUGUUGAAAAAUUAAAAACCAAACAAAAGUUGAUCAAUACAAAAAAGAAAAAAAUUGUAUGAAGUAGACAUUUUGUCUUUUUGAGAUUAUUGAUGGAAUUGUAAUAGACUAUAAACAUGUCUAUGAGAAUCAAUCCCAAUGAGUCCUAAAACAUAUCUAUGAGACUAUUGUUGAAUAGAGAUUAAAAAUAAAAUAAAACCAUGUCAUAAAGAAAUGAUAUUUAAGUAUUAAUAAAUAGGAAUUGGAUACAUAUAAAUAAAAUUUAGAUUAAAGAAGAAAUGAAACUAUUUUUAUUAUGUGGUUGUUUUUAAUGGACCGCCAAUUUUUUUUUAAAAAUUUUAUAUAUAUAUUCCAUAGAAAAAUUACUUUCUAAUACCAUAGAAUCACCCUAAUUUCAAAUUGAGAUUUACUAUCUUAAAUUUUAAAUUUUUAAAAAAUAAUUUUUAAGGGCAUGAACUAAAUCUAUAUUUUUUGUGAAGAAUUUAUAUUCUUUAUAUGGAAGUUUUUAUCGAUUUUUAUUUUUAAAAACAAAAAAUAAGAAGCACUUAGAGUGUAUUUGACAAUGAUUUUAAGAAGUGAUUCUAAUCUUUCUAAUACUUGAAAAAUAAAAAUUCUUAUAUGUUGAAACAAUUGCAGAAUACACUUUUAGUAAGUAAUGAUAUUAAUUUCUUCGAAGAGAGAGAUUUACAUUUAGGAUAGAAAUAAAUAAAUAAAACAAUACAAGGAUAAAAAUUUAUUUUUUUUAAAAACUUUUAACUUCUUGUACUUUAUCAUUACACACUUUUUUCAUUAGAUGCUUUAAAUAAUUUUUAUUAAAUAAAAUUAUAUUGAUGGAGGGCUAAUUAACUUUGCUUAGGGUGAGAAAGAUAGAGAUAAAAUUGAAGUGGGUACACAUCUAAAACAAAAAUGAAAUAAAAAGUAAAGAUGAAGAUAAGAUUGAGGUGGGUUCACAACUAAAAAAAGAAUGAAAUAAAAAGUAUGAGAUGAAUUGACCAAAGCUUAUCCCUUCUUCCAAAUAGUAAAAGCAAAGCCUAGUAGUAUAAAGUGAUGACACUAGUCCUAUUCAAGGCCCCACUUGCAUAAUUGCUACAUCUUUUUGACUUGAUUUUAGUUCAAUUUCACUAAAAUGAAAUAAUUUAUUUGAGCCCAAAAAUCCAAAUCCAAAUCCAACCCACUUAUUUAUAUACAUUAUUGGCAUGGAAUGAGAAAAGUUAUAAAGUGAGAAAAUUUGAUCAUAUGAUAAAUAGUGAUUUUUCAAAGUUGGAGUCAAUCCAAUGCCCAAUGGCUAUAAAAGAAAAAGGAAAGAUGUGGAAAUUAUAGUGGAAUCUCGAAACAAAUUUUUGAGGUUUGAGGUGAUGUGACAACCGUUUCCAAGUAAUUGCCUAAGAAUGUGAGAUGUUGUUGCAUUGAAAAUUGAUAUUAAAGCUCACUGGGUAAUGGUAAGAAUUGCUUUACAUAAAGACAAGUAAUAAAUACAUCCCACUUUUUCAAAAAGUUUAUGAGUGAAUAAAACUUUUAGAGUAGGAUGAAUGCAUUUCACGUGAGUCAUGUCCUAGAUAUAUUUUUAGAAUUUUCUAGCAGGAUGUCGAGGAAAACUCUAUGAUGAGUGUUUUCUUUCUAGUUAAGGCAGGUCCAAUUUGGUGCAAUUCGUCAAUAUAAUUCAAACCCAACAUAUGUUUUAAGGAUUUGAAUUGAGUAAAAUCGCCUUUAAAUUAAAUUAAUCAUAUGAAUCAACGUAACCUGUUUAAUAAAUAGAUUAUUUUUAGGUCAAUCUAGAUAACCCACAUUUGACUUGAAUUAACUUAUUUAAUAAUGGUAUUGAUUAACCUAAUAAUAACUUUAACUUAUUGAACUCAUAUUUGACUCAUGUAAAUUUUUUUUUUUCAAUAAUUAUGUCAUAAUUGGGCCAUAAACAUGACAUAUUAGAAUAUUAACCAUAUUAUUUCAUUCAACAUUUAAUUUGACUUGAUUAUGAAAUAACAUCUUAUUAUUAAAUCGGUUGAGCCGGUUAUAAUGUAUCACCUAGAUAAUAAUUAUAUGGUGUUUGAGUUUAUGUUUUAAAUUUUGAUUAUUAUUCAUGUCAUGUUUGGGUUGAGUUAUUUAGUGGAGGAUCUAACCUUUGAUAUAACACAAACACAACCCACUAACUUAAAUUGCCAUCAUCACUUCUACUAAUAAGUGAUUUGUUUAUUAUAAUUAAGAAAAUUGAGAAGAUAUAAUUUAUUUUUUAAUUUUAAAUGCAUGAUUAAAGUUAAUUAUAACUUUUAAAAAUUUUAUAAUUCAUAUUCCAUCCAAACUAACAAAAUAUUAGAAAUCUUCAAUGGUUUUGUCUACAAUAAAUAUGUUGUGUUAAAUUAUCCCCUUCUCUACUAACCAAAACAUGUUCUUUCACAAUCAAAUAUCAACGUGUUUGAGCAGCCGGUGAGGCAUCUCUUGACAAUGAGGUGAGAGGUAGAAACAAGAAACAUACCUAUAUUCAAGAGAAGUGGUGUUUCUUCAUUUGCUUUAGACAACAUUCAUUUAGUCUAAACUUGAAGGCGGAUUGCUAGAAUCUGAGCUCUUGGAAAGACAUAAGAGAAGUACAUUUGGAAAUCUGAAAGAAGCCCAGAGACCUAUUGCUACUUGUGAAUCACAGUAAUCAGAAACAAUUCCAUAUAAUCCUGCAAUUCUAGACCUUUGAUUUGCUCGUUCCAUUUUGCCAAGAACAAUUCUAGAAUGUUUUUCUUUAUUGAGUCGUAAUGAUUUUAUUAUUAGGAUUUAAUUGUAUUCAUUAGGUUUGCAAAUCACAAAAACGGUAUUGUGCCUAUGAAUAUUUUCCUCUUUGAUCAUGUAAAGUUGGAAAAUAGUUGUGGAAUUCUAUGAUAGCACAGUACAUUGAUCCACACGGUUUGUGGCAUGACAGUUUAAUGAAAUUACAAAAGUGUAGCACUCAUGGGUAUGUCAUGUGAACCUUUUUCAAUGGAGCUACUUGUUUAAAUUUACAUGGGUGAAUUGUCACACCAAUAUCCUCUAAUGAACCUUGGGUUCUUUUUUCUGUUUCUUCCUCUCUUGGUUAAGCCAAACAAUUUGUCUUUAUAAGGACUUCAUGUUACUAAUAAGCAGCAUCUUGUGUUCUCCUUCUCUUCAUCUCCUUGUCAAGACACAACGAUCUGAUGCAUUUUGCAUUGGGUUGCUUCCUCUCCUCUCCAUUUCCUUCCUCCUUGAGGCAAAAUUGCAUCAUUUCUUAGUUUUGAUUAUGUUUCUUUUUAUCAUUAUGAGAAAGCAUCAUUGUAAGAUGUACAAGAAACGUGUUGCGGUGCAUUAUCCCCUCCUCUACCACCUAAAAUCUGUUUUACACGAUCAUAAGGACCAAGGUGUUUUAAGCAUCAGGUAAGGCAUUUGUUGACAAUGAUGUGAGAGAUAGAGACAAGCAACAUACCAGUAUUCAAAAUAUAUGAUGUUCUUCUUUUUCAUUUGACAACAUUCAUUUAGUCUGAACUCCACAUUUGGGCAACUCAUAAUCUCCACCUUCAUUAGGAUUGUUAGAAGUUGGCUUCUUAGAAAGACAUGGAAAUGGGGCAUCUAGAAAUCUGAAAGAAUUCCAAAGGCUUGUUGCUACUUUUGAAUCAUUCCAAUUAAUAACAACUUUAAAAGAUAUAUACAAAUCUGUCCCUGGGAAAGAGAUGUGUCAUGUGCAUAUGCAACCAUCUCUCUAAUAGACUCAGGGUUGUGCACCAUCAUGGUAGUUUCUUAUAUAUUACAUCAUAUUAAUUGUAGAUAUCCAACUACCAAUAUCACUACACCUGAAUGAACUAGGAGCUAUGCUGAAAGUGAAGUUGGACAACCCAUCAUCGAAAGAAUCCUGUAGGAAUACCCCAAAAUGAAAAUUUUAUUAGCAUAAAUGAAUUCACCCAAAUUAAGGAUAAAGUUGCCUAAAAAAAUGAAUUGGAAGAGAUAGAAAUACUGAUGCUUUCAUAGGACUAUGGGAGGGACCAACAAGUAGAACAAACAUUGAAUAGUAAAUGUAAAGCAAUAAAGCUUGUAACUGUUGUCAAAAGCUGCUCCCUAGUGAAGUUUUUUAACAAUAAAGGUAAGUGCAAAAUUCACCUAAUGGCUCCACUUGUAGGAAAUUUCAAUGAUGUGAAACUAGGAUAUGGUGAACUUGCUUCCGCUAUUGCAGUGAACUAUUAUGGAUCAAAAAUAAAUCUCACCAUCAGUUUUCACAUUGGAGAUGUGGGCUAUCUUUGGCCCAUCUCUCAAUAUUGGAUUUAGGAGUUUUGUCUCUCAUAUAUGGUUCCACUUACAAAAUACAAAUGGAGCUUAGAUGAUGACAACACAUUUAGAAAAAUGCAAGAAUUCCACUGACAUGUUUUGUGCUAUCAUGAAUCAUUCCAAUCAGUAAAGAAUCUAAGUGUUAUAACUUUGAAUUGUCUUAGGGAACACACCCCAAUUCAAUCUUACGGAAGUAAACUGCCUUGAGUACCAACUCAAUUUGAGUUCUUUGGGAGACUUGAGACACCAAUUUAAUCAAAGCUGCUAGUUGUUUCUAAAGUAGAUUGUCUUUCUCCACUGAUACUGGGGAAAAUGCUUUUGAAAACCAUUAAUCUGCAAAUUACAAAGGGAAAUGAGAUUAUGUUGUUAUCAUAUCUCCAAUCUCCUUGACACAAAUAGAUGAUUUCCUUGCAACCAAUAAUUUCUAAUUCUAUCACUUCUAUUCUAGCAUGUGAUUUGGGAAGAGAAUUAAGCUUCGAAAUAUUGCCAAUAUGAAAGGAAUUGGAAGAGGCCAAGUAGGCAGCCACCAUAGCUAGUUCACAAACAAAUGACAACAUUGGAAGUGGAACACGACACAUAAACUUCAAAGAGAAAACAUGUUUCCCACAAUCAUAAAUACCAAGGUGUUUAAGCAUUAGGUAAGACAUCUCUUGACAAUGAUGUGAGAGAGAGACAAACAACAUACCAGUAUUCAAGAGAAGUAGUAUUCUUCUUUUGCAUUCGACAACAUUCAUCUAUUCUACACCCCAAAUUUUAGCAACUCAGGAUCUCCACCUUCAUUAGAAUUGCAGGAAGCUAGCCUCUUGGAAACACAUGAGAGGACAUUAAGAAAUUUGAAAGAAUUCUAGAGACUUGUUGUUGCUUGAAUUGUGAGUAAUUCCAAUCAUAAAUACCAAGGUGUUUCAGGAUCAGGUAAGGCAUCUCUUGGCAAUGAUAUGAGAGAUAGAGACAAGCAACAUACCAGUAUUCAAGAGAAGUAGUAUUCUUCUUUUGCAUUCAACAACAUUCAUCCACUUCACACCCCAGAUUUUAGCAACUCAGGAUCUCUUCCUUCAUUAGGAUUGCAGGAAGUUGACCUCUUGGAAACACAUGAGAGGACAUUUAGGAAUCUGAAAGAAUUAUAAAGACUUGUUGUUGCUUGAAUUGUGAAUCAUUCCAGUCAUAAAUACUAAGUUGUUCCAAGAUUAGGUAAGGCAUAUCUUGGCAAUGAUGUGAGAGAUAGAGACAAGCAGCAUACCAGUAUUUAAGAGAAGUAGUAUUCUUCUUUUGAAUUCGACAACAAUCAUCUACUUUACACCCCAAAUUUUAGCAACUCAGGAUCUCCAUCUUCAUUAGGAUUAUAGGAAGUUAGCCUCUUGGAAACACAUGAGAGGAUAUUUAGAAAUCUGAAAGAACUCCAAAGACUUGUUAUUGCUUGAAUUAUGGAUUAUUCCAAUCAUAAAUACCAAGGUACUUCAAGAUCAGGUAAGACAUUUCUUGGCAAUGAUGUGAGAGAUAGAGACAAGCAAAAUACCAGCAUUCAAGAGAAGUAGUAUUCUUCUUUUGCAUUCGACAACAUUCAUCUACUCUACACCCCAAAUUUUAGCAACUUAGAAUCUCCACCUUCAUUAGGAUUGCAAGAAGUUGGCCUCUUGGAAACACAUGAGAGGACAUUUAGAAAUCUGCAAGAAUUCGAGAGACUUGUUGUUGCUUGAAUUGUGAAUGAUUCCAAUCAUAAAUACCAAGGUGUUUCAGGAUCAGGUAAGACAUCUCUUAGCAAUGAUGUGAGAGAUAAUGAUAAGCGACAUACCAAUAUUUAAGAGAAGUAGUAUUCUUCUUUUGCAUUCAACAACAUUCAUCUACUUUACACCCCAAAUUUUACAAACUUAGGAUUUCCACCUUCAUUAGGAUUGCAAGAAGAUGACCUCUUAGAGACACAUGAGAGGACAUUUAGAAAUCUGAAAGAAUUCCAGAGACUUGUUGUUGCUUGAAUUGUGAAUCAUUCCAAUUAGUAACAACUGCAAAGCCCUAUAUACAAUUUUUAGUUGUUAACUUUUUUACAUUGAAUGAAAAACCUGUCCCUAGGAAAGAGGUGUCUUGGGCAUGCAACCAUCAAUUAUUAGCUCUUGAAUAGGCUUGAAGCUGUGCACCCUCUUGGUAGCUUCUAAUUCAUUACAUCAUAUAACUUCCAGAUAUCCAAUUGGCACGUCACUAUGCCUAAAUGAAGUAGGAAACAUGGUGAAUAGGAAGUUAGACAACCUUUCACAAAAAGAAUCCUGCAAGAAUACACCAAACAAAACUUCUUGUUAACAUAAAUGAAUUCACUCAAUUAAAUUAUUGUGUUAAAAUUUAAAUUGGGAGAAAUAAAAAUACUAAUGCUUACAUGGGACUGUGGGAGGACCAACAAGAGGAACAGACUUUGAAUAUAAAAUGUGAAGCCAUAAAACUUGUAACUACUGUCAGCAUCUGCUCCCUAGUCAAGUUUUCAACAAAAAGGUUUAGUGUAGGGAUUCUCUAGUAGCUGAAUGAUUCGACUCCAGCAACGACGCCAUUUGAUUCAUCCCCGGCAACGGCGCCAUUUGAUGCAACUCAUGGUAGCUUAGCUUUAAAGGCGUAUCAACAAAAUUUAUACCUUAAAUACUAUUACUAAAGUAGCCAAGCUACUAUAGCAUAGUAGUUCUAGGAUCGUUCACUGGGAAGGGUUUUCGCAAACACAAGUGAUAUUCAAAUUAGGAAAAUAGGUGAUUUUCUUAUGGAUGUUAGCUUUAAAAGAAGAUGUAAAUGUUUUAGAAAGAUUUAAACUAAUCUAAGCUAACAUUAAAGACUAAAAUGAAAGGGUGUAAAAACAAGUUUCUCAAAGAUAGGAUAGCUAUGCUCUGGCUCUUAUGCAAAUUGGAAAUCUCAGGAUAGGCUCCUCACGUUGGGGUUGCAACUAUGGUGAUGCUUGCUUCCCGAACCGGUAUGGAUUUAGCAAAUCAAGUUUUAAUCCUUUAAUAUGGCAAAACAGAUGGUAGUGAAUUUCAUCAAUGGUUAUUCACCUUAGACUUCCUUUGAAUGGCUCGUAAGAGAUAACUAAUGGUCUAAAGCCAAAAGCUUACCAAAUAUUGGCAACUCAAAGUCAUUCCAAGUGAUAAACUCACCUUUCAAUGGCCAUUGAAAUUGGUUCUAACGGAUUAAUACAAAACUUGGAAUUGAAAACCUCACCUUUCAAUAGCUCGUAGGAGAUAACUAAUGGAUAGAAAUCCAAAAGCUUAUCAAGUAUUGGCCGUUGGAAGUUGUCCAAAGGAAAUAAAAACCAAACUUUGCAUUAAUGAACCUUUAAUGAAAAACGUCUACCUUACCUUCCGAGUGCGAGAAAUUUCCAUGGGAUUGCAUCCAAGCCAUCACAUAACAUCCAUACUUUGAGAAACUAAAAGUUUUAGCCAAUCAUCAUCUGAGGAAAAGCCCUCAGAGGCUGUUUGGCUUCCAAGAAAAUAAAAUAGUAAAGAGAAAAGAGAAACGAGAGAGCUCUGUAUAUAUUCUAAGUGUAAAACGUAAUAUAUCUUCUAUAUUUUCCAAGAGGUGAUUUCCACCCCUUAUAUAGUCUUUACAAAAGCAAAAGCUUGUGAUUGGUUAGUUACAAGGAUAAGAAAGGAAAUUACAUCAAAAAAUACAUAGGAAAAUAUCUAAAGUGGAGUUGGCAAAAAUAGAGGAAAAUUCGCACCACGCAUGGGUUAUGCGAAUUUUGAAGGUGUUAUGCGAAAUUCGCAUAACACCUUGUGUCGUGCGAAAUUUUCGCUCAACCUGGAGUAGUUGGCUUCCGAAGGCCAUAUCUUCCUCAUUUCAGCUCCAAAUCGUACACGAUUUGAAGCGUUGGAUUUUUGACUUCCAGAGCUUUGAAAUGGUAUAUAGCAUGUAAAAAAUGGACUUCGGGAAGUGCUCCAAAAGUGCGAAAGAAGACUGCAGCUGCUGUCCUCUUUGCUUCUCUUCACUUUGCUUGCUUUUCCUCUUUUCCAUUGUUCUUUCCUUGCAUACUUUGAACGACUUUGGCAAAGGGCUAUGGAGCUCCAAAGCUUGGUUCUUCAUGAAUUUGAGCUUCCAAAAGCUUUGCCAUAACUUGUCCAAGUAGCUCCUCCAUCAUUUGGCAUGCUUGAAUUGAUUCAUAAGCUGAUAAAAACAUGUAAACUUGCCACAAAAUGGUUAAAACCAAUUACUAAGGACCUUAAUGAAUUAAUUGGGUUAAAUGAAUAUGAUUACUACUCAAAGGUGCUUAAAACCAUUAUAAUUAGGUCUACAAAAUAGCACUUUUUGGUAGUAAUCACUGAACUUGUAGAAAAUUUCAACUGGAUGACAAUUUAUAUGUUAACAAGAAGAUAAAAUGUAAGAAUUAUGUGUUGGGAAUAGAUGAAACUUACUAUAUAUAUGGAUAGGAUAGGGUGAACCCUCCCUGUUUCCAUUUUUGGAACCCAAACUAUUAUGGAUCAAAGUUGGAGCUCUCCAUCUAUUAAAAACAACUAGAGCUUAGGUGAGGUCUUGGUGAUGUAGGAAAGUCAUGGAUUCUGGAAUCUUUACAUGAAAAUAUAAAUGAGAGAUACAUUGGAAGAAAGGGUAGGCCUUGGUCAUCUGAGAAGAAACACAUCUUAAAUAUACCAUCAAUCUUGAGUUGUUUGAGAGUGAUGAAUCUGUGAAGACCUCCCUCAGAUAAAGGAUUUCUUUGACAUUUCUCCCUCUUCAAUCUCAAGAAGGUACACCAUCAACUAGAACAUUAGGAAUGUGAGUCAUCAUGGGACAACUUGUCUAUGUUCUUUAUUCUUUUCUCACUGAAGAGGAUUAAAAGAUAUGUAGUUUCAAGGACAAGAGAUAUAACUAGUAGUGAGAGCAUCAAACAAUCCUUCUCCAAUGCAGACCACAAAUUUUAGCAACUCGUGAUCUCCACAAUUUAGAGCACUGAAGGAAGUUGGCUUAUUGGCAAGAUGUGACAUGACAUUUAGAAAUAUGAAAGAAUUCCAAAGUUCAUUCCAAUCAUUAAGGAAUCCAAAGCCUUAUAAUUUGAAUAGGGCAUCCACUUGGCAUGGAUAACAUACGUAUCUAGGGAAAAAGACUAGGCACCAAUUCAAUGAUCAUGUUAGUUGCUUCUGUGGCAGUUCUUUCACUGGUAUUAGGGCAAAGCCUUUUGAAAACCCUCAAUCUACAAAUUGCCAAGGACAUGAGAUCAUGUUGUAACCUCGUCUACAAUCUCCAGCUGUAAACAAAUUAUUUCUUUCAAUUAACAAUCUUUAAUGCGUUCACUUCUAUCAUACGAUAAGCAAUUUCGGAAAACAAGUAAGCUUUAUAAUAUUAGUAAUAUGUAAGGAAUUGAUAAAGGCCAUGAAUCUACUUUCAAAAAAUAAACUAUAAAAACAAAGAUUUUGUCACCCAUGAAUAUUGUAACCAACUUCCAAAAAACAUUAGGCAUUGCAAUAACCAAAUGUUCCUUAGGUAUUAAAGUUAAAGUUCAAAGUUACCAAGAGUGCAUUUUUUGACCCAUGCAUAAAAUAAAAAGAAAAUAAGAACGCAUACCAUAUAACUCACAAUUGUGUCAAGUAUGAGUUCAGUUUAUGUUCAUGCACAAUUGUAUUAAGUAUUUGAAAGCUAAAUAAGGCUAUGUGCAAUUCAAAAAAUACCAUACAAUGCUCACAACUUAUCAUAGAAUGAGAACUCAAUUGUCUUUCUUCCAGUCAUAAGAGUUUGUGCUCUUUGAGCCUCUGACUUGCACAACUCAAGAUAGCAGGACAUGCCAAAAAGUCUCCUUCACCUUAAACAUUAUUCAAACCUGCAAUAUAAAUCCUGAUAAGAAAAUUUUCUACAAAUAUAACAUGUUGCAAACAAGUAACAGUAUGUUGGUUUAAAAUUGAAUAACAUUUCAAACCAAACAAAGCAGAAAAAUUUUCCAUGUAUAUCACUCACCUAAAAACUUGUAUGUUGGAUAAAAGUCCUGCUAAUGAAUCCUGACAAUUAUUUGCAAUCAAAAUUUAGUAAUGAUUUAUAAACAAAAAAAAAAAAAAAGGAAAUUACAAAAUUCUUUGGCAAUGUUCCAUGAAAAACACAUUGCAUAUUGAUUGAGAAAUUAAUAUGAAAUCCACUAAUUUGAAAGGCACUAAAAACCAGAUGUUGUCUUGAGUUCUCCAUGUAUCAAAAUAGAUGCAAGUUGCUAUUUGAGCCACCACAAUCAUAGAGCACAAGACUUCUUAGCAUGGAAGGCAUACCAUAUUUUAAACAAGGUUCUUAACUUUCCAAGAGACAUAAGAACGUGGUAUGUUGUAGAAACUGUAGAAUAAAUAAAUGGAAGUUAGACAUAUGCACUUGCUACUUAGUUUUUUAAUCAUUUAUGAAUAAAUAAAGAGGUGUUACUUGCAUUCAACCAAACUUGUAGUCUCCAAUGUGAAAUCCAAAUCUCAUUUUGUCAACACAAUAAGAGCAUUAAACAUAUAGCAAAUUGAAUCCUUCCUUUUGACAAUUUGAAAACCUGAAAGGAAUGACUUGAGAUCAUAAAUAACUAUACGGUAAAGAAAAUUUUCAUCAUUCUUUCUAAAAGGAAAAUCUAUCAUUUCCUCGAUUACGAAAAAUUGAUAUUUUAACACAAAGUGCACUUAUUAAGGUAAACUUUGUGCAUUAUAUAUUGAAAUUAGAAAAUUGUAUUUAAAUCCAGUUAGAAGAGUAUCACAAAAGAUGCUUAAUUGAAAUGAAGGCAUCCAUGCCAAUUUGCAACUACUGUCAAAUAACACCCCUCAUCAUUUUACGUCCCAUGCUUGCAUGUCAAACCUCUAACUAAGACUGCUCAAAGAGCACCUAAAAGAAAAUUACGAAGAUUUCAUUACAGGUAGAACUUAAGAUGCUUACAUUGACCAUGGGAGAGAUCGAUAAGAAACAAAAUACUCAUGCAUAAGUUUGUAACUAUUGUACUCAAAACCUGCUUCCUAGUCAAACUUUCAACAUAACUCCAUGGAAACUUCCAAAAAUUGUUGAGCCACUGGUAAAACACAACAUCAAUAUGAGAAAUUUACAAGGUACUAUGUAGAUAAAAGAGUAAGAAAUGUGUAUUGAGAAUAAGAGUUACAUUGAUGAAUGUAAGGAUAGGAUAGGGUUGAAUUGGCUCUGCAACCAUUUUUGCAAUUUGAAUGUAUUAUGGUUCAAAAAUGAGUUUAUGAUGUAUCCUCAUCUUAGGGGAAGCGGGCAAUUUGGGGCUAAUCUCAAUCAUUCUCCUUGAAACAUCUUUAUUUCAAAGUUUGAUAAAACUUAGAAGACAACCUUUCACUUGGAAAAGAGGACUAGAACAGGGCAUCCCUCAAUCUCUACAAGUUAAAGAGAUGAAGUUUUGAAGACGAAGGGAGGAGGCUAGGGAUUCCAGAUUUGACAAUAUUUUCAUUGAAAGAUCAAUGAGAGUUGUAGCAAGAAAUACUGUCAAAAGGAAAUUGCAUUUAACAAUGUACAAUAUAAAAUCAAUGAACUAAGUUUUUAGAGAGGUGAAUCUUUGGAGGCUCCACAAAGAUAAGGGGUUUUAAUACUCUUGCAAGUGUAUUCGUGAAAUUGUUUUCUCAAAGGACUCCAGAACCUGGACAAUGUGCAACACAAAGCUGUUAAAGAGAUGUGAAACUCUAAAUCCGAUGAGGUAGGGACUUGAGAUCCACAUUUUCUUAAGUGAAGAAUUCUGAGGUUGUAGACACACUAGUAGUUUCCAAAUUCAGAUACUUCUCUUCAAAUAUUCAUAUAAUGUACAUCUUCUUUGACAUUUCUGCUCCAACAGGAUGUCCAAUAGGAUGUGCAACCUAUUUGGGCAUACUACAUGUACAACAAAAAAUUUCAUUAAAACAAAAAAAAUUUACUAAAACAAAAAUCUGAAGUUAAUGUCUAAGAAGAUAAGAUUUAUAUAUAGUGAAUGAGCAUGAUUGAUUUUAGCACAAAGGGAAUGACGCCAAAAAUUUUAAGAAUAUCAUCACCACAAGUACCUAAUUUACGUCAUUAAAAAUUCCACAAGGAUUUGAUGGUUAGGCAAUAAAAUAAUUCUAGUAAAUGAAGUAAUUUCUAUAUAAGACAGGUAAUGUCUAAUAUGAUUUGUCCACACCAUUCAAAUCCAACACAUUUUUUUAUAAAUUUGAAAUGAGUACAAUUGUAUUUGAAUAAAAAUAAAUUGUUUUUAAGUUGACUUUCAUAACAAACAUUUAACUCAAAUUGACUUAUUUAAUAAUAUUAACUUAAGUAUAACUUUAACCUAUUUAACUCAUAUUUGACUCAUUUAAAAUUUGAUUUUCAAUAGUGACAUCAUAAUUGAGUUAUAAACAUGUCAGUUUAGGAAACUAACCAUAUAAGAUCAUACAAUGUUAAACUCAAUUUGAUUAUUAAAUAACAUCUAAUUAUUACAAGAGUUAAAUAGGUUACAAUAUAUUACCUAGUUAAUAAUUAGAUUGUGUUUGAGUUUGUAUUUUUAAUUAUAAUUUAGUUGAGUGUUUGAUCUGUGUUACUCACCAACAUGAAUUAUCACUCAUAUUUCUAUUGUGAAACCAAAGAUUGGAUAAUUCUUAGUUUUGAUGAUAAUAAAAGAAGGUUCGAAACUAAUGUUUCAUCUUGAGUGUGACUAGGCAAGAUGAUUUUUAAAGUAGCAAUUACAAAGAUAAACCAAAAAAAAAAAAAAAAAACAAGAAAAAGAAGACCUCAAAGAGAAGAGCCUUCAAAACUUUUUAUAAGAUCUCUUUGUAAGGUUGUUGGUGCACUACAUUUUACAUGCAUUUUAUUCAAGCAUCAAAGAUCAUCCUUGUGCAAUUUUGUUUUAAAUUUUUUUAUAAUUGGAUGAUUUCAUGUUUUUAAUUAAAACUUUAUGUCAAAUGCCUUUCUAAACUUUUUAAAAAGGUUUUAAAAGGGGUUGCAUGAGUUGCUAGAGGUUUGAAACCUAAAACCUAAGUAUUUGAGCACUUAAUAGUGCAAACGGUAAAAAGUCCAAGGAAUCGAUUAAAUAAUUUGGGCUCAAUCAGUUGAGGGGUGUUUUUACACACAUUUUCUCUCUUCAAGUGGUUUGUGUCACUGACAAAGGUUUUGCCUUUCUUGGUCAAGGCUUUGCCUUUCAUGGUCAAAGUCUUGAACCCUAACGAACACCUACUAAAAGUAUUAAUUGCUAAUUAUUUUGGCAUUAAUUGUUAACAAUUAGUGAAUCGGUCAAAUUGGAACUCCAUUAGUUGACCCCCUAAAUGUGCCUAACAACAAGUUUAGCCUUUCUACUUCUACAUAAAGGUUCCAAUCUUCAUUGUUGGUAAGUCUAACAUUCCCAAAUCUUUUAUGAAUAUUAUUUGAGCCUUGGGGGAGUGUUUUCUAGCACACCUUGCUGCAAAACUUGCAUAUCAUUAGUUCACCAUAAAUCUUAAUUUAUCUUGUAUCAUUUGAGCUUAAAUUUGUACUAGGAAUGUGUGAGAUUAUCUUUCCUAUCAUUUUGUGUAAACCUUUGUAAGGGGAAAUCAAGUGUGGGUAUUACUUAAAGGAAAAUUUAAGCGUGAGGUAUCACUUAGUGUUUGUCAAGUAUGGGGCAUCACUUGGGAAAUUCAAGAGUGAGGUAUCUCUUGAAAAAUUUGUAAGUGUCCACUAGAGUCAAUUAAUCUAAUUGUAAUGCUUAGAAACUUCGGAUUAGUAGAACCUCAAGUUUGGGAUUGAAGCUAUAGGAAAGUGAAUGUAGGAUGGGUUGCACCAAACCACAAUAAAUAUAUUGUGUUUGUAUUCUCUCUUCCCUAAUCUUUAUAAUUUGUAUGCAAUUAAUUUUCAUUGUGUUUAUUGUAUAUUUGUAUAUAAUUGUCUCUGGCAUUCAUAUAGUUUAAAUUUGUAAAAAGAAACCAUCACCUUAUUUACCCUUCUUCCCCCUCCCCCUCCCCCCGAGGGUGACUACCUUAGGUUAAUUUAGUAAAAAUCCUAACAUUUACUAAUAUAUUAUUUGCCUAUUAUAGUUAAGAAAACUACCAAAAAUUUUCAUUGAUAAAAAUUUCCAUGAUAAAUUCUAAAAACCACUUUAAUUCCAAUAAUCUUUUUCCCAAUGCAAUGUCUCUAUGAUUCGUAGGAUGAAAAGGAAUUUUUCUUGUCAAUAUGACUUUGGAUCCCAAAUUUUAAGGCAAUUUCAAUGCCUAGUGGUGGGUCUAGAAGAAAAUAAAAAAUGUGGAAAUUAAAGUGGAAUAUAAACACAAUUUUUUACUAAUUGUAAGGUGAUGUUACAAUACCUUAUGUAGUUACCAUGAAAGGGACUUUGGAUUCUAAAUUUUGGCUAAUUUCGAUGCCACAAAUAUGGGUCUAGAAGAAAACAAAAAAUAUGAAAAUUAAAGUGGAAUAUAGACACAAAUUUUUACUUGUGAAGUAAUGUUACAAUGCCUUAUGUAAUUAUUUUGAAAGUGAGAUAUCAUUGAAUUGAGAAUUGAUAUUAAAUUUUGUUGGGUUUCCCUCCUUUGUGGGACUCUUAAAUUUACUAAAUAUGGUUUUGCUAUUUUGGCCAACACCUUGGUUAGCACAUGACUCUUGGCAUAUUCAAGAUUGGUUUGAAGUCUUCAAGGAAAGAAAAAAAAAACUACAAGUCUUUUGUCUUUUCCUUUGGUUCAUCAUCUUGGUCGGCAAGAAGACUUUUGGGAUACCUUUUUGGUUCAAAACAAAAAUCAGCCUUCUUCUUCUCCAUUUUUUGGUGCUACACAAUCGGCAAGUUUGUUCUUCAAGUGGGUAACAUUUCUUCACUUGAUAUUUGGGGUUUCUUGCGGUUUGUUCUUGGAGAUUUGGUUUACUUUUGUGAGGUAUUUUCCUCUUGUGAUUUACACCUUGGUGUGUUUGUAAGGCUUAUGCCUUUUGGCCACUUUGUAAACUCUUUUGGUGAUAGUGGAAGAAACUGACCUCCCGGUCGUCGUGGACGUACCUCAAGUUAUUUAAGGGAACCACGUAAAUCUUGUGUGCUCAUUUAUUUUCUGUUAUUCUAUUUAUAUUGCUUCCAUUGAUUUACACUUGUGGGAAAGCCUAUUUUUUUUCAACAUCUGGUAUCAGAGCUGUUAGUUAAUUUGGUUCUGAAUCGUUAUAUUUGUGUGUGUGAAUUAUGGACGGCAACGUUGGGCGUAUGGUUAGUUUCAAUGGCACAAAUUGGGUGACUUGGAAAACUAAAAUGGAAGACCUUUUGUUUUGUAAAGAUUUGAAUGGACCCAUAGAAGGUGAUAGUGGCAAACCGGAAGGAAUGAAAGAUGACGAGUGGAAAAAGCUAGACCGAAAAGCUGUCGGUUUUAUUCGGCAAUGGAUUGAUGAUAGUGUCUUUCAUCAUGUCUCUACAGAAAACUCAGCACAUGGUCUUUGGACCAAAUUGGAGAGUCUUUAUGAUAGAAAGACGGCCGUGAAUAAAGCUUUUUUAUUUUGAAAGCUUGUGAAUUCUAAAUAUAAGGAGGGUACUCCUAUUGCAGAGCAUCUGAAUGAGAUUAAGAGCAUUGUGAAUCAGUUGGCCGCCAUGAAAAUUACUUUUGAUGAUGAUUUGCAAGCUUUGUUACUUCUUAGUUCACUUCCUGAAAGUUGUGAAACUUUGGUGGUCACAGUUAGUAACUCCACACCUGAUGGAGUGGUAACAAUGAGUCAAGUUACUAGCAGCCUGUUGAAUGAAGAGACAAGAAGAAAAUCAUCAGGUUCUUCUCACUCCGAGGCACUUGUGUUAGAAAAUCGGGGGAGAGGCAGGAAUAAGAGUAAGGCUUCGCACAACCGUGAUAAAUCUAGAGGUCGUUCAAGCUCGAUUUCAAAGAAAGAUGUUGAGUGCUAUUAUUGUCACAAGAAAGGGCACAUGAAGCGGGAAUGCAGAAAACUCAAGUUCAAGGAGUAGAACAAAGAGAAAAAUUCAGAGAAAAAGCAAAAUGAUACAGCUGUAGUUACCGAUGGUGAACUCAUGAUUAUUCGUGAUGAUGUUAGCGUUAAUUUGAUUGGCCAAGAGACGGAUUGGGUAAUUGAUUCUGGAGCUUCAUUUCAUGUUACUUCGCGGGCUGAUUUCUUUACUUCUUACUCGCAAGGUGAUUUUGGGAAUGUCCGUAUGGGAAAUGAAGAUGUGUCAAAAAUUGUCGGCAUGGGUGACAUUUGCUUGGAAACAAAUAUUGGAUGCAAAUUGUUGCUUAGAGAUGUGAGGCAUGUACCUGAUAUUCGACUCAAUUUAAUCUCUGCUGGAAAGUUAGAUGAUGAGGGCUACAACAACAAUUUCAGUGAUGGAAAAUGGAAGCUCUCCAAAGGUUCUCUAGUGGUAGCAAAAGGAAAGAAGACUUGUUCUCUUUACACUGUGCAAGCAAAAAUCUGCAAGGGUGUUGCUCAUCCACCGAUUUAUGGCAUAGAAGGCUUGGACAUAUGAGUGAGAAAGGAUUGCAAGUUUUAUCCAAGAAAGAGCUUCUAGCGGGGAUAAAAGGUACGCCUUUGAAAACAUGUGUUCAUUGUUUCCAUGGUAAACAAAAUAGAAUAUCAUUCCGUAGAAACAUUGCAUCUAGAAAAUCUGAUGUUCUAGAUUUGAUACAUUCUGAUGUAUGUGGUCCUUUGAAAGUUAGGACACUUGGUGACGCUUUAUACUUUGUCACUUUUAUUGAUGAUCACUCGAGAAAAGUUUGGACUUAUACACUGAAAACUAAAGAUCAAGUUCUAGAUGUGUUUAAGCAUUUUCAGGCCAAGGUUGAAAGAGAAACUGGUAGACAGUUGAAAUGUGUCCGCUUGGAUAAUGGUGGUGAAUAUAUUGGACCAUUUGAUCAAUAUUGCACUAAUCAUGGCAUCAGACACGAAAAGACAGUCAAAAAGACACCUCAACAGAACGGGGUUGCAGAGAGAAUGAAUCGCACCAUUCUUGAGAGAGUCAGAUGUUUGCUCUCACAUUCUAAAUUGCCAAGAUCUUUUUGGGGUGAGGCAAUGAGGACAGCAGUUGAUCUUAUCAAUUUGUCUCCUUGAGUUCCGUUGAAUGGUGAUGUGCCAGAGAAAGUUUGGACAGGGAAGGAAGUCUCCUAUGAUCACUUGAGGGUAUUCGGCUGUAGAGCUUUUGUUCAUAUUCCAAAAGAUGAGAGAUCCAAGCUUGAUCCAAAAGCAAAGCAGUGCAUAUUUAUUGGCUAUGGGCAUGAAGAAUUUGGCUACAGGUUGUAUGAUCCAGUUGAUAAGAAAGUUGUCAGAAGCCGAGAUGUUGUUUUCUUGGAAGAUCAGACUAUUGAAGACAUUGACAAGCUUGAGUUAGCUGAGUCUAGUACUAAUGAUCUUGUUGAUUUAGAUCCUCUUAAUCCACCUGUUAUUCAUGAUAUUGAUGAGGAAGUGCAGACACCUCAUGAUGAUGCAGCGGAAAAUGAUGUUGAGCCAGAGAUUGAGGGGGAACAGUCACCCCAAGAGCCACUACCACAGACACCGUUGAGGAGAUCUAUCAGAGAAAAACAGCCAUCCAGAAAAUAUUCUUCAAAUAAGUAUGUGAUGAUAUCAGAUCAGGGGGAGCCAAAGACUUAUCAAGAAGUCUUGAAGCAUGAGAACAAAACUGAAUGGCUCAAGGCAAUGAAAGAGGAAAUGAAGUCUUUGCAUGAGAAUCACACCUAUGAUUUGGUGAAGCCGCCUAAAGGGAAGAAAAUUUUGAAAAAUAAAUGGGUCUUUAGAUGAAAGAAUGAUGGGAACAGUUCUCAACCGAGAUUCAAGGCACGACUUGUUGUGAAAGGUUUUGAUCAGAGGAAGGGAGUUGAUUUUGAUGAGAUAUUCUCACUAGUUGUGAAGAUGUCCUCCAUUCGAACUGUGCUUGGUAUAGCUGCGAGUAUGAAUUUAGAAGUUGAGCAGCUUGAUGUGAAGACCGCAUUUUUGCAUGGUGACUUAGAAGAGGAAAUUUAUAUGGAGCAACCUGAGGGCUUCAUAGAUAAGGGUAAUGAUCAGUUAGUUUGCAAAUUGAAGAAGAGUUUGUAUGGAUUGAAGCAAGCACCGAGGCAGUGGUACAGAAAAUUCGAUUCUUUCAUGAUUGAGCAUGGGUAUUCAAGAACCACUUCAGACCAUUGUGUGUUUGUGAAGAAAUAUCUAGAUGGUAAUUUUAUUAUUCUCUUGCUUUACGUUGAUGAUAUGCUUAUUGUGGGCCAAGACACGAGCAAGAUUAGCAAGUUGAAGUCAGAGUUGAGCAAGUCCUUUGCCAUGAAGGAUUUGGGUCCAGCAAAGCAAAUUCUUGGGAUAAGAAUUGUUCGCGACAGAUCACAUGGGCUGAUUUGGUUAUCUCAAGAGAAUUAUGUUAAAAAGGUUCUUGAGAGGUUCAAUAUAGACAAAAUAAAGCCUGUUAAUUGUCCACUUGUAGGCCACUUCAAACUUAGCUCAAGUCAGUGUCCUACAAGUGAUGAAGAGAAAAAUGAGAUGCAGAAAAUUCCCUAUGCUUCAGCAAUUGGUUCUUUGAUGUAUGCCAUGGUUUGUACUCGACCGGAUAUUGCUCACGCAGUUGGGGUUGUUAGUCGAUUUCUGUCUAAUCCGGGAAAAGAACACUGGGCAACAGUGAAAUGGAUUCUGAGGUAUCUUCAGGGCACUUCAAAGAUGAGUUUGUGUUUUGGUAAAGGCGAGCCUAUUCUUGAUGGGUUCACAGAUUCUGAUAUGGCUGGUGAUGUUGAUAGUCGAAAAUCUACUUCUGGUUAUUUGAUUACUUUUGCAGGGGGGGCAGUGACAUGGCAAUCAAGAUUACAGAAAUGUGUUGCUCUCUCCACCACAAAAGCUGAGUUCAUCGCCAUUACAGAAGCCUGCAAAGAAUUAUUGUGGUUGAAGAAAUUCUUACAAGAGUUGGGUUUGAAACAAGAAAGGUAUGUCCUUCAUUGUGAUAGUCAGAGUGCAAUCCACUUGAGUAAGAAUUCUUCAUUUCAUUCGAAGUCGAAACACAUUGAUGUUAGAUAUCAUUGGAUUCGUGAUGUCUUGAAUGAUAAGUUGUUGCAACUUGAAAAAGUUCACACUGAUGAUAACACUUCAGAUAUGUUGACUAAGGCAUUGACUAAGGACAAGCAUGAGAAGUGUCGACUAUUGGCGGGAAUGGUCGAUUCCUCCACAUAAGUCGGGAGGGGGAGAAUUGUUGGGUUUCCCUCCUUUGUGGGAUUCUUAAAUUUACUAAAUAUGGUUUUGCUAUUUUGGCCAACACCUUGGUUAGCACAUGACUCUUGGCAUAUUCAAGAUUGGUUUGAAGUCUUCAAGGAAAGAAAAAAAAAACUACAAGUCUUUUGUCUUUUCCUUUGGUUCAUCAUCUUGGUCGGCAAGAAGACUUUUGGGAUACCUUUUUGGUUCAAAACAAAAAUCAGCCUUCUUCUUCUCCAUUUUUUGGUGCUACACAAUCGGCAAGUUUGUUCUUCAAGUGGGUAACGUUUCUUCACUUGAUAUUUGGGGUUUCUUGCGGUUUGUUCUUGGAGAUUUGGUUUACUUUUGUGAGGUAUUUUCCUCUUGUGAUUUACACCUUGGUGUGUUUGUAAGGCUUAUGCCUUUUGGCCACUUUGUAAACUCUUUUGGUGAUAGUGGAAGAAACUGACCUCCCGGUCGUCGUGGACGUACCUCAAGUUAUUUGAGGGAACCACGUAAAUCUUGUGUGCUCAUUUAUUUUCUGUUAUUCUAUUUAUAUUGCUUCCAUUGAUUUACACUUGUGGGAAAGCCUAUUUUUUUUCAACAAAUUUGACCAACUAUCAUAAGGAAUUUCUUUCAAAAGAGAGAUAAGUAAUAAAUAUCUGUUAUUUAUUGGAAAAAAAAUAUUAUCAUACUAUUAAUGUGUUUAAUUUUUAUUUUUUUUAAAUAGAGAUUGUUAUAUCUUUUUGUAAAAAUAAGUUUCCUUAUAAAAUAAGAAAAAGUGGUAGAAGUAUUUCUAUAAAUAUUUUAUUAAGAGAAAAAACUAUAACAUGAAGAAAAACAUGUAAAGUUUAUAUUUAAAAGAUAGUGAUAUGGGAAAGAGUGGAAAACAUUUCUUGGAAUGACGACAUGUGAUUCAAAGUAAAAUCUCAUUUUUGUUUUCUAUCGUCCUUAUGACUUUUGGUUUUUCUAUUGAGUGCCAAUAAAUAAAAGAAAAAACCCUCCUUUUUUGAAAGUUCAUUUGAACAGUUGUUUGAAGAAAAAAUCUUUAUUAAUCCAAACCCUAUCAACUUAUAUAUGACCUAUUACAUGACUAUGAAGUUUUUUAAAGUAAUUUUAAAGACAACCAAAAAAUAAUUGAUAUGAUAAAUGAUUAAAACCACUUUAGAUUCUAAUAGUAUUUUCUAUCAUAUAACAUCUUAGUGAAAUGUUUCAUAACAAAAUGAAUUAUUCUAUGAAUAUGACUUUGGAUUUCAAAUUUUGAACUUUCUAAUGCCUUAACUUAGUGGUGAGUCUCAUAGAAAAUGAAAGUUAUGGAGAAGUAGAAUGUGGACAUACUUUUUGACUUAAAAAACUGAUGUUACAACACCUUCAAGUAAUUACCUUAAAAAUGAUAUGUCAUUGCAUUGAAAAUGAUAUUAAAUUUAAUGGAGAGAUAAUUUAUAAAAAUAUCACUAAUUUUUUAAAAAGAAUAAUGUGAUCUUACUGUUGUGUUAGGUUGGAAAGAAAUUUAUGCUGGUGUUAAUUUAUUUAUUUAUUUUGCAUAUUGUAAGGUCUCAAACUCGUUUAGAAAUAUGAACAAUGAUGAAGAGUUAAAAAUUUAAAAACAUUAAAUGUAUGGUUAAAGGUAUGGUUAAAGCUAUGUUUAGAUAGUUGAAAUUGCAACCAAAAAAACAAGAAAAUGAAAGAAGUUCAAAUUUUAUUUGAUUAUCUUAAAAAUAUGAAAUAAAUUACAUAUAAUGAAAAUUGUUUAGAGUUUUAUAUACUUUUAAUAUUUACUCUUUACAAAAAAGAAAAAAAAGCAAGUCAAUUUUAAUGAACUUAUGGAAAAUAUUAAACUUAAGCUUAAUUUUUUAUUUUUCUUGAUUUUUCUUUCCUUCCAUAAUUUUCCUUCACAAUCUUUCCCACUUUAUUCAAACUUUCCAUGGUCUAUACUUUAUACAUGUUUUAUCUCCUUUUUAAUUAAAAACCUUUAAAUUUUCCAAUUAAAAUUCCAAGAUAGGCUAAUAAAAACUUAAAAUUAAUAUUACAUUUUAAACAAACUAGAUUGAUUUGAUAGAUGAUUCAAAUCAAACCUAAAUUCAAACUUAACCCAUUCAAAUUUAGCCUCUAAUGUGAGGUAUUUGACCCAAACUUAGCUCAAACUCAUUUUUACCUACUAAAGUUAGGCUUAAAUUGACUCAUAGUACUUUUAGUUGAGUUGAUUAGGUUGUAUGAUCAUAACUAGGUUUGGUAAGGUUGAGUUAGUUUGAACCUAUUCAUAAUUUUUUUUCUUUUUUAUACUUCUUUUAUAUCAUAAUUUUAAAAAUUAAAUUGGAUAACUUUUCAACAUAAUAACAAAAAUAAAUCAAUUUAUGUAUCCGUCCAACAAAAAUGAAAUAAUACAAUUAAAAUUCAACAUUUUUCUUUAAAAACUAAAAAAAAUAAAAACACACACACAUACAAAAUAGGUAUCAUUAUAUAAAAUAAUAUAAAUUAUAAAUAUAUAAAAUUAGGUUUGGGCUAGCUUGGGUUGUCAAACCUUAGCCUAAGUAGUUUCACGAUUCUCUACUACUUGUAAAAGUUUUAUUAAAAUUAAUAAAAAAGAAAAAAGAAAUAAAAUUUUUUUAAAAAAUAUAAAUGCAUAAUUAAAAUUAUGCUAAUGAAACAAAGGGAAGCAAACAAGAUCAAAAUUUUUCUCUCAAAAGGUGUAGUGUAAUGACUUCAAAUUUUAAGUUUUGAUGGUCAAUCUGCCUUCAAUUAUAGGGAUAAGAAGCUUGUAGAGAAUAAAAAAUAUAUAGCAAGUGGGUAUAUAUAGAUAUAAAAUAUAUAUAUAUAUAUUGUAUGCAUCCCACUUUUGUCACGAGCAAACCCACUAGUAAACCUUUAUCAUCUUAUUAUAUAACAAGUGGGUAUAACUAGAUAUAAUAAAAAUAGGUCCUUGUUUAUUAAAUUCAAAAGUUUAUGAUCAUCACUUAGCAUUUAACAAAGUGGUACAAAUGAAGGUAAAAAUAGUAGUAUAGUCAAUAUUUUCCUACAAAAAAAGUUACUUAAUUUAAAGAAUAUUAUAAUUGAUGUGUGAUUUUUAUUUUUAUUUUUAUCAAGAAGCGAUUUUAGAGAUAAGUUUUUAUCAAGAAACAAUCUUCAAUGUUAAUUUACCAUCAUUAUCUCUAAUAUUGUACCAUUGAAUGCAAUUGCAAAACAUCUAUGUAAUUGUUAGUAAAAAAAAUUUCAUGCUUAUUAUGCAAUAUUUGUUUUAAUUUUCAAGUUGCAAUUAUAUAGUCUAAAGGUUGAGGUUCUUAGAUAAUUAUUGUUUUGAUGAGAAGUCUAAUCAUGUUGUUGUUGUUCAUGUCACUUUAAUUAGACCAAGUUUAAUGAUACUUUAGACCAUAUUUAAGGAUCCUUUUCAAAUAUCUAACCUUUGGUAUGCAAUUUGAAAAGAGGAUGGAGAGAGGAUGGUUGUUCUCCAUAAUCCAUUAAUAAAUAAAUAAAAAUAAUUAUAUUUAGCAGGAAAAUGAAAAAUUAUUGAGAUCAUUAACAAGUAAUUUUGGUAAAACUUGAUAUUUAAUGAAGUAAGAUGACUUUAAGUUAAAUUAAUUGUAAUUAAGUCAUUAAGUCUUAGUUAUUAAGACGAUUUCUCAAAAUCAUUUUUAAAUUUAUUCUUAAAAUUAAGUCAUGAAAUUGAUUUAUCAUCACCCUCUAAAGUCUUUUCAAUUUUGUACAUUUAUUUGAUACAUAUUUAAUCAUAAACAAUAAAAAAAAGGUGUUACCUCAAAAUUUUUAAUUCAAACUCCUCCAAGAUUAUUCAUGACUAAAAUUCAUUAAUUAAUUUACAUUACAAGCUUUGAAAGAAACUUGUUUUAGAACAUAAAAUUGAUAGAGAUAGUACAUAUUUUAAACUUUUAAUUAAAAUAAAAAAAUCACAACAAAAUAAUUUGAUGGAUGUUUUAGUAUUCGAAAAGAUCAUGAGUCAUUUGGUCAUGAUUUUAGAAAAGUUAGAAAUGUUCUAUAAUGCUUAAAAACAUUUUUGUUACAAAAAUUAAGUAUUUGAUAAAGUUAAAAUUCAUUUUCUAGGUAAUUGGUGGUGCCUAUGAAAUAUUUUUUUUGGUUAUACAAAUUUAUUAGUGUGAGAUGAUAUGCAACAACUUUAAAGUAUAGCAAUUAUUGAAGUUUGGACCAACCAUAUAUGUUAAAGGUGCUUCACUCCACCUUCUCAUUUUGUAUUAUCUUGUACCCUAAAAGAUUUGAAAUGAGUCUUAUUUAUAAGCAUUAUAAAUAAUGUUGUGGACCCCGCAUUUCAGCCCAUGCGUUUUCCACUCGAUGGCGAGCUCGAUUUUUGUUUAAAAAAAUGACUUGGAGUCGCCACUUAUUUUUGUUUUAUUUUUAAAAGAGUAAACAAAAUAAAAAAGAAAACUCUAAGUGUGACUCCUUAUUUUGGAAAAGGUGGUCUAUGGAAAACCGGAUCAGGCUUGGGGGUCAGGUUACUCAUCAGGAAGGUACGGUAAAGACCGUAGCACCCCUCUAAGUCCCUAAAGUCGGGUCUCUACUAAUAAAAUGAAGCUGACGUGGCGAUCAAUAGGAAAAUCAACAGAUACUCAAAUCAACCAUGCACACAUAGGAAUCAAAACAUGCAUAGAAAAUGACCAGAAUGGGAAUGGAUGCAUACCUGAGCCACAAACGAGCAAUGCGCUAUUAUAAAAAUGGGGUCAGUGUAUAAUAAAGAGCACAAAACUUAUCACAUGCGUCACCAAAUAGAAAUGAAAACUGUUCGAGGGAAAAUUGAAUUUUUGAAAUUUAUUUGAAAAUUGGAGUUUUAGAGAUUAUUUGAAAAUUGGAGUUUUAGAGAUUGUUUGAAAAUUGGAUUUUUAGAAAUUAAAUAUAAGAAUGAGAAUUUUAGAAAUUAAAUUUGAAAGAAAUUGGAAUUUUGAAAAUUAUUUGAGAAUUUAGGAUUUUUUUUUUAGAAAUUAAAUUACGGAAAUUGAGACUUUAGAAAUUAAAUUUUGAAAGAAAUCAGAAUUGAAAGUUAUUUGAGAAGUAAAAACUAUGAAAAUUGAAUUAUAAAAAUUGGAAAUCUUGGAAAUCGUUCGAAGGCAAAAUUUUUAAAAAUAAAUGAAUAAAAUGAUAAUAAUAAACAAGUAACGAAAUAAAUGCGAGAAUUGGAACAUUGGAAACUGAAAAAAAUUAAGUUCGGAAAUUGAAAAAUUGGAAUUUCAGAUAACUAAAUUUGGGAAUCGGAAUUUUGAAAAAUUAUUUAAAGACGAAAUUUUAAUAAACGAAUAAGUGAAUAAAUAAAUUAAUGGAAUAAUAAUAAUGACAAAAUAAUAAAGAUUAGGUAAAUAAUUGCGAAAAAUAAAAUUUUAGAUAUUGGAGAUUGAAUUUAGAGAUUGAAAAUUUAAGAAAUUAUUUAGAGAUGAGAUUUUUAAUAAAUGAAUAAGUGAAGAAAUAAAUGAAUGGAAUAAUAAUAAUGACGAAAUAAUAAAAAUUAGAUAAAUAAUUGCGAAAAAUAGAAUUCUAGAGAUUGAAAAUUGAAUUUAGAGAUUAAAAAUUUGAGAAAUUAUUUAGAGAUGAGAUUUUAAAUAUAUGAAUAAGUGAAUAAAUAAAUUAACAAGAUAAUAAUAAUAACGAAGAUAAUCAUUUAAACAACUGAAUGUGAAUAGUGAGAUUUUUUAGAUUGGAAAUUAAAUUUGGAAAACAGAAUUCUGAAAAAUUGAACUUUAAUUAUUGGAAUUUGUAAAAUAAAUAAAUGGAAUGAUAAUAAUAAUAAUGAAAAUAAUAUUUAAAUGAAUGAACAUGAAUAGUGGAAUUUUUUAAAUUGAAGAUUAAAUUCGAAAGUCAGAUUUUUGAAUAAUUGAACUUUAAUGAUUUGAAUUUUUAAAAGAAAUAAAUAAAUAAAUAUAGAAUAAUAAUAAUAAUAACCAAAAUAAUGUUUAAACGAAUGAACAUGAAUAGUGGAAUUUUUAAGAUUGAAAAUUAAAUUUGGAAAUCAGAUUUUUGAAGAAUUGAACUUUAAUGAUUAGAAUUUUUAAAAGAAAUAAAUAACUAAAUAUGGAAUAAUAAUAAUGAUAAUAAAAAUAAUGUUUAACAAAUGAACGUGAAUAGUGAAAUUUUUUUGAGAAUGAAAAUUAAAUUCGAAAGUCAGAUUUUUGAAGAAUUGAACUUUAAUGAUUAGAAUUUUUAAAAGAAAUAGAUAAAUAAAUAAAAUAAUAAUAAUAAUAAAAAUAAUAUUUAAACGAAUGAACGUGAAUAGUGGAAUUUUUUAUAUCGAAAAUUAAAUUCAAAAGUCAGAUUUUUGAAGAAUUGAACCUUAAUGAUUUGAAUUUUUUUAAAAUAAAUAAAUAAAUAAAUAUGGAAUAAUAAUAAUAAUAACAAAAAUAAUGUUUAAAUGAAUGAACGUGAAUAGUGGAAUUCUUGAGAUUGAAAAUUAAAUUCGAAAAUCAGAUUUUUGAAGAAUUAAACUUUAAUGAUUGAAAUUUUUAAAAGAAAUAAAUAAAUAUGAAAUAAUAAAAAUAAUGUUUAAACGAAUGAACAUGAAUAGUGGAAUUUUUUUAGAUUGAAAAUUAAAUUCGAAAGUAAGAUUUUUGAAGAAUUGAACUUUAAUGAUUGGAUUUUUUUUAAAAGAAAUAAAUAAAUAAAUAAUAAUAAUAAUAACAUAAAUAAUAUUUAACGAAUGAACGUGAAUGGUGAAAUUUUUUAUAUUGAAAAUUAAAUUCGGAAGUCAAAUUUUUGAAGAAUUGAACUUUAAUGAUUGGAUUUUUUUUAAAAGAAAUAAAUAAAUAAAUAUGAAAUAAUAAUAAUAACAAAAAUAAUGUUUAACAAAUGAACGUGAAUAGUGGAAUUUUUUUUAGAUUGAAAAUUAAAUUCGGAAGUCAGAUUUUCGAAGAAUUGAAUUUUAAUGAUUGGAAUUUUAAAAAAAAUAUAUAAGCAAAUAAAUAAAUAGAAUAAUAAUAACAAGAAUAAUAAUUAAAUAAAUAAACAUGAAUAUUGGAAUUUAAAAAUGUGAAUUUUAGACGGUUACAUGAUAACAGAAUUUUUUUACAAAAACUAUAUUUUUAACAUAUAAAGAAGAAGAAUCAAGAGGGCCAAACACUAGGCCAAUGGGGUCUACACCUAAGAAGCAACGGACUAGGUCCAUAAAAACCAAAUAGCCUUCAGUAAAGCCCAAUCAUAGAGGGCCCAAAUGAACAUUACCAAUCAAGUUCAAGGUUCAUCAUUCAUCAUUGUGAGAAAUCAAAUGUGCCAAAGAGAGGCACACAGAAGGUUCAUAAGAGUGUUUGUUCCACAUUCUAUCCCAUCUCAGUCCACUAACAUGAAAAAACAACAGCAAAAACAAUAACGCAAAUCAACAAAUCUGAAUCUUCAAUACUAAAAGGGAAACUAAAAUAAAGCCCCCGUUGAAAGCAGCUUGGUCCAUUCUCUGAAGACAAUAAACGAACAAACACAGAACUCAAAAUUUCAAGUUUGCUUAACGAACCUCUGUCUUCUCUCGCUGUGAUCUUCCCCUCUGGUCGUUCUCGUUCUCCUUCCUGUUAUGGAAUCUGCUUCAGCUCCAGGAAUCUUUUUUUUUUUCAGUUCCCUUUCCUCUCGUUUUCUGCAACCCUUCGCUUCUUGAAUCAGCCGACCCACAAUCCCUUCUCAAGAUAACACAUUAUUACAUAAAUCUCCCCCAUAAUUAUUAUAAUUUAAGAGAUCACAUAUUACCAAAGAAAUUCCUAUGCGCUCAACUCUCCAAAAAUUCCCUAGAACCCUCAAUCUCCGGAACUGAAAAUCUCCUCUGUUUUUCUUAUUCCUUCCUCAGCUGAAAAUCCCCCGGUCCCGAACCCAAAAAUCCUCCACCCAACUCUCCUCCUUUUUUUUUUCUCAAUCUCCCCUUUUUCCCGCUACUUCUCGUCCUCUUCAGCCGCCCAAAUACUGCUCGCCCCGUCCCAUCUCAUGGCCGCCCAAAGCAGUCCAUUCUGUCAUCUCUGGCCGCCACCAACGGCUGACCCUCGGUGUGGUAAAAAGAGGGAAAAAAAAAAUAAAAAUCUGUCUCCGGGGGUCUACAAAUGUAUUUAAAUAUUUGUUUGAUUCUUUAAAAUAUUAUUUUUUAAUUAAUCAAAUAGGAAGAUUUGAAAAUUCAUAUUUUGAUAGUCUUAAUCAUUUUAAAUAUUAUUUUUUAAUUAAAAAUAUUAUUUAAAAAGAUUUAGAAGAUUAUAUUUAAUUUAUUUCUUUAUAGGACUUGAUAAUUACUUUUUUUUAGUUAUUGAAUUUAUCAAUUUUUGUUUUUUCUAACCAUUGAGUGUGUGACUCAUGUUAUAUAUAUUUUUUGUUUAAAUAUUAUUAAAAAAAAAAAAAGGUAACUUACAAAAUAUUAAAGGUUCUACCAUAAAAUUGUCAACUAAAAUUUGUCUUUUCAAAAGAUGAGUUCAAUAUAAAAAAAUAAAUUUACAUUUUUCAUUGAACUCAUUUUUUAAGAGAUGAGCUUAAUAUAUAAAUAUUAAACUCAUCUUUCCAAAAGAAAAGUUUGUUGAAAGAUACUAGACUUGUAUUUUCAUAAAACAAAUUCCAUGUAAAAAUGUUUAACUUGUUUUUUCAAAAGGCGAGGUUUAUAUGAAAAGAUAAAUCUUUUUUUUUUUUUGCUUGAACUUAUUGUUCCUAAAAGGUGAGUUCAAUGUUGUUGUUGUUUUAAUUUAAUUUAAUUUUUUUUUUUUUACCCCACACUAUACAUGACAUUAUAGAUUUUAUUGACAAGAGAUAUAUACUAUGUGACAAUGUUCAACUUAUCAUAAUUAAAUUUAAAUAUUGAUAUUUAAUUUCUUAUUAAUUCCAUGAAUCAUUAACUUAGUUUGAAUAUACAAUGAUUUCAUUCGAAAUAACUUUCUUUUUUUCACUUUAGUGGGAAGCUGAAGUUAUAAUUUCUCAAUGAUAAUUUUGGGUAAUAUAAAAAUUUUAUUAAUCAUGAAAGAACUUGUAUUAGUCAAAAUAAAGCUUUUAUAAAAAGUAAAAAAAAAAACUUAGCUUCCAUAUCUUCAUUUUAAACCAUAAGCUCUCUGAAGAAAAUUUAUCAAAGAGACAUAGAAGUUCUUGAGCUUAUGAAAGAGUUUUUGACUUCUCAAAAAUCAAUCCAAAUAGGAUUGAUAAGUUGUAGAUGGUUAUAAUAUAAUAUUACACAAUAUAAAUGUUAUUUUCACUUCUAUAUUUUCCAUGGAAUUAUUUAUUUAUUUGAAUAAAGAUUUUUCCUUCGUUAUUUUUUUGUGCAUUUAAAAAAUAAAAAAUUAUUUUAAAUCUUAGGCACGAUAAUGCUUAAGUAUUUAAUAAUUUUAAUUAGAUAAUUAAAAUUUAUUUUAUAUAUAAAAUAAUUAAUUAAAUUUUAUAUAUAUAAAUUUAAUUAAUAAUUCAAUAAUUAUAUUUAUUUAUGUUUAAAUCAAAUUAACAAUAAGUUCAAUGCAACUAGAAAAAGGUAGCAUAUAUUUAUUAUUUUAAAGUGGAUUUUGAUUUUAAAUUAUUGCAAGUGUAUUUACUUAACUAACCAAUUAGUUGAAGUUCACUUAGCUAAUCCUUUAAUUUAAUCUUGACGUUGACAAGAACCAUGCCGGCAAUAAUUAUAAAAAGAGAAAUGCAUCAAGCUAAAGCUAAUUUUAUUAAUUCUAGUUUAAUAAAUUUUAGGUGGGUGCCCUUACCUAAUCUUUAAAAUUAAUCUUCAAGUUGAUCAUAAGAACUAAGCCGACCAUAAUUAUAAAAACAAAAAAAUGACAAGCUAAUUCCAUCAAUUUUAUUCUCUCAAAUUUAAUAAAUUGUAAGUAAGUUCUCUUAUCUAAUGUUUUAAAUUAAUCUUGAUAUAGAUAAGAACCUUGCCAACCAUAAUUAUAAAGAGAGAGAAAUGACAAACUAAUUUAAUUGGCUAAUUUUAAAUAACUCAAGCUUAAUAAAUUGUAAGUAGGUUAAUCUCUUGCCUAACCUUUUAAAUUUAAUUUUGAGAUCAAUAAGAAUCAUAUAGGCCAUAAUUAUAAAAAGAGGAAAAACACAAGCUAAAGGAAUACAAUCACAAUCAAUUGUAUAUGCAGAUAGUGAUUACCUUUUAAAUCUUCACAAGGUUAGAUCUUGAACAUGAUAUGUAUUUACAUGUAAUUAUCAUAAUGAUGAUAUUAAACAAACAAUGGUAGUCAUUUUUUCAAAUCAUUAAAAAAUACACAAUAAAAUAUUAUAUAUAUAUAUAAUUGCACAUAUUAAAAGAAAAUAUAUUAAGGGUGAUAGAAGUAAACAUAUAUCAUUCAAGUUCUUUUAUAUUCAUAAACUUCAAAAGAGUAGUAAGAUCAAUAUUCAAAAAGUAAAAUCAAAUUAUAAUUUAGUAAACUUAUUCACAAAAGCAUUGUCAACUUCAACUCUCAAGAAGCUUAUAGAUAAUAUUGGAAUGGGACAACUCAAAGAUCUUCACAUUGGGUUACUAUGAAUAUAAUCAUGUCAACAUAAGGGGAGCACAUAAAUAAGGAUGUUUGUAACAUCCUAUGCCUCUAGGCUAGGGGCAGCCUUAUCAAUUUCACAUAUCCAUAAAAAUAAUGAAAUCACAAUCACACACAAGACAAUGAAUUUUACGUGGAAAAAUCUCAUGCUAAUAUGGAGAUACAAAACUAUAGGGUCUAAGAUCUCUAAUCUAAUAAUCCACUAUAUUAGAUCAAAGUACAUAGAUUUAUCUGAUAGCUUUACCCUAAAAACUCACUCCUACCUAUAACUUGAUUCAUGUCUCAAUGCUCUAGUGAAUUCACCUCAGCCUUUAGGAAGAUGCAAGUCCUUGUAACAAACCAAAAUUCGAUUAGUGAAUUCUUUGUUGAGAGUUUGUGAAUGAUAGAGCAAGUUGGGGUUGAUUAUAUCAAAGCAUCCAACCCCAAAACAUAUUUAGGUAAAGUAUAUAUAAGCCUAAGAUCCUAGAUGGUUGGAAAUGAAAUUUUCUUAAAAAAUAAAAUAUCAAAUUUCCAAAAUUAAUUAAGAAAAGAAUUUUUGUUUAAAAAAUAAAAUAUCAACUUUCUAUAAAUUAAUUAAGAAAUUCUUUAAAAAAAUUCUCAAAAUUGUCAAAAAUUAAUUAAAAUAUUUUAACUCAAUUAAUUUUAAAAUUUCAUAUCCAACUCUACCUUAAUAUAAAAAUAACUUGCCUUUAAUAAAUAUUUUUACACUUACUUGUAACAAUAUGGUUAAAUGAGUAGUAACAUUUAAUCUUCAAUGGAGUAAAAAAAUUCCUAUACUAGAACAAAAAAGAUUUCUUACUGGAACUAAAAUCAAAUUGACAACAUCUAACAAUUAUUAUAGACUUCAAUAUAUUUUUAAAAUUAUUUUAUAAAUAUAUUCUAUUAAGUAAAAGAGCCCCAAUAAUUGCCACCUAUCCGAGCCAUCUUACCUAUAAUUGCAUACAAGGGCUGUGCUUGCGGACACCUAGCUAGCCUACACUCCAUGUUUUUUCUUUUUCUUUUUUUAUUUCCCAUAAAAGAAAUGUAUAGAAUUAUGGUUAUAUUUUAUUCUAUGGCAUGUACCAAAAGAUGGAAAGAGAUCAUCAGGAAAUUGACUUUCCUUUAAUAUUAUAGAAAAUGUGAGAGCAAAAUUUUUUAUUUGGCAUGUCUCAAAUGGUAUCACAUGUGCACGCUCAAAUCUCACUUGUUUACAUUAAAGUCUCUUUUAUUUGUCUUUUUAUUUCUUGAUCCAAUAAUCUAAAUUUUAUCACUCGAUGGCUUAGUACUUUCCUUCUAUCUUUAGAGGCUACAAUAUUUUCAAUAACUCAGCUUCCAUUUUCUAUUUCAUUGUCCUGUCUCAAGAUCCAUUUCAAUGAUAUUUUUUCUCUUGAAAAGAAAAUUAGUCAAUCAUUCAUCAAAUAAUUAUAAUUUUUUAUAAUAGAUAAAAAUAUUAUUAAGAACACUUAAUUGCAAAAUAUUUUAAUAAGAAGUGAAAAGGUUAUAUCUAAUUUGUUUCUCUAUCUUAAAUUUAAAUAGAUCUUUAUUGAAUUUUAAAUAGAACUUAAUCUCAUUAAGAUUAAAUUGUUUAUUUCUAUUAAUAUUUAAAUAUUCUUAAACAUUAAAUUACUUGUUCUUAUUAAUAUGUUAAUAUUGUUAUGUGUUAAACAAAUAUUUUUCUAUCCUCAAAAUAAUUAUUUGUAUCUUCUUAGUUUUUAUAAAAAGAUAAAUCUAAGGUUAUUAUAAUAUUUUUAUGUUAUACAUCUUUACGAAGAAUUUUCAAAGUCUUGGACCUUUUUUGGAUCCUUGUCAUCUAUUUAUGCCUUCUUUGAUAAUUUUUUGGAGCAUUCAAAUAUAUGUAAAAUCCAGAUUAUUAAAUAAGAAUUUUGACCGUUCAAACAUAUAUAAAAUCUAGAUUAUUAAAUAAUGAUAAAAUAAAAAUACUUAGAACUAAGUGCAAUGUUGGUGGUAGGUUUUAUAAAAAAAAAAACAAAGGAAAGAAUUUGAAUAUCUUAUGGUACGUUUAAAAGAAAAUAAAAAAUGUGGACAUUAAAGUGGAAUGUAAACACAAUUUUAAAGUAAAGUGAGAUGAUGUUAUAGCUCCUUAAUUAAUAUGGACAAAUUUUAUGGUGUAAAAAUUACAACUCUUUUAUUUAUUAAGUGAGAAGAACGACACAAUGGUGGUGGGCCUCCCACCAACCAAUAUAUCAAGUUGCUGCUACUAGGCCUCGGUGUAAAAAAUCAAGUUGUUGUUGAGGUGAUUUGAACCUAGCAAUAACCACUAGAGCAAGUUGCUCUUUGAUAAAAGUUAUACACCAAAUUGUAUAUAUAAGAACAUUAAAAAUUAUUUUAUUAAAUAAAUUAAUUUUAAUUAUUUUAUUUUUGCAUUUGAUUUAAUUUAUUACCAAAAAUAUAAAAACAUAAUUUUUUUCAUAUUUUUUAUGUAAUCUAUAUAUUUAUCAAAUAUAAAAAAUAUAAAUAUUUUAUUAUUUUUUUUAUAUAAUUGAAUACAUUUAAAUUAAAAUUGAACCUAAUUUUAAUAUUUUAAAAUUAAACAUAUUAUCAUAUUAUUGUUGUAAAAUAAUAUUGUGCAACUUAAUAAUAAAUGAAUGCUUAUAAAAUACUUUUUUUUUUAUCGAUGCAUACAAUAUUAUUAUCAAAUAUGAUAAAUUAUAUAUAUAUAUAUAUAUAAUUUUUUAACAAAAUAAAUUUAAAAUGUCUAUUAUACUUUUAAAUUCAUUUUUAUGAAGUUUUUCUUAUAUUUCUAGGAGUUUUGAUCAUUUUAAGUCUAUUUAUAUUUUUUUCUAAAAUUCUUGUCGAUAUAUCUAUGAUAUAUCCAUAAAAUCAAUAUAUUAAUAUAUCCGUAAUUACCGAUAUUUUCAUAAUUCAUCAGUAGCACGUUGGAAUUGACUCAAACAUUAGGAUCCAAAAGUCACCAUUGAGACAUUGCAUUGAUACAACCUAGAGAAGCUUCCAAAUGGACUGCACAUGCUAACAUGUCUUGGAGGGUUGAAAAUCAAUGGUUGUCCAAAGUUGGUGUCCUUUCCAGAGUUGGGGUUCCUGCCCAUGCUUAGACAUCUUGUUAUUGUUAGUUGUGAAGGUCUACGAUGUCUACCCAAUUAGAUGAUGGGGAUGAAGGAUGGUAGCAUUAACAGUAGCAACACACGUCUCUUUGAAUACUUGGAGAUAGAUACAUGCCCAUCUCUCAUUGCUUUUCCAGACGUUGAGUUACCCACCACGCUUAAGGAACUCAAGAUAUGGAGGUGUGAAAAACUAGAGUCUCUAUCGGGGGGAUGAUGCACCAUGAUUCAAAUACCACCACCACCACCAGUGGUGGUCUUCAUGUCUUGGUCAUUGGGGUAUGCCCAUCUCUCACAUUCUACCCCACAAACAAGUUUCCCUCCACCCUCAAGAAACUUUAUAUUAUGAAUUGUGCACAACUGGAGUCAAUUUCAAAGAAAAUGUUAUUACAAGGGAAAAUGGAGAGAAAAAUUGGCAGAUUCUCUUUUCAUUGAUUGAAAAAAUGAGCUGUAUAGAGAGCACCAAAACAGAGUAGCAAAAAUGCCAUUUAUAAUAGAAGUCAUGCAUAAGGAGCUGUAAAGCUCUGUAGAGAAAAAACAACCUAACCAACUAUUGGUUAUAACAGAAAAAAUAAAAUAAAAAUAAAAAACUAAAACUAAUAUGCUAAAAUUCCCCCUCAAGAUGGAGAAUAUAGAUCAUGAAUUCCCAUCUUGCCCAAGAGACCAUGAAAUUGACUGGGAUGGAGAGCCUUAGUAAGAAUGUCAGCAAGUUGGUUUUAGGAGGUAACAUGUAGACUCUUGAGAAUCCCAACUUGAAUCUUCUCUCGAAUGAUAUGACAAUCAAUCUCAAUAUGUUUGGUGCGCUCAUGGUAGACUAGGUUUGCUGCAAUGUGGAGAGCAGCUUGGUUGUCACAGUAAAGAACAGUUGGCCCAUGAUGGGCUAUCUUCAAGUUGUGAAGAAGAGACAAGAGCCACAGAAUCUCACAAGUAGUGUUGGCCAUGGAUCGGUACUCGGCUUCAGCAGAUGAGCGAGAGACAAUCGGUUGUUUCUUGGACUUCCAAGAGAUAAGGGAGGUCCCAAGAAAUAGACAAAAACCAGAAAUAGAACGACGAGUGUCAGGACAAGAGGCCCAAUCAGAAUCUGCGAAGGCUUUGAGUUGCACUUUGGAAUUUGAUGAAAAGAAAAGUCCUGGCCUAGGGUUCGCUUGAUGUACUAUAAAAUGCGAAAAACAGCCUGAAGAUGUGGCUUGCAAGGGGCCGCUAAGAAUUAGCUGAGACGAUUUACAGAACAGCUUAGGUCAGGACGAGUAAUAGAAGAUAUAGCAGCUUACCAAUGAGUUGCCUAUAGCUGGUAGGAUCUUCAAUCAAGUCACCAUCAUCUUGAGAUAGUUUCAAAUUAUGAUCCAUGGGAACGGUAGUAGGUUUGCAACCCAAAUGUCCAGUGUCUGAGAGCAAUUCCAACGCAUACUUGCGUUGACAAAUAGAGAUACCAGUAGUAGAUUGAGCCACUUCCAAGCCUAGAAAAUAUCUGAGUGGUCCCAAGUUCUUCAUCUUAAACUUAUGAUUCAUGCCCAAUUGGUGUCUCAUCUGAUUCGUGUCUAGCUGGUGCUCCUUGAUUGAGGGAGUAAUCAACAAAAUUUAUAACCUAUAACACCAUAUACUAGGGUAGCAAAGAAAAAGCUACUAGAGUAUAGCGGCUCUAGGAUCGUUCACUGGGAAGGAUUAGCAAGCUAUCAAUGAUACCAAUUCAAAGUAAAUUAGUCUUAUUUCAUUUCAAGGUUAGCUUAAGAAAUAAAACACAAACUUUGAUUUGUAAAGAUUUAGACUUAAACUAACUAACACAACAAGUAAUAGGAAUAACUUAGGAAGAAAAACAUUCCUUAGAGAGUUAGGUUCACUGGGGUGGUUCCUCAUGCAAAAGACAUAGCUCCGGUCAGAUGGUUCAUUUCUUCGCGUUAGAGAUUCAACAUAUAGUCAAUUCUCUAACCGGUGUUGUACAGAUACAUCCUUUAAUUAGAUUUCAACUUUAAUUCUCUCACUGAUGCAACUUGCAAUGGUUUAAGCCUCUCACUAAGCCUUAACCAUUCAAGGUGAUCUUUAACCUUGGACUUCCCUUCUCAAGCUCGCAAGAGAUAACUAAUGGAUGUCUCCUUGGAGUCCAAAAGUUUACCAAGUGUUGGCAAUUCCAGAAAAUCCUUCCCUAAAGUCACCUCCUAGAGGCUCGCAAGGGGUAAACUAGUGCAUCUCCAUGUUGGAAAUCACUUGCCUUACCAAGUGUUGGCCCAGGUGACUCUAAGGUGUUUUAAGUUAACUAAAAACAUAAAAAUCACUAAAGGAUUUCACUUCCUCUUCAUUACUAGCUAAAACCACAAAGCUUUGCAUUCUUGCACUUGGAACCUUCCCCGGCAACCUUAGCUCCAAGGAAUUAGAGGUUUAGUUACUCAUUCUCUGGGGAAAACUCCUCAGAGAGUUCAUAACUUAGUAAGAAAAUAAAAAUACAAAGUGAGAAGGUAAGGCAAUACAAAGACCUGAACUUUACUUGCUUUCCCAAAACUUUACAAAGGGUCUCCUCUCCGAGAACAGGCUCCCGAGAGGUAUUUAUAUGAACAUAAUAUAAAACUAAUUAUUACAUAGAUAUUUUCUCUUUUUACUAACUUAAAAGCUAAGGAAUCUUGUAAUUGGUGGCUUACAAGGAGUAUUUUGGGAUUUAGACAACAAAAAUCUGAUGUAAAAUAUCUCCCAAUGUCGGUAGCAAAUAUCGGGAUGUUCCAGGAACCAUUUCGCAAGAGAAAAUGGUGUCCGCGAGAUUUCGCAGACACUCAAGAAGGGCUGCGAAAUAACUUCGCAGCAAAAGGCUAUUCUCGCAGGGCUGCGAAGUUGGCUUCCACCUUGAGGUUCUCAGCUUCCAGCUUGCGGCAUAUAUCGGGCAACUUCAGGAGGAAAUACACCACACUGUUCAAAAAGGGCUGCGAAAUCACUUCGCAACAAAAGGGUGAUUUCGCAACACUUUGGAAAAUGCUUCCUUUAACUUGGAGUGAUUGGAUUGCAAUGGAUGUAACUUCUUCGUUUCAACUCCGAAUUACGUACCGUUUGAAGCAUUGGAUUGUUGACUUCCUGAGCUUUGAAAUGGUAUAUAGCAUGCAUCAAUUGGACUACAGAAAGUGCUCCAAAAGUGGCUGCUACGACUGUCAUCAAGAAUAUGCUUCAUGGCAGAUUCUCUUAACUUUUUUUCCUUGCAUUCCGGAUUUACUCUUGGCAAAUGACUUCCAAGCUUUGCCCAAGAUUCCUCAUAACUCUCCUCAAUCUUGAAUUGCUUUGGUGAUCAAAUUACUAACAAAAACACCAAAACUUACACAAAGUGAUUAAAAUUGCUUUCAAGAGUCCUUAACAUGCCAAUUGAGUUAAAAGGCCAAAACUACUACUCAAAAGUGUUUAAAAGGAUUAAUUACAAGCUAUCAAAUAACACUUUUUGAGUAGUAAUCAACUUACAGUUGAGGGCAUGCUUUAAAGUAUCCACAACAAUUUGAUCAUUACUAGCAAUAAUGAUGUCAUCAACAUAGAUCAAAAGAGCUAAGAAAGAAGUAUCUUGAUGUUUUGUGAACAAGGUGUGAUCACUGGUUGAUUGAACAAAACCUUCUGAUAAGAGAGCAUUGGAGAACUUAUGGAACCAUUGAUGGGAGGCCUGCUUCAAGCCAUAGAUAGACUUCUGCAGCCUGCACACAACAUUAGAAGGCAAAUGUUCCCUCUUAUGGCAAGUGUAUCCAGGGGGAAGACUCAUGUAAACUUCCUCCAUAAGGUCACCAUGAAGGAAUGCAUUAGUGACAUCAAGUUGAGUGAGAGACCAGCCAUGAAUUGCAGCUAAAGAAAGCAACAUUUUAACAGUAACUAGCUUGGCAACAGGAGAAAAGGUAUCAAGAUAAUCAAUACCUUCUUGUUGUGUAAAUCCCUUAGCCACAAGGCAUGCUUUGUAUCUAUCCACAGUGCCAUCAGCUCGAAACUUGACUUUGUACACCGAUUUACAACCAACCGCUUGUUUGCCAAUGGGAAGAGAGCAAAUGGACCGAGUGUCAUUGCUUUACAAUGCCUGCAAUUCAAUAUUCAUAGCAUCGCAUCACACUUGAGACUCAAUGGCUUGAGAGAAUGAUGUUGGUUCGGUUUGAGAACUAAUGGCGAGAACAAAUUCAUGGUAUGGCCUAGAAAGCUUGUGGUAACUCAAGCAAGAGGAAAUAGGAUAUAGAGAAGGCUUAGAAGAAACAUGUUUAGUGAGGUAAUAGUGAUAAUCAGACAAGUAAGUUGGUUUUGUGGUGACACGACGUGGACGUAAGGUUGUUUGAAUUGGGGUUGGUGCGAAAAUGCACUCUGGACUAUGGGAAGAAGACAUGUUGGGUUGACUGUAAGAAGACUCGGAGAUGGACUGAAUUGGCUUAGGAAGGACACGAUCAUUAAACAAAUCAAUAACAUCGUUGCACACAGCAGAAUGAGCAAACGGAAAGAGUGAUUCAUGAAAAAUGACAUUCCAAGAAAUGUAGAUCUUAUUGCUUUCUAAGUCAAGUAAUUUGUAACCCUUAUAACCAAAAGGAUAGCCAAUAAAAAUAGAAGCUCGAGCACGAGGGGCAAACUUUGUACGUUGGUUAGAAAGCGUGGAAGCAUAACAUAGACACCCAAAAAUGUGAAGAUGGCUGUAGGUGGGUUUGUUGUUAUUCAACAGCUCAAAUGGGGUUUUAUUGGAUAGUAAUGGAAAGGGUGUAUGAUUGAUUAAAUAAACAGCUGUCAAAACACAAUCACCCCAAUAACAAAGAUGAACACAAGAUUGAAACAAUAACACUCAUGCCACAUUAAGUAUGUGUUGAUGUUUAUGCUCUACAACUGAGUUUUGUUCAGGUGUAGCAACACAAGAAUGAUAAGGAAUAACACCCUUGGUACAAAAAAAAUCAUGGAAAGCUAAUUUAGGGGCAUUAUUGGAACAAACAGAUUUAAUUGCAAUGUUAUAUUGAGUAGAAAUCAAAUUGAAAAAUUUAGGAAAGAUAGUGAGAACAUCAGUUUUAGAACAAAGAAGAUAUACCCAAGUAGCACGUGUGCAAUCAUCAACAAUAGUGAGGAAAUAUUUGUGUCCAACUGGUGUACUAACAUUAAAUGGUCCCCAAAUGUUAAUGUGAACUAGAUCAAAAGGAUUAGCUGACAUAUUAUUAUGUGAAACAUAAGGUAAACGUUUUUGCUUGGCCAUAUGACAAAUUUUACAGUGAGAAGACAAAUGGGAUAAAGAAUUGGGAAUGUGUAAUUCAUUGUGAAGAAUUUGAAUUUUUACAUGAGAUGGAUGUCCAAGGCGAAAAUGCCAAAUAUCACUUUUCGACAUUGCAGAAUUUGUAAAAACAGAAUUACAAAAUUCAUUCCCUGAUUCUAGAAAAUAUGGCUUCUUUCGUCUUCUACAUUUCCCAAUCAUCAAGCCCUGAGAUUAACACUACAAUUAUGGCUAAGAGUAAGAGCACUAAUGCUGAGAAGAUUAAAAUUGAACAUGGGGACAAACAAGACAUUAUCCAAGUUCAAAGUAUCAGACAACCUCGCAAAACCUACACGAUUGAUUGCAACAGCAUGACCAUUAAGAAGAGUGACUGUGGUAUUAUGAACCAAUCUGGAAUGAGAAAACAGAGAAACAUUGCAACAGACAUGGUGGGUGGCCCCUGUGUCAAUCACCCAAGCAUCAGAAGUAACAAAAAGAUGAGAAAAAAACUGAGUAGAACAAUUGUUACCAUAGAUUUGAGAAAUUGAAGGUUCUGAUGUCGAUGGAGACUCAAGUGGGUCGAUAGUUUGCUGUUGAAGGUGUGUGCUAAGGUAGGCAAUGAGUUGUUGAACUUGAUUCGAUGAGAGAGAGACUGGUGGUGGGGAAGAUCCCACUGUAGCAGCAGCAGCAGAAGGGAAAUAAUGAAUGCUUUUCAAUGGUUCAGUAAAGGAGCUUGGUGAAGUAGAUUGGGAUUGAAGGGGGCUCGUCUGGGCCAUUUAUGUUUGGGCUUUCCCUUUAGGCUUAUAACCUGGUAGAAAUCCAUGCAAUUUAUAACACCUAUCUACUGUAUGCCAUGUGAGCCCACAAUGGGUGCAAAUUGGGUGUUCAUGUCUGGGCUUGUUGUGAGAUGAUACAGUAGCUAUAGAAGAAGCCGGAGAAGAGGCAUUGAACGCCAUGGAAUCCGAUGGAGCGGAGGACCUAGAUCCAAUAGACCGUUGGCGCUCUUCUUGAACAACAAGAUUGAAUACUUUCACCACAGGAGGGAGCAAAUCAAGCAUCAGAAUUUGGCCUCUUGUGCUAGCAUAAGAUUCGUUCAAACCCAUUAAAAAUUGCAUCACAUACUCCUAUUGUUGAUAAUCCAUCCAAUCUUUCAUACCUCCACAAUGGCAAAUGGGAACUAGUUGAUAGUUUUUUAGUUCAUCCUAGAGAAUCUUCAAUCGAGUAUAAUAGGUAUUAACAUCGAGCGAGCCUUGUGAGAGACCAUGUAGUUGUUGCUUGAUUUGGAAAAUCCGUGGAGCAUUGCUUUGAUAGAAGCGUUCGUGCAGAUCUGCCCAAACAGCAUGGGCACUCUCGAGAUAAAGAAGACUAUUAACUAUCUCUUUUGAGACAGCGUUAAGGAGCCAAGAUGUGACCAUGCUGUUGCAUCGGGGCUAGAUUCUGGCUGUAAGGUCAUCGGUCAUGGGUUGCAAAAGAGUGUCAUCCACGAAUCCGAGCUUAUUCUUUACGUUGAGAGCCAUCAACAUGGUCCGACUCCAUGUAUUAUAGCUUGAACCAAUGAGGAGAUGCAAAACGAGCACCAAGCCUGGAUGAUCACCACUAUGUAAGAAAAAUGGGUUAUUAGUGUUCUCCAUGAGAGAUUGAUCUGAUUGUGUUGCCGUGCUACUAGAGGUAGGGGAUGUGAGGGGCUGAAAUCUAUUAUCAUUGUUAUGCUGACCACCACGAGCCAUUUCAGUGAGCGGCAGAGGUAAGAAGCUCUGAUACAAUAUUAGAAAGGAAAAUGGAGAGAAAAAUUGACAAAUUCUUCUUUCAUUGAUUGAAAAAAUGAGCUGUACAGAGAGCCCCAAAACAGAGUAACAAAAAUGCCUUUUAUAAUAAAAGUCACGCAUAAGGAGCUGUAGAGCUCUGCAGAGAAAAAACAACCUAACCAACUAUUAGUUAUAACAGAAAAAAUAAAAUAAAAAUAAAAAACUAAAACUAAUAUGCUAAAAGAUGUUUCACUCCAAAAAUAGUUUACUUGAAUAUUUGAGUAUUGGAGUUAUCCUUGUCUCAAAAUCAUACUAGGUUGCCUCUACAAACUCAGAGAACUGGAUAUUGAUAAUUGUGGGAAUAUGGAGCUGCUACCUCAUUAGCUGCAAAACCUCAUUACUCUUACAUCACUCACUAUCUCUUAUUGUGAGAAUAUCAAGACGCUCAUAUCCCGAUGGGGCCUUGCCACACUUACUGUUGAUGCGGGGAAAACCUAGAGGUGUUGUAGCUCCCUGAAGUACUCACCCCCUCAACUAAGAACGAUGCUUCCUUCCAUUCUCCUGUAAAAGAUGUUCGGACAGGUGGUCAGGACACACUCUCCGAAGCUUUUGUUAGUUUGGCGGUCAAGCAUAUUGGUGUUUUUGGGCGUUUCUCAGGAAUGCUUACCUCUUUUUUACUGUGUCGUUGGAUGCCUUUUACAGUGUCUGAAGCCUCGUCACUUUGAAGAUGGGAAGAUUCUUUGACUUUCGCAGUCAUGAUGGUGCUCAGAGGGUGGUAGAGCCAUCAUUAUCCUGUAGACGGCCGACAGAGAUUGUUGGGGGGAUCACUUGUCAUCCCACUUGUCUUUUCACUCUGUAGGCGGUGUAGGGCAGGUCGCCUGAAAAGACCUAGGAAUGUCCUACCGAGUAUGCUUUUGGCGAAAUGAGUAAUGAUUGCUCGCAAAAUAUGGUCAGGGGUCCUGUUUAGGACUACAAAUAUCGGGUCCAGAUUGGUCAUCCAGACAGAGGGUAGGACGUGCCACUUGUCCGCUUAGGGGUGGUCCCUAUAAUGCCCUCCUUUUAAACCAGUUAUUUUAUCGGGAUAGAAAAGACAGGUUAAAACGAUCCCUUUAGCCUUUUUUUUGGGAGUCGUGUGGCACGUGGCGCCCAAGGGGGGUAGUCAUGGAGAGCCGCUAUCCUUGGGAUGAAUACCAGGCAGCGUGUUGUUUUGAGUGUAGUGCGGUUGGGUGCCUGGUCAUUUGAAGUCCCUAGGGAUUUCAUCCCAUAAAUAGGGAAUCAAUCUCCCCAUCGGUAGUACUUUUUCUUCAUUUCUACUUCAUUCUGGCGUUAACUAGGCAUUGCUCCUAGGGCUUUACUCGGCGGUGCUUUCCUCACAAUCUCACGACUGGUUUACUCAGGCGACUGCGACCUAGUUCGUCUUCUUCUUGCAAACACUUGUCAGGUAUGCUCCUUGUUUCUUCUUCAUCGUCUUCUACUUCCCGUUUUCUCAAUUUUCCUUGGUUUCUAGUGCCAGUUUGCGAUUAAGGGAUGAGGGUGAUGUUUGGGGGUUUUGGUGGGUUGGGAAAUGUCCUUGCUGGAUUUUGUAGAGGGAGAAUGCAUAGUGUCGUUCAAGGGCAUCACAUUCUGUUGGCGGCGUGCCUUGCUAACUUUGGUCAGGGUUGCUUCAAGGUUAUUUUGUGCUUCGAGGCUCUGUUGAGGCCAUUGAGUAUUUUUUCAGCCCUUCGUAUGCCUGAAUAUGGUUGUGAGUCGCUUCUUAGCUAGGGUUAGGAGUUGACUAGCGGAACCGGGGUUCCUGACUUGGGGAGGUUAUUGACUCAGGCAUGUCACCUAGCUUAGGCAUUUUGGGGCAAUGCCUUUAGGGCGGUGAGGCUGGAUAAUUGUCCUAUAACUGUCGGCAUUGCACCAUGAAGGUUUAUCUUGGCCCCACGCUCCAACAUGCCUGCAAAAAAGGAUAUUACUUCAUCUAGCGCGGUUGGGCCAAGUGGAAAGGGUUGUUCCGGACACCCCUAUCCGGGAAAACCCACUGAGCUCCUCAAUGGGCGGGAGUUUCGCGACCGCUUCUGUCUUCCAAACGGCGUCUCUGUUCAAUUAGUGGAGAGAGAUCCCAUGUCCAUAGAGAAAGCCAGACACAACGCCAUUUAUUUCACCAAGGAGCAGUUCAAUGCGGGGCUCUGCUUUCCUUUCCUGUCUCUUUUCAAACAGUUCCUUCAUUACACCCAAAUUCCCCCAGCCUAUAUCCAUCCCAACAUCAUCCGAGUGUUGAUGGGGUGCAGCAUCCUAAAUAUGAUCUUCUAGUUGGACCUCUCCCUGUUGGAGGUUCUCUUCAUCUAUACCCUUAAAAAGGGGAAAAAUGAUAUCUUUAGUAUGUUUGCUCACAUCUUGUCCCUUCAAUUAGUGACGGGCCUUCUUGACUCGAAUAAAGGGGGAGCCAAGAGACAUGUGCUUGUCAAGGGCCCAUGGGCUAGCUUGAUGGAACAUUCGGAAAGGGAUUUUCGCCCUAACUGUUCGUUGAAGAUUCCGGGUAGGAGUGGCUUUGAGCAUUUGUUCCUUGUUGAUAUUUGAUGCUUAGCUUAAUUCCAUUAGAUUGCUAACCUUAUUUGUUUUGGCUGACGCAGGCUCAGGCAAGAUGAGCCGCUUGGUCGAGUGGGUGGAGAAGACUUCAUUCGUCAGCCUGAACAAGCUAUUCGAAAUCACUACCAUUGAGAGAAACCAUCACACGCUACUUUCCGUCUGAAAUCUACUUGCGGUUGUCCGGGAACCUUAGUCGUAUGUCCUCAACAUCCUUUCUAGGCUGUUACAGAAAGUUGUGGUAUCUGAGGAGCACUUUGUUUUGAAGGAUCUUUCCUUCUACGAAGAGGCUCGCGAGGCAGAUGCGAAGGCUCGCUAGGAGCGUCUUGAGCAGUAGGAGGGGAAAUUGAGGAAAACUCCCGAUGAGAAAAGCUGUGGCUCAUCGUCUACAGCUUGUCCUCCAGUUGGGAAGAAGAAAAAGAAGACUAUUGCAAAAGCGAUCAAGGUUGCAACCCCGGCUCCUGAAUCUCCGUCUACUUCUACUGCUUCAGUGUCUAAUCGAUCAAUCAGCUCCGCCCAGGCGUCUGAAGGUGACUUUAGCUCACUGAGGCUCGACCCUAGCUACCCGGGACUAGCCUUUUUGAGCACGAGCAGGAGUCUAUAGCCCUUGGAGUUAUAAAUGAUCCGGAGAAAGAAGAGGAUAUGAAUGACUUAAGAGUCGGAUUUAAAGAGAGGCACCGCAAACUCUUGUAUGAAGCGAUUGACAUCGUCCCCCCCCCCCCCCUCCUCCCCAAUGGUCGUGCCCCAACCGGAUGUAGUGGGACCUAGCAGCGCUCCAGCUGCGGAGAAAGAGGCUUGUGGGAAAUAGGUAGGUCCGGCAACGGGGAAGGCCCUUGGUAAUGCUGCUUCUGCCGAGGGGGUCCUGGAUGAGAAGGAUAGUCCUGCUCCUGUAAAUCUUCCAAGCUGGGACGAAAUGAUGGAGAUGCUAAAGCACGUGCCAUGCUUCACGAACUUUGAAACUCCAUCUACAAAAAUGUCAUACUUUUUCCCCUUUACCAAGCGAAUAUCUGUGAAUAUGGGCGGCGACCCCCCCUCUUUCGUCUCAGCCCGACUCCUCUUUGGCACUUCUGAGUCUGCUAUGUUCCGCAUUCAGCAGCUGCAAGAAUGGAUGGUGUCGGAGACUACAGAGGUGGUAAUCCCUUUUAUCUUACCCCCCCCCCCCCCCCUCCUUUUCAAGUAAUGCAUACUCCACCGCUUGGUACUAACUUAGCUUUUAUUAUCUCUUCUAGUUGGUAGUCGGCAUCCGCAACAUGAUGUGACAGCGCGUGUAGCUUUUCAAGCAAUUGGAGGUGGAAGAGGCUAUGCGGGCCUUUAUCUCCCACCACUCGGGCAACAUUGAAGAGUUGCGCGCGAAGAUGGAGCGAGUAGAACCUGACUUGGCUGCUGCCUAGAAGGCCGUUGCGGACGGAGCCGAGACACUGAAGCUGGUUGAAGGGGAGAAGGGGGUGAUCCGGGUUGAGACAGACCGGCUAAAGGAGAAAUGAGAGGCUAUGGAGGCCAAGUACAAAGGGGCGAAACAGGAGAAUUUCCAAUUAAGGAGAGAGGUGGAUGAACUUCGGGCUAGUUUCGCGGCUCAGACGAAAGAGGUGGAAGAGUUACAAGCGGGUUUGCUCGCCUAGAAGAAAGAGCUGGAGACCGAAUUUGCUGCUCAAAAAAAGGAGUUGGAAAUGGAGUACUAGAAACAAGUGAAUGAAAUGUACUUUUUCGGCUACCGCUAUUGUAUGAAGAAAAAUGGCAUCAUGCACGACAUUCCUUCUCUCUCUUCUGAUGACAAGGCUGAGAUACCCAGAGGUCCUCCACGAUGAGACGACUCAACUUUUGUGUAGUUCCUCCAUAUAACUUUUUCUUUGUCGUGAAUGGUCCAGCUGAUUUGUAAAGACAGUUUUCACACUUAUUUAUGAAUGCAACGUUCCUUUACUCUUUUCUCGCCCAUUGUUUCUUUUUACUGAUAAUACUGCUUAAGGUUAUAUACAUUCCAUGGACGGAGUAAAAGGGUUCCAUCUAACUUCUGUAAAUGAUAAGUGAUUCGUCCUCAUUGCAGUCAUGCCAUUUGAUUUUGGCUCAGACAGGUGUUAUCAACAAAAUUUAUAAAACCUAAAUCACCUCACACUAGGGUAGCAUAGCUAACAUAGUAUAGUGGCUCUAGGAUCGUACACAGGGAUGAGUUUUCAUCAUACAAUUGAUUUGAUUUUAGUGAAGGAAAUAAAAUGGUGUUUUUCCUUAUGAAAAUUAGCUUUUAAAGAAAAUGGAAUUGUGGUUGCAAAGAUUGAUUUUUAAAUUAAGCAAAAAUAAUAAGUGAAGUUAACUACAAAGAAAAGGUCUCUUGGAGCUUUAGGUCACUAGGAUCGGGUUCCUUAGGCAAAGGGGGAGAUUUCGGAUCUUCUCAUCACGUUGGGGAUAAUAACAUAAAGGAUGGUUAUCUCCCAAAUCGGUUUUGUAUUUAGCAAUUAAGACUUGAUCCAAAGUGUUCACAAAAAAUGGUAAUUGCUUCCCAUUAAUGGCUUCAAACACUAAAGACCCUCACUUUGAACCACCUUCCAAUGGCUCGUAAAUGAUAACUAAUAGACAUCCAUGGAUCUAGCAAUAAGCAUCCAUAGAAUCCGAAAAGCUUACCAAGUAUUGGCCAUUCAAAGUGAUUUUAAGGGAUUUAAAACUAAACCUUGAAAUAAAAACCAUUAAUGGUUAACAACUACUUUCAUUUAAAGCAAGGACAACUCUUAUCUUUACAUUCAGGUCCUUCACCUAGCUUCCAUCACUCCAAGAAACGUAAAACCUAGCCACUCAUCCCCUAAGAAAUCAUCCUUAGAGGUUGUUUAGCUAGAAAAAAGAGUGAAAACAAAAUGAGAAGGAAAGGCAAAGCAAAAGCUCUGUAUAUUUCUUACUACAGGAAAUUUACAAGUGUUUAAUGAAAAACAUCCAUAUUUUCUCACUCUAUCUCUCUCCUUAUAUAUGAUGUUACCUAGAAAAUAUCUAAAAAGAUAUAAAAGAAAAUAUCUAGGUUGAUUACAAGGAGAACUUAGGAAAUUACACAAAAUAUCUGAAGAUAAAAAUCUAACAGAGUCGAUGUACAGGAAGAUUUCGCAUACCAUGCGAAAUUUGGCAUGGUGUGCGAAAUUUCGCAUAGCCAUGCAAAACUGCUUGUUGUUCGAUUUCUUCCUCUGGUUUUCUUCCUUACAUCUCUGAUUUGUUUGGCAAAAGGCUAUGAAGUGCUCCAAAGCUUGGAUUCUUCAUGUAUUUGAGCUUCAACUUGCAUUGCCAUUGAUUUCACAAGAAUCUCCCUCUUCUUGGCUUGUUUCAAUGAUAAAAAAGCUACAAAAAACACCAAAACUUGCCAAAAACUAAUUAAUAACCCUUGCUAGGUUCUUUAAUGUGCCAAUUGAGGUAAAAGGUAUUAACUACUACUCAAAAGAGUUUAAAAAGUUAGUUUCAAGCUAUAAAAGAGUACUUUUUGAGUCGUAAUCAAUAAGCCCCGCUUUCACCUAUUUUGGAGACAAUGUAGGGGCCUUCCCAAUUCGCUUGGAACUUCCCAGCCUCCUUUUCAGUUGUGUUUUCGAAGACUCUUCUGAGGAUGAGUCUUCCAACCUUGAAGACACGAGGUUGUGCCUUACAAUUGUAAUGAGCAACCACCCUUUGCUGGUAGGCGGCCAUCCAGAUGGAUGCACUUUCCCUCAUUUCAUUCGCCCAGUCUAGGUUCCUUCUGAGUUCUUGGUCUUCAUUCCUUUGACCCUGUAUGGAAGUCCGGACCGUGGGUAAACCUAUUUCCAUGGGGAUGACUGCGUCCAUUCCGUAUGCGAGAGCGAAAAGAGUGUUUCCUGUUGGUCGUUCGGGCGUCAUCUGGUAGGCCCACAAGACGUCGGGUGGCUUAUCCACCCACUUUCUUUUGGUUCGGUCUAAUAUUUUCUUUAAUGUUGACAGUAAGGUCUUGUUCGUUGCCUUUGUCUACCCAUUGCUUUGGGGAUACCGUGGUGUGGAGUAUAAAUUUUGGAUUUUGAGUUCUGAACAAAAAUUUCGGAAGGCAAUGCUGUCAAACUACGGGCCAUUGUUGGCUAUGAUUGCUUGAGGGAUUCCAAACCGACAAAUGAUGUUCUUCCAAACGAAUUUCGUGACGUCUUUGUCUUUGAUGCCCGCAUACGCCUCCGCAUCUACCCAUUUAUUGAAAUAAUCUGUGGCAACGAGUAGGAGUUUCUUUUAGGCAACUGCAACGGGCAGAGGUCCCACUAUAUCCAUCUCCCAUUGCUCGAAUGGCCAAGGGCUUGUUAUCGGGUUCAACGUCUUGGAUGGCAUAUGCGGGAUGGGCGCGUGUCUUUGACAUUUGUCACAUUUUUUGACAUAAGCUUCCGUGUCCUGCUUCAUAGUGGGCCGGUAAUACCCCUGCGAAUGGGCGCGAUGUGCUAAAGAUCUUCCUCCUGACUGGUUGCCGCAUACGUCUUCAUGUAAUUCUGCUAGCACAUACUAGGCUUCAAAGUGCUCUAAGCAUCUGAGGUAGGGGCCUGCAAAAGAUCAUUUGUAAAGAAAUUUCCCAAUCAAGGUGAAGCGGGCAGCCUGCACACAGAUCUUAUGUGCAUGCUUGGAUUCCUCAUGCAGAGCACCUGUCUGAAGGUACUCCUUUAUGACACUCGUCCAUUCCUGGCUUUCUUCGAUAGCAUUGCAAGCGGGCGAUUGUGCGAUGGAGGGAUUAGACUGCACAUGUAUGGGCAGCAAUAUGGCUUCUCUUAUGGGAAGUGAGACAACUAUUCCUGCCAGGGCAUCGGCCUGUAUGUUGUUCGUCCGGAGGACUUUUCGAUUGUCCACUAGUCCAACUGCUUCAAGGUGUCGCGCACUUUUGUCAGGUAUUGGGACAUGCGCUCGUCUUUGGCUUUGUAUUCCUUUCGCACUGAUUACUACUCAAAACAUGCUAUUUUGUAGCUUGUAAUUAGCUCUUUUAAACACCAUUGAGUAGUAAUUAUUACCUUUUAACCCAAUUAGCAUGUUAGGAGCCCUUGCAAUCGUUUCUAACAAUUGUGUUAAGUUUUGGUGCUUUUUGAUAGCUUUAUGCUCACCAAAGCAAUUUAAGAAUGAGGGAGAGCUAUUUAUAGUUCAGGGCAAAGCUUUUGAAAGCUUAAAUUUAUGAAGAAAUCAAGCUAUGGAGCCUCAUAAUCCUUUGCCUUAAUCGUUCAAAGUUUACAAGGGAGAAACAAUGGAGAAGAAGAAAACAGGGGAUGAAAACAGGGGACACAGCUGCAGUCUUUUAGUGCACUUUUGGAGCACUUCCCGAAGUCCAUUUUCUGCAUUCUAUAUACCAUUUCGAAGCUCAGAAAGUCAAGAAUCCAACGGUUCAAACCAUAUAUGAUUUGGAGCUGAAAUGAGGAAGAUAUGGACUUCGGAAGACAACUGCAUCAAGCUGAGGAACAAUUUCGCACACCACUGUUUAAGGUGCGAAAUCCUCAGUCCACUGUGCGAAAUUUUCGCACACCUCAAACCAACAUGCGANNNNNNNNNNNNNNNNNNNNNNNNNNNNNNNNNNNNNNNNNNNNNNNNNNNNNNNNNNNNNNNNNNNNNNNNNNNNNNNNNNNNNNNNNNNNNNNNNNNNNNNNNNNNNNNNNNNNNNNNNNNNNNNNNNNNNNNNNNNNNNNNNNNNNNNNNNNNNNNNNNNNNNNNNNNNNNNNNNNNNNNNNNNNNNNNNNNNNNNNNNNNNNNNNNNNNNNNNNNNNNNNNNNNNNNNNNNNNNNNNNNNNNNNNNNNNNNNNNNNNNNNNNNNNNNNNNNNNNNNNNNNNNNNNNNNNNNNNNNNNNNNNNNNNNNNNNNNNNNNNNNNNNNNNNNNNNNNNNNNNNNNNNNNNNNNNNNNNNNNNNNNNNNNNNNNNNNNNNNNNNNNNNNNNNNNNNNNNNNNNNNNNNNNNNNNNNNNNNNNNNNNNNNNNNNNNNNNNNNNNNNNNNNNNNNNNNNNNNNNNNNNNNNNNNNNNNNNNNNNNNNNNNNNNNNNNNNNNNNNNNNNNNNNNNNNNNNNNNNNNNNNNNNNNNNNNNNNNNNNNNNNNNNNNNNNNNNNNNNNNNNNNNNNNNNNNNNNNNNNNNNNNNNNNNNNNNNNNNNNNNNNNNNNNNNNNNNNNNNNNNNNNNNNNNNNNNNNNNNNNNNNNNNNNNNNNNNNNNNNNNNNNNNNNNNNNNNNNNNNNNNNNNNNNNNNNNNNNNNNNNNNNNNNNNNNNNNNNNNNNNNNNNNNNNNNNNNNNNNNNNNNNNNNNNNNNNNNNNNNNNNNNNNNNNNNNNNNNNNNNNNNNNNNNNNNNNNNNNNNNNNNNNNNNNNNNNNNNNNNNNNNNNNNNNNNNNNNNNNNNNNNNNNNNNNNNNNNNNNNNNNNNNNNNNNNNNNNNNNNNNNNNNNNNNNNNNNNNNNNNNNNNNNNNNNNNNNNNNNNNNNNNNNNNNNNNNNNNNNNNNNNNNNNNNNNNNNNNNNNNNNNNNNNNNNNNNNNNNNNNNNNNNNNNNNNNNNNNNNNNNNNNNNNNNNNNNNNNNNNNNNNNNNNNNNNNNNNNNNNNNNNNNNNNNNNNNNNNNNNNNNNNNNNNNNNNNNNNNNNNNNNNNNNNNNNNNNNNNNNNNNNNNNNNNNNNNNNNNNNNNNNNNNNNNNNNNNNNNNNNNNNNNNNNNNNNNNNNNNNNNNNNNNNNNNNNNNNNNNNNNNNNNNNNNNNNNNNNNNNNNNNNNNNNNNNNNNNNNNNNNNNNNNNNNNNNNNNNNNNNNNNNNNNNNNNNNNNNNNNNNNNNNNNNNNNNNNNNNNNNNNNNNNNNNNNNNNNNNNNNNNNNNNNNNNNNNNNNNNNNNNNNNNNNNNNNNNNNNNNNNNNNNNNNNNNNNNNNNNNNNNNNNNNNNNNNNNNNNNNNNNNNNNNNNNNNNNNNNNNNNNNNNNNNNNNNNNNNNNNNNNNNNNNNNNNNNNNNNNNNNNNNNNNNNNNNNNNNNNNNNNNNNNNNNNNNNNNNNNNNNNNNNNNNNNNNNNNNNNNNNNNNNNNNNNNNNNNNNNNNNNNNNNNNNNNNNNNNNNNNNNNNNNNNNNNNNNNNNNNNNNNNNNNNNNNNNNNNNNNNNNNNNNNNNNNNNNNNNNNNNNNNNNNNNNNNNNNNNNNNNNNNNNNNNNNNNNNNNNNNNNNNNNNNNNNNNNNNNNNNNNNNNNNNNNNNNNNNNNNNNNNNNNNNNNNNNNNNNNNNNNNNNNNNNNNNNNNNNNNNNNNNNNNNNNNNNNNNNNNNNNNNNNNNNNNNNNNNNNNNNNNNNNNNNNNNNNNNNNNNNNNNNNNNNNNNNNNNNNNNNNNNNNNNNNNNNNNNNNNNNNNNNNNNNNNNNNNNNNNNNNNNNNNNNNNNNNNNNNNNNNNNNNNNNNNNNNNNNNNNNNNNNNNNNNNNNNNNNNNNNNNNNNNNNNNNNNNNNNNNNNNNNNNNNNNNNNNNNNNNNNNNNNNNNNNNNNNNNNNNNNNNNNNNNNNNNNNNNNNNNNNNNNNNNNNNNNNNNNNNNNNNNNNNNNNNNNNNNNNNNNNNNNNNNNNNNNNNNNNNNNNNNNNNNNNNNNNNNNNNNNNNNNNNNNNNNNNNNNNNNNNNNNNNNNNNNNNNNNNNNNNNNNNNNNNNNNNNNNNNNNNNNNNNNNNNNNNNNNNNNNNNNNNNNNNNNNNNNNNNNNNNNNNNNNNNNNNNNNNNNNNNNNNNNNNNNNNNNNNNNNNNNNNNNNNNNNNNNNNNNNNNNNNNNNNNNNNNNNNNNNNNNNNNNNNNNNNNNNNNNNNNNNNNNNNNNNNNNNNNNNNNNNNNNNNNNNNNNNNNNNNNNNNNNNNNNNNNNNNNNNNNNNNNNNNNNNNNNNNNNNNNNNNNNNNNNNNNNNNNNNNNNNNNNNNNNNNNNNNNNNNNNNNNNNNNNNNNNNNNNNNNNNNNNNNNNNNNNNNNNNNNNNNNNNNNNNNNNNNNNNNNNNNNNNNNNNNNNNNNNNNNNNNNNNNNNNNNNNNNNNNNNNNNNNNNNNNNNNNNNNNNNNNNNNNNNNNNNNNNNNNNNNNNNNNNNNNNNNNNNNNNNNNNNNNNNNNNNNNNNNNNNNNNNNNNNNNNNNNNNNNNNNNNNNNNNNNNNNNNNNNNNNNNNNNNNNNNNNNNNNNNNNNNNNNNNNNNNNNNNNNNNNNNNNNNNNNNNNNNNNNNNNNNNNNNNNNNNNNNNNNNNNNNNNNNNNNNNNNNNNNNNNNNNNNNNNNNNNNNNNNNNNNNNNNNNNNNNNNNNNNNNNNNNNNNNNNNNNNNNNNNNNNNNNNNNNNNNNNNNNNNNNNNNNNNNNNNNNNNNNNNNNNNNNNNNNNNNNNNNNNNNNNNNNNNNNNNNNNNNNNNNNNNNNNNNNNNNNNNNNNNNNNNNNNNNNNNNNNNNNNNNNNNNNNNNNNNNNNNNNNNNNNNNNNNNNNNNNNNNNNNNNNNNNNNNNNNNNNNNNNNNNNNNNNNNNNNNNNNNNNNNNNNNNNNNNNNNNNNNNNNNNNNNNNNNNNNNNNNNNNNNNNNNNNNNNNNNNNNNNNNNNNNNNNNNNNNNNNNNNNNNNNNNNNNNNNNNNNNNNNNNNNNNNNNNNNNNNNNNNNNNNNNNNNNNNNNNNNNNNNNNNNNNNNNNNNNNNNNNNNNNNNNNNNNNNNNNNNNNNNNNNNNNNNNNNNNNNNNNNNNNNNNNNNNNNNNNNNNNNNNNNNNNNNNNNNNNNNNNNNNNNNNNNNNNNNNNNNNNNNNNNNNNNNNNNNNNNNNNNNNNNNNNNNNNNNNNNNNNNNNNNNNNNNNNNNNNNNNNNNNNNNNNNNNNNNNNNNNNNNNNNNNNNNNNNNNNNNNNNNNNNNNNNNNNNNNNNNNNNNNNNNNNNNNNNNNNNNNNNNNNNNNNNNNNNNNNNNNNNNNNNNNNNNNNNNNNNNNNNNNNNNNNNNNNNNNNNNNNNNNNNNNNNNNNNNNNNNNNNNNNNNNNNNNNNNNNNNNNNNNNNNNNNNNNNNNNNNNNNNNNNNNNNNNNNNNNNNNNNNNNNNNNNNNNNNNNNNNNNNNNNNNNNNNNNNNNNNNNNNNNNNNNNNNNNNNNNNNNNNNNNNNNNNNNNNNNNNNNNNNNNNNNNNNNNNNNNNNNNNNNNNNNNNNNNNNNNNNNNNNNNNNNNNNNNNNNNNNNNNNNNNNNNNNNNNNNNNNNNNNNNNNNNNNNNNNNNNNNNNNNNNNNNNNNNNNNNNNNNNNNNNNNNNNNNNNNNNNNNNNNNNNNNNNNNNNNNNNNNNNNNNNNNNNNNNNNNNNNNNNNNNNNNNNNNNNNNNNNNNNNNNNNNNNNNNNNNNNNNNNNNNNNNNNNNNNNNNNNNNNNNNNNNNNNNNNNNNNNNNNNNNNNNNNNNNNNNNNNNNNNNNNNNNNNNNNNNNNNNNNNNNNNNNNNNNNNNNNNNNNNNNNNNNNNNNNNNNNNNNNNNNNNNNNNNNNNNNNNNNNNNNNNNNNNNNNNNNNNNNNNNNNNNNNNNNNNNNNNNNNNNNNNNNNNNNNNNNNNNNNNNNNNNNNNNNNNNNNNNNNNNNNNNNNNNNNNNNNNNNNNNNNNNNNNNNNNNNNNNNNNNNNNNNNNNNNNNNNNNNNNNNNNNNNNNNNNNNNNNNNNNNNNNNNNNNNNNNNNNNNNNNNNNNNNNNNNNNNNNNNNNNNNNNNNNNNNNNNNNNNNNNNNNNNNNNNNNNNNNNNNNNNNNNNNNNNNNNNNNNNNNNNNNNNNNNNNNNNNNNNNNNNNNNNNNNNNNNNNNNNNNNNNNNNNNNNNNNNNNNNNNNNNNNNNNNNNNNNNNNNNNNNNNNNNNNNNNNNNNNNNNNNNNNNNNNNNNNNNNNNNNNNNNNNNNNNNNNNNNNNNNNNNNNNNNNNNNNNNNNNNNNNNNNNNNNNNNNNNNNNNNNNNNNNNNNNNNNNNNNNNNNNNNNNNNNNNNNNNNNNNNNNNNNNNNNNNNNNNNNNNNNNNNNNNNNNNNNNNNNNNNNNNNNNNNNNNNNNNNNNNNNNNNNNNNNNNNNNNNNNNNNNNNNNNNNNNNNNNNNNNNNNNNNNNNNNNNNNNNNNNNNNNNNNNNNNNNNNNNNNNNNNNNNNNNNNNNNNNNNNNNNNNNNNNNNNNNNNNNNNNNNNNNNNNNNNNNNNNNNNNNNNNNNNNNNNNNNNNNNNNNNNNNNNNNNNNNNNNNNNNNNNNNNNNNNNNNNNNNNNNNNNNNNNNNNNNNNNNNNNNNNNNNNNNNNNNNNNNNNNNNNNNNNNNNNNNNNNNNNNNNNNNNNNNNNNNNNNNNNNNNNNNNNNNNNNNNNNNNNNNNNNNNNNNNNNNNNNNNNNNNNNNNNNNNNNNNNNNNNNNNNNNNNNNNNNNNNNNNNNNNNNNNNNNNNNNNNNNNNNNNNNNNNNNNNNNNNNNNNNNNNNNNNNNNNNNNNNNNNNNNNNNNNNNNNNNNNNNNNNNNNNNNNNNNNNNNNNNNNNNNNNNNNNNNNNNNNNNNNNNNNNNNNNNNNNNNNNNNNNNNNNNNNNNNNNNNNNNNNNNNNNNNNNNNNNNNNNNNNNNNNNNNNNNNNNNNNNNNNNNNNNNNNNNNNNNNNNNNNNNNNNNNNNNNNNNNNNNNNNNNNNNNNNNNNNNNNNNNNNNNNNNNNNNNNNNNNNNNNNNNNNNNNNNNNNNNNNNNNNNNNNNNNNNNNNNNNNNNNNNNNNNNNNNNNNNNNNNNNNNNNNNNNNNNNNNNNNNNNNNNNNNNNNNNNNNNNNNNNNNNNNNNNNNNNNNNNNNNNNNNNNNNNNNNNNNNNNNNNNNNNNNNNNNNNNNNNNNNNNNNNNNNNNNNNNNNNNNNNNNNNNNNNNNNNNNNNNNNNNNNNNNNNNNNNNNNNNNNNNNNNNNNNNNNNNNNNNNNNNNNNNNNNNNNNNNNNNNNNNNNNNNNNNNNNNNNNNNNNNNNNNNNNNNNNNNNNNNNNNNNNNNNNNNNNNNNNNNNNNNNNNNNNNNNNNNNNNNNNNNNNNNNNNNNNNNNNNNNNNNNNNNNNNNNNNNNNNNNNNNNNNNNNNNNNNNNNNNNNNNNNNNNNNNNNNNNNNNNNNNNNNNNNNNNNNNNNNNNNNNNNNNNNNNNNNNNNNNNNNNNNNNNNNNNNNNNNNNNNNNNNNNNNNNNNNNNNNNNNNNNNNNNNNNNNNNNNNNNNNNNNNNNNNNNNNNNNNNNNNNNNNNNNNNNNNNNNNNNNNNNNNNNNNNNNNNNNNNNNNNNNNNNNNNNNNNNNNNNNNNNNNNNNNNNNNNNNNNNNNNNNNNNNNNNNNNNNNNNNNNNNNNNNNNNNNNNNNNNNNNNNNNNNNNNNNNNNNNNNNNNNNNNNNNNNNNNNNNNNNNNNNNNNNNNNNNNNNNNNNNNNNNNNNNNNNNNNNNNNNNNNNNNNNNNNNNNNNNNNNNNNNNNNNNNNNNNNNNNNNNNNNNNNNNNNNNNNNNNNNNNNNNNNNNNNNNNNNNNNNNNNNNNNNNNNNNNNNNNNNNNNNNNNNNNNNNNNNNNNNNNNNNNNNNNNNNNNNNNNNNNNNNNNNNNNNNNNNNNNNNNNNNNNNNNNNNNNNNNNNNNNNNNNNNNNNNNNNNNNNNNNNNNNNNNNNNNNNNNNNNNNNNNNNNNNNNNNNNNNNNNNNNNNNNNNNNNNNNNNNNNNNNNNNNNNNNNNNNNNNNNNNNNNNNNNNNNNNNNNNNNNNNNNNNNNNNNNNNNNNNNNNNNNNNNNNNNNNNNNNNNNNNNNNNNNNNNNNNNNNNNNNNNNNNNNNNNNNNNNNNNNNNNNNNNNNNNNNNNNNNNNNNNNNNNNNNNNNNNNNNNNNNNNNNNNNNNNNNAUCUUUUUCCGGGAAAAUUGAAAUCCAGGUGGACGGGUCCUUUCAUAAUUCAUGAAGUGCAUCCCAACGGAGUGGUGGAAAUAUUCAAUCCCACAGGCAAUCAAACCUUCAAAGUCAAUGGCCAUCGUCUCAAGCCAUUUAUAGAGCCUUACAAUACAGACAAGGAGGAGAUCAACCUCCUUGAACCACCACAACUUUGAGGAAAAGCAGGGUAUCAUGGGCUAAAGAAGUCCAUGAAUUUUUUGUUAUAGUUUUAUAGUUAUAUUAGUAUUUUUAUUUCUUUAUAUUUUAAUUUUUCUUUAAUCUUAGUUUAUUUUGUCUUAAUUCAAGUCAAUUUUCAUGAUAAAUUUCAGAAAAAAAUCAUGAAAGGUGAGGAGAGCUCUUCAAAAGCAGAACAGGGGAGUAAAACCAAGGAAGCAGAGCACCCAAUUUCAAGGUGCCAAAAUUUUCGCACACCUGAUUUCAAGGUGCGAAAAUUUCGCACACCCCAAAACCAAGGUGCGAAAUCCUUGGGCCAAAAGAAGCCAUUUUCGCACACCCCUACCUCAAGAUGCGAAAUCAAUUUCAAGGUGCGAAUUUCCUAAAAUCCAAUUUCGCACACCACUGUGGAAGGUGCGAAAAUUUUCGCACUGUGCGAAAAUUUUCGCACUGUGCGAAAUCCUCUCCUGGCACACGUGUGCCAAUUUCGCACACCUCAAGCUGAUUUUCGCACUGUGCGAAAUAGUGUGCGAAAAUUUCGCACACCACUAUUCAAGGUGCGAAAAUUUCGCACACCUCCUUUUAACGUGCGAAAUCAUCAGUUAAAAGGGUGCCAUUUUCGCACACCCAAUUCCAAGGUGCGAAAUUUGCAGGCCAAGGUGCGAAAAUUUCGCACGGUAAAAUUUUAACUUCUAAAAAUUUAAAACCGACUUUUAAAUUAAAAUUUUACCCCCGAAAUUGUGCCUAACGUCCAAAAACGACUUUUCGGUUGCCUUGGAAAAUUUUAAAAGAUCAGAAACCCCUUAAACCUCAUUCCUAUAUAAACCCCUGAAGUCCAGAAGCUCAAAGGACUCUCCUAAGCACCAGCUGAAAAACCUCUGGAAUCCCGAACACCCAUCUCCCUUCAUUUCGGCCAUGGCGAAGACCAGAGGAGGCCUUUCCGCCUCCCCAUCCUCACCGACACCUCGGCCACAGCGAGCCGCCAUGGGAGCCGCACCUUCACCUCCCGUUCAGGCCCCGGCCAUUCCCCCAUCUGAGGGGGAAGCUCCUUCUCAGCGCCGAUACCCCACCCGGAGGCCACCCGCGGACCCUGUGCCACCAGUCGAACAGGCCACGAGCCCUAUUUCUCGGCCCCCUGCGAAAAGGUCCAGGUUCUCGGGUCCUGGAGAGCCAUCCCACGUACCUUAGCCACAACCAGCUACAGAGGAACCUCGGAUUCCAGUCGACAUGCCUCCCGAGGCCAUUAUCAGGCGUCCCAUGAUAGCUGGANNNNNNNNNNNNNNNNNNNNNNNNNNNNNNNNNNNNNNNNNNNNNNNNNNNNNNNNNNNNNNNNNNNNNNNNNNNNNNNNNNNNNNNNNNNNNNNNNNNNUGCAAACUUUUUGGUUACUGGAGAAGUACCAAGUGAGUGGAGUGCUCAAGACAAGAGGCAUUUCUUGGCUAAGAUCCAUGCCUAUUAUUGGGAGGAACCUUUUCUUUUCAAAUAUUGUGCAGAUCAAAUUAUAAGGAAAUGUGUUCCUGAGCAAGAGCAAUCGGGAAUUCUUUCCCAUUGCCAUGAUAAUGCAUGUGGAGGUCAUUUUGCCUCCCAGAAAACAGCUAUGAAAGUGAUCCAAUCAGGCUUCUGGUGGCCAUCUCUUUUCAAGGAUGCCCAUUCUAUGUGUAAGGCAUGUGAUCGGUGUCAAAGGCUUGGUAAGCUGACACGCCGAAAUAUGAUGCCCUUGAACCCCAUCUUAAUAGUGGAUAUCUUUGAUGUUUGGGGUAUAGACUUUAUGGGACCAUUUCCAAUGUCAUUUGGACAUUCCUACAUCUUGGUAGGAGUGGAUUAUGUCUCUAAGUGGGUAGAGGCAAUCCCAUGUAGGAACAAUGAUCAUAAGGUGGUACUUAAAUUCCUCAAGGACAACAUCUUUGCAAGAUUUGGAGUGCCAAAGGCCAUUAUAAGUGACGGGGGAACCUACUUUUGCAAUAAACCUUUUGAGACUCUUCUAGCCAAGUAUGGGGUUAAGCAUAAAGUAGCUACACCUUAUCACCCUCAAACUAGUGGCCAAGUUGAGUUAGCCAACCGUGAGAUCAAGAAUAUAUUGAUGAAGGUGGUCAAUGUGAAUAGGAAGGAUUGGUCUAUCAAGCUCCUGGAUUCCUUAUGGGCUUAUAGGACCGCUUACAAGACCAUUCUAGGAAUGUCUCCCUAUCGCCUUGUUUAUGGCAAAGCGUGUCACCUUCCAGUGGAAAUUGAGUAUAAAGCAUGGUGGGCAAUCAAAAAUCUCAACAUGGAUUUGUCAAGAGCCGGGUUAAAGAGAUGUUUAGAUUUGAAUGAAUUAGAGGAAUUGAGGAAUGAUGCAUACCUCAAUUCAAAAAUUGCCAAAGCAAGAUUGAAAAAAUGGCAUGAUCAGUUGGUAAAUCAGAAGAAUUUUACCAAAGGACAAAAAGUUUUGCUUUAUGACUCUAAGCUUCAUCUUUUUCCGGGAAAAUUGAAAUCCAGGUGGACGGGUCCUUUCAUAAUUCAUGAAGUGCAUCCCAACGGAGUGGUGGAAAUAUUCAAUNNNNNNNNNNNNNNNNNNNNNNNNNNNNNNNNNNNNNNNNNNNNNNNNNNNNNNNNNNNNNNNNNNNNNNNNNNNNNNNNNNNNNNNNNNNNNNNNNNNNNNNNNNNNNNNNNNNNNNNNNNNNNNNNNNNNNNNNNNNNNNNNNNNNNNNNNNNNNNNNNNNNNNNNNNNNNNNNNNNNNNNNNNNNNNNNNNNNNNNNNNNNNNNNNNNNNNNNNNNNNNNNNNNNNNNNNNNNNNNNNNNNNNNNNNNNNNNNNNNNNNNNNNNNNNNNNNNNNNNNNNNNNNNNNNNNNNNNNNNNNNNNNNNNNNNNNNNNNNNNNNNNNNNNNNNNNNNNNNNNNNNNNNNNNNNNNNNNNNNNNNNNNNNNNNNNNNNNNNNNNNNNNNNNNNNNNNNNNNNNNNNNNNNNNNNNNNNNNNNNNNNNNNNNNNNNNNNNNNNNNNNNNNNNNNNNNNNNNNNNNNNNNNNNNNNNNNNNNNNNNNNNNNNNNNNNNNNNNNNNNNNNNNNNNNNNNNNNNNNNNNNNNNNNNNNNNNNNNNNNNNNNNNNNNNNNNNNNNNNNNNNNNNNNNNNNNNNNNNNNNNNNNNNNNNNNNNNNNNNNNNNNNNNNNNNNNNNNNNNNNNNNNNNNNNNNNNNNNNNNNNNNNNNNNNNNNNNNNNNNNNNNNNNNNNNNNNNNNNNNNNNNNNNNNNNNNNNNNNNNNNNNNNNNNNNNNNNNNNNNNNNNNNNNNNNNNNNNNNNNNNNNNNNNNNNNNNNNNNNNNNNNNNNNNNNNNNNNNNNNNNNNNNNNNNNNNNNNNNNNNNNNNNNNNNNNNNNNNNNNNNNNNNNNNNNNNNNNNNNNNNNNNNNNNNNNNNNNNNNNNNNNNNNNNNNNNNNNNNNNNNNNNNNNNNNNNNNNNNNNNNNNNNNNNNNNNNNNNNNNNNNNNNNNNNNNNNNNNNNNNNNNNNNNNNNNNNNNNNNNNNNNNNNNNNNNNNNNNNNNNNNNNNNNNNNNNNNNNNNNNNNNNNNNNNNNNNNNNNNNNNNNNNNNNNNNNNNNNNNNNNNNNNNNNNNNNNNNNNNNNNNNNNNNNNNNNNNNNNNNNNNNNNNNNNNNNNNNNNNNNNNNNNNNNNNNNNNNNNNNNNNNNNNNNNNNNNNNNNNNNNNNNNNNNNNNNNNNNNNNNNNNNNNNNNNNNNNNNNNNNNNNNNNNNNNNNNNNNNNNNNNNNNNNNNNNNNNNNNNNNNNNNNNNNNNNNNNNNNNNNNNNNNNNNNNNNNNNNNNNNNNNNNNNNNNNNNNNNNNNNNNNNNNNNNNNNNNNNNNNNNNNNNNNNNNNNNNNNNNNNNNNNNNNNNNNNNUAAAAUAGGAUAAGUCGAGUUUUUAACUUAAUUAUUUAAGUCUUAGAGUUUGUUUUAUGCUUUCAAAGUUGAUAAUCUAUUGAAGCCUCUUUGAUUUUGAACUUUCUUCUUCCAUUUCGAGCUUUACACACACUGUGCACAUUAGAUCCCGGAUAUAAAAUGUAAAACUUUCUCACUUUCUAAGCUUAGGAAAAUUUUGACUUGGUUUAUUACUUAACCUCUUUUUAAUAGUGUUGGGACACCUCAUAAAGACCAAUGAGUCUUAGAUAAAGACCAAUGAGUCUUAGAAAAAGACCAAUGAGUCUUAGAAAAAGAAAAAGAGAAUAAGCUUCUAUUCUUUCCUUGAAACCUAAGUAUGAUCCGAAGGGGUGGCGAAAGCCUUUAAAACCCGAUGCCCUAAACCUUAAUUGGUUGGGAGUCAUCGAUCCUCUGCUUGCUACAUGGGUGAAUUGGUUAAGUUUAGUAAGUAAAAAGAAUUGCGAAUAAGAAGGUGCGUUCUUAACCUAUUAAGAGUUGGUUAAUGUUACCAAUAUCCGAGAAAAGCUUAGGUUGGAUGGUGAGGAUAGUUGUAUAUACUAUAUCCGGAAGCUAAUUUCAUUAACACUUAGCUUAUUUUGGAAGAGUUUGAUUUGGAACCUUGAGAGUAGAGAUUCUUUUGAUACUUAAUUGCAUAAUCUCCACUCUUUGUACUUUUUGUUUAAGUUUUUAGCUUGGACAACUCCUAUUGCAUUUUGAAUCUUCAUAUCUUUAGUUCACCAUGUGAGAUGUGUUUUGAUAUCAGUCAUGCCACUCAAUUAUUUUUUGGAAUGAAUUGCAUGACCUCUUUUAUAUAUAUUAUUACGUUUGCUUAGUUUUCCUCUCCUUAAUUGCUAAGGGACUAGCAAUAUGUCGGUUGGGGGGAGUGAUUACUACUCAAAACAUGCUAUUUUGUAGCUUGUAAUUAGCUCUUUUAAACACCAUUGAGUAGUAAUUAUUACCUUUUAACCCAAUUAGCAUGUUAGGAGCCCUUGCAAUCGUUUCUAACAAUUGUGUUAAGUUUUGGUGCUUUUUGAUAGCUUUAUGCUCACCAAAGCAAUUUAAGAAUGAGGGAGAGCUAUUUAUAGUUCAGGGCAAAGCUUUUGAAAGCUUAAAUUUAUGAAGAAAUCAAGCUAUGGAGCCUCAUAAUCCUUUGCCUUAAUCGUUCAAAGUUUACAAGGGAGAAACAAUGGAGAAGAAGAAAACAGGGGAUGAAAACAGGGGACACAGCUGCAGUCUUUUAGUGCACUUUUGGAGCACUUCCCGAAGUCCAUUUUCUACAUUCUAUAUACCAUUUCGAAGCUCAGAAAGUCAAGAAUCCAACGGUUCAAACCAUAUAUGAUUUGGAGCUGAAAUGAGGAAGAUAUGGACUUCGGAAGACAACUGCAUCAAGCUGAGGAACAAUUUCGCACACCACUGUUUAAGGUGCGAAAUCCUCAGUCCACUGUGCGAAAUUUUCGCACACCUCAAACCAACAUGCGAAAUUGGAACUCAGCGUGCGAAAAUUGGAUAUUUUUGCCGACUCUUUUUCUUCUGAUAUUUUUGUGUUUAAAUUUCCAUUUUCUCCUUGUAUUCAACCAACCAUGUAAUUCCUUAGCUAGGAAGUAUCCAAGGAAGGGUAAAACUACCUUCCUAUAUAAAUUCUCUUGUAAUCACUGAAUAUAUAUCUUCGUCGGGGAGCUUUCUCCAGGAGACGAACUAUUGUAAAUUUGUUACUUAGUGAAAUACAGAGAUCUCUUUUACUUUCUUUUCUCUUCUAUUUUCUAUUUUCUUGCAAGCCAAACACCCUCUGAGGAUGUUUUCCCAGAGGAUGAGAGGCUAAACAUUUAGUUUCUUGGAGUGAAGGAAGCUAGGUGAAAAGUCCAGAUUAAAAGGUGGAAAGUUUCCGUGCAUUGAAUUCAGGUAGUUGGAGUCCAUAAAUGGCUUUUAAAGCCAAGGUUUUUGCCUUAAAUCCCUUAGGAUCACUUUGACUGGCCAAUACAUGGUAAGCUUAAGGUCUCUGUGGAUGCUUAUUGCUAGAUCCAUAUCAGUCCAUUAGUUAUCAUGUACGAGCCAGUGGAAAGUGAUUCAAGGUGAUAGUCCAUAGUGUCUUAAGUCAUUAAUGGACCUUGACUACCAUCUCUAAUGAUUUUUUAUGGAUUAAAACUUCAUUGUCAAACCUAUACCGGUUCGGGAAAUAACUAUAGGUUAAAUCCCCAAUGCGAGGAGAAAAAUCCGGAAUUUUCCACUUUGCAUCUGGAACUUGAACCUAACAACCUUUAUCUCCGAGAGACUUUCUUUCUUCCACUUUUUACUUAGUUCUAUGUGAGUUUAGUUUAAAUCACCACUUUCAAAACAAUUUUAAUUUCUUUUAAAUUUCAAGUUUGUGCUAAAGGAAAUCAUCAGAAUCAAUUUCUAAUUUAGAGUCUAUCAUUGGUAGAGUGAAAACCCAUCCCUGAGUUCGACCCUAGAACUGCUAUACUACAGUAGCUUUGCUACGCCAGUAUAAGGUCAUAGGUUUUAUAAAUGUUUUUGAUUAAAAGAUCCGGCUGGGGAAGUCAAGCUUAAAGAAUCACGCACAUGUCCCACGACGAGUUGAGAAUCACUGUAAAUUCUGAGCUUAGAGACGGAUAGUGCGAGUGCGAGGUCCAAUCCGGACAGAAUGGCUUCGUACUCGGCUUCGUUGUUUGAUGCAUGGAAUCCGAGCCGGAUGACCUGCUCUAAUUGUUUGCCAAUUGUAGAUUGUAGCAAAAGUCCCACUCCGGAUCCUAACUACCGGGACGCUCCGUCGACCCGUAAGGUCCACCAUCCAUCCUUGUCCGAUUUUCCGCCUCGAGCGAGUUGUUGGGGAGAUUCAACCACAAAGUAACCAUGACUUGCCCUUUCAUGGACAACCUAGGUUGAUAUUCAAUCCCAUAAUCGCUCAACUCUAUGGACCAUUGCAGCAUCCUUCCGAAUAGGUCCGGUUUGUGCAGGAUGUUUUGGAAGGGCUGGUCGGUAAGUACGACUACUGGGUGAGCUUGGAAAUAUGGGCAGAGCUUCUGGGCGGUGCUUUGCAAGACUAAGACAGUAUGUUCUAUCUUUGAAUAUAUUGUUUCCGCAUCGGCCAUUGCUCUACUGAUAUAAUAAAUAGGUUUUUACUCUUUACGAGAUGGACAACGAAACAAGGCAGAGCUAAUCGCCCAAUCUGAUACCGCUAAAUACAUGUACGACAGCUCGCCAGGCUGAGAGCUGCUCAUGAUGGGUGGUUGUGUGAGGUAAUGUUUGAUUUUCUCAAAUGCGCUCUGGCAGUUAUCCGUCCAUCUUGUCGCGUCGGCUUUCCUCAACACUAGGAAGAAAUGUUGCAGUUUGUCUGUGAAUUGGGCUAUGAAAUGUCCUAGUGCGACGAGCUUGCUGGUGAGACGCUGCAACUCCUUUUUGUUAUUGGGGGCGGGUGUUUUCAUGACUGCCUUAAUUUGAUCUGGGCUGACUUCUAUUCCUCUUUGGGUGACCAUGAACCCUAGGAAUUUGCCUACACUUAGGCCGAAGGCGUAUUUGGACAGGUUAAGCCUCAUGUCAUACCUCAUCAGCAAGUGGAAGACUUCUUGCAGGUGGUGGGUAUGUUCUUCUCUAGUUUUGCUUUUGACCACUAUGUCAUCAAUGUAUACUUCCACCGUGCGACCGAUCAAGGGCUUGAAGAUCUUUGUCAUCAGUCUUUGGUAGGUGGCGCCAGCGUUUUUGAGUCUAAACAACAUGACUCUAUAGCAAUAAAUUCGAUGUGGCGUUAUAAAGUCAGUUUUUUCCUCGUCCGCUGGGGCCAUAAGGAUCUGAUGGUAGCCGGAUAAGGCAUCUAGAAAAGAGAGCAUCCCAUGUCCGGUAGUGGAGUCCACUAUUUGGUCUAUUAGCGGCAACGAGAAACUAUCUUUAGGGCAUGCAUUGUUGAGGUUGGUGUAAUCAACGCCACCUUCCUUCAUUUUUGGGGACUACCACCACAUUUGCCAACCAUUCUGGGUACUCAACUUACCUGAUGAAUCUGGCAUCCAAUAACUUAUCCACAUCACUCUGAAUGAUCUUUUGUCUAUCCGGGUGAAAUUGCUUGACAUUUUGCUAGACAAGUCUUGAUGAGGGCAAGAUGUUAAGCCGAUGGGAGGCAACCGAUGGGUGGAAUUCAGGAAUAUCAGAGUGGGUCCAUGCGAAAACGUCUUGGUUUUGCUGGAGCGUCUCCUCGAUGCUUCGUGUCUCGUUGGGUUUCAAGAGGGAACUAGCAUAAGUGAGACGAUAUUUUCUUUCUGAGACUUGGAUGGUUUGCAAGGGAUCUGCCAUCGGGGGAUCUUUAUCCGUCGAGUACUAUAAUUGCUAUUGGUCGGGUGCAUUCACUUGCUCUGGGGGCGACUCGCGAUCUUUGCUGGACUUGGCCUCUCAUGCUAAUCUGAUAGCAUUGUCGGGCUGCCAAUUGGCUACCAUAUAAAUCAAUAUGUCCGUCUUCGGUGAGAUAGCUCACCAUUUGAUGGUACGUGGAAGGAAUAGCCUUCACGUAGUGCAACCAGGUGCGCCCCAAAAUGGCGUUGAAGGGGGAUAAAUCUUCCAUCACUGAGAACUGCACAUUGAAGGUGACUAGGCCUACUUGGACUGGUAGCACAGCGUCUCCUAGGGAGGUUGUUGAGGCUCCAUUGAAUUCUGACAAAACCCGCCUCGAGUUCUCUAGGCUGGAGGGCACGAGUCUGAUUUGUUUGACUACUGAUACUUGCAAGAGGUCCGCCGAGCUACCCAGAUCGACCAAAAUUCAUCUUACGUUGAAGUCUCCAAUCCCAAGAGAUAGGAUAAGGGCGUCUCGGUGUGGUUGCAAUAUCCGUAUGGGGUCUACUGGAGGAAAAAUGAUUGUCCCAUCUAUUGGGUGGGCGCUCUUGCUGGUUAAUCCGGGUCGGAUGGAGUUAACACGCUCGCGGACCGAAGCGGCCCGCAGCAGCCUUUGUCUCUUUCGCUUGGAGUCAUACUCCUCAUCUAGAGGCCCACCAUGAAUAUAGUUAAUCACAACCCUAGGGGCGAUCGGAGCUGAGGAGGCUCCGGAGGCUUGACUUCGGGAUGUCUCUCCUCCCUUGGCUCCUAAGCAGAUGUACUGUUUUAGGUGUUUUGCUCUUAUGAGCUUUUCCACUAAGUAAUGGAGACUACUACACUGCUCCGUAGUAUGUCCAUGCUCUUUAUGAUAAGCACAUUUCCUAUUGUGAUUUCUCUUGGUUGGGUCCUCUUUAAGCGGUUCGGGCCACCUAAAGUCGAAUAGCUCACGGAUCAUUGGGAUAAGCUUUUUGUAUGACACGGUAAGGGGUGUAAGCGGGGGUGGAUCUGGCUGACGUUGCUUACCUUGUCUGAGUUGGGUGGCCUUUGCUGGCUCGAAGGUUUGAAGCUUCUUGCCGCGUCGUUCCUGGCCGGCUAUUCGGUAACCAGGAUUUGUUGGGUGGUUGCGCAUACAUCAUCUUCCAACAUUGAGUAUUUGUUCGCGCAUCGGAACAGGUAGUCCAUAGUCGUGGGAGGUUUUUUGGCGAGUGAUUUGAAGAACGGUGUGCCUGGACAUAUGCUCGGCUUAAAAAUUCAUAGGACAGUGUCCAUGCUGUAGGAUUCUACUUGUAGUACAACUUGUCCAAAUCGCUUCACGAACUCCCUCAAGGAUUCACUUUCUUGCAUGUGAAUGUUUUGUAGGGUGCUAAUAUUCUGUUUAUGUCGUGCGGAACACAAGUAUUGUCCCACAAAGGCUUUUGAUAGAUCUCGAAAAUUAUCAACAUAAUUCAUAGGGAGUCAAUGAAACCAUAAGAGGGUCUGGCCUUGGAGGCUAACAGGGAACACCUUGCACAACAGCGCAUCAUUCCCUAUGUCGAAAGUCAUGAGUUGUCGGUAGUGCAUGAUGUGAUCAAAUGGAUCGCUAGACCCGUCAUACGCGAAAAUUUUUGGCACGAGAAACCCUUUUGGGGGCUCGUAAUUGAUAAUAUGAGAGCUAAAAAAGGUGAAGAGCAUGUCGUCCAAUUGCCUAUUAAUGGUGUGGACAUCUUUGCAAAUGUUGUUUCCCACAGACGGCGCCAAUGUUGAUGCGUGGAAGACCUAGAGGUGUUGUAGCUCCUUGAAGUACUCGCCCCCUCAACUGAGAAUGAUGCUUCCUUCCAUUCUCCUACAAAAGAUGUUCGAACAAGUGGUCCGGACACACCCUCCGAAGCUUUUGUUAGUUUGGAGGUCAAGCAUAUUGGUGUUCUUGGGCGUUUCUCAAGAAUGCUUACCUCUUUUUUACUGGGUCGUUGGGGGCCUUUUAUAGUGUCUGAAGCCCCGUCACUUUGAAAAUGGGAAGACUCUUUGACUUUCGCAAUCAUGAUGGUGCUCAGAGGGUGGUAGAGCCAUCAUUAUCCUGGAGGCGGCUGGCAGAGAUUGUUGGGGGGAUGACUUGUCGUCUCACUUGUCUUUUCACUUUGCAGGCGGUGUAGGGCAGGUUGUAGCAGGUCGUCUGAAAAGACCUGGGAAUGUCUUGUCGAGUAUGCUUUUAACGAAAUGAGUAAUGAUUGCCCACAAAAUAUGGUCAGGGAUCCUGUUUGGGACAACAACUACCGGGUCCGGACUGGUCGUCCGAACUGAGGGUAGGACGUGCCACAUGUCUGCUUAGGGGUGGUCCCUACACUUACCUCUCUAAAAAAACUCACCAUUGCUAGCAUAUUUCCACAAGUUUCAAAUGCUCAAAGACUACCGCGUCUUCCUACAACCCUCACCUUUCUUUGCAUUAAAGAUUUCUAUAAUCUGAAAUCUCUGUCCUCUCUGACUCUCCAAACCCUAACCUCACUUGAAGAGUUAUGGAUCUUAUGUUGCCCUAAGCUUCAGUUGUUUUGCCCAAGGGAAGGGCUGCUUGACACUCUUUCACUACUAUAUAUCACAGACUGCCCACUCCUCAAACAAAGGUGCUCAAAGGGGAAAUGACAAGAUUAGCCCAACAUCGCCUAUAUUCCCUAUGUGGAAAUGGAUAAUGAAAAUGUCUUUGAGCAAUAAUAAGAUGAGGGAUUGCAAAACAUAGAAACAAACACCAUUCAACCCUCACCCAUCUUUUAUUUAAAUAAGGUACGCCCAUUUUUUUUUUUUCACUCCUUAAUACCGCAUUCAAUUUCUCAUAUACGUUAUAGCAGUUUUCCCUAUUGAUUACUUGUAAGUUUCUUACUGGAAUUUUUGUUGAAAAUUUGCCUAGGAAGUGACUUUUGAAAUGGCUUGUAGCUUGGUUUUCUCUUCAAUCUGCCAUAAUUCUAGGUAUCACUAUCUCUGCCUCUCCAAUUCUAUUUAUGAAAUCUUGUCCAUAAUCUCCUUGGGGUACUCACUUUUCCUUUUCCUUUGUUCUUUUUAGUUCUUAGUGACCAUUGAAGUUGAAGAGGUGAUAUGUGAUACUUACGACUAUAAAAAGGAUAAGAGAGAAUCCAUUUAUUCCAUUCAAGGACAGGUGAAACAUUUAGCAAUAGCCACUAGUUAGUAAUGUCUUAUUCUGAUUUUUAUUCCAUCAAUUGUACUAUUCAAUUGCAUUUUUAAAUAUAAUAUUCUGAUUUCCAGAAUAGUGUUCAGGCUGACAUACAGAGGAGGCUAUACUAGAAGCAAAUGUAGUUUAUUAAUAUUCAAUUGUUGUGGUAAUUAGAUGGCUUUAUCAAUUCCUUUGUGCAGCCAUGAUUUUUUUAGUUCAACUUAUUAGAUAUCAUCAUAACUACUAUACAGUGUUUUGUCAUCUUGUAAUCAAAUUUUUACAUUUAUGAUGCAGGUUCUCAAAGAGGAUGGAACUCCGAUUAUUAUAUCAAAGACUUCAAAGUAUGGAUGAAUGCAGCUAGUUCCGGUUAUCCCAUGCUGCUCUUUUUUUAUUUAUUGUUUUUGAGUGUCAACAUAGGACAAAGAAUAACCCAGCAAGACUGUAGUGAGUGACCGUCAUCUAUAUAUUUUGUUUAUUCGUUUUUCUAUUUUAAUGACUAAUUUUCUUGAAUUUUCUUCUUGUCCACUGGAUGUUCAUUCCCAACAUGCAGUUCUUCCUCUUUCUCUCCUUAAUACCACUUUUUAUUUCCCAUACACAUGUUAUUUCAAUUUGUUGCCAUUUAGCUUGGCUACCUCUUAACAGUAAUAAUAAGUCUUACAAUUUUUAUGUACCAAAUUGUUUACAUUGAUGAUUGAUUUGUGCCCAGUUGGUGUACCUUGAUUUCGGUCCUCAGAUGGGAGUAAUCAACAAAAUUUAUAACCUAUUACACCAUGUACUAGGAUAGCCUCAGCUAGCAUAGCAUAGUGGCUCUAGGAUCGUUCACUGGGAUGGGUUUUCACUUUACAAUUGAUAUUAGUUCAAAGCUGAGUUGGUGCUUUUUCAUUUCAAGGUUAGCUCUAAACGAAAACAUAAAGAUGUUUGAAAAGGUUGGUUUUUAAGUGAAACAAAAAAUAAAGUAACGGAAAUUACUUACUAAGAAAAGCGUUUCUUGGAGUUUUAGGAUCACUAGGGUCAGGCUCCUCAUGUAAAAACAGAGUUCCGGUCACUUGAGUCUUUUCCUCGCGUUGGGGAUUUAACAUAUAGUUAUUUCCCGAACCGGUGUGGUACAGAUGCUUCCCUUUAAUGGGUUCAAACACUAAAUCCCUCUCACUGAUGCAUCUUGCAAUGGUUCAUACCUCUCACCUAGCAUUGGCCAUUCAAGAUGAUCCUUAACCUUGGAUUACCCGUCAAAAGCUCGCAAGAGAUAACUAAUGGAUGUCUCCUUGGAGUCCAAAAGCUUACCAAGUGUUGGCUAUCCUAGAAAAUCCUACCUUUAAACCACCUCCCAAAGGCUCGCAAGAGGUAAACUAGUGCAUCUCAAUGGACGGAGAUCACUUGCCUUACCAAGUGUUGGCCCAGGUGAUUUCAAGGUGUUUUAAGUUAACUAAAAAGAUAAAAACCAUUAACAGGUUACACUUUCUCUUCAUUAGUAGCUGAAACAACAAAACUCUCAAUUCUUGCAUUCGGCACCUUACCCAGCUACCUUAGCUCCAAGAGACGAAAAGUCUAGCCACCCAUGCUCUGAGGAAACAUCCUCAGAGUUUGAUUUGCUAGAAAUAAAAAUAACAAGAAAACAAAAAUAUGAAGUAAAAGCAGAGCAAGUGCUCUGUAGAAUAUAUAUCUUACUAUCAUCGAUUACAUAUCUGAUAUAUAUCAUCGAUUCUUUACAUUGGUUCAAAGAUAUAUAUAGAGAAGAUAUUUUCUAAGAAAUAUCCCAAUAAUAUCUUUGACUGAUUACAAGGAGAAAAUAGAAAUUUACACAAAAUAUCUUGAGAAAAAAUCUAACUUAGUCGGUGGCAAAUAUCUGAGUUUACACAGGUGGAUUUCGCAAGUUUGAAUUGUCCAUUUUGCAAGUUUGAACUUUGAUUUUGCAAGUUAGAAUUUGUGAUUUCACAACUUGGAGGUGAUUCCGCAACUUGGAGAUGAUUUGCAACUUGUUUCGCAGCUUGGAGGUGAUUUCGCAACGUGGUUCGCAGCUGCGAAGAUGGAGUUUCAACUUGUGAAGUGGCACACGUGUGCUAGGAGGUGGUUUCGCAGCUGCGAAACACCUUGCGAAAUUUCGCAAGUGGAUUUCAUUUCGCAGUUGCGAAAUGGGCUUUGGGCUGCGAAAUUUUCGCACAACUUGAUGCAGUUGUCUUCAAAUGGCCAUAACUUCUUCGUUUCAACUCCAAUUUGUGUACCGUUUGAAGCGUUGGACUUCUGACUUCCCAAGAUUCGAAACGACAUAUAGUAUACAUGAAAUGGACUCCAGAAAGUACUCGAAAUGUGUCCAACAGUUGCUAUCCUCUUGAAUUUCUUCAUGUUAGAUUUCUCUCCUUUUCCUCCUUGCAUUCUAGAUUUCUCUCCAAAGCUUGAAUUAUUCAUGUAAAUGAGCUUCCAUUUGCUUUUCCAUGGAUUAUAUAAAGCUCUCCCUCAUCUUAGAUUGCUUUGGUGAUCAAAAAGCUAUCAAAAACACCAAAACUUAACACAAUUUGAUUAGAAAUGAUUGGAAGGGUCCUUAACAUGCCAAUUGAGUUAAAAGGUAAUAACUACUACUCAAAAGUGUUUAAAAGAGUUAAUUACAAGCUAUAAAAUAGCACUUUUUGAGUAGUAAUCAAUGAUGCAGGUGUCAAAAUGAUGGGUUCAAAGUAUCAUAGGAGGUACAUGUGGUCUUUUUAUUGUGCUGACUGAUUGGAAUUUUCCUCCUACAUCAAAGGCUCAUUGGCACUUUAUUACCAUUUUUUUAGUAAGCCAAAAAGAGAAUAAAAUAAAAUCUACCAAAAUUGUGGUCCAUGACUUUCAUUUAUAUAGUUGAUUCUACAUAUUAUUGUGUUCUAAGGAGUAUCUUUGUAAAAUUUUCUUCCUUUUAUGACUUAUGAUAGAUUCUACAGUGCUUUAUAAAGGUCCUCUGAAUCAAGAUUUCAUCUGCAUCUUUAAUAAAUAAGAACCUAUUUUCUUCCCCUCCUGGGGAAGUUGCUCAUAACACUAUAUGAUCUUUAUAUAUCCUUUGAAAGUUGAGAACCAUCCAAUGCAUGAAACUUGUCUUUCACAAGAAACCAAGUGGUCUUUUCUUUGUGAUUGUGAUAGCCCAAAACUACCCAAUGGAAUUAUGACAUAGCAACAACAGCAACUUGUAUUUGUUCUAAUAUAUCCAACUUGUUUCCAAAAUGUGAGCUACUAUCAUAUUUACAUAUGCCUAGUAGUACAGAUUUGAGCAAAAAACAAAAUGGUUUUGCGUCCAAUUUCUAAAGUUUUUAAUUUGAUGAAACCAUAUCUCUUCUUUUGGAGUUUGUAGGUUUUAAAGGUGCAUGUCCUAGGUGCCAGAGUGUAAGUAUUUUUCUUCUUAUUGAAGGGAAUUUAGGUUUUACAUUUAGAGGCUCCAAGUCUAUAGUGAUUGUGGCAAAUGCCUGUUGCACUUGUUAUUUUUGUUUCUAUUGUUGAUGUUGAGGGUGUAGAAAGGAGAUAAACAAAGCUGAAUUGGUGCCUUUUCAUUUCAAGGUUAGCUUUAAAAAAAAACAUAAAGAUGUUUGAAUGAAAAAGGUUUGGUUUUAAACUAACCAAAAAUAGUAACUGAUUUUACUUACAAAGAAAAGUGUUUCUUGGAGUUUCAGAUCACUAGGCUCAGAUUCCUCAUACAAAAAGGAAAGUUCUAGUCACUUGUUUCUUUUCCUUGCAUUGGGGAUUUAACAUAUAGUUAUUUCCCGAACCGGUGUGGUACAGAUGCUUCCCAUUAAUGGGUUCAAACACUAAAUCCCUCUCACUGAUACAUCUUGCAAUGGCUCAUACCUCUCACCUAGCACUUGCCAUUCAAGGUGAUCUUUAACCUUGGAUUUCCCGUCAAAAGCUCGCAAGAGAUAACUAAUGGAUGUCUCCUUAGAGUCCAAAAGCUUACCAAGUGUUGGCUAUUCUAGAAAAUCCUACCUUCAAACCACUUCCCAAAGGCUCGCAAGAGAUAAACUAGUGUAUCUCAAUGGAUGGAGACCACUUGCCUUAUCAAGUGUUGGCCCAGGUGAUUUAAAGGCAUUUUAAGUUAACUAAAAAGAUAAAAACCAUUAACGGGUCACACUUUCUCUUCAUUAAAAACUAAAACAACAAAACUUUCAAUUUAUGCAUGUGGAAACUUACCCAGCUUUCCUCACUCCAAGAGACGAAGAGCUUAGCCUCUCAUCCUCUGAGGAAAAAUCCUCAAAGUUUGAUUGGCUAGAAAUAAAAAAAACGAGAAAACAAAAAUAUAUAUGAAAAGCAGAGCAAGUGCUCUAUAUUUUACUUCCUUGCAAAACUGUACAAGGGAUAAAUCUCUGAGAACAAGCUCCCGAGAUAUUCUAUAUUAUGAUCGAUUAUAUGAUCGAUAUAUGUUUGAUAUCUUUUGUAAAGGAAAUUACAAACUAUAUAUAAGGGUUUAUUCACCCUUUUUCCAAACUUAAUAACUAAGGAAUCCUAUAAUUGGUGGGUUACAAGGAGACUUUGGGGAUUUAGACAUAAAAUAUCUAAAGCAAAAUAUCUCAAGAUGUCGGUCGCAAAUAUUGGGAAGCUUCAGGAGAACACCGCGACACUGUGCAAAAUAUCUCAAGAUGUCGGUCGCACAUAUCGGGAAACUUUAGGAGAACACUGCGGCACUGUGCAAAAUGGCUGCGAAACUCUCCAAGUAGGCGUUAUCAGAUGAUCCGGAUAUGUCCGUUCGAGGAAGUUGAAACGCCUUCUUCUCCCAUCCGACGUCAGGCACCGGAUAUGAAAUAUCCGGAUGGAAUGUCGGCGGAGCAGAAUUCUGGAUGUGAGACAUCCGGGUGGAAUGUCGGCCGGACAUAAUGUGGUUGUGAUACAUCCGGAUAAGGUAGAACGUUGGCCGGGCAGAUUUCGGAUGUAAGACAUCCGGGUGGAAUGUCGGCGGAGCAACUCCAUCUGGAUUCUCUAAGAGGAUAUGUGGCGUGCUCCCCUAUCCGGACUCCCUCAGGGAGAAGCACACGCCACUCGCGAUCAUCACACCCCGGACGAUAGCAUAUCCUAUCCAGAUAUGUUGUCCGGAUGCCUCCGAUGGUGUGUCCGGACGCCCUGUCCGGACAUCUUUGCCAUGGAUUCCAAAGAACUCUCCUCAAUCUCGGAUUGCUUUGGUGAUCAAAAAGCUAUCAAAACACCAAAACUUAACACAAUUUGAUUAGAAUUGAUUGCAAGGGUCCUUAAUAUGUUAAUUGGGUUAAAAGGUGAUAACUACUACUCAAAAGUGUUUAAAAGAGUUAAUUACAAGCUAUCAAAUAGCACUUUUUGAGUAUUAAUCACUCCCCCCAACCGAGAUAUUGCUAGUCCCUUAACAAUGAAGGAGAGAAAAAUAAAAAUAAAAAGUAGUAUAAUUUACAACAUCAUGCUGAUCAAAAAACAAUUUCCAAGUGGCAUGAUGAUCUAACUUUCACAAGGAACAUUAAAGAAAUAAAACUCAAACUUCAACAAGAGUUAUCAAAUAACUUGUCUAAUCACAAUUCUUAAAGAGAAGGCAUUAUGCAAAUUUAAGCUUUAAAAGAGUUUCCACUCCCAAAGGGUCAAACCUUACUCUUCCACAAAAAUCUAAGUGUUACUUAUUAGUUUCCGAAUAUAGUAUGUUGAACUAAUCUCUUCCCCCAACCUAGUUCUUUUUCAAAGCUGAUCAACCUCCAAUAGGCUAAGAACGCACCUUUUUUUUCACAAUUUUUUUUUUCUUUGUAGGAGUAUAAGGCUUAAAGGUAUUCUUUUCUAAAUUGUCCAUGUAACGGGGAUCCAUCAAUGACUCCCAACCAAUUAAGGUUUAGGGCAUCAAGUUUUAAGGAUUUUUCAACCACUAACUCCUCAGAUUUUACCCCGGACUUUUGAGAAUGAAUUUUAAUACCCAAGCACCUACAGUAUGUUAAACUCCACCUAUUCACCCUUGUAACGAGCAUUGAGGUCGGUGACUCCCAACCAAUGAAGGCUUAGGGCACCAGGUUUUAAAGAUUUUCAUCAUAUACCCCUCAGACCUUGCUCGGGUUUCAAGGCAAGCAAACAUUUUUUCUUUCUUUCUUUCUUUUUUUUUUUUUUCAAAGACUCAUUGGCUUGUUAUAAGGUGUCCCAACACUAUUAAAUGAAGUCAAAGGUACCAAAUCUAAAAUUUUCCUAAGUCAAGAGGGAAAUAGUUUUUCAUCUUAUACUCGGAACCUAGUGUGCACAGUGUGUGAAUAGCUUAAAAUGGAAGAACUGAGGUUGAAUUCAAUAGAAGUUUCAACAAUUCAUCAACUUUAAUAAGCAUAAUACAAACUCUAAGUCAAGUAAAAAGACAAAAAUUCAAUUUCUCCCUUUUCAUUUUGAAAAUUUUUCCUUAAUAACCAUGGAGAGUAGAAUAAAAAAAAACUUUAAAAAUUUUAAAAUUAAGCAAAAAGCAACUAAAUUACCAAAAUAACUUAGCAUUAAUAACAAAACUUCCUUCCUCAACUCUUUCUCCCUCCAACCAAGCUGAACAUUGUCCUCAAUGUGACAAAAGCGAUUGAAAAAUAGGGAGGAUGUGGUACCUCCUGAGUGACAUGGAGUCUGAGUCAUAUAGGAGAAACCACAUGUUUCAAAGAAAACAUAUGAGUUAGUGAGUAGAGGAAAUAAUAAAAUUCCAAGUUUAAACAAAAAAUGAUGUCUAUAUAUGAUGCAUCAUCAGUAAUACAUCCAAUCCCAGAAUAUAAGACAUCAAAACAUGGAAUUAUCUAUACUAAUAUAAUAUGUAAAGACAAAAAAUAAAGAGAUGAUCAAGUAAUGGUAAGGUCCUGUGGAGCUGAUGUAUCUGUGGUGGCCUCUUGAGUGGGUUGGAUCAGGACUUUGGCCUCUAUUUUGAUAGUCUCCUUAAAUGGAAUAGUCUUCUCAACUGGAGCUCUCAGCUGGAGCUAUGGGCUUUGAUGGUUUUAGGAGGUAAGAAAUGGAGUGAGAGGCUUGGUGUGUGUGAUCCUAGGGUGCGCGGGGCUCUCUCCUUGCUUUUUGAGCUCCUCUUGAUUUUGAUCAUCCAAAAACCUAUAUUACAUCAAAACAAAUUAGAAUUAAAGUAUUGAAAUCAAAAUUAAAGCAUUGAAAUCAAAAUUUAAAACAAGUAAAAAAAAUAAAACAAAAAGGUAUGGACUAGCUAGUCUUUAAAAAGACUAAGUCUAUCAAAAAAUUGGAUCCUGAUUUAGCUUGCCCGGAUCCCAUAUGAAGUUUGCAUCCCUCACUUGAGAUUUGGUUUGUAUGAUUUUCCCAUACAAAGCUUGGGGGAAAAGCGGAUGCAUGUGUUUCUUCAUCGUUUCUUCCUUGAUGACUAUCCUCUGUGGUUCUUCAUCUAUAUAGUCAUCUUUCUCUAUACUUUUCCCCUUUCUCUUUCCUUUGAUUUCCUCCCUCUUUUCUUUCUCUGUUUCACUCUCUUCCUUAUGCUCUAGCUUGCAUGUGGGCAGAUCAACCUCUUUAAACUUCAGCCACAUAACUCAUGAAGUUCAUGGCUUCCUCUGCUAUCUCGUAUUCAAUAUGGCAUGCACAACUAGCAAUUUGUGAAUUAAAAACAGAGAAAACAAAAGAAAAAAAAAGAAAAAAAAUCCAAAGAAAAAAGAAAAUUAUUAAGACUAACUAAAAAUUAAAUAAAAACUAUACUAAAAUAUGAACAAAGAAAGAUAAACAAAUAAAAAGAGUUAGUAAAAGAAAAGAAAAGUCACCAAACUUGUGAUGAAGAUCACAAGUACUCCGAAAAGGUCAUAUCACUGUAAAGUGGCACCAUCCCUGGCAACGGCGCCAUUUGAUUCGUUCCCAAUUGGUGUCUCAACUGAUUCAUGUCCUCUCAAUGGUCCCUCACAGUGGUACCAUUUGAUUCGUGUCCAGCUGGUGUCCCUUGAUUGUGGUCCUCAGAAAGGAGUAAUCAACAAAAUUUAUAACCUAUUACACCAUGUACUAGGGUAGCAAAGACAAAGCUACUAUAACAUAGUGGCUCUAGGAUCGUUCACUGGGAUGGGUUUUCACUUCGCAAUUGAUAUUAAUUCAAAGCUGAAUUGGUGCCUUUUCAUUUCAAAGUUAGUUUUAAAAGAAAACAUAAAGAUGUUUGAAUGAAAAAGGUUUGGUUUUAAACUAACCAAAAAUAGUAACUGAUUUUACUUACAAAGAAAAGUGUUUCUUGGAGUUUCAGAUCACUAGGCUCAGAUUCCUCAUACAAAAAGGAAAGUUCCGGUCACUUGUUUCUUUUCCUCGCAUUGGGGAUUUAACAUAUAGUUAUUUCCCGAACCGGUGUGGUACAGAUGCUUCCCAUUAAUGGGUUCAAACACUAAAUCCCUCUCACUGAUACAUCUUGCAAUGGCUCAUACCUCUCACCUAGCACUUGCCAUUCAAGGUGAUCUUUAACCUUGGAUUUCCCGUCAAAAGCUCGCAAGAGAUAACUAAUGGAUGUCUCCUUAGAGUCCAAAAGCUUACCAAGUGUUGGCUAUUCUAGAAAAUCCUACCUUCAAACCACUUCCUAAAGGCUCGCAAGAGAUAAACUAGUGUAUCUCAAUGGAUGGAGACCACUUGCCUUAUCAAGUGUUGGCCUAGGUGAUUUAAAGGCGUUUUAAGUUAACUAAAAAGAUAAAAACCAUUAACGGGUCACACUUUCUCUUCAUUAAAAACUAAAACAACAAAACUUUCAAUUUAUGCAUGUGGAAACUUACCCAGCUUUCCUCACUCCAAGAGACGAAGAGCCUAGCCUCUCAUCCUCUGAGGAAAAAUCCUCAGAGUUUGAUUGGCUAGAAAUAAAAAGAACGAGAAAACAAAAAUAUAUAUGAAAAGCAGAACAAGUGCUCUAUAUUUUACUUCCUUGCAAAACUGUACAAAGGAUAGAUCUCUGAGAACAAGCGCCCGAGAUAUUCUAUAUUAUGAUCGAUAUAUGAUCGAUAUAUGUUCGAUAUCUUUUGUAAAGGAAAUUACAAACUAUAUAUAAGGGUUUAUUCACCAUUUUUCCAAACUUAAUAACUAAGGAAUCCUAUAAUUGGUGGGUUACAAGGAGACUUUGGGGAUUUAGACAUAAAAUAUCUAAAGCAAAAUAUCUCAAGAUGUCGGUCGCAAAUAUCGGGAAGCUUCAGGAGAAUACCGCGGUACUGUGCAAAAUAUCUCAAGAUGUCGGUCGCACAUAUCGGGAAGCUUCAGGAGAACACCGCGGCACUGUGCAAAAUGGUUGCGAAACUCUCCGGGUAGGCGCUAUCAGAUGAUCCAGAUAUGUCCGUCCAGGGAAGUUGAAACGCCUUCUUCUCCCAUCCGGCUUCAGGCGCCGGAUAUGAAAUAUCCGGAUGGAAUGUCGGCGGAGCAGAAUUCCGGAUGUGAGACAUCCAGGUGGAAUGUCGGCGGAGCAGAAUUCUGGAUGUGAGACAUCCGGGUGGAAUGUCGGCUGGACAGAAUGGCGGCUGUGAUACAUCCGGAUAAGGUAGAACGUUGGUCGGGCAGAUUCCGGAUGUGAGACAUCUAGGUGGAAUGUCGGUGGAGCAACUCCAUCCGGAUUCUCUAAGAGGAUAUGUGGCGCGCUCCCCUAUCCGGACUCCCUCAGGGAGAAGCACACGACACUUGCGAUCAUCACACCCCGGAUGAUAGCAUAUCCUAUUCGGAUAUGUUGUCCGGAUGCCUCCGAUGGUGUGUCCGGACGCCUUGUCCGGACAUCUUUGCCAUGGAUUCCAAAGAACUCUCCUCAAUCUCGGAUUGCUUUGGUUAUCAAAAAGCUAUCAAAACACCAAAACUUAACACAAUUUGAUUAGAAUUGAUUGCAAGGGUCCUUAAUAUGUUAAUUGGGUUAAAAGGUGAUAACUACUACUCAAAAGUGUUUAAAAGAGUUAAUUACAAGCUAUCAAAUAACACUUUUUGAGUAGUAAUCAUAAGUACAGCUAGUUUGUGAACAGCCAAUCAUUGCACUAUAAAAAUUGGAUAGGUUCGAUCUAUGAUCAUUGGGGCCUCCUAAAAAGAUCUACUAAAUUCAUCGAGUGUUCCAAAUGAUCAAAACGACCGGUUAUUAAUGGAAUUCCUUGUUGGCUCUCUAUAAAAUACUCGUUUGGCUAAGGACUUCCAAACACAUCAUAAGCUAAACUCAUGCUGACGAAUAACCAACCCGCAAUGAAUAGGGAAGGUAUAGUAAUGCUAUGAAUGACCUAGUAUCUAAUAUUGGUAAUAAUAUCAGCAAAAGAACGUUCUCCUGUGCUUCCAAACAUGCCAAGCUCCACAUAUUCUUGUACAUUCAAAAGACGAUCGAUUUCAUAAAAGAUGAGAUCAAUAAAUAGAAAUUCACUGAAAAUGGAUGUUUGUGAGAUCGUCAAUAUUGUAUUGAGGGUGUCUUUAGAGUAUACUAAAUCAGUAUAGCUAUCCUUCUACCAUAGCAACGCAAUUUCAAAAACUACAACAUUUGAAUAGCUUGUAUUCAGGUGGACAAGAACUAUAGCACUUCUCUCAGAAACAUGUAUGUUCUUUCUUCAACUCUUACUCUAUUGCAUGAAGUUGCAAUACCUGCCAUGACUAGUCAUCUCUUAUUUAUUCUAACGGAGAAAUAGGUUUUGGUGUAUGCAGAGACAACAUACAAUUGUCGUACCUCUUGAUUUUUAAUCAUGGCAAGCAUCUGGAAUUGUCAAGCUGAUUUAUGGUUAACCUUGCAAGGACAUCUAGUGCAAGAGAUUCAGAAUUAUACCUACCUAAUCCAUCUCCAUUUCUUUAGAACAACUAGAUACUAUGACCGAAAUCUCACGUAAGGUGUCAGGUUCAUGUUGGGGCUCAUUCACGAGAUUAAAAUGAAUAUAGCAAGGGAUGUUCUUGAUCUACCACCACCCAUGUUGUCAAGUUGUUCAAUGCUCUCGUGUUGACCAUGGCCAUAGUCACAGUUGUGUGUCCUUUCCCGAAAGAAAAAGUCAUUUUGAAACUUUUGUCAACAACAGAACUUUCAUGUAUCUACUUUCAGGUACCCACAAAAAAUUGAGUCCAGCUUAGCAUCCAAUAAAGAAAAAGUAAUAAUCUGAACAAUGGAACAAGUGCUUUCCUUACUCUUUUUCGGUAGGAACCUAGUUUAUUUCCAAUAAAUUGAAGAAAAAACUAAUUCCAAACAUGGAAGCCAGAUACUUAAUUUCUGUUUAACUAGUGGAACAAUUCGAAUGUAUUUACAGCUUUAGCAUUUGAGAAGUUUAACAAAAUCACUAAUUAACCCCCAAACCUCCACCCACCACAGAGAUAUGUUACAAAGAUUCCUCUACUCUGCAUUGUAACAAAGUGUAAGGGGUUUUGUCCAUUCUUCAUCAUCAAAUGAAACAACCCUUUUCAAUAAAAGAAUAAGAGAAAUUGAGAGUUAAGACCAUUUUCUUUCAUUGUACUCUCUAUUCCUCUGUUUCUUCCUCUCUUAGUCAAGCCAAACAGUCUGUGGUUUCUCCGUUUCUUCUUCACUCCACAUCAAAAAGUAGCAUCUUGGGUUCUCCCAUCUCUUUAUCCCCUUAUGAAGACACAUAAUUUAAUGUAUUGUUGUCUUGGAUUCCUCCUAGUUAAAAGGAAGCUUGAAAUAUCUCCACUGCUUCUAUGUUUCUUUGAGUCAAGGGAAAGAGUCUUGCUUCUCUUUGUUUAUUUGAGAUGCUAGAAGAGGUUUGUAUAGAACUAAUGUGAUGUCAGAGAGGUAGGUAGUAUCUGAAUUCCCUCUAGUCAUGCAAAGUAGCCUUAGAGAUUUUUGGAGGCUUGGGUAUUAUAGUAUAUUAAGAUAUUCAAAAUGCAUUAUUGCACAUCUUCUUAACUUCCGGAAACUGAACUUGUUUUUCACAAUCAUAAAUAUGGAGGUAUUUAAUUAUGGCAGGUGAUAUACCUCUCAGAAAUUGAUGUGAAAAUGUGGAGACUAAGGGAUGUGCACUUAGUUUUGCGAAUCAAACAACCCUCAUUUAGUAUAAACCACAAAUUUUGGCAACUCGUGAUCCACAAUUUAGAGCAUGGGAGGAAGCAGGCCUGUUGGAAAGAUAGGAGGAGACAAAAACAUGCGAGAAUUCCAUGGAUGAGUUGCUCUUAUGAAUUAUUCAGAAUCCAUGAGAAAAUUCAAAGCUUUUUCUUUUUUCUUUUUUUUUUCCUUUUUUUUCCUUUACAUAGUUAAUCAUCUUGUUUGAUGUUUGCCCUAUAGUUGGUAGGCUUCCUUUGAGUGGAAGCAAGGACUCUACACUAAAGGUAAAUUGUGGGAACUAUGUCUUUUUGUGGUAUUGAUGGGGUUAUCAUAUAGUUGAUUGAUUCUAUUGCUUCCUUAUAACUUUUCAAGGCUCUAAAAAAAAAAAAGAACAAAGGUAGACCUAGGAAAAAUAUUCUUCCUAAUUUCAGUUACUCUUUUUAUAUGAACUCUUUAUUUUGGUAAAUUACAGUUAGAGAUGGUCAUAUAGUUGAACUAGGUUUGCUUCCUCUCCUUUCCCCUUGAGGAAAAAUUGUAUCAUUGCUUAGUUUUGACAACUCUGUUUCUUUUGAUCAUUGUGGAAUAGCAUCACUAUAAGAUGUACAAGAAACGUGUUGUGGUGCAUUAUUCCUUUCUCUACCACCCAAAAUCUUCUUUCCACAAUCAUAAAUAUCGAAGUGUUUAAGCAUUAGGUAAGACAUCUCUUGAUAAUGAUGUGAGAGAUAUAGACAAGUAAUGUUACUAAAUAACAAGAAUAUGUAUAAAAAAAAAAAAACAGAAUAAGAAUACACAUAUUUAUGUGAAAAACCUUAGACGGGAAUCACCAUGAGUAGAGGAGAAGAAAAUUCACUAUAUUAAAAAAUUGAUACAAAAGAGGAGAGAUGCGAGCGACUACUUUAUAAGCAUAGACAUCAUAGCCCUAAUCUUAUACAUAAUUGCAAAUAUAUAUGUGUGUGUGUGUGGGGGGGGGGGGGGGGGAAGGGGAGAGAGAGAGAGAGAGAGAGGAAAGUAAUAAACAUCAUAACCCUAAAUCCUAUUGGCCCAAUCCCUCCGCUACCACCACAGACUCUCCAAAAAUCUCACAUAUUUUUCUUCACCACAUAUGUCGCAUCACGGGCUUUUUGGGUAAGACUAAAUAGAAUUCGAGUUACCAAACUCUAACAAACAACAUAUCAGUAUUCACAAAAAGUGAUGUUCUACUUUUUCACUUUACAACAUUCAUUUAGUUUGAACGCCAGAUUCAGGCAACUCAAAAUCUCUGCCUUCAUUAGGAUUGUAGGAAGUUGGCUUCUUGGAAAGACAUGAAAAUGGGGCAUUUAGAAAUAUAGAAGAAUCCCAAAGGCCAGUUGCUAUUUUUGAAUCAUUCCAAUCAAUAACAACUCCAAAGAUAUAUACAAAUUUGUCCCUGGGAAAGAGAUGUUUCCUGGGCAUGUAACCAUCUCUUUAAUAGACUCAGGUUUAUGCACCCUCUUGGUGAUUUCUUAUAUAUUGUAGUGAACCUGUCACACGUCAAACCCACUACAAGGGCAUUACAGUCAUUUCACACCUCAAGCCUAAAGGUUCAAAGUGGAAACAAUACAAACAUUCGUAUUGUAACUAGAAAUUUUCCAAUUACCAAAUUCCUCUUUAGAGUAGUAGGACAAAAUUCUAAAAUCUCUAAGUAUCAACUUAAAAAAAAAAAAAAAAAGCCUAAUAGAUCAACCAAAGUGUUAUUGUCCAAAUAACUCCAAACUCAAAAUAAUUUAAAUGAGAAUUAAAUUUUAACAUUUAAACAAUGUCUAAAAUAAAAAAGAGUUUAAACAAAUAUCCUAUUAAAGCCAAAUUUCCCUCCUAAUGAUCACUCAUCGCUUGAACUGAGGUUACAUGAAAGAUUAUCAACAAAGGGGGAUGAGCUUAAAGCCUAACAAGAAAUAUUAAUACAGUUUCAUGAAUCAAACAUUUUCAAUCAUCCUUACAAAUAGAAGAUAUAACAUAUACUUAUUUUCAUAAAAAACUUUUGAGUUCAAAAUGCUAAUACAUUCAAACUUUUCAACAAAACCUUCUCAUAUUCAUUUCAAAACCAAAUCAAAUACAUUCAAAAUAUCUUUACUCAGGUUAUCAAAUGACAAAUGAUGCCCAAUUAGGCGGGACUUCACAAUUGAGCAACUAGUUUCAAAUUUAUUCCAUUUAAGGUGAACAAAACCAAAUGUCAACAAUUAUAACUUGUUGACUAGGGUCAUAUAAUCCAAAGUCAAACACUUUAUUUCAUUAAUUCAAACUUACAAAACAAAACAUCGUAUCUCCUCAAUUUUUCUUUUUUCAUAAACAAAGAAAAUGCUCAAAUAUACUUUUCAUACAAAACAUAUAUUUGAUCCAUGCGUAAAGAUAAAAAUAAUAUUUUUACACAUUUCAAAAUAUAAUAUAAAAAUAAAAUUAUUUUCUUUUACAAAAAUCUGCAUUAAUUUCCCUUACCUCAAAGAAGUACUCAAAAACCUUGAAGUAUUUAACCCCGAAGAAUUUCGUCUCAAAGAACUUAUUUCAAACCUAACAAAAAAAAAAAAAGACAACUAUUACUAUUAACUAUUUAUCUAAAUUUAUGGGUUUGAGAACCCUAAUAAUUUUCUAUAUUAUGUCACCUAUUAUUUUUAGUAGGAAUUUUCUUAACUAAGUCGACAUACUUUUUACAAGCUCUUCUUAAGCUUUGAGUGGUUCAUAGUUUUUCUUAUGUUUAGUUUUACAUCAUUUUGGUGAAAAGUGCAAGAGAAAGAACCAUAUAAAACCACAACUCACUUUUGGAUGCUGAAUCUACAAAAUAUAAAUUGAAAAAAAAUAAUAUAUUAGGAUAAAUAAUAAUUUAGAAAACAACUCCACAAAUGAAAUAUCAAGUAAAUGCAAAUUUAAUAUUUUAAAAGCUUAAUAAACUCAAUUAAAGAUAUAACCACAUGAUAUACAAACUUAGGGAAACUUAUGACUACCACUAAUUUCAGAUGUCUAAAAUUUAUAUAUAUCCUAGACAACAUUUUGAUAUGUAAACUAAUACGUAAAUUUUUUAAAUUUUAAAAAGAAAAUUUGGCAGCCAAGCUAGAAAUUUAGCACGUUCCACUAAUAUAAAGAAAAAUAAAUUAACUAGAUGCCUUGAUGCAUUGCUCUACCACACUAAUUAAUAGGAUUUAGAUACUACAUAUUCAAUGUUGUCUAAAAAGUCAACAUAAAUAAUAUAAGAGGGAAUUAUUUGAGCUAAUUUUCUCAAGAAAAUAAUUACUUUGGUGAUAGCUACAUAUUAGCUUAUUUUUAUGAUAUGAUGUAUCAAUUAAUAAUUGUCUUCAUUGACCAAGAUAUUGAGCACGAUUUCAAUGUAUUGGUCGAUAUUAUCCAUGUUUAUUUUAUUGAAUGUCAAUUCAAUACCUUAUAAACUAAACAACCAAACAAUUAAUAAGUGUAAAAAGAAUUGAUAUUGGGAAAUCCAAGCCUAGGAAGUUUAAGGGGAAGUGAAGUAAAAUAGCCUUGACAAAGAAAAAAAUUCAAAGAAAUUGGUAUAAUAUUGCCAUGUCCCUCGACUUGGAUUUUCAAGACCUAGAAACAUGGUUAGCUCCUGUAAAAAUUUUCAUUUCCAUGCUCUUUUAUCACACUUUCCCUUCGAUGUGACUAUUUCAAUAUCCUUUAUUUUUUAAAAAUAUUUUUACUCAAUAAGUGAAAAGAAUGGGAUAUUGUCUAUUUUACUUUGCUUAGUUCAAUGUUCAUUCCCAAGAAGUGCUUAUUCUUUAUACUCAAUAUCCUCACUAUGAAUUAGUUCUACUCCAGAAAUUACUUACUGGUUGUAAUAUUUCAGGUGCGCUUCUACCCAUCACUUUUAGCAAAUGUGAUUUUCUAGAGUAAUGAGCUUAAAAGCCUACUACAUCAUUCAAGAAGAAUACCCAAACAAACCAACAUAGUCAUAAGGCACCAUAACAUGACAUACAGUAAUUAGCUUUAUAUUAGUAACUUUUGCAUAGUUAACCUAAAAUAUAUUGCUCAUGUCAUGCUUGAUAUAAGGAGAGCAACUGGACUUUAUGAAUUAGCCAUCAAUUCCAAUUCAAUAGUAAGUUGAGGGAAUGCAUCCCUUCUGGCAGUGAUUUCAAUUGGGGGCAUUCAAAAAUCUAGUCUUUCCCUAAUAUCCUUCAUUCUAUGAUUCAUCCAGACCUAAAAAGCACCCAGCAUGUCUGUCUUUCUCCACAAGUCCUCCGUUGCUAAGUCAUCAACAUGCUAUAAAACAUCUUUAAGCUUAUGUACCCAAGUUGUUACUGUUGCUCCUCUUCGGCAUCAGCAAGUACAAAUUUGAAGGAGGACAGUGUGUCCUUAUGCUUCAUGAACUCAUCUUGAACCAUACAUCUCUACAAAAACAAAAUACCCUAACUUCAUCAAAAGAUUGUCAAUAAUAUCACUGAAUGAAAUUUGUUCAGCCAUCUUUCAAAGGUCUAAGGGAAAAUGAAAGCAGUUUUAGCAACAGAAAAAAUGAGAAAAGCCAAGUAAGGACUAAAGGGUCUGAAUAAACUUGGGUGUGUUUGCUCUGUUCAAUUUAAGGGUCUCAAACGGGCCGGAUCAGGCCGGAGGAGUAAGGCCCAUGGCCCAGCCCGGGGGCGGGCCACUGAGCCCGUUGACUGGUCAACGGGCUGGCCGAGUCGGGCCCUUGGUAAAUCUAAGGCCCGUGGCCCAGCCUGUGGGCCCUCAAGCUGGGCGGGCUUGGCGGGCUGGGCUGGGUGGGCUUGGAUGGGUAUUGGGUAAAAAUUAAAAUACUUUUGAGUUUUGAUCCAUAAGCAUUCAAGGAGAGCUAGCCACCAACUGAGUUGACCCUCUUUUAUGUAACUUUUUUGCAUUAGUUAUAUAUAUAUUAGAAAUGUUGUAUGAUUUUUGAAAAAAAAUAAAAGUGAGUUGGCUGUUCACAUGACCGUUGAACAUGCCACUCAUAAUUCAUAAAUAUCAAAUAUAUGACUGUUGAAUGGUCUUGACAUUUAAAAAAAAAAAAAAUUAAAUCCUAAUAUUUAAAUCCUUAUAAAUAUUAAAUACCCUCAAUUUUUUUCUAUUCUCUCAACUCUUAAGCUCUCUCCCAUUCCACAAUAUUUCCAAUUAUUGCAUUUUGUCUCAAAUUAUUCAAUAUUAUUGGUGGUGAAAAACAAGCAUUGGUGGUUCAAAGAGUUCAAAUUUGAAGGAAUUUCUGCUUCGGUUUUCUAAUUUAGUAACAUACUUCACCUUUUCUUUUAUUUAUUUGUUACAUUUUAAUUUUACAUUUAUUAUUUUUAGCAUAAUAUUUUAUCAAUAAUUAUAAUUAUGGCAAGUGGUUCUUGUUCUUCAUCUAAUGCAUGUGAUAGCAAAAAAAUUACUUCAAAUAUAUGGAAUUUUUUUUAUAGAAUAGAAAUAAAUUUAGAAAAUAAUAAAAAAGAAAUAAAAGCAAAAUGUAAAAUUUGUAACAAACUUCUUAGUGGUGGCUCAAAUGCAGGUACAAGUCAUUUAAAAAGACAUCAUGAAAAUUUCAUUUAAAAAGGUAACAAAUAGUUCUCCAAACAACACAACUGAUUUAGAUAGAUAUCUUAAUAUUGAUUUAAUUUCAUUUGAAGAUGAUGAAGAUUUUGAUAUUUUAAUAUGGUGGAAAUCACAACAACACAAAUAUCAUAUUGUAGACCCCCUCAGUAGCGGCAACAGGCUUUUCUUUUUUUAGAUUAUUAUUUUAUUCCUUUUUCUUUUGGUUUUUCUUUUUUUCUCUCUCUUCUUCAGAACCCGAGAAUGAGCUGGGGGUGGCAGCCAAAACAGGGCGCCCAUAGGACGAGAUGGGCAGGUUUUUUUUUACGGCGAGAUGGAACGGGAAGAAGGGAGAAAAGAAAGAGAGACUGGAGGGGAAGAAAAAAGGAAAGGGAGUUUGAGAGGGGAAAAAGAGAUCCUUCAGCUUGGGGAGGCGUUCGACAGGGGAGGAGAAACGCAGCAAUCUCCUUGCUUAUUUCAGCUGGAGAGGAGCCUUUCAAGAAAACUGUAAGAGAAGAGCAAGGGAGGAAUCGCUCAGGUUUGAUUAUUUCGCACCUUAGGUUCUCCAUUUUUAACUCAUUUUGUUCUAUUUUCAGCCAUACCUUAACUCUUUAUGAUUUUUGGAUGCUUGUUUGGAUUAUUUAAUGUGUUAAAUCUGCUCUUCAUUCCGUGUAUUGCUUGGUCCCUAUUUUCCCCAUAUGAGCUGUAUGAUGACCAUGCUAUAUAUGAGCUGUGUAAUGGCUAUACCAUUUGCUUGUUUGUCGAGAUCGCUCGAACUCUCCCACCAUUCUGUUUGAUAAGCCCUUUUUUUACCUUGGUAAAGUGGAGUCAGAUUUAAUGAUAUUAUAUUUUUAUGCACAUACUCUGUUUUUCUUCAUUUCCCCCUGUUUCUCGCCACCAUCCUUCUUCGCAAUUUCUCUUCCCGUGGCUCGCUGAUAAUCUGAUGUCUGAACAUAGUUCAUCAGAUGGAUCCGAGAGGGCGCAAAACGUGAACUGGUUUCCGGUGGCUGUCGCGGCUGCCGAGGAUGCAGACGACGGAGGAGUGUUGUCGUAUCCGAACAGCACAAUCUCAUUUUUUCAGAUGGUUCUUGAAAUGUUAAUGCAAUAAUUCCCGGUCUCAUCUCUCCUCCUCCUAAAACUCUCCGUUAUUUUCCUCCAUUUGGAGGUCCUGAAAAUUUCUGCAUUAUCAAUAGGGUGCCCCAGGGGGCAUUAUUCAGUGAGAGUUUUCUUUGGACUAGUUAAUGAACCUAGUUUUGACCGGGAACCUCUAUUUGAUGUUUCUAUAGAGGGAACUCAAAUUUAUUCUUUGAGUUUAGGUUGGAGCAAUAGUGAUAACGAGCAAAUAUUUGCUGAAGCCCUUUUGUUUUGAUGGCAUGUUUAAAGAAAUUGGUGAAUAAAAGUCAAAGACAUGAGUUUAUUAUUUUUUAUUCAUUAGUGGCAUGGGUCCAGUAAGCCUCAAGGGGGUUUAUUAUUAGUUUUUUUUUUCUCUUUUCUCCCAGGUGCCAUCUUCUUAAUUCCAUUUUUUUCAUGUUAAAAAUUUCAUUUUUUGAAAGUUCUGUUAUCAAAUAAUUCUUUUAAAAAUCUCAACGUUCCGGAUUCAUUCAUUUUAUUUAUUUAUUUAUUCAUUAUUUUAUUUAAGAAUAUAUAUAUAUAUAUAUAUAUAUAUAUAUAUAUAUACAUGUACCCUUUCCAAAAUAAUCUCGUAAAAUGCGAUUUUUAAAUUCAGCUUACGAAACUUCAGAUCUAAAAUUCAAUUUUCCAAAAUUCCAAUAUUUUAAUUUUAAUUCUUCAAAAUUUAAUUCUCGAAAUAAUUUUCUAGAACUCUAACUAUAAAUUUAGUUUUCCCAAAAUUCAAUUUUUAAUUCUAAUAUCCCAAAAGUUCCAUAAUUCCGAAUUUCAUCUUUUUUUUAAAAUGUCACCUUCAAAUAAAUUUUCGCAACUCCAUUUCUUUUCAAAUCAAAUCUUCAAAAAUUUCAUUCUCAAAUAAACCUUCAAAAUGCCCUUUUUUUAGACUUAAUCCUUAAAUUUCCACUUUCAAGUAAUUUUUCAAAAUUCCGAUUUUCAAAUUUAAUUUUCAAUCUCAAAAAUUCCACUAUUCAUGUUCAUUCGUUUUAACCUUAUCUCGGUUAUUAUUAUUAUUAUUCCAUAUUUAUUUAUUUUAAAAAGUCAAAUUAUUAAAGUUCAAUUCUUCAAAAAUCCGAAUUCCAAAUUUAAUUUUCAAUCUUAAAAAUCCCACUAUUCACUUCCACUCGUUUAAAUAUCAUUUUUGUUAAUUAUUAUUAUUAUUUCAUAUUUAUUUAUUCAUUUCUUUCAAAAAUCUCGAUCAUCAAAGUUCAAUUUUUCAAAAAUCCGAUUUCCAAAUUUAAUUUUCAAUCGCAAAAAUCCCAUUAUUCACUUUCAUUCGUUUAAAUAUCAUUUUUGUUAGUUAUUAUUAUUAUUUCAUAUUUAUUUAUUCAUUUCUUUCGAAAAUAUCGAUCAUUAAAGUUCAAUUCUUCAAAAAUCCGACUUCCAAUUUUAAUUUUCAAUCUUAAAAAUCCUACUAUUCACGUUCAUUCGUUUAAAUAUUAUUCUCAUUAUUAUUAUUAUCAUUCCAUUAAUUUAUUUUAAAAAUUCCAACAAUUAAAGUUCAAUUUUUCAAAAUUCCGUUUUCCAAUUUUAAUUUUCAAUCUCAAAAAUUCCACUAUUCACAUUCAGUUGUUUAAUGAUUAUUUUCGUUAUUAUUAUUAUCCCGUUCAUUUAUUUAUUCACUUAUUCAUACAUUUAAAAUCUCAUCUCCAAAUAAUUUCCCAAAAUUUAAAUCUCUAAAUUCAAUCUCCAAUCUCUAAAAUCCUAUUUUUUUCAAUUAUUUACCUAAUCUUUAUUAUUUCAUCAUUAUUAUUGUUCCAUUAAUUUAUUUAUUCACUUAUUUAUUUAUUAAAAUUCCGUCUUUAAAUAAUUCUUCAAAAUUCCGAUUCCCAAAUUUAGUUCUCUAAAAUUACAAUUCCUUUCAAAUUUAAUUUCUAAAAUUCUCGUUCUUAUAUUUAAUUUCUAAAAAUCCAAUUUUCAAAUAAAGACUCCGAUUUUCAAAAUGAAUUUCAAAAAGCUAGUUUUCCUUCAAACAAUUUUAAUUUAUGUUUGGUAAUGCAUGUGAUAUAUUUUGUACUCUAUAUUGUGCAUUGACUCUGUUUUUAUGAUAGCGCAUCGCUCGUUCGUGGCCCAGGUAUGCAUCCGUUUCUAUUCUGGUCAUUCUCUAUACAUGUUCUGAUUCCCAUAUGUACAUAAUCGACUCGAGUAUCCAUUGAUUUUCCUAUUGAUUAUCAUGUCAGCUUCAUUUUAUUAGUAGAGACCCGACUUUAGGGACUUAGAGGGGUGCCAUGGUCUUUACCGCACCUUCCCGAUAAGUAACCUGACCCUCGAACCCGAUCCGGUUUUUCGUAGAUCACCUUUUCCAAAAUAAGAAGUCGCACUUAGGGUUUUCUUUCUUAUUUUGUUUACCCUUUCAAAAAUAAAACGAAAAUAAGUGGCGACUCCAAGUCAUUUUCUUAAUCAAUAAAAAUCAUUUUUCAAAUUAAAAUCGAGCUCACCAUCGAAUGGGAAACGCAUGAGCCAAAAUGCGGGGUCCACACAUAUGCUUUCUAUCAUUGCUCAUGAUGUACUAACAGCUCCUGUGUUGCAUCAGAAGCUGCUUUUAGUGCAGGUGGAAGAGUAGUUAGUGAUAAACGAUGCAGUUUAGCGUCGGAUUCUAUUGAAGCAAAUAUAUGUGUGAAAGACUGGGCAAUAGAAGAUAAAAUGAUAUUUGAUUCUAUUCAAGAAGAAAAUAUGCUUAUCGAUAUGGAAAAACUAAAAUCAUCAAGAUCUUCAUGGAUUUGCGAUAGUUCGUCAUCACCGCCAAGAAAUAAUGAUUAAAAUAUUUUACUAAAUAUAUGUCAUAUUUUUAUUUUUAUUUUUGUGGUUGAAAAGUACAAAUGAUUGACAAAUAAGUAGGUGCCAACCUAGUUGGGAUGUAUUUAUUUUGUAGUGAUGUAAACUUUUCCCACAUUUUCAAAUGUAAUGUAUACAUUAUAUGAAUAAAAUAGUUAGCAAUGAAUAUUUUUAUUAAUGUAGCAUUUUCUAUUUCUUGAAUUUUUAUUUUUUACAUAUAUAUAUAUUUUUUUUAAGUGGCAGGCCUACGGGCGGGCCAGCCCGCCUGGCCGGGCCUGGCCUAAAUUGGGGCCCAUGGCCCAACCCAUCUAGAAAUGGGCUCGAGCCGGGCUUUAGCCCGUUGGGUCGGGUCGGGCUUGGGCUGGGUCGUGGGCUUUUUGGAGACCCUUGGUUCAAUUCAAGUGGGAUUAAUUACUUGACCCACAUGAUUGACCUACCCACCAUAAUUUUCAAUUUUUUUUUCUUAUUAAAAUUUUCAGGCAAAUAAAAUUACUUGAAAAUUAUUGGAUAUUACUUAUUAUUUAAAAAUAAAAAUAAAAAUUGCUAACCUUCUUGUUAUAUAAUUAGUAAACAUAUUUUCGUUUUAUAAGCUAUAAUCAAACCGUCUUAUAUAUCCUAUUUUUAAAAAUAACAAAGACAUAAAAUUGUCCAUUGAGCACCUAAAUAUUUUAAACUCAUUAUAAUAAAAAAAAAUGUCCAAAAUAUUUAUUAAAAAAACUAAUUUAAUUUUAUAAUCAUUUUUCAACCCAUAAAUUAUCUAAAAAUAAACUAAAAUCUUUAUCAAGGUUUUUCUAAGUAGAAUUUUAAAAUGAGAAAUUAAUAUUUGGAACUCCUAAAAAACAUUAAAUUAAAAUUUUGAAAAUUAAAUCUGUAUUAGAAUUGACAACAGAAAUGCAAACAUGAGUCUAUAGCUCUUAACAGAUUAGAUUAUGAAACUAAAUGUAUUUUAGAUGGUGGACUUAGUUCAUACAACAGAAAGGAUGAGGUAUUCAAGAUGUCAAAUAAGGUUGGGGUUGAAGGAAGUGAAGGGAAAUUACCAUAGAUGAAUGACAAAACAUCAGAAUAUCAACAAGCAGAUUGCAUACUUUUUAUCAAAUAAGGUUGGUACUUAAUUGUUCUGAUGCAAGCAUUUGAAAUUUUUUUGUUGCAGGAGCUCAAACAUUUCCUAAUAGAUCAUACCGGUGGGUUGAUGCUAGAGAUGUUGUCAAUGCACACAUUCAAGCAUAUGAGAUCCCAAAGCCAGUGGAAGAUACUGCUUAGUAGAGAGAGAUUUACACUAUUCCAAGACACUGAAGAUUUUGCACAAGCUCUACCCUAAUUUACCCCUGCCCAAAAAGUAAGUUUCUAUUAGUUAUUGCUAGUACUCGUUUGUGCCAUCAUUAGAGUACUUGCCAUUUAAUCUUCUUUUUUUAAUCUUUUGUAAUAUUGUUUGUUGUAAUAGUAGAAUGAUUGUUUCUAUCCAUUAGAUGUAAAUAUGGUGAGGCAAACGAUAUUUAAAACCCUACAUGCCUCGAAUUAAUAAUUUAUUUUUAAUCUUUGUAUUAAUGCAUCAAUAAAUGGUAUUGAAGAAAUUACUAGUACAACAAAGGUUACAAGAUUAUAAGUGGGAUCACUUUGAUACAAUGAUGGGAUAAAAGAAAUAGAUGGGGUUAUUGAAUGCAAACCUCCAUACAUAAAUGAUAGAAUUAACUUGUUCAAUAUAAGUUCCUUGAUAUAAAAUAUCAAUUUUGUUUUCCAAAGUCUUUAUGGCUAUUGGCUUUUCCAUGGAAUACCAAAGAAAAAAAAAAAAAAAACCCUCCUUACCCGAGAGUUCAUUUGAACCUUGUUUCGAAGAAAAAAGUUUUAUUAAUCCAAACCCUAUUAAUUUAUAUAUGACGACCUAUCAUGGGACUAUGAAGAGUUUUAAAACAACUCAAAGAUAACAAAAAAAAAUUGAGGUUAAAUAGUGAAAACUACAUUGGAUUCCAAUAAUAGUUUUUAUGAUAUAAUGUUUCAUUGGCAGGUUUCAUAAAAAAAAUUAAUUAUUCUAUGAAUACGACUUUUGAUUCCAAGAGGCAAACGAUAUUUAAAACCCUACAUGCCUCGAAUUAAUAAUUUAUUUUUAAUCUUUGUAUUAAUGCAUCAAUAAAUGGUAUUGAAGAAAUUACUAGUACAACAAAGGUUACAAGAUUAUAAGUGGGAUCACUUUGAUACAAUGAUGGGAUAAAAGAAAUAGAUGGGGUUAUUGAAUGCAAACCUCCAUACAUAAAUGAUAGAAUUAACUUGUUCAAUAUAAGUUCCUUGAUGUAAAAUAUCAAUUUUGUUUUCCAAAGUCUUUAUGGCUAUUGGCUUUUCCAUGGAAUACCAAAGAAAAAAAAAAAAAAAAACCCUCCUUACCCGAGAGUUCAUUUGAACCUUGUUUCGAAGAAAAAAGUUUUAUUAAUCCAAACCCUAUUAAUUUAUAUAUGACGACCUAUCAUGGGACUAUGAAGAGUUUUAAAACAACUCAAAGAUAACAAAAAAAAAUUGAGGUUAAAUAGUGAAAACUACAUUGGAUUCCAAUAAUAGUUUUUAUGAUAUAAUGUUUCAUUGGCAGGUUUCAUAAAAAAAUUAAUUAUUCUAUGAAUACGACUUUUGAUUCCAAAUUUUGAAAUUUCUAAUUCCUUAGUUUAGUGGUGGGUCUUGUUGAAAUUGAAAGUUGUGGAAAAGUAUAAUAUGGACACAAUUUUUUUACUUAAUGAGUAGAUUUUACAACACCUUUUAAGUAAUUACCCUAAAAAUGAUAGGUCAUUGCAUUGAAAAUGUAUUAAAUUUAAUUGAGAGAUUAUUUAUAAAAAUAUCAUCAUUUUUUAAAAGAAUAAUAUGAUAUUACCAUCGUCUCGGGUUGGAAAGCAAUUUAUGGUGGUGUUAUAUUUUUCUUAAUAUAUUCUUGUUCCUUUUUCUUUUUUUUUUUUUUUUUUUUUUGGUGCAUAUUGUAAGGUUUCAAGUUCCUUUAGAAAUAUGAACAACAAUGAAGAGUUAGAAAUUUUGGAACAUUGAGUACAUAGUUAAGCCAUGUUUUGAUAGUUGAAAUUCCUAAAAAAAAAAAAUACAAAAAAGAAAAAAAUGAAAGAAGUUCAAAUUUUAUUUAUUUAUCUUAAAAAUAUCAAAGAAAUUACAAAUAAUGAAAAUUGUUUAGAUUUUAUAUACUUUCUAAUAUUUACUCUUUAUAGACAAAAAAAACAAAUAAAUUUUUUUGAGGUUCUGAAAAUCAUUAAACUUAAGCUUAAUAUUUAUUUUUCUUGAUUUUUUAGUGUCUUUCUUAAUUUUCAUUUAUAAUGUUUCCCACUUAAUGCAAAACUUUCUAAGGUCUAAAUUUUAUGUGCGUUUCAUCUUCUUUUUAAUUAAGAAGUUUUGAAUUUUUCAAUUCAAAUUCCAAAAUAGGGUAAUAAAACUUUAAAAUUAACAUUACAUCUUAGACAAAUUGGGUUGAUUUGGUAAUCAACUCGAACCAAACUUGUAUUAAGAAACAUUCCACCCUAACCUAACCAAAUAUAACGUCAAAUAUAAGGUGUUUAGUUCAAACUCAACUUAUUUCUAUAUAUUAAAGUUAGGCUUAAAUUGACUCGGGUAUACUCGUAGUUGAGUUGUUUAAGUUGUAUGAUCAAAGCUAAGUUUUGUAAGAUUGAAUUAGGCUGAACUCGUUCAUAAUGUUUUUUUUUUCUUUUAACUUCUUUUAUAUCAUAUUUUAAAUAACAAAUAGGACAACAUUUAAACAUAAUUAAAAAAAAAAUGAGAAUGAAUUUAUGUAUCUUUUAAUAAAAAUGAAAUAAUAUAAUUAAAAUUUAAUAUUUUUCUUUAAAUACUAAAAAAAACAUAAAAUAGAUAUUAUUAUAUAAAAUAAAAUAAAUUACAAAUAUUAUAAAAAUAUAAAAUUAGGUUAUAUAUGUAUGUAUGUAUGUAUAAAAUAGUAGUGUGGCGAGUGUUUGCUACUUGUAAAAAGUAUUUUUGCUCUUUUUUUUUAAUUGAAAUUAAUAAAAAGAAAAAGAAAUAAAAUUUUUUCAAAAAUAUUAAAUGCAUAACUAAAAUUAUGCUAAUGAAGUUUUUUGUUCUUUGUAAUUUAAAGUUGUCUCAUUCAUAUUUUAAGGUAAACUAAUAGAACAUUAGGGUCUGUUUGUUUAGUGUUUUCAAGAACUGUUUUCUGUUCUUGAAAACAAAAAACACCAAAAACUUGUUUGGUUGAGAGAGUCAUUUUUGUUUUUGUUGUUCCCCGUGUUCUCAAAAUGGCACUGUUUAGAGAACAACAAAAUGUUGUUUUCCCCGUUUUUUUACUGUUUACAGAACAAACUUAAACAACAAAAAAACCAUCUGUUCUCCGUGUUUUUUUUUUCUUCCCGUUCUCAUCUCUUCUCCAGCACAGUUGCGUCGCCUUUUCUCCAGCACAGUCGCGUCACCUCUUCUCCAGCACAGUCGCAACAUCUCCAGUAGCAAGAAACGAAGGUAAUUUCCACAUAUGUUGAAGUUAUUUUUUAUAGAUCUAGUAAAAUAGGCUUUUUUUGGCAAUAUUUGUUUAGGGAAAUGUUAGAUCUGGGUAAAGAGAUAUCAGUUAUGUUAUUCGAAUGAGAUUUGAGCUUUUUUUUUUUAUCACCUACUGUUAGUUUCUUUUUUUUCCCGUUUAUAUUUUCCUAUUUGGAUGCUGAGAAAAGUGGGGAACGAGAAUGAAAAUAGAAUGAGAUCUGAGCUUUUUUUUUUAUCACCUGUUGUUAGUUUUUUUUUUCCCGUUUAUAUUUUCUUGUUUGGAUGCUGAGAAAAGUGGGGAACGAGAAUGAAAAUAGAAAAAAAAAUUCCUGAUUUUUCCCGUUUUGAUUUUUCUUGAGUUGUUCUGUUAAAAAAAAAACAAAAACCUUACUUAAAGACAUGGAAAUCAAACGGGAAAAUCCAGGCUUGACGGGUAAAAUACCUCAAGGAAAAUGGAAAAAAUGAAGGGAAUCAGAAGAAGAUGAGGUGUUGAAUCACCAAGAACCCUUUCUCUUUGUAGGUCUGCUAUUCCUCUCUCUCAUCCAGACUCCAAAGCCCGGUUAACCUCUACUCUUUGCUUCUUCCUUUCUUUCCACCUUCCGAUUUCAUGAAAGCAAAAAUAAUUAAAAAAUUAUAAUAAAGUAAAAAAUAAAAAUAAAAAAUAAAAUCAAAAUUAUUAAAUUAUUUUCCAUAUACUACUUCAAACUUAUUUUAAUUUUUUCAUAUGAUUAUAUAAUUUAAAAUAUAUAAAUUUUAAUUAAUUUUAAUGGUAUAUUUUUGUAAUAAAUCAAACAUUAAAAAAUUAAUUUUUUAACAUUAUUGAAAUCAAACGGUCAAAGGGGAAUAUCCAUCAGUAUAUUCUAAGGGCUAGGUCAGUCUUGAACUCGGACUCUGCACUGAUUAGCUCUUGGAUGUUACUCAUCUAUUUUCUUGGGGUGGUGGAGAAUAAGUGGAAAGAGAUGUGACCAUCUCCUUACUUGCAUUUAUUUUGAUAUGUUAUUUAUUUUAUUUAGAUUAGUUAUAAAUAUUAAAUUAAUUCUUUUUAAAAAAUUUUAUCUCAUCUUAAUAGAAUAUACUAUAAUUUUUAAUAAAAUUAAAUAUUAAAUCAAUAAAAAAAUAAUAAAAAUGAUUUUAUCAUGUUUGAUUUAUUUUAAAAAAAUAUAAAAAAAAAUAUUUUAAUUUUAAAAUUAAUCAAAUAUAAAAUUAAUCAAACUUACUUUUCUUUCAUUUUUUUUCCCCAAUUUUUGUUUCAAGUUUUAUAAAAACUAAAAAAAAAAGUCUUUAAAAUCUAAUUAAUAUCAAAUCUAUUUUUAUUUUUAUUUAUUUUUCUUUCAUAUUUUUAUACACUAUACUAUACGUCAACAAUCUUAAUUCUCAUUUAAACAUAGCCUUAAGUUCUAUUGGUGGUUUUAAAAGCUGUCUCCUCAUAGAGUUCUUAUUUGUGAUGGGAUUGUACAGAUGACAACUGAGAUAACAGAUGUUGAGGAUGCAGGAACAUGGAGAGGUAAUAUAGAGAAAAUCUUUAUUGACAUCAGGGUAAAUGAAGUUAAUAAAGGUAACAUGGAUAGUGGUACAUUUAGUACCAAGACAUGGAGAAGGAUCUUACUUGAGGUCAAUAGUCAAGGGAAAAGAAAUUUCAACUUGAAGCAGCUUAAACAAAAGUUUAAUAGACUACGUGCAAUGCACCGUGAGUUCUCUGAUCUUUUAAAGCAUACUGGAUUUGGUUGGGAUGCUGAAACUAACACAAUGCAUGCUCUAAAGGAAACUGGCAAAAUUACAUUCGGGUAAAAAUAACUUUUAAACUAAUUACUUUUUAAUUUAAAUAUUUGGUAAACACUAAGAGUGAAUUUUUUUUUCCUUCUAUUAGGCACACCCAAAUGCAAAAAGAUUCCGCUCAAAGGGAUGCCCAAACUACAACUUGCUGGGAUUGAUCUUUAAUCCAUCAACAGCAACUGGUGCCAUCCACUACUCUUCCACCCAAGAUCCACCAAACACUGAUGAUGAAGAUGAGAUGGAUGACAAUUUGGAACAUGGUGGAGUGCAUGUGGAUGUAGAUACUGAGAUCCCUGAUGAUCCUCCGCAACCAGAAAUGGCAGGAGGAGUGACCACCCGUUCUGGAAAGCGUGUAACUGAUUCUCUAUUAGAGCGUAGAGGUAAGAAAGAAUCCAGAUUAAGUCAAAUGGGAGAUGCUUUGAAAGCUUGGGUUGAGGCAUCAAAGGCCAGAACAGAAACAUCUCGAGCUAGAACUGAGGCAUUAUUGGCUAGAGUGGACAGAUAUAAGAGUGGAACUAGUAGUGAAGCUACUAGUGGAGGUACCACUGAUUUUAGCAUAACAAGGUGCAUGGCAGCCUUACAAACCAUUGAAUUGUUAGAUAAUGACAAAUAUUUAAAAUUUUUUGAGAAAUUCACAAUGCCGGAGUGGAGAGAGAUAUUAUGAAUAUGCCUGAUGAGAGGAAAAUGGCAUGGCAUGGCUUGAUAGACUUUAAAUGUGAAUGUUUGGAUGCAUAACUAUUAUGAUGACAUUGUAAUAUGUACUAUUUAUCUUUUGGUUAGAAUCUUUUACCAUGCUCUUUAGUUUGUCAUUGUAUGGAUGUUAUUUAUGGUUAUGAAACUUAUAUUAUAACUACUUUAAUAUUCAUUUCGUGCUAUUUUAUAUUGUGAGUUCAUUUGUUUUAUGUAGUAACCAAUGGAUGAUAAUAGCACAAGCAGUGGUUCACUAUAUGAGUCAACUUCAUCUUCUGAAGAGGGUGAUGAUUUAGAUGAAAUUUUUAUUGCUCACAUUAUGAAUGAGUAUGAGGAAAUAUUUUUAUGCAAGACACCUCAAAGGACAUCAAUGUUAAGUGGUGCACAAUUUGUAAGAGAUAUGAUAGAAGGUCAUCCUCAAACAUGCUAUGAACUAUUUCGGAUGGAUAAAGAAACAUUUAUGAACCUUUGUGAUCAUCUUAAGAGACAUGAAAACUUACAGGAUACACGAUUUGUCACAGUUGAAGAGGCAGUGUCUAUGUUCUUACUAAUCGUAGGACAUAAUGUGAGAAUGAGGGUUGUAGCAGACCGUUUUCAACACUCCACAGAGACUGUCGCUCGACACUUUAAAGAAGUUAGACGUGCAUUAUGUCGACUUGGCAAAAUUCUCAUAUGUCCUAACAAUAUGACCAAUGAGGUGUCUUCAUAUGUUGCUAGUAAUCCUAAAUAUUUUCCAUGGUUUAAGGUAAGAGUUUAUAAAAAAAUAUUUAUAAAUGUGAAUUUCAUGACGAUUAUUUAAUUUAUUUCCUUAAUAAUAAUAAAUGUUUGUUGUUGUAGGACUGUAUUGGUGCAAUUGAUGGCACUCAUAUUAGUGCAUGGGUCCCAGUUGAUAGACAAACCAGUUUUAGAGGUAGAAAAACAGUUAUAACACAAAAUGUUAUGUGUGCAUGUAAUUUUGACAUGAUGUUUACAUUUGUUUAUGCUGGUUGGGAAGGAACAGCAAACGAUGCACGUGUCUUUUUAGAUGCAUUGAUUAGACCAGAAGUCAAUUUUCCUUGGCCAAGUGAAGGAAAAUAUUAUGUAGUUGAUUCUAGUUAUCCUUGUAUAUCUGGAUUUUUGCCACCAUAUCGAGGUGAGCGAUAUCAUUUACAAGAAUAUCGGGGUAGACGUAAUCAACCUAUCAAGUAUAAAGAACUUUUUAAUUAUAGACAUUCAUCUCUUCGGAAUAUUAUUGAAAGAUGUUUUGGUGUUUUGAAGACCCGAUUUCCAAUAUUAAGGAUGAUGCCUUGUUAUAAGCCAAGUAGGCAACCAUCAAUUGUUGUUGCAUGUUGUACCCUUCAUAAUUGGAUUCGUCUAUCAACUCGGAAUGAUCAAUUGUUUAGAGAAUAUGAGGUAGAAGACCUUUCAAUCGAAGGUGAAGAAGAGAGUACAAGUAGCAGAAACCAUUCAAUUGAUUUAUCAGAUGAGAGUGCAGCAGCUAUGGCAGCUUGUAGAGAUCAAAUUACUGAAGUGAUGUGGGCAAAUUAUAUUAAUGUCAAUCCAUGACUUAUCUUAUUUUUAAUUUUAAAUAUUUGUCAACACUUUAGUGUUUUGUUAGAAUUUAUAUAUAUAUUUGUUAACUUAACUAGUUCUCAUUAGUGUUAUGUGAUGUUUGUUUUAAUUUCUAAUGAAUAAAUAUUGCUUAUAAAUUUAAUUUAUAAUUGUAAAAGUAGGAUGGACAAAAGACCCAUGUGAAAUACAUACAUCAUAUUUUAUUUUAUUUUUAAUAAUUUAUCAACUUAUAUAAAAAAUUUAAAAUUAAAUAAUUUUUUAAAUUUAAAUGAAAUGUGUAUUUAAAAAUAUUUAUAAAUUUAUAAUAUAAAGUUACUUGAAGAAAAUAUUUUAUUAAUUGGAAAAGAAAAAAAAACAUCUUUCAAACAUGUUUUUUUAUUAACUAAGCCAAACAUGUUUUUUUUCUUUUUUUUUGAGAACAAAAACUGUUUUUCAAAAUUUAGUUUCCAAACACAAUUUUUUUUUCUAAAAACACCAAAAACUGUUCUUAAAAUCUAUUCUCAAAAACUGUUUUCCAGAACAGUUUUCAAAAACAGCAACCAAACAGGCCCUUAAACUCCCAAUAUUUUAUCCAUCUAGAAUUUAUCACCAUUUUAUUUUAUAUCAUAUCAUAAUUAUAUUAAUUAGUGACUUCAAGAAAAAAAAAUUAUUUAUAUGUUAGACAACAUGGAAAAGAUAUAUUUUUUUAAUGCUUAUUAAUAAUUUUUAUUUCAAAAUUUAAAACAUGAAUAUAUAAAUUUUAACAAUUAUGAAAUAUUAGUCUAAAUAUCUUUUAAUAUUUGGUUAUGUUUGCAAAGCAUUUUUAAUAACAAUUAUGAAAAAUAAUUUUUGAGAGUAAUUUACUAAAACAUUUUUUUUAAAUAUGUUUUAAAAAUAACUUUAUCUUAUAUAUAGUACUUUAUUUCAAUCGUUCUCUAUUUAAAAUAACUCUAUGAAAAGAAACGGAAAUAAUUAAAAGAUUUAUCUUAAAACAUUUUAUUUUUUUAUUUUUAUGAAUAGAAAACUUUUUUUUUUUGGUCAAAUGUGUCUUCUUGUUUUUGUUUUUGUUUUUCUAAAAAACAAAAAACUGUUUUAAAAAAUAAUUACCAACAUGAACCCAAAGCCCGAAGCUCCCGUGGGGCUGGUUUUGGGCCUUUUAGGUUUGGGAAAAACAAUCGGGCCUGGCUGAGCACAAAUUCUUCUCUUUUAAGUCCAAAAAGCCCGUCUGAAGCCCAAACUUUCAGGUUGGGCCGGAAGCUCCUGGCUUAACACAAAUUCUUCUCUUUUAAGUCCAAAAAUCCAGUCUGAAGCCCAAAAUUUCGGGUUGGUCCGGGCGGGCGGGCCGAUAUGAAAUAUAAGAAAAUAGAAUAUAAUUAUUAUUACGACAGUGGAAUCUGAGAAAAGGUGGCGAGUGUACUACAAUUUUGAUCUUUUGCAGCAGACUGAAUGUAGACUACGAAGAGAGUGAGAAAUGAGCGGGCAAGGCAAGGUGGUGUGCGUGACCGGAGCUUCUGGGUACAUAGCCUCAUGGCUGGUGAAGCUCUUGCUCCAACGCGGCUACACCGUCAAAGCCACAGUUCGAGACCCAAGUCAGAUCUCUUCCCAAUUACAAAACUUCUCAUUCCCAAACCCCACUUGCUAUUGUCCCCAAUUUUUUUAUUUCUUUAUUGUUCAGUCCUUUUCAAGCAUAAUGUUAGUUUUAUGCAUGUGGGUGGGCCGUUAUUUGGCAGUUUGAAACUUAGAUUGAGUUGUAUUUUGAUGGGUCUUUGUCCUUUUUCCUUUUUCAGAAGUUUAAUCUAUGAUUGAAAGUCAAUAUUCAGUACUCAGGUCUUUGUGUUGUCCUAAUUUUCUUGGAAUUAUACUCUCUACAUGGUUCUACAGGGCAAAUUGAUCAAGUUUAUGCUAUUAAAAAUGAUUUCAGAUACUUUCAGAACCAAUCCAUUUCAGAUUCUGCAAGUGUUCCUUCUUAAUUACUACUAUUCUUGUAAAAAAAUUUGCAUUUAAUUUACAAGAAACUGAGGAGGUCUCAGAAAGAAAAGCAAAAGGAAAGAAAAAGAUUUUCCUUCAGCCAUACCAAAUUGUUUUGGAACCAAAAACUCUAAAUAUGAGCCUGUGUUCUUUUUGGAAACCUAUUCUUGAAAAUAAUUUCAGAGAAACGAAGAAAAUCAACAAAUUUGUACAAUUAUUUGGCUUUAUUGCAAGCUUUUGUUGUUUUACAAACAAGACAAGAGGACAGUUUAGGGCUUCAUUUUGUUUCUUUACUGUUCUUCGGUUUCCUCUUGAAUACGUUUAGCUCUAUUCUAUUGUUAGUAUUUGAACAAAUUGUACAUCACAACUUAAGUUUCUUGCACUUUGAAAAUCCAAUCAUCUUGCAUAAAUGAUCCAAAAGCUUGCAAUUGCAGUUGAGAAAAUGACUACUCUACAUGCCCCAUCCAUUUUACUUCAAUCCCUAUUCUUCUAAGAAGAGCAUAGUUGAACUUCUUAAUAUUCUAGUCAUGCUUCCACUGUAAACUCCUUAUGUACUAGGGUUUCCCCAUUUGGGGUUGUUUUUUUUCUAUCACAUAAUAUAUGUUCUUACCAAAAUAAAGUUUUUGUAAUCUUUCAUUCUUCUUAUUUCCAUUUAACAUUCAAGUUGUGCUUAUAUAUGCCACAGAUGAUCCAAAGAAGACAGAACACUUGCUUGCACUUGAAGGUGCUAAAGAAAGGCUUCAUUUGUUUGAAGCAAACUUACUUGAAGAAGGAUCCUUUGAUUCUGUGGUUGAUGGGUGUGAUGGAGUAUUUCAUACAGCAUCCCCAGUUGUGAUGAUAGUUGACGAUCCCCAGGUUUAUCCUAUAUUGGUUCCAUUGGCAUACUGUAAAAUUUAGUAUUGUCUAUAUUCUUUUCCAGUCAGUUACUGAUCUUGAAAUUACUAACGAAUCAUGAAUUGUUAAUUUGCAUGAUUCUUCUUUCUGUAUGUGGUUUCUUCAACUGAUCCAAUGGUAGUGAAUGCUGAUUUCAUUAAACCAAUACAAUGGUGGAAAAGAGAGAAAUUGAUAUUGGAUUUUUUAUAUUCUGCUUAUGGGCAAAAAUAUUGAAGAGGUUGGAUCUCGAGUUUGCUCUUAUUUCUUUUUUUUUCUUUCUUUCUUUCUUUCAUUCUUCCCCCUAAUCCUUCUUUUCUCCACUUGUUAUGUUUGUUCAAAAGAAGAUAAAGGCCCUUUGUCUUGCAUCAAUAAGAACCAAAAACCCUGUGAAUAUUUAUUUAGGAAUGUAUAACUUCCUUGACAGCAGCAUGGGAAUGCUCACACCGUAACAAGGCUAUUCCAAUGAAAAUUUAUGGUGGCUGAUCCAAACACUCCUUGUGGUUUUUUUUUUUUUUUUUUUUUUCCGAUAGGCAAAAGAGCAAAAGACAUGUUAAAGAGCCAAAUAAAAGGCUACACCAAGUACAUAGGAAGUACGCAUGUGCACACCAAAGAAAAAACACAAAAACCCUCUUCUUAAUGGCAACCUAACCAAUCGAUAAAAUCAAUCAUACAAAAGGACUCUUGCCCUAGACCCCCUUUGGUCCAUUUUAAAAAGUUACAAAGAAAAGAGAAUUUUAGCUCGUGAUACGAAAGCUCAACAGUAUCAAAAACUCUUCUAUUCCUCUGUUUUCAAAUAGGCCAAAACAAACAAAGAAGUGCAACAUUCCACACCUUUUUUUUCCUCCUCCCAACGGAUCAGCUAUGCCAACUAAGAUGUGUUGCUUGGAUUGAGGUAUGCAACACCCAAACCAUUGCAAACAAGGAGAAAACUAAUUGCCAUAACAAACUAGCCUUAGAACAAUGAAGAAGGAUGUGAUUGCAAGAUUCCUUCUCAUCUGUACAUAAAAAGUGUUUGUUUACCAAAGUCCAACCUCUCUUCAAAUUGUCCAUAGUUAGAAUCCCCUUCCAAGUUGCUUCCCAAAACAAAAAAAAAGACUCACUUUUAUUCGAGCCUAAGAAUUCCAAAUAAGCCUUGUGGGGAAAGAAUUUGAACCCCUUUGAACCAUCCCAACAUAGAAAGAUUUAACUAAAAAUUGGCCUCCCUUUGUAGCCAUCCACACCACCUUGUCAUCCAUCUCCCUUCUCAUUGAUUUGCCAUGCAAACGCAAAAGGAGUGCUUCAACAUAACCUAACUCUUAAUCUUGGAAAUUCCUUACAAAACAAGGGUUCCAACACCCCUCAAAAUCAAUAUGCUUCCACACAUCACAUACCCAAGCCUCUUUUGAAGUGGCUAUAGCAAACAAAGAGGGGAAAGGGGUACUCAAAGGGGUGCCCCCACACCAAAUGUCCUUCCAAAACCUUACCCUUCUUCCAUUGCCCAAAUCAUAGGAAAUCUUGUUUUUGAAAGAAUCCCAUCAUUUCCUUAUAGCCUUCCACAAUCCUACGCCAUGACCCUUCCUUGUCUCCAAAGAGCACCAACCUGCUUCUUCUACCCCAUUCUUACCAAUGAUUUCUUUCUUCCACAAGGUCUCCCCUUUUGACAUGAACCUUCAACUCCAUUUGCCUAAGAGAGCCUUGUUCAAAAUAGAAAGAUUUUGAAUGCCUAGCCCUCCCUCCUUUCGCUUUUGGCUUACAAACUUGUGCCAACUCACUAAGUGAGGCUUAUUUUCAAGAGAACCCCCCUCUCCAAAGAAAGUCCUUUUGAAGUUUUUCCAAUUUACAACAGACCCUUCUUGAAAUAACAAAAAUGGACAUGAAAUAAAUGGGUAGUCUAGGUACUUUUGAUGAGAGUUAAACACCCCACCCCCUUGGACAAGCUUUGUUUCUUCCACCUUGUGAGCUUUCUUUCCAUCUGCUCUCGCCAAAGUCCCUCAUUGUUGUCGAUUUAAAGGUAGCACCCAAAGGAAGCCCAAGAUACUUUGAAGGUAAUGACCCCACUUUACACCCCAAAAUAUCCACCAACUCCUCCAUUAUUGGAACCCUUCCAACUAAGAUUAGCUCACUUUUUUCAAGGUUGAUCUUAAGCCCAGAAAUUGCUUCAAACCACAUCAAGACCCAAUGAAGAUGCAAUAGUUGGUCCUUAGAAGCCUCACAAAAAAAUCAAUGUGUCAUCCACAAACAAAAGAUGAGACACCUCCACUCCCUUGCCACCUCUACUUCCCACCUUAAAUCUUGAAAUAAACAAACCCACACCCCCCCCCCCCNNNNNNNNNNNNNNNNNNNNNNNNNNNNNNNNNNNNNNNNNNNNNNNNNNNNNNNNNNNNNNNNNNNNNNNNNNNNNNNNNNNNNNNNNNNNNNNNNNNNAAAAAUUGGCCUCCCUUUGUAGCCAUCCAUACCACCUUGUCAUCCAUCUCCCUUCUCAUUGAUUUGCCAUGCAAACGCAAAAGGAGUGCUUCAACAUAACCUAACUCUUAAUCUUGAAAUUCCUUACAAAACAAGGGUUCCAACACCCCUCAAAAUCAAUAUGCUUCCAAACAUCACAUACCCAAGCCUCCUUUGAAGUGGCUACAACAAACAAAGAGGGGAAAGAGGUACUCAAAGGGGUGCCCCCACACCAAAUGUCCUUCCAAAACCUUACCCUUCUUCCAUUACCCAAAUCAUAGGAAAUCUUGUUUUUGAAAGAAUCCCAUCAUUUCCUUAUAGCCUUCCACAAUCCUAUGCCAUGACCCUUCCUUGUCUCCAAAGAGCACCAACCUGCUUCUUCUACCCCAUUCUUACCAAUGAUUUCUUUCUUCCACAAGGUCUCCCCUUCUGACAUGAACCUUCAACUCCAUUUUCCUAAGAGAGCCUUGUUCAAAAUAGAAAGAUUUUGAAUGCCUAGCCCUCCCUCCUUUCGCUUUUGGCUUACAAACUUGUGCCAACUCACUAAGUGAGGCUUAUUUUCAAGAGAACCCCCCUCCCCAAAGAAAGUCCUUCUGAAGUUUUUCCAAUUUACAACAGACCCUUCUUGAAAUAACAAAAAUGGACAUGAAAUAAAUGGGUAGGCUAGACAAGGUACUUUUGAUGAGAGUUAAACACCCCACCCCCUUGGACAAGCUUUGUUUCUUCCACCUUGUGAGCUUUCUUUCCAUCCGCUCUCACCAAAGUCCCUCAUUGUUGUCGAUUUAAAGGUAGCACCCAAAGGAAGCCCAAGAUACUUCGAAGGUAAUGACCCCACUUUACACCCCAAAAUAUCCACCAACUCCUCCAUUAUUGGAACCCUUCCAACUAAGAUUAGCUCACUUUUUUCAAGGUUGAUCUUAAGCCCAAAAAUUGCUUCAAACCACAUCAAGACCCAAUGAAGAUGCAAUAGUUGGUCCUUAGAAGCCUCACAAAAAAAUCAAUCAAUGUGUCAUCCGCAAACAAAAGAUGAGACACCUCCACUCCCUUGCCACCUCUACUUCUUAAAUCUUGAAAUAAACAAACCAACCCCACCCCCCCCCCCCCCCCCCCCAAACAAACAAAAACUCCUUGUGAUUAUCUUCAAGAGUGGAGAGUUAUAGCAUUUUAACUGACAACCACUGCCUCAAGGUAGGUGACUGAAGAUGCAUUCCACAAAAAUGUUAGACAAGUUGCUUAUGAUUUUCUCCGGACCCUGAAUGCUAUAGGUAUAAGAAAUAGGUAAAUGUGCUUACUAAUAGUGGAUGCAUUCCACAAAAUGCUAGAGAAGUGGUUGUUUCCUUCUCUCUAUCUCUUUCCUUACCUCCUUCCUCACCUCCCUCUCCUUCCCAAAUUCCCUUUUCCUUUAUUUUCUCAAACAGCUCAGUUGCUCCACAUGAUUAUUUUUUUUUUUUUAAAUAGGAAUGCUUCACAAGAUUCAUAUAUUACCUCUUUGCUAAUUUUAGUUAGUUAGGCACUGCCCCUUAAAAACUCAAUUAAGUCUACAUGAUUAUACCUUUGAUGUAGUUAUGAAUACAAGGAUCAUCCAUAACUCCUCCAAUUGCAUGACAUAUUUGCUGUAUUAUUGAUUCUAAACUGGCACUGUCAUAACAUGAUCAGUAAAAAAAUAAAAAUAAAAAUAAAAGUUACUUCUAGAAUUUGAUGGAUGAACCUUAUGGCUAUGUUUGGUUCCUAGAAAAUUUGAGGCAAAAUGCAAGGGAAAGAAAAUAGAAAGGAAAAGUAGAAAGAAAUAAAAAUUGAAGGAAAAUUAAAAAUAGAUUUAAAGUCAAAAAUUAUUUUUAUACGUUACUUCAAACUUAUUUCACUUAUUUUAACUAUUGAAUACAAAGAUUAAAUAAUUUGAAAAUUCAUAAGUUUCUAAUUAGUUUUAAUUAUAUUUGUCUUUCUUUGGUAUUUUCUAUAGAACAAUCAAACAUGAAAAAAUCAUUUUCCUUAGUGUUUUUUUUUAGUACUUUCCAAGAACCAAACAUAAUCUAUUAAGUUUGUCUAUGAUGAUUGGCAUGGGUUAUUUUGUUUAGGCUCAUUCACUAACCAACUGGUUUGUGGUGUAUCGCUAUACUUCUUUUCCAAUUUUAUUUUAUUUUUUUGGUUCAUUUUAGGUUUAAAGAGAUUUUAUUUUAUUUAUUUAUUUAUUGUUUAUCAUAAUUCAUGUGUAACCGCAUUUCCUUUGUCACCAUCACCAUGUGACUCCAUAUAGUGGUUGGGAGAGUUAGAUCCUGGAACAGUUAUGGAAUAACUGCAUCAAUGUUGUGCAUCUUUCUUUGAAAUGUAGGAACGUGGAUUUUUUAUUUUUUUAUUUUUUUAUUUUUUGAAUAUCUCCUUCUCAUAAAUAGGUAUGUUAUGGCCAACAACAUUUUAUUGUAUCAAAAUUCUUUGAUAACAUAGCUUAUCAAUAUGACGAAAUGAUCAUAAUGUAUCUCAUCAACCUGAUUUCAUAUUACACAAUGGAGCCUAGAUUUUGAAGUUCUCUCAGUUACGAAGGGAAAUCUUGUGUUGAUGUAAUGGCAGAUAUUGUUUUUUGUAGUUGGGAUUCUUCAAGAGUUUGGGAGGUGGGAGGAGUCCUACAGGGGGAGCACCGUGCAGAGAGACCAACUUAGCUGGCUAAUGGAUUAUUCGGCUUCAGAGAAAUGCUUGGAUACUUAAGAACAUGAGAAAAUCUUUCAUUGACUUGUGUGCUAAUGUCUAUUAUCUCACAACUCUUUGAAUGCUUGUCACUGUAGAGUUCUUUAGGUUCCCUUUAAUGUUUAUACAUUCUUUUUUGGAUCGGAGAUCAAUAUGCCAUUCCCGUCGGAGAGUGGUUUUGUGCUGGAGGAGGCACUGCCUGUGCUAUUUCCUGACUCUGGCCAGUCCACUCUGCACUUUUUUCAGUUUCCGGACACAACAUUAUACAAUUAACAUACCAGCUUCUAUGUGAUCGAAUUCAGCUCCACCUCAAUCAUUGGAAUUAGCAGCAUGCCAAUAAUCACAGUGUGGGCACCAGUUUUUAGUUAUUCACCUGCCUUGCUUUUCUGGUGAAGUCAGGCAGCAUCUUUUCAUUUCAGAAUGUGGCAUACUGUUGUUUGUGACUUUUUGGCCAUCAGAGCAAUUGUGGAUGGCCCUUCAAUAGACAAAACUUUAUAGGUGUGUGUUUGUGCCAAAUCAAGGAUCAAGUUAUGAAUGAAAAUAUGAAAAUGAGAAGAGAAACAGAGCAAAAAUUCAUUUUACCAUGUCUCUGUUCUUUCCAUGAGGGAUUAGGCUUGUACCUCUUUGGAAGACUCAGAAUCUCCUUUCAGUUUUUCAGUGGCUCCUUUCUCCUAUGACCCGUUCAAGAAUGCUACUUUAUUGUGGACCUUCUAUGCCUUUAUUGAAAAAGAAAAAGUGAUAAGAUAUUUCAACUAGUUGAAAAUAGAGGACCCUAAGGCCUGAGAUAGACUGAUGCUAGAUAGAAAAUACAUAUGUACGGAUAUUCAAACUUAUCUAGAAGAAAUAGAAGCAAAUGAUACAUGAUAAGUUAGUGUCAAAAGGUGAACUAAGUCUUCCACUAGAUAGUCUACUUAGAUGUCAAAAAUGUAGUGGGCUCUUUAGCCUCAUGGUAGCCUAAAGCUCAAGUUUGGUUGAUGUUACCUAGCAAACUCGAGACAGAUGGAAAUUUCCAGCCUUUUACAGUUCCAUAGAUGUGUAAUUAUUAGGGCUUUUUAAUGUCAUUUGUGACGGGGUUUGCUAUUGAUGUGAUGCAGAGGUCCUGAAACUAUUGGAAGGGAUGUAAAUCUGGUGAAAGAGUUGGGUGUUUAUGAUCUUAUGGGGAAGGAGAAUUGAGCAAUGGUUCUCUCUUGCAUGUCAUUGGGUCAAAAAGGGUAAGGGAGAUAAAACCACCACUUGUGGAGGAUAGUGGAUCUUUUUAGAGACAUUGGUUGAUCAUUUCUUGAAAGUCUAGAUCGAGAAAUCAAGAAGAUGAGAGGCUGAUUAAGAGAGAAGUCAUGUCCUAUGCCAACUUUGUUUGAGUGAGCCAUAUCAUAUACUUCUACCUGGGGUUAAUCUUUAAGGCUGGAGGGUUCAUUGUCUCUUCAUUUUUUUCCCUUUAUUUUUUUCCCCUUAUUGAAUCAUGUUCUUGUACAUCUACUUGUUUGAAGGAUUUCUCAUCCUUGUAAAUAACUGUUUGCAUAAUAUUAUCACACAAAAACAUAGAUCAUAGACAAGUUGAGAAUUUCUUUAGGAUCCAUAAUGUGAUCUUAUGUUUUCUUCUAUACAUAAUUAUUAGCUUUUAAUUAGCUUAUCUUCAUUGGACUACUUAUGUGGAGAUUUGUUUUAUCUGUUUCUCCGUGUUUCAGGCACAACUAAUUGACCCAGCACUAAAAGGAACAAUGAACGUUCUAGGAUCUUGUGCAAAAGUUCCAUCUGUCAAAAGAGUAGUUGUAACAUCAUCUAUGGCUUCAGUUGCAUUCAAUGGGAAACAUCUAGCUCCUGAUGUGCUAGUUGAUGAGAGUUGGUUUUCAGAUCCAGUUUUCUGUGAGAAAUCAAAGGUUGCUUAAAUGAGAUGAUUUCCCAUCACAUGCUAUCUCUUUUGCAUGUUCUUGUUUGUGGCUUUACAAAAGGUUUUCUUUUCAUGGCUCUUCACUUCUUUUACCCUGCAGAAGUAGCUGCCAAUUUGUCAUGCCCUCUUGUUUUUACACUUCUGCUAGCCAGCUUAGGGUUAAAUAACACAAUGGGAAUGAGAGGAUUAUCCCUUUAUUUUGCUAAGCCUGCCAUUAGAUUAAAUAAUCCUUCCAUGUAUGUCUAAUAUUUCACUAAUACGGUGUUGGUAGCUGUCUGAUCCAUAAAGUCGCAUUCCUCAAACAAGAAAUUAAAUGAGAACUCUAAUUUGGAUAUUAUAUGAAUGAAAUGGUUGUUAAUCUCUGAUUGUCUUACUGUCCAUUAAACAUGAUGGGCUCAGAAACAUGGGUUGACAAAACAGUUGUGACAUAUCUUAUUAGUUUUAAUGUGAGAGUGUAUGCCUACACAGCCUCCUAUUGAUUUUGCUUGGGUUCAUAAGUUCAUUGCUUGUUCUCUAUGUUCCAUUAUCUACUAGAAAUGCUUCUCACUAUAUAUUUUCAAACAUGUUGGUUUCUACUAGCUAUGGUAUAUGCUUUCAAAGACAUUAGCUGAGGAGGCUGCUUGGAAGUUUGCAAAAGAGAAUGGGAUUGACAUGGUUACAAUAAAUCCAGGGUGGGUGAUUGGCCCUCUCUUACAGCCUACUCUUAAUCUCAGUGUGGAGGAAGUUCUGAAGCUACUAAAAGGUACUCUUCUACAAUUGAUGAGAAUCUCUUUUUUAUGUUUAUCUUUCUACUCCAGUAGCAAUACAUGCUUCACUUCAAUAUUGAGUCAACUCUAUCCAACAGCCCUGCAAAUGGAAACUCAGAAGUUUAAAUCAAAACUUAUCAAUAAACCGUCACAAGACUUCCACAGUUCCACAUAAAAGGACUACAUAUGCAUUUUGAUAUAUGCUGACUAAUCUUCUAACAUUAAAAAAUUGUUCUCUCCUCUGGUCAUUAUAGUUGUAUCACCAAGAUACUCAUUUGGGAGAUUUGCAUAUGAGAUUAGAUGAAGAUAUGUUUCGUCUUGGCCUCCUAAGACAGACUGGUUUGGAAGGACCCCUGGACUGUGAAAGGACUGAAAGCAUGCAUAUGCAAUUACUAUCCUGAACUUGAGGUAUAUUUGCAUGCAAGUUCAAGCCAAGGGCUAGAACUUCUUAAAUAACCCAUUAAUCCUUUUGAUCUACCCCAUCUAAAUAUUACUGCAGCUCAACAUAAUUAGCAUAAAGUGGGGGUUCCCCGCAUCCAACUCCAUUGCAAAUGAGUUGUUCAUGUGCAACACACUUGAUCAGUAUUUUUAAAAACUUCUACUAACUUUUUUGGACUAUUUUACAGAUCUUAACAUUCUUUAAACAUUUAGAAUCAUUUCUGGUGUCUUUAUAGGGCAAUAUCAUGUUACUUUAUUGACAACUCUUACAAUAAUCAGUACUACCUUAACCGUAUAGCCAAUAUGGUUUGUUUCGUUACUAGCCAACCUCUUCUGCCUCCAACUAACCUCCCCCGUAUCUUGCUUCAAUUAUGAGGGUGUUGCCAUUAGGUUGAGCAUUGGACAUAUGAUAAACCUGUGCCUUGAUGGUUGUACUCUGAUUCAUGGAUCCAGACCGUAGUAAUUGGGAUUAGACUUGUUGGUAGUUGCUUUAGUUCUAUGCUUGCAAUAACCAAAGUAAUUUGUCGUGCUGCUUUAGAACUGUUCGAUCUUUCGUAUGAAAUAAGAGAGGUAUUUUCUACAAAAUAAUGUUUUCACUUGUAAUUUCCAACAUUACAUAAAGUGAUAAAUAUAAGUGUAUUUGCUAAGUGUGAUUGCAUCAUUUUCUAAGCAUUUCCAUUUGAGACAAACAGUCUAAGACGAAAAUGUGUGCUUCAAAAAUUUCUAGCUGUAAUACUUUUGAGAUUGUGCCAAAAGCUAAUUGUCAUUCUCCUUCUGUGAAUCAGUUGACAAUGACUAUAAAUAAAUAAAUGGAAAAACAUCAUAUUAUCAUUGAGCAGAUUGCACGCUAAACUUAAAUAGGCAAAAGAAACUGAUACUUUCAGUACACUUAUGUAAUACUUGUGAUGUAAGCUUCUGAGAUUUGUUUGCUGCAGGAGAUACAUUUCCCAAUAAAACACAUCGAUGGGUUGAUGUUAGAGAUGUUGCCAUGGCACAUAUUCAAGCAUAUGAGCUUCCAACAGCUAGAGGCAGAUACUGUUUAGUAGGGAGCAUUUUACACUGUUCUGAGACAAUGAAGAUUUUGCGCAAGCUCUACCCUGCUUUAAACCUACCUGAGAAGUAAGGAUUUAUUAUUUGCAGGGCGUUAUUUCUAGUUUGCAUUAGUGCCCUUUGAAAUCAAUAUUGCAGCUUAGGCAAUGCUACUUCUUUUUGUUUAUUUUGGGUUUUUUCUUUUAUUUUUUGAUAGGUUAAUAUAUACAUAUUCUGUAAAGAAGUACGUAGAAAAAGGGGCACAACUCCGGUGCAAGUAGUAGUAUGAAAGUAGCACUAAAAUGUAAAAAUUAAAAACGAAAGGAAACAACUACAUCAGGAAGGCAACAGACACAAUAAAACAAGUAACCUGCAUUGGAUGAAUAUGUGAUACAUUGAUUCCAUCAUUUGGUUGCACAGACAACACCAAUUGACAAUAGACUAAACUAAGAAGCAGUUGUUCUAAUAAGACUGAAACAACACCAUCAACAAAUUAUUGAGAUUUUCACAAAAGGCAUUGCCUUGAGAACCAAACUUUGGAGAGGUGAAUCCUCUCCAUCUGAAUGAGCUGGGAAGCUGCAAAUUCGCCUACCUUGUCGGUCUGUGUUAUCCUCUAUGAUGUGCCUGUGAAUCCAGUAGGUUGUAGCUUGCAUUUACUUGGGCCAUGGCUGGACCACUGUGUCUUACUUUAAAUACUAUUGUAUGUUUGAAAUAUUUCACAUGUAUGUAUAGCCUUUCUCCAUUCAUGGUGGUCAUAAUGGCAUGUCUAUGCUAUUUCUACAUAUUGCCUUCUUAUGAAUUGCAUCCAAUUCUUAAUAUGUUAUCGAAGUGCUAAGGGUCUAAAAGUGCUUCAGUGAUCGGGGCUCAGGAAUUUUCUGAUUUACAUUAUUUAUUCUGUUUUGGCUGAUCAUAUCCACAAAUGUGUUUUCCUGUUGAGUGAAGUUGUUGGUGAGCUAUGAAAAACUUUCCUUGUUUCAAACUUCUAUCAUCAAUAUUGACCUUGGUGGAGUUUCUUCAGAUUCACUGAAUACUUUUUGCCAUUUAGGUCUAGUUAAACCCAUAUUUCAUUCUUCUAGUACAAAAGAACUAAUCCCCAUUGCUUGGGGAUCGUCUCAAUUACCCAAAGAGAUGUGUUUUAUGCUCUUUAACUUUUCAUUGCAUAUAGGAUUAAGCUUCAGGUCCAUGUCCUGAGAGUUUUCUUUUCUUCAGUACCAGUCGUUUCACUGAUUGAUUAAGAAAAUGUGUUUCUGUUUCAUUUGUGGCAGAUGUGCAGACGACAAGCCUUAUGAACCAACCUAUAUGGUGUCCCAGGAGAAAACUAAAAGUUUGGGCAUCGACUUCACUCCUCUGGAGGUGAGCAUGAAGGACACGGUGGAAAGCUUGAGGGAGAAGAAUUUUGUCAGUUUCUGACACGUGGUAUAGCCAUGCAAAUGAAUCAUAAACAAAAAAUGGUGUCUUCUUGGUAACUUCAUUGUCAAGUGUGUUGGAGUCAUAUAUCUUCUAACAUGUUCAUGGUAAGCAAUUCCCAAGACAUGCUACAAGUUCUCCAAAAGAAAACCAACAGCAUAUAAAAAGCGGCAACUUCUAUUUCUGCUUCUGCUCAACAACAAAAGCUAUCAACUAUCCUAAAUAGGCACCAAGGAGAUUCGUAGACCUUAGGCCCCUGCCAAACUAGAUUUUUUGUUUGGGAAGUAACUGAGGAAGAUUUUCACUUGUCAUUAACUUAUACCGAGGUUGGUAGCUAACAAACUAUGUAAGGGCAAUGUUCUUGAUUAUACCAUAUGAAAGGACACAGUGAGCUCUGCCUUUGGAAAUGUAGGCAGUGAGGUGGCAUGGUCCAUUAACUUCAUUCUGUGAUUGGCUGCUCAACCAUUCCAAAGCAAGGGAAAAUUAAGCUUACUGAAGUUUUACUAUCUCUGCUCAUUUUGUUUCUUAAGAGUACUGAAAUGAUUGGAGACAAUAAGAUUGAAACCCUAAAAUUUUGUUAAUUACUGUUGAAUAUAAAUAUGUUUUAUAAAAAAUAAUUCUCACUAAUAAACCCCCGUAGAAAAUUAUGCAGAAAUGCGUAAGUUUCAAAUUUUGUGCCUUAAGCUUGAAUAAUGCUGAUAUAAGACUCGAUGGUAGUGAAGUAGUUUUCAAACCGCAAAUGUAGAAACAAAAUUAUCAACCAAACCAAAAUUUUCAAACAAAAUUAUCUCUAUAUACACGAAGUGUACAAGUGGGUAACAUAGAUUUAAAGGUUUCGUAAGACUUCAAGGGAGAUGAGUGGAGAAGGAAAGGUGGUGUCCGUGACCGGAGCUUCUGGGUUUAUUGCUUCAUGGCUGGUGAAGCUCCUGCUCCAACACCGUUACACUCUCAAGCAACCGUUCGAGAUCCAAGUCAGUUCUCUAUCUCAACCUCCGAGGGCAUUUUCACUUAUAUAUGCUUCCAUUUAACUCACUGGUUGUGCUUACAUUUAUAUGUAUAUAUGCCACAGAUGAUCCAAAGAAGACACAGCACUUGCUUUCACUCGAUGGAGCUCAGGAAAGGCUUCAUUUGUUCAAAGCAGACUUAUUGGAAGAAGGGUCUUUUGAUUCUGUAGUUGAUGGAUGUGAUGGUGUUUUUCAUACUGCAUCCCCUGUUGCAUUGGAAGCCAUUAACCCCCAGGUUCAACCUACACCACUUCCAUUUCUAUACUUACAUUGAGCUAACUUCUAUUUCUCUUUUCAUUUUUUCGUGUUCAGACAGAAUUGAUUGACCUUGCAUUGAAGGGAACCAUCAAUGUCCUAAGGUCCUGUUCAAAAGUUCCGUCUGUCAAAAGAGUGGUUGUAACAUCGUCUUUGGCUUCAGUUUUAUUCACUGGAGAACCUCUGACUCCUGAGGUGCUAAUUGAUGAGAGUUGGUUUUCAGAUCCAGUUUUAUGCAAGGAAUCAAAGGUUUGCAUCUGAGCUUAUUUCUUAUCACAUACCAUCUUUUUUGCAUGUUUUAUGAAAUAUUUUACUGGUUUUUGCACUGGUAGUAGUACUAGAAGUAGUAGUACUGAAACCAUUUCUAACCAAAUGUCAUUAUUUGAGUUUUUGAUAGCAAUGGUAUGUGCUUUCAAAGACCUUAGCUGAGGAGGCUGCUUGGAACUUUUCAAAGGAGAAUGGGAUUGACAUGGUCACGAUAAAUCCAGGAUGGGUGAUUGGUCCUCUCUUACAGCCCACUCUUAAUCUAAGUGCAGAGCAAGUUUUGAACCUCAUAAAUGGUACUCUUCAGCAAAAUGUGUUCUAAGUUUUGUUUCUUGUUUCUCUACUUGAAUAUAAGUACAUGUUCUGUUUCUUCUUGCGCUGACUAACAGUACUCCUUGUUUGGACGGGUUUAAACUGCAUAACCAAUGUGAUUAGUUUAAUCACUUGACAAUAUCCAAGAAAAUGAAUGACAAAACAUCAAAAUAUCCACAAGCACAUUGCAGACUUUAUAUCAAGAUACUGAAUUCUUCAAAUGCAAGCAUUUGGAAUUUGUUUGUUGCAGGAGCUCAAACAUUUCCGAAUAUAUCAUCCUGGUGGGUUGAUGUUAGAGAUGUUGCCAAUGCACACAUUCAAGCAUAUGAGAUCCCAGNNNNNNNNNNNNNNNNNNNNNNNNNNNNNNNNNNNNNNNNNNNNNNNNNNNNNNNNNNNNNNNNNNNNNNNNNNNNNNNNNNNNNNNNNNNNNNNNNNNNNNNNNNNNNNNNNNNNNNNNNNNNNNNNNNNNNNNNNNNNNNNNNNNNNNNNNNNNNNNNNNNNNNNNNNNNNNNNNNNNNNNNNNNNNNNNNNNNNNNNNNNNNNNNNNNNNNNNNNNNNNNNNNNNNNNNNNNNNNNNNNNNNNNNNNNNNNNNNNNNNNNNNNNNNNNNNNNNNNNNNNNNNNNNNNNNNNNNNNNNNNNNNNNNNNNNNNNNNNNNNNNNNNNNNNNNNNNNNNNNNNNNNNNNNNNNNNNNNNNNNNNNNNNNNNNNNNNNNNNNNNNNNNNNNNNNNNNNNNNNNNNNNNNNNNNNNNNNNNNNNNNNNNNNNNNNNNNNNNNNNNNNNNNNNNNNNNNNNNNNNNNNNNNNNNNNNNNNNNNNNNNNNNNNNNNNNNNNNNNNNNNNNNNNNNNNNNNNNNNNNNNNNNNNNNNNNNNNNNNNNNNNNNNNNNNNNNNNNNNNNNNNNNNNNNNNNNNNNNNNNNNNNNNNNNNNNNNNAUUCUGAGAUACUGAAGAUUUUGCGCAAGCUCUACCCUGGAUUACCUCUACCUGAAAGGUAAGUUUCUAUUUGUUAUUGCUAGUGCUCGUUAGUGCCAUCAUUAGAAGCAAGUGAGAUCAACACGAUAUUACUUCUUAUUAUUCCAUUGGAUACAUUGAAGAGUACCUGCCAUCUUGUUUCCCCUUAAAUAUUUAUGCCUUGGUAUCAUGCAAAAAAUUCUUAGAUGGGAUCCACAUGUGUUUGUUGCAGAUGCGCAGAUGACAAACCUUAUGCACCAUCCUCCCGGGUAUCCCAAGAGAAAGCAAAGAGUUUAGGCAUUCACUUCACUCGUCUAGAGGUGAGCCUGAAGGAUACAGUUGAAAGCUUGAAGGAGAAGAACUUUGUCAGUUUCUGACUCAUGGUAUUUACUGCUAGACUUGCAAAUAAAUCAUAAACUAUGGUGCUUUCCUGCUAAUUUAUUGUUAUGAACCUCAUUGCACCUAUGAUUUGUUGGGUUUUGGGGCUUUUAUCUUGUAAUAUUUUAUUGUAAGCAUUUCUUAUGCUAGAAAUUGGUAUCUGUAUCAACUAUAAGUUUCCCAGUUCAAAUUUCCUAUUUGUGUUAGAAUAAGGUGAAACUCAAUCACACUUAGGAAGAGGGAAUUAGUCCAAGUGGAUUAUGAGGGUCCAAGAAUGGAAUCAGUUGAUGGAAGUGGUAGAAUACGUUGAACAAAAUUUAUAUACUACUGUAAGACACAAACCGAAAAUUGCUUCAUAUUAAUAAUUAAAAGACACAGGAAACAAAAGGCUUGUGUCCUUGAGCAUCAACCCCAUUAUUCCACUGGACAUGUUGCCACAGAAGUGGGUAUAAGGAAGCAUAUUCCGAUCAUCCAAGGACACUGGGUGUGACUUCACCAACAAAGCUCACAGCUGAUACAAGCAAACUACCUCUCAUAGGAACAACAGUAGAAUGGCAUAAAGAAAACUAGGACUGUUUCACUAAAUCGAAGGAAUAUCUUUGUGGGAAGAGAACAAAGAGGAUGCACAUAUUCAAAAUUUGUGGCUGAGCUAUUUAAACCUUUCAUUGAUACUGGUUGAGCUUCUCUUUGUAUUCGUAGGGUGCGCCCCCUCCUCUUUUGGCAC